UGCACAACCCCACAAACCACCAAGAAAUGGCCGCUCAAACUCACCUGUUUCAUCCACUCCACUCCUUAUCUCUGCCACUGAAAACCCGAUGUAAAUCACCUGACUUUAAACCCAAGCUAAAACCCUCCACAUUCAUCAUCUCCAGCAAGCUCCGGGCAGCGGUGGUAGGAGGAGGUCCAGCUGGAUCCUCUGCAGCUGAAGCACUUGCUGCUGGUGGCAUAGAGACCUUCCUCUUCGAACGCAGCCCCUCUACUGCCAAACCCUGUGGUGGAGCAAUCCCACUUUGUAUGCUAGAUGAGUUCUCCAUCCCUCCUCACCUCAUUGAUCGGAAAGUCACCCGCAUGAAGAUAAUAUCUCCGUCCAAUCUGGCCGUUGAUUUUGGUAAAACUCUGAAGCCCCAUGAGUUCAUCUCCAUGCUCCGCCGAGAAGUGCUUGAUGACUUCCUACGCCGCCGUGCUGAGUCUUGUGGCGCCGCACUUAUCAAAGGACUUGUCACAAAUGUGGAGGUUCCCCUAACAAGCAGCUCUUCAUAUGUUAUUCACUAUAAUAAGAAUAAUUCACAGAAAUCUCUUGCUGUUGAUGUUGUUAUUGGUGCUGAUGGAGCCAACAGUAAGGUGGCUAAGGCCAUAAAAGCAGGAGAUUACACUUGUGCUAUUGCUUUUCAAGAAAGGAUUAAGUUGCCUGAGGAGAAAAUGGAAUAUUAUGAAAAUUUGGCUGAAAUGUAUGUCGGAAAUGAUGUUUCACCUGAUUUUUAUGCGUGGGUUUUCCCCAAGUGCGAUCAUGUGGCAGUGGGAACGGGGACAGUAUGCUCAAAGAAGGAUAUCAAGAUGUUUCAACAUGGCAUAAGAGCAAGAGUUAGGCCAAAAACUCAUGGCGGUCAAGUAAUUAAAGUUGAGGCUCAUCCAAUCCCUGAGCAUCCACGUCCAGUUAGAGUCAGGGGACGAGUGGCUCUGGUGGGGGAUGCAGCAGGAUAUGUGACGAAAUGUUCUGGUGAGGGAAUUUACUUUGCUGCCAAGAGUGGGAGGAUGUGCGGGGAAGCAAUUGUCAAGGCAUCAGAAGGAGGUGAAAGAAUGAUUAGUGAAGAAGAUUUAAAGAGGGAGUAUUUGAAGAAGUGGGAUGAGAUGUAUUUAACUACAUUCAGGUUUUUGGAUUUGUUGCAAAGGGUGUUUUAUGGUAGCAAUGCUGCUAGGGAGGCAUUAGUGGAGUUGUGUGGGGAUGAGUACGUGCAGAGGAUGACAUUUGAGAGCUAUCUGUAUAAGAAGUUGGCCCGGGGGAACGGAUGGGAUGACAUUAAGAUGGUCAUGAAUACAAUUGGGAGUCUAAUUAGGUGUGAUAUUGUAGGCAGAGGGAUUGAAAUGUUUGACAAACGAGUUCUUGCACAGUUGUAGUGUAUCAGGGAACUAGUUAAAUGAAAGAGAAUCAAAUGAAACUUCAUCAGUACUUCCCAGAGAAGUACAGAUCCAGGAAGUUUUAGCUUUAAAUCACCUAAAAACCUUUUGGUAUGAACAAAUGGUUGUGCCAUUACUCUAUUUCAGUUCUUCAUAAAGCAGAUUCAAAUUGUUGUUUCCAAGAAAAUCUUUGCUGCGGUGGUCAAUUUAGCCUUUCAUCAUUGCCUUAAGUAUCAUCCUGUAAAGUAAUGAAUAAUUAAGAACUUGACUACAUUAUUAUAACUUCUGGGUGCAUAAAUACAGCUUUACAGUGGAAAGAAGUGAAACAUUUAAGCAAGCUAUAACUUUUCAGCAAAGCUUCAAGUUGAAUUAACAGUUUCCUACCAUACACACACUAUUUACCUUGAUCCUAACAUUAUAGCCCAGUCGAGCUAAGAGUUUCUUACCCACUUUGUACCUCGAUUCUAACAUUAGCCAGCUCCUGUUUUUGCCUCUACUGAUACCACAAUUUAUUUGUACAACUUAUUCGCUAUAUGCAUAGAGUUCAAGUGUUUCAAGAGAAAAUCAAAUCCCAUUUUCACACCAUUCUGUAUCCAUCCUUUCUUGACCCCUCCGCCCUCCGCCACAACCAAUUUCUUUCUUCAUGUAGUGCACAUUGUGUUUGAAUCUUUUGCGACAAGGUUUUGAAAAUAAAAAAAACCCAAGUGCCUAGUGAUGAAAAAGUAAUUAGAGCAGUAAAAGGGUUAAAGCUUGAUAUAUUUCCACAUAUAAUAGGACCCAAAUAACAACCUAAUAGUUGAAUAGGUGGCUAUGCAGCCACCAAUCAUCCCUCUUGGUUAAAGACAUACAAGCAUAGAGGAUAUAGGCUCUGAUUUAGUAGACGUAGUUUGCAGAACUUGGAGGAAUAUGUGCUUUGCUGCCUGUGUUAUGCAGCAUUUCUGGGACUUAAUUUAGUCAAGGGAGAAGAUUUUGAAAGCAAUGCAAGGCAGAGAUGGAGUUGAGGAUUGAAAAGAAUGAACAGGAGAAGAGCGUGCAUGAAAAACAUAGGCAGGGGGGAGGGGACUAGCCAAGGUAAGCCCCUUAAUUAUGACAGAGAAAAGACAAAUAUGCAAAGAGGAAAUUACAGAAUAUUAAGGAAAAGAAUUCACCUUAUACUUAGAAUCUCUCUUGAUGAAGUGCAUAAGAUGCCAUAUUCUAGGCCAAAGAAGUUAAUUCUUAAAAAUGCAGAGAACCAAAGCUUCAAAAUAGAAUGAAAAAAAUCAGUUUAUGAUGCUAACUAGCCUUUUUGAUUUUAAUAACUAUUAAUAUACUACGAAUAGAACUAUAUAUGUUUACACAUACAUAUACAGUACGGCCUUCAACCCGCACUUGUCUCCGAGACUCAUACCUGACUCCACUCAAAGUGCCCUUAGCUAAAGGUUUUCUCAAAAGAUUAAUGUUUCUUCUAAAUGUGUUUCAAUUUUAGGUAGCCAUGUAAAUACUAUAUGUAUGCCUCUGUGAUUUAUGUCAAUUUCACUCUAAACAUUUUAAAGCUUGGGAUCCUCCUCAAAACACCAGAGUAUCUUAAUCUAUAACUAACAUGGUCUUAAUUUGGUUGGGCAGAAAACAAUCACAAGCAUAAAAUGUAAUUAUCCUACUCAUGUUAGGGUUAGCAUUUUUGUAUUUUCAGAGACCCUAUCCAACAUUACUCCCCCAAUUCAAAGAAUUCAGACUCUCUUGCAAUUAUUCAUGCACUGUUAAGCUGCAUCUGUAUAUUAGCAUAACACCAGAGAAGCCUAAGCAGUAUGUCUCUCAUAAUAUAACAUAAAAAGGUUUGCUGAUACACAACAAAGUCACUUAAUACCUGCAAUUCACUAAAACUUUUGCACAAAGGGUACUUUAAAGUAUCAAGAUGUCACUAAUUUCACCAAUGAUCCACUUAAGGUCCUCUUUAAACCAUAUGCUUCAAAUUCUUAUUUGGCUAGAAAAGUCCAGAUAACUUGCACCUCAACUGCAAUUUCUCAUAUUAAAUCUCUAGCACAAAGUAGCUUCAUAUAACUACUUUUUUUAUAUUAACCAAAAAAAAAAAAAAAAACAGCAAUACAAGAACCCAGAAGAACCAAACCGAUGAAAUCCUUUUAUUGUUCUAUUCUUAAUAACAACAAGAUAACAUGAAAAAAGGUUGCUGCACCAUUUUUAAUAAGCAUUGCAAUCAGACCAUCAAAAUGAAGUGCAAAAGGUCGAAGUUGAAAGAAUGUGAGCUGUGAAACUAAUAGACAUGAAAAAUACAAAAUGAUCUUAAUAAAAGCUACCAUAAAUUAAGGAAUCAAAACUGUGAGCAUAAGCGAAAAGAGUUCAUGGAAGAUAAAAAGAGUUAAAAAGCAGAGGAUCUUACGGUUUUUUUUUUUAAACCUUUUGUCAUUCAGAUCAGAUAGAGCCAGCAAGAUUCUUGGAUGCUGACUUUUCCAAAUAAUUCCUUUAAGGUAAAAGCCCUUUUUUUUUGGUGGGGGGGCAUCGCAUGUCAAAGUCUCUUUCAUGUUUACAUAGAUUAUAUCGGAUAAUUAUGAUACACUAUUUCUUUGCUCCAAAGUUCUCAACGUUUUGUAGAACCUCUUCAUUCUUGACAUUGUACAAGCCUCUAUCAUGUUUACAUAGAUUAUGUCGGACAAUUAUGAUACACUAAUUCUUUGCUCCAAAGUUCUCAACUUUUUGUAGAACUUCUUCAUUCUAUCAUGUUUACAUGAUUAUAUCAUGUUCACUUGACAUUGUACAAGUCUCUAUAAUGUUUACAUAGAUUAUAUCAGAUAAUCAUGAUACACUAAUUCUUUGCUCCAGAGUUCUCACUUUUUGUAGAACUUCAUUCUUGACAUUGUACAACCACUAAAGCACUGAUACACAAGGCUGUACAAUCUUCGAAACCGUAUAGCCCUAGGCGAAGCUUAUUGGGGUAAAUUGCUUAUAGAGGAGAUAAAGGUUCUUAAUAUUCUUCCUAAAUUUUGUUAUGAGAUAACUCAACUGUGGUCCUGAUUUCUGAAGAUAAUUUUCCAUAGACAGAAUGUCAAUGAUCUUCGCUAUUUGAAAUGAAUGAGUCAAUCUUAUUGCUCAGGACAGUAACACUAAAUCCAGUGUGACAACUUUGUGAAAUGAUUAGUUUCUGCGUCACUUUGUUUUUCUUUUGUUGGUUCUUAGAGUUUUAACUGCAAAAAAUAUUCUAAAAUGCUGCUACUUCAAAGGCAUGUCCUGUGCUCUGAUUGUUUGUUUGUCAUUGUUUAACUCCUAUGUUCAACAACUUGACAGCACUUUUCCCUUUUGUUUCAGAUAUCAACUCAUGCAGGCUAUUCAGGUUUCACACAGUGGUGGAUUUGCUUUGUAUAGGUCUUGUGACAUAUUCUACGAGUUAACCCACUAUAUUGUUCCUUCACGUAUGCUCAUUUAGAUACUUACAUUGAACCGAAUGCAGUGGUUUAACAAUUCAGAGAUUUUAAUAAUGGAGUAAUUUCUAACUCUUGAGUUUUUUCCAAUAUCACAAACAGAACUUAUGUUUUGCCUGUAAAAUGCCAUUGCUUCAGGUCUAUUUCAUGCCUUAGUUUAUUUUUCAGUCAAGAUACUAUGAAAUUGGCUAUGUCUGUUGUCCUUCAUCUUCUUUUGGUUAAAGAAAUGCUUGAACAUCCUCUGAAAGUAAUGCUUGAGCCCGUUCUUAGUCAAACACAUAGUUAAUUAAUGAUUACCUGGAUACAGUUCUACAAUAAGAAAAUUGACUUAAUAAUUGAGCAGAGAUGUUGAAGUAUCAAUUUAUAUUUUGCGAACUUGAUUAUAUGAUUUCUGCUGGAAUAUGUUGUAGGUUGUCUUUGAUAAGUGAGAUACCAUAAUUGUGUUCAGCUGUUUAUUCUCUUAAGAGAUUUUUUCCUCACAGUGAUCUUCAUAUUAAAACAGUUGUGGUAUACUGGAAGGUAAAAUUAUACAGAUUUUGUAAAUCUUGUUAAAUCCCAUGGUCAUCUUUUGUUUCUCUUGGUUUUCUGCUGCUAUGUUUACCUUCUUUUUCCUUUGCAGUUUUUUGUUUCUUAAUGACUUUCCAUUUUCCGGUACAGAGUGUUUUUGUCGUUACUUGUUGUGUGGUUUUGGAUGGUCGCAAUUAUGAAACCAAAGAUUGAACUGGCCUUUCGAUCUUAAAGAAUGAUGUUUUACUUCUCAAAGAGAAUAGAGAGUGGCUCAAUAAGUUUCAGAAUUUAUCGGUACUGAACUGGGUGUAUAUCUACAAAUAACUUUAUUGAUUAUUCAAAGAUGAUCAUAUUUCCUUCUGAUCAUUAGUGGAUUUUGGCUAUGGAAUUUCAUAUUCUCUGUUAUUUCACUGUGGCAAGAAUGCAGAUCAUUUGUUAAACACCACAUACAGGGAAGAUAAGCUUUUGAGAAAUGCAAUGCAAACAAGAAUGUGUAUGCACUCCAUCUCUGUUAACAGAUGCAUAAAUAACCUAUAUCCAGUCGAUAUGGUGAUAAUUUGAAUCUGGAAAGCGGCAACUUUACACAUACCAUUUUGUUAAUGUGAUCUGACCAACAUUUUAGGCCGCUGAUAUUAUGCUGACUACUGUGUUUGAAUGUAUUUACUAUGGGAAAGUUUUAUUCAUUGAUUAUGGUCCUUCACUCGGUUUCUGAACAAAGCUGCAUGACUAUUUCUUUUUCAGGUUUCCCUUUUUCUUUUUGGUAAGGUCUUGUGGCAAAGAAUGGCUUUAUUUGUUUUGAAGGAAGUGACUUGAUCUGGCUAAAGCCUAAAAAUGUUUUGAGUGUUUGUUGCUUCCAUAAAUUAGACUGCUUUCUGUCUUGCAAAACACUGUGUGCUUUUCCAGUUUCAGCAUGAUGAAAAAAGCUAAUGAUACACUGAUAUACUCAAGAAAGAAAUCAUUGAUUAGCAGAACUCGUUGUGCAGUAACAUACUGGCCUUUUUGUCAUGAACGCUGACACAUUCUGGAAUUCUACUUGCUGCCCUGUUCAGCAACAUUGUGUGUUAAGGUCACCCUUAAAGCAACAUGAAGGUGAGAUUGUACUGAGGCAGGGCAAGCUUCUGCUGUUAGAGGUAUCUAUAGAUGUUGGAAAUUUACAUUCUCGAGUAGUUUUUUAGGAUAUUCUAGUUAAUGAUGGCUAUCAUGUUGCAGUUUGUAUGAUCUUGUACUCUACCACAAUUAAAACUUCCUUUAGGUCAAUACUCGGAAGGAGUUAGUGUACAAGCAAUAAUGCUGGGAUGGCCCUGAUUAAGUGUUCACUUGGGUCUAUGUGAUAUCACAUAUUCCUAUACAAUGGUUUUUCGUUUUCAACUUUUUUGUGAAACAGUCUUAAUUUGAGUGACAAGUGGCUUCACGCUUUGGGAGGUUCUAAACUUUGGAGUUUUUGGCAAUUGCUUGAAGUCUCUAAUUCUUUUGAAGCUGGACGAAGUACCAAUAAAGGAUGUAUUGUGAAAUGUAUUUCAUUUUAUAUAGUGUAUUAAGGGAAAGUCAGUUCUUCUGUAGCUUACAACAUCGCAUCUGAACCGAAGUUGAAACGAAUACAUGCAGGACAUUAGCGUCUUAUCCUUCCUUUUAUUUUUCUCAAUUCUAAUACUUUGCUUUCUUUUAGGUCUUUUCUAUCUGGCAGGUGUCUGAAGAACAUAGAUAUUCUGAACAUAGCAAAUUGACAAACUCUUAUUCAAAACAGGAGAUAUGUAAUGUGCUUAAUAUCCUUUUAAGGGACUCCUAUGUUGAAAGUUUGUUCAGCGAGCAGAAAAUUUUCUUAUCUUUAUUCAUUAGGAUAUUGUUUUCAUGCAAUAUUUUGUUUCGUCUAUUGCAAUUUUUGUCAUUUGUAAAAUUAGUGCAUGGUGUAGUUAAACUUUUGAGGAAAAAUAAGCAGCUACAAACUUGUAAUCAAGUCAACUACUGAAUGGUAGAUGGAGUUACAUGUAGUCUCACAACCUAUUCUUUGCUUAAUUCUAGUCUCAGGUUGCUAACCAGUAUCUGAUUACUCAUGCUAAUAAUCAGCUUUUCAUAUUUAUUGCGGACUCCUAAUAUUUUUUUUUCUCUACUUGUGUAAUUGAUGGAUCAUCAUGUAUAAAAGAAUGUCUAAAUAGUAAGGGCACUGAGUUUGUGAAGUCAGCAAGCUGGAGUAACAUGGUGCUUCAAUAAUUAGAUAUGCCCGCCAAGAUAAUUAGUAGACUAGUACUGAUUGGAAGUUUUACCUGGACUAGGUUCUUAGCUUUAUGCUUCAUGGGCGUCUUACUUGUAUGUUAUCAAGGAAAUGAAUUUGGGAAAUAUCGUCUGUUCAUUUGAGAUUAGUUGAAAAUGGUACAUCUCUGUUGUGAUCACAUUGUCUCUCAUUUUCAUAGAAAUAUUGCAGCUAAUGAUUUUGCCCAAAAUGUUUUCAUGCAUCCUAAUCAUACUGUUGAUAUUCUGUAUACAAGUUUAUAGUCUGUCAUUCUAUAUAUGGAAAUGUGUUCCUAAUGCCACAUUGCAUCUAAUCAUUAUCUUCGUUGGUGUGUGUCAUUUAGUCACGAGUAGCGCUGUGCAUGGUGGUGCAAAUUGGAUAAACUCUGUAUGUGUAUUUUGUUUUUCCAAUUUACCAGAUACUUUGAUCAAUUUGUCUCCUUGUUAGGUUCCCUGUUUCUUUAGUGUCAUCAGUGUCAAUAAAUAUCAAUAGUUUUUAGGCAAUAAAGCAUUAUGAGACUUUUUUUUUUUGUUUUUUAGGGGGGGGGGGUGGUAUAAAAAAUUGAUGACAUGUUUGUCCUGGGCCUACAUCAUCCCUUACCUUCUACAAACACCCAUAUAAUACAUAAGAUUUUUCAUUUGAAGUUAUAAUACUGUAGUAUUCCUAGUUGAAUUUCGAACCAGUUACCGCAGCCUCGCAUUGUACUUAUAUUUGCUGAGAAGGGAUAAUCAAUAUUGAACUAGUAAUUACCCAUUUACACUAAUUACAGAUGAGUCGUUUGCUUUAUGGAACCCUUUAGUUGCUUCAAUAAUAAUUUGCGGCGGCCUGCUGCUGCAUAGCAAUUGGUGGUCUUGCUGCAGGCCUUUCUUUCAUUUUGUCGUAAUGUUAUCUGUGUUAUAAAAUAGAUGCGCGCUUUUGGAAAAUUCUCUGCCCUGGAGCUAGGAUGGCUAGAGGGUCAUAAGUCGAUUUCCUCUGUGUGAAGACUUCCCACCGUUGACCAAAAUGGGCCUGCCAUUGUUCCUGCGUGGUAUAAUGAGCUAGAUAUUGUUUAACUCCAAGGUGGGCCACUGCACAGAAGUCUAAAAUUCUUUUGUUCAAAGUUAAGAAGUGUUCUAAGCCAUUAGUUCCAGCGGAUGAAGGAACUGCAUGGAAAAGGAACGCCACCAUGUAGAAAAUAUCUUCUUCUGGGAAAACAAAUGAAGUUCUGUUGUCCCACCUGUAAAAUAUGCAAAUUAUUUUAUUAAGAAAUAUGACCCUUUAAAAUUCAGUUGUUGAGUUGACGUUUGUAUGAGACUUUUACUUUGAUUUGUUAACUGGGUAGAUGAGCACAGGCCCGCUCUUCGUAUCUUUCAGAAUAUUGCCGAAAACUCCUUGAGCAAAAUAUUUUAUUUUGCUUCUGGGGAUGAGAAGAUUUAGCCAUGGGUGCGGAACAUCCCACAUUCCUUUCGAUCGUAGUUUUAACUCUGAGGUAUGAACUCUAUCCAGGAACUCGACAUAUGAGACUUCUGUCAUAAGAAGUGUUGAUUGGAUAUAGCUUAGCUUUGAUAGUAAAUUCUCAACUUCCUGCAUAGAGAAAAAGCUGUGAGACUCAUUUGGUUAACAUACUGAGAAGGUAGAAUCAAGUAGAUCAUAGUGCCACGGUAUGCUCACCUUGUUUGCUGUGUCAACCUCGUCAGGAUUGAAAUUUUUGGUUAACUCAAGGCAGAACAGUGUUCUUCCAUCUGAAACGAAUUUACUUGCUUGGGCUGGGUCUUGAGGGCUGAAGGAUGAUCUCCAGCUAUUUAAGACAUCAGUCCUGUUUAUUAUCACAAGUCCUUCAAUGUAAUCAAAUGUGUGUUCUGCAGAUAUCAAAAGCUCCUGGUCUCGGGAAAAUGUGGAGAAAUCUGAGUAGAGCACCCUGAUCCAUUUGACCUGGUGAUAAUUGAAGAAUAAUCUUUAUAAGACUGAAGCUUCCUUUAAGAUGCUUUCUUUAUAGGAUCAUUGCAUUAUAUAAUUACCAUCUUUGGUGCUGGCUCCAGGGAGAUUCUUGCUUUGGUUAUUAUCCCGAAUUGCCCAAGUCCUCCAAGAACACUGUGAAAGAGGUCAGCAUUCUGCUUCUCUGAGCAAUUGACUACUUCUCCCUUUCCUGCAAUCAGUUCCAUCCUCUUUUUAAUAAGUAUUACUUCAAACAAGAUUGUUUAAUGAUUAGAUAAUUCUUUCCAAAAAGUAAAGUUUUUUUUGAGGGAAAUAUUUGUCAAUUUGCAGCUCAUGAGACUAGGAGAAGUGGUAAGUUGCGUCUGUAGUUACCCGCUACUAGAAAAUAAGAUGGGACAAAUGAAAAGCCACCACCUAUGCGGUCUUCUUAAUUAACCUUUUGACCCCGUCUUUUGUUCUACAAACUAUAGCAUCAAAAGGUUCUUGUUUUCCCAUACAAACCUGUAACAACCUCCAGCUGGUGGACAUUACUGAUCUGGGGGCCAUGGCGAAAUGCUUGCCCGCUUAUUCCUGCAUUUGACAGCGUACCACCAACCGUGAGAUGAAGGUAGUCUGUCCAAGACUUCGGUGCUAGCCCAUGUUUUAAGCUUUCAUGCAAAAUAUUGAUCCACAGGUCACCAGCGGACACAUCCACAUAAGGCAGUUGUCCUGUAUUGAACUGCAUUACUUGUCCACCAAGGGACUCCAUGUUAAUCACGAUACCUUGGUCAGCUUGCGCCUGACCGCGGGUGGAGUGGCCAUGGCCUCUAGCUGCAACUGUCAGCUUUGAAAGGGGACCCAUAUGCCAAAUAUGCUUUAUGGUGUUUGCAAUAUCAGAAACUGAUUUCGGAUGUAGGACUGCCAAAGGCAGGAAAUGGUACUGAUUUCCGUAGUCUCUAGCUGCAAAUUCAUUUUCUGUAAAAGUGAAAUUUCCUUCAAGAGGAAGUGCUCUCAAUGAAGUUGGGACGCUAGAGAAACAGAAAUCGACUCGAAUAGUUGCACAACUCAGUAACAAAAUCAUGAGAGUUCUAAUGAACAGGAUGUUGUUGUGUUUGGCAAAGCUAACAUAUGGGAAGUUCAUUGUUUCUAUCCUUCUACAGAGACUUGAAAGGCAGGGAUUGAAGGUUUUUAAAUUUCCGUGUACGUUCUCUGGAUGUAAGAGGGAAGGUAGAGGUACACGGUUCAAAGGCCUGAGGAGGGAAUUUAAAGAGAGAUUUGGGUGGCAGAGUCAACCUAUCUUCAGUGUCAAGAAUCCGUAAGAAGACUGCCUACUUUGUUAUAGGAGGAGUUUGAUGGUUUUACUUUUAGUUCUUUAUAAUCUUGACUCUAUAGUUGCCAACUAAAAGCCAUCACACAUGCCAAGUUGAAGAGAAAAGUUAACAAGCAAGAAACAUUUCACCGGUCUUUGCCCCUUUUUUACACAAUUUCAACCAUAUUUUCACCCUUUCCAUCAAAGACAAAGAUGUCAUGGUCCUGAUCUAUCUCAUUUACCACGUUUGAGGAUCACUGUACCAUUUAUAGCAAAAGGUACUGGCCUCACCAGAAAGUGCACCCUUCUUUCCUCCGGUCCUUUUACUUCCUCCUAUGGGCUAUGGCUGGCUGAAGUUUGUGUCUUAAUUGCACUGAUUUGAUCAUUUUAUUCCUUGAAGCCAUUGUUGUUGAAAAGCAAACAUCGCGUAUCUAAUUUCAGAUUGGAUGAGAAGGACUGGGUGACCAGCCCUGGAUCAUUUUGCAGGCAUGGCCUCAACGGGUCCACGGGACACGUGAAUUUCCAAAAGAAUUUUGUGCUUGGUUGGGGGAAGAGCUGUGAUUUGCUAUGCUUGGGACCUCUUUUUGCCACUGUCCUCAGCCUAAGAAGAUGAAAACUGGACACGGAAAGGACAUCUUGGAGGAAAAUCUUAAGAUCUAUCUUUGAAGAUAUGUGUAUACUGUUGUUUUGGUGCCUUUGUUCCCAACAAAAGAACAAAAGCUGGAAUCCUUCUCUGUUCAGGACGAUAGUGUUUGAUUUGUAAUUUGAAAACCAGCUAGUGCUUAUGUAUCAUCAUUAACAAAUUUUCCUUUGUUUAUGUAUUGCGUUUUUGCAUGUUGAUAGAACCCUCUUUGUUGCUUCAAAUUAGAGUAUUUCCUGAUAGGCCCUGAAAUCAGAUUCAGUAAAUAUAAUAAGAAUUUAGAUGCUGCCUUUCACAGAGACGGUAUUUUCUUUUGUGAACACGGGUUCAGCAGCAGGGGUAGAUUCACAUAUGUGGCUCUUCUUGCUGGAGGAUCAUUUUGUCUUUGAAAGCUAGAUCGAACUGUUUCAAGGUCCAUGAUGCAUCAUUUUCAGUAUUAUAUGGAAAGCUCCGAAAUAGAUUUUCUAUUAUUUCGCUGACACCAACUCAACGAUAUCAUAGAUACGUGUGUGUAUAUAUACACGCACGUACACUUACCUUAUUUCCUUUUCUCAAUAAUAACAACAGAAAAAUGACAUGUCCCGUUACAUAUUGAGUCAUCUUUAUCACAAUUAUAUCAAUUUUCAAAGUCCUUUUGAACCGUCGAUAAUAACAACGGAAAAAUGAUAUGUCACAUUAUAUAUUGAGUCAUCUCUUUCGCAAUUAUAUCAAAGUAAAAGUUUCAAAAUUCUUUUGAACCGUCGAUAAUCGUUUCCUAAAUGCAUUAGAGAUAAAAAAAAAUGUCACUCCCUUUAUUUAUUUGUGCGUUUUCUUCCCCUAAUAUUUGGCCUUCUUGUCCUAGCGCUCUCUUCUAACAGAAGAUCAACUAGCUGCCAAAGUAUUGUUGUUGGAGCAAAAGCCAAAUGAAAAUUUCUUGUGACAUUCCUUAGAGCCUUCAUUUUCCAAACCAUUUGCGCCUGCGCCCAUGGGACCACAAAAGUAAAAUCUAUGCGGAUUCUAAUGGACAACAAAAUAUGGAAACCCAAAAGUGGCCCUCAUCAGUGUCCCAAUCAGGAUUCCAGCUUUGCAUUACCCAAGAAUAUUAAAAUAACACUGUAAUAAUUUGGAAUAGAUUAUUGCACCCACUUUCCUCAGAUUAUGGAUUCUUACUGUGAAAUGGGAACUGGCUAGAAGCAAUAGUUCUUUUCGCUUGGUGGUUCCCAACCUAAUCCUCAUGCCACAUUUAUUCUCUAGAAGGAGACCGACCAUUAGUGAACAGAUCAGCAAGGCUUAUGCCGACUUAGGGCAUAAAAUGAAAGGUUUACUAUGUAUUAAUGAUGAUUGAAGUGUUGAUUACAUGAGAAGCAGCUCAUAACACGAUUCAACGAAGCCAUAUGCUCAUGGACCUCUCUCUUUGUCUUUGACUCUUUCCCUUUACUUGUUAACCCCCCCCCCCCCCCCCCCCCCCAAAACAAAAAAACCACCAUUUUUUUAGUAAAACUUAGUCUUAACUAGUUGAAUAUUGCGAUAAAGCCCGAUCGUUGUAAAAAUCACGUGUUAUAUUUUUUUGAAAGAAAUUCGAUUCUUCGAUAAUAAACGAAGUAAAAAUUCGUAAUGCAAAAACUUUUCAAGAAAAAUGGUAAGCGAACAAAAGUUUCUUUUUAUUUUUCUUUUUAUCUUGGGGUGUGUGGAACUUAGAUUUGAUGAUUAAAGGACACGGAUGUUAUAAAGGGGGUUGGCAAUUGUCAUGAAGUAAUUUGAGAAUCUUAUUGGUCCAUUAAAAGAUCAAAGAUUAACGAAUGAUAACUAGACAAAUUGAUUGAGUUGCCACUAAGCCGGCCAUGAUAGGGUGGCUUGCCACGUCUCCACCUGGUCAACAUCCUUGUCAUCAUGCCAUUGAGGUUAAACUUUAAAGAAGAUAAAAAGUCUUAUUAUAAAAAAAAAAACAAAAAAGGAAGAAGAAGAAGAUAAAAAGUCUUACAAGUUAGUAGGACACAAACUGAUUUAUGAGCUGGUUAAGCCUAUUGAUUAGGGGAUAAUCGACAUUUUCUUAUCUUGUUCCCCAUCCCACUUUCAUUCCACUUUAAUCAGGGUCCCCUUGUCUCAUUUCUUAUCCUUUGUGUGGAGUUAAAAAGCCUAGUUGUAGCAAAUUUUUUUUAACUCGGGCAUUCUCUUUCUCAAAUUCUAUUAAAGAGGAUCCUAGAAAGAAUCAUAUAAGGUGGCAUGCCACAUGCCUUGUUUAGAUUCUCUUGGCUUGCAAUAAAGAGAUCAUGAGGAUCUGGAUGUGGUUGAAAUAACAUUGAUAGUUUGUUGAUAAGACAUUGGUCUGUUCAUGGAGAAAUGAGUUAAAAAAGCUUUGAGAUUCUGAGAUUUGAUUCUAAUCCCAUUUUAUUUUCCUUAGAACGACAAGUCACAUAAGGUUAUGAAUGCAUAGUUCUUGGUCAUGUCAGCUGCAUAAAGCUAGUUCUUGAUCAUGUCAGUUGUACGAGUCCAAUGUACGCAAACUUGAAAUUUAUUAUGUAAUCUUGAGGUUUUAAGAAUUAGUGGUUCUGGAUUCAAAUUUUUCCUUCCUUUCCCUAUUUCCUCUUAAGUUAAAUUCUCCUCUUCUACAAAAAAAAAAAAAAAAAAAACUAUGUAAUUUUGUAAUUCUUUUUCUUUAGGCAAUAUAAUGGCAUGAUUGUAGCUGAUCGGCAAACCUUCAAAGUUAUGGAUCACUUGCAAAAUAUGUUGUACCCGACCAACCCUGCUUAUGCUUUGUAAAUGAACCCGAAGAAUUACUCGUGGUGAGGAUCGAACAUCACAGAUUUCGUGCCAUUGAAGCACAUAUUUUGCUUUGCCAUCUCUAGAGUAAUUGGCCACCAACGUGAGGUUUAAAACUCUUCUUGGGUGUAGGUCAAGAGAUUUGCAUUCUUCUCUAAGAUUUUCUGAAAAAUUCACCAGCAGUAUAAAGAUAUCCGUCUAGUCUAAUGGCAAUUUAAACCCCUCCGAGCUUUCCUUUGGCCCCUUUGGAUCCAUCCCUUCCCCUUUAUACUAGGAGUAAGUGUAGAAGAAAAAAUAUCGUGUCAACAAAAACAAAAAAAAAAAGCACUUAUUUAUUUGCUAUAAUCCGUGCAUCUCUUUCAGUUGUAAUUGGAUUUUGUUCAUGCAGAUGGAACAACAAACUAAUGGUUAGCUUUUGCGAUUCCACAAGUGCAAAAGCACAAUUACUAGAAGAAAUCACCAAAACUGUUCUAGUUAAAUUACAAUGCUUGCAUCACUAGAACUAAUCAUUCAAAAUUUUUAAAAAUUAGAGGUCUUGGGUUCAAUUCCCUUGUUCUCCUUUAUCACUCCUUAAAAUCUUAUCCCUCCUUUAUUAAAAAAUUAGAAAAAACUAAUCACUUAAAACCUUUUUUUUAACUUUAACAUUAGUUGCAAAUAAACAUGUAGCACACAAAGAGCUGGAGAUUUAACCUUCAAGUUUUAUGUGAAGACAAUUUACCUCUUAAACUUGACCAAGCUUGACAGACCAAGUCAUCAAAAGCUAACCAAAGACAAGGUUAUUUCUAUUGGGAAAAUGACGGAAUUAGUCUCUCACAUUUCCAAAAAUAUCCUUUUUUGGUCAUUGACAUAUAAAAUGGUAGAAAUAGUUUCUCACACAUAAAAAACAUCCUAAUUUGGUCUACAACCUAUUUUCAACUGAAAAAAUGCACUUUCCAAUUAUGUGCGCAUACUUCUAGGUAAAAAAUAUAAAAAAGAAUAAUAUUUUCCUCGAAAAAGUACUCCUUCAUCCCCCUUCCACACUACCAACCUGCCACAUUCCUCCUUCUCCCUCUCUUCCCUACCUACCUGCAUCCUUUCCUCCAUUCACCCCAACCACCCAUAGCCCCUCUCUCCUUCUUCUCCUCUUUCCCCCUACCAAUUUGCACCUUCGCCUUUCUCUCAUCCUCUCCCCCACCCCCCAAAAAAAACAAAAAUCCUCCUCUUAGAUUGGGUCUUUGAAGACCAAUAUUAGAUCCAGUCUAAUCUUCAAAGACCAAAUGAAGGAGAGGGAUGGGUUGGUGGGGAAAAGGAGUGUGGUAAGUUGGCUGGAGGAAGAGGAAGAAAGAGGAGGGUGGCGUGUUGAUGAUGGGGAAGGGUGGGGGGAGGAGGAAGGGUUUGUGGGUGUGUUUUUUUAAGAGAAACAUUAUUCUUACUCGUAUUUUAUCCAAAGUUUAAUCACAUAACUUGGGCAUACAAUUUUUAGUUAGAAAUUUGAUCAAAAAUAGGUUUUGGAUAUCCAACGGUUAUCUAUGUAUAGUUUCAUUGUCUAUAACUAUAAAUAAAUUAUGUGACAAUUGGUUAUAAGCAAUUACAAAAUGAAAUUCAAAUAUAAGUAAAAAAAAUCAGCAUCGAAACAUGUUUUUUUAAACAGCAAACCCUAUUCACAAGGGAGGGACAUCACCCCAAGUUUUAUUAACUACCAAAAAGAAAAAUUACAAGGAGGGGGACAUAGAGUUAACCUCCAAAGCUUAUAUGGAAAGUAGACAUUAAAAGCCAAAAGGGAGAAGGGACUACUACUCCCUUACAUAAUGAAGAUAAGGAAAUUAUGUAGAAUCUAAACACGUAAUCUCUAUAAUUGGUGGCGGCAAUGAAGCAGCGUCAAAGAUGGCUGAAACUCAAGUCUAUAUUGGCCUUUUUUGCAAGGCCAUUUGCAGCGGAAUUGACUUCUCUAUAGUAAUGUGUCAAAAUGAAUACUGCCUUGAUUAAUACAUCAUAAACCCGUAUUACUUCCGCAUCAAUUCACCAAGGACACCUUUGCAGUCCUUUAACGGAGUUCAGCAAAGUUAUGGAGUACAUUUCUACAAUAAUGUUAUGUAGACCCAAGGUUAACACACAAUUGUAGUCCUCCAGAAGAGCCAUGAUUUCAGUUUUCAUAUUUGUUUGAAAUCCAUAGAAUGAUGAAAAUGCUCCUAAGGUGUGGCUGUGAGAGUCUCUGACAAUGCCUCCACCUCCUGAGUCUCUUGGAUUUCCAAAUGAAGUAAUUUCAUGAUGUUAUAUCAACUAAUUACGUGCUUCAAAAAGUUCCACUGUUUGUUGUUAUUGCAGAAGCUAUAUGAUUAUGCAAUUUGAAUUUUGCUUAUGGAAAUUAAUUAGUGAAAUUUGAUUUUACAAUGAAAAGAGUGUUAGUGAUUUCAAACUAUUUUUCAAGAAAAGUAUUUUUGGGUAAUAAAACAUAAUAAGACAUAAUUACAUUGGAUUUUGAAUCUAUAAUCAAAGUAUGCGUAUGGGUCUGGAUAGGUCAGUAUCUAGAUUUAGAAGUUCAUUAUCAAGGUGUUUUUUUAGGUAUUUAGAUAAAUUUUUAUUGUCAAAUUUGUAGAAAAACUUUUGUCUAUUUGAAAGUUUAUGAAAAUUAAGAAACUUUCUUUUUUUUCUCCUUCUUUUCUCUCUUCUUCUUCCUCUCUUGCUCACACUAUAGCCACUAUGGAGUUUCUAGUGGCAGUGCCGCCAUUGACCAAUAGUGGUUGGCCACCAGCCGCUAGCCGCUACCUCCUCUAUUGACCAAAAUUCAUCAAAAUUACACCAUUCACUCAAUUUUUUGUUUUUUCUUUUUUCAGCAACGGUAGUUUUUGUAUUGAAUAGACAAAAGGAUAUACACUUAUAUGAGCAAAGGCUCAAGCAGUACUAUACACAAGUGUUAGACACACUGAGGAUUGAUCCAUUCACUCAAUUUUUUGUGUAGAUUCCAUUUUUGGUGUUAAUUUUCAUAGAAAAUGAGCAAAAAGUGAUCACAAUGGUAAGAAUAGUCGAUGUUAGUUUUUUUCUCCCUCACUCUCUUCCUCCAUCUUCCCCCUUCUUCUCCCUCCCUCCCUUCCCCCUUUCGAUGACCCCUCUCCUUUCCCUCGCCACAAUCUAGACUAGGGGAGGGGAACGGGAGUUGCAAGAAGAGAGGGAGGGAGGAGAAGAAGGAAGAGGGAAAGAGAAAAAAAAGGAGGGAAAAAAGGGAUGGUGGGGGAAGAAGGAGGAGAGGGAAGAAGAGAGGAGAGGAGGAGGAUGGAUGUAAGGAGGCAGAAAGAGGGAGAGAGAGAGAGAGAGAAACAAAUAGAGAGGGUGAGAUGAUGACAAUGGCAUGCAGUGGUGUCAAUGGUGGUGGGUUGAGGUUGAAGAGUGGUGGCAAAAGAGAUAAAUGAGUGUGUGUUUUGGAGUGUUUUGUGGUAUAUAUUUUAAAACUUUUGGAGUGUUUUUAGAAAAUACUAUAGACAAAGUUUGAUAAAAAUUUGUCUAUUAAAAACAAACAAAAAAAGGCUUUCAAAUAGACCCUAGAUUUUAAUGUGGAUCCAGAUUUGAAAUUUAAUUAUACAAAAUCACACUCUACUUGUACUCAUAAUUUUCUUAUAAGAUAUGAAUUUGGGUUUUAAAAUUUGGAUUUAGACCCUUUACAAACUCCUUAGAGUCUAAGCAAUAAAUGCUACCUAAAUUCCAAAAUUAACUAUUUUCAACCAUUCGAAUUUUUGAAUGGAAAUAGACUUACUAUAGCUCCAAAACCCACAACCAAAUCCACCAAAUUACUUAUAUCGAAAAUCAGACUAGAACUUAAUGGGAUUAAAGAAAGAUAACCACUCCCAAACUCAUUUGAAUCUAGGUUAUAGUUUCAAAACAUUGUAGGUAAUUUUUUUUUUUUAGUGUAAGUAGAAAGUCUCGCGUUCAAGAUCUAUCACUUAUACUAUCAUCCAACCUAUUCCUCCCCCCAAAACUUUGUAGGUUAAAUGCAUGAACACUUACAAAAUUCAAAUUCGAUGUCAUUCUCAUAGAGCAUAAUUAAAUUUAGCUAACUUAGAUUUCUUAGUUACUAACUACCAUACAUGUGCAUGGUUUUUGGUUUAACAUAGACCUUUCCUCAAAUUUGUAAUUUUUUUUAGGGUUUGGAUUUAAACAGAUUUAGACAUGAAAUAAUGAACUUUGACAAACGAAAACAUCGGACACUCCUACGUGUUUUGUGUGGGGUUUCAUGCUUUGCAACACUACAACUAUGUUAUUUUACUAGGUUUGAAGUAGAGUAAUAUUAUGAGUGUGUUUGGAUAAGAGAUUAUAUGAGAUAAUUUAAAAAAAAAUACUGUAACAUUUUUUUCAUAUGAUAUAUAUAUAAGAUAAAAAGAUGGUUGAAAAAUACUAUAAUACUUUUUUGUAAUACUGCGACUAUGUUAUUUGUGUUAUGUUGAAUGCCCUUCGCGUAUUAAUGCUAUUAAUAGUAAAAUACGUAACAAAAUUGAUAAUUUCACAUGCAAUGCAUGUGUCAUGCGGUACUAGCACGCUGGGCCAUGGAGCAAAGGACGAUAGAAGUAAUGUUAUAAUCACAACAAACACAAAUUUACAACUUCUCUCUGUGAGACAAUAUUUGUAGGGUCUCCCACUAGAUCUGAUAUGUUCCCAAGUUUAUCAUAUAUAUUUGUCAGUGGUUAACUUUGAUUGACUUCUUUCCUCCACUAGGUAGACUCAAUAAAGUAAAGAAAAAGGUUGAAGUCGUGUGGGUUUUGGGUUUUGAGUAUGUUGGUAAACUUUUUAAGUAUUAGUUAAUUAAGAUUUUCUUUUUCUUUUUUUAAAGCUCAGGCUCUAGCUAAGUUCUGCGAAUCCUAGGUAGGCUUACAUUAGACAAGUCAAGUAAAAAUGCCUUUGUAAGUUGCAAAUCCCAGGCAAUCUUGCAUUGUAUAAGCCACGAAUUGAAACCAAAAUCUCAAAACAAUUAGAACCAAAGAUUAUAAAAGAGACGGGUCAAAAAACAAAAAGGGCUGCGAGAAGGUGUCUCAUUUUUUUUAUUUUCUUUGGGGGGUUUGGGGAAUGAAAAGCUCUGGAGGGCUAGAAACCCUUCAUUUGGCUGUCCAAAUAAUAUAUAGUCUUUCAACCAUAGCAAAAAUAAUUUGCAGAUGAAUAAGAAAUAAAUGCUUGGGUAGAUAAGUGUUCAAUCCUAAAAACCAAAAGCACUAGCAGAAAUUUAAAAAUUAAUGUUUUUCUUAAUUUCAAAAAAAAAAAACUUUUUGCACUAAUUGGUAUACAUUCACGCAAUGACACAUCAUUGUUGUUCACAUUUCAAAUCAAACAUUAAUACAAAACAUAAUCUUAUCUCAAGUAACAAAUAGAAGUGCCCAAGGCCAAAUCAAUUCGUGAAUUUUUGUAGUCACGUAUACUAGGAAGAGCUUUUCAUUAAUAUCAUUCUUAACUGGUUGAGAUUAGACCACGUUGAAGCCCCACCAGUUAUUUAGCCACUUCCCCGUGUCUGAUAAAAUAAUCAGCUAGCACAAGUUACCAUAAGAACAUUCCAUUUCUGAUUUGACCACAAGAGCCAAAAUCGAAAAAGGCUUAAUUAAUUGAGCCUCCCCUUUUUUUUUUAAUGGCUUUUUUGUUUGGCUUGUUGCUGAGAGUCGUCCAAUGUGCAUGGUUUUGACUCUUUGGUUUCAAAUUAUUGAAAUUGCACUGUCACAAGGCAUGAUCAUGAAGGCAGUCCUAGUACUCAUCGACUUAGUUGUCUGAGCCUAAGUAGACCCUAAUUAAAGCUUUUUGGUUGUUUAACACGAGUAAGAAUAAUUACAUCAACGACAAGGGAGAUUGAAAACAUGAUAUUUUUUUCCCCUUGUUCCCCAUAUGGUCAAAAAUGUAGGCUAGACCAUCUAUAUGCACCCCAUAUAAUUGCUCAUUAGACAAAUUUUGUCUUGCUCUCUACUAAAAAUCAUUACAAGUUUAGAAUGUAUGUAGGUCUAAAUGAUAGUGGAUGAGGGAAACUCAAUGAUCAUUGACUCAAAAAAAAAAAAAGGGAAACUCAUAACAUUAUGAAACUAGCACCGUUUAUCCAAAAUAAUCAACUUGUGUAGAAUCAGCUUCAUUUACAUCAUCCUUUCCAGGCAAAUCGAGCUUCUGCACUGAAGUGGCUAGAUGCAUGGAUAUUAACAAGGAGAUGGUUCUCGAGCUAAGAGUUAUAAUAUGAUAAACCAAAACAUUAAAUAAAAAAAAAAAGAAUUUUACAUGCCCUAAAACCUCCAUUUUGGACCCAAAAUUCGAUUUCUUUAGGCCUUCAACCGUGUGAAAUGGUUGCAAGAAUAUGUUAUACAAGCAUGCAUGGUACCAACUUCAAAUUAUACUCAAAUUAUACAAGCAUGCAUGGUACCAAAUUAUACUCAAAUAACUUCAAAUUAUACAUUACGAACAAAAUAGAACUUAACUUACUAUGAACUAACUAUAUAUAGAAGAUUAUUUUUAGGGUAAUUUUUUUAUACACUGUCAGUCUUAAUAUAUAUUAUACUGUAUAUUUUUUGUUCCUAUCAACAUUUUCUUUCCUUUUCUCUGUAUUUCCUAAUUUGACUCAUCAUUUGUAUGUAUAAAUGUCAAGGUAUGCACACUAAUUUUUGUUAAUAAAAAAACACGGCAGCCAAAAAAUGUGAUUAUGUUGUUUGUAACUAGGUUUACAAGAAUCAAUAAGAAGUUGUCUAGCCAUGCCCAGACGGAAGGAAACCCUUCCUAAACCCAAGCCAAAUAUAAAAUGGUCUAAUAAAGUUUACUAAUUGUCCAAAUUUGACUCCCUAAGGGACCAAGCGUGACAAAUUAGAACAUGGAGGGACUAGACUAGGUCAAAUCUUGGGAGACAGGAUUGAAAUUGAAUGACUAAUCUCAGGAGACAGGAUUGAAAGUGAAUGACUAUUACAACCACGGGAUUGCAUUACUCCCCUCGUAGAACACUAAACUAACAAAAGUUCUUCCUUAAUUCCAAUCUUUCCUCUUUUCAUUUCAGGAAAAUUGUAGAAAAAAUUCUUCACAUCUUAUUAUUCCCUCAAUUUUAAAUGUAAUUUUAGUCCGUCAAAUAUACAAAAUGCAAUACUUUGUUCGGUCGCAUGUUACUUAUUGGCUUGAAGAAGUCAGGUGCCCACUAAAUGAUACUUAUUUCAAGGGCAAAAAUGAUAUCAUACCUAUUUCUGACCAUAUACGAACAUAUGGUAAUGAGAUGCCUGAUCCUCUAAAAAUUUAAAAGCAAAGCCCUCGAUAGAGGGUAAUAAAGCAAAAUCAAACUCGUUAUGGUAACAAAAAUUUUGUUUGAGAAACAAAAAAAUGAAAUGCGGGUAGUUUCCAGAUUUCAAUCGAUAGUAACCAAUUGAACAAUUCCAAAGAUGAAAGAAGAAAUUAUGAUUUACCAAAUUAGAGAAUUUCUUAUCCUUGUCUUGGAUUGCUCUAGGGUUCAAUUAAUAUCAAAGUUGGACUGAAAUUAUCCUAUAUUAAUCAUGAAACCAGCCCAACUUACUUUGAAUGUACCCAGCCUGAAUCGGCUAAUUUUUUCCACUAUGGGUAGAAAUAUAGUUCCGUUUAUCCGACCCGAACUCGAACCCAUUUUUUCUUAAUAAAAAAGCAGGUUGAAUGCAGAAUAUUGCAUUUCGACCCGUAUUCGACUGAAACCUAUUUAAAUAAAUUAAUAAUCAUAAAAUAUAUAUAUUUAUUAUAAAAUUUGACCCGUAUUCGACUUGACUCGUAUCCGGGAUCCGUUGAGUCUGGAUCUAAAAAAUCAAGUAUAAGACUCGUCGGGAAUGCGGGUCGAAUCCAGAACAUUUAUACUAAAACGGGUCCGGAUUAGGAAUGUUGAAUUUGGUUCAAUACCCAACCCGUUGAAAGGUAUAUUCAAAGGUCAUAUGGUUGUUUUAUUUUCAAAUUUGCAUCACAUAGUCGGCACGUGAGAUUUUUCAAGUAAAAAAUAGUGGCCUAAAAUGGUAAGGUGUAAACUGCAUCGCCUUAAAAUUAAGGAAACAAAUAAGAACAAACACAAAAUGUGAAGUACCGAUUCCUUUUUGCUGUUUUCCCUUUCUUUUUAUAUACCCCUUGAGGAUUCUCUAUCUAGAUUUUGUAAUCUGGUAGUCGAAUGGACUGCCAAAUCAACAUGCACCAUUAAGCUUACCACCAUGCUUCGCAAAAGAGGUAGGGAGGGCCUAGGUCCAAAGUAGCACCACGUCUGCAUAUCUCUGCCAAAGGUGGAAAGAAUCUUCAACUGGACAUACGAAUAAACAAGAAAAUAUGAACUUUGUUCUUAAACGGAGAAUAUUCCUGUCAAUGGGGUGCCUUCCCUCAUCAGGGCAUGUGCUUAUUGAUCAUUACCUUUCAAUCCUUAAACACUACCACGACCAUUCAGUCAGCUGAAACUUAUCCAAUUGUCUCUCUUCCACACAAUGCGGUUUCCAUCAAGAUUCGUUCUCAUCAGAAGGCAUGUAACAUCACACAGAUAUGGUAUGCAGAAAGAUUACGAAAAGGAUAUGCAGAUUGAUAUGGAAUGCAGAAAGAUUAGGUGGAGCGUAUAUUGAGAGACUGUUGCUAUACCAUCGAAUUCGACAGGGUCAGUGCAACCGCACCAUACUAAUUGCCGAGAUGGGCCGGGAGAGCUUUGGUUGAUCUUCGCCGUAAAUUUCAAAUGGACAACCGAGAUCAGUUGCAUUUCAAAUGAACGGUCAAGAUCAAUCUGAGCACUCCUUAGUUCAUCUUGGCCGUUGUCUGUUCUCUACAGUUGCACCUGCAAACGCAGAUGACCUUGAUCCACUUUGACAUGAUCGAAAAGUAUGUCGUUGGGAAGUGCAAGUUUUAUCCCGUCACCUCUCAUUAGCUUUCGGCACUACAGAAAUUUUACUUUUUUUUUUUUUUAUAAAAAGCAAACUUCAUUAAUGAAUUAUUGGAAAUCGCUUAGCACGAUUUGAUUUAUAUUGUUGUUUUAAUGACAGAUUAAAUAUGCACUAAAAUUAACAGAUCAUAUUUGUACUUUAACAGAUAUAACAGAUCUGAAAAAUGUUACAGAUUUGAAAAAUAUAAGAAAAUUUUAAAUUGUCUUUAUAAAUCGUUGUAACUAUAUUUUGUGCAUAUUACAAUUAUCAGAUCUGCUAAUCAAUGAUUUUGAGUUCGAAUAAUGAUGAUGAGGUCUUUCGAAAGGGACCUAAAAUCCAAAAAAAAAAAAAAAAUCAGAUCUGACAACUACAACUGAAAUAAUUUGGAUCCAACAACAAAAGAAGGAAAAAACAUAAAGUGCUCAUUAAGAAUCCUUGAAGAAAUAGAAAAUUCUCACUAAAAACCCCUAAGAGAAAUAGAGAACUUUCACUAAGAAAAUUUAGAAGAGACUGUAUUAAAAAAAUAAUAAAACGAAAUCUAUGGAACAGAGACCAAGCCUCGUUAAAAGAGGAAAAAGAACAGAGAAAAAUUGGAGAAAAUGAGGAGAGGAGAGAGCAUGAGCAGAGUACAUAAACUUUACUUUCGGCGCGCAAGAAUUUACCAUAGUUAAUUAGAAUCAGUUAUCAUUUGUGAAUUUUGAAACCUUUAGUUCGUAUUACAACAGCGUGGGCAGAGCUGAUAAGCAACUGUACAUUUGUACAUCUUCGUUGGACUAGACGAAAACAAAGCAAUAGUAAUUGAAAGAAGAAAACAUUGGGAAAGCUACAAACAUUGCGAUUUUGAAGAUUACGAUAAUUUACAACCACCAAUUACCCUAUUUCCCAUCUCCAAAAAAUUAAAAAAAAUCCUAUACCCUUUCCCUUAAAUUUUAGGUACAUCCACCAUCUAUUUUUUUUUUAAAGCACUCAUAUUUUGAAUAGGUGGUCAGAGAAAAGGAUGGGUUAGAUGGUACAGAGGAAACAAAGUGUAAAUGAGAGAUAUCGGAUUCGAGAGCCUCCUACUUAUAUUUAAAAAAAUUUUAAAAAAAGGCAGUAAAAAUCAAAUUUAGGUACCUAUAUGUGUUGAAAACUCUCAAAAUCUCAAGUGCGUGUGAUGCUACCAGGAUUUAUUGAAAUACAUGUCUUACACUUGGGCAAGUCUAAUCAUAAAAAAGAAAAGAAAAAGUCUAACCAUCAACAUUUAAUAGUAGUAAAUAAACAGAUAAAAUGAAAAAUAAAAUAUUUUCAUUACGGCAUAUUCAUUUGCAACACGAUUACAAUACUGACGGAGUGCUAAUAAUUUUUUAAAAAUAUAUUUAAUUAACGGGUCGAUGAUUUAAUUGGGUCAUUUGUAAAGAUUACAGUAUUGGGAAAAGGAUUAAGUAAGUUAAGAAUCAAUAAAAGAGCCACAAACAUAAUUUUGGUACAUUAAUUUCGCUUGCAACUCAACACGCUUUUAGCGCACACAGAAAAAAGGACGCGUCAACUACCUCAUUAUGGUCUGGCGAUUACCGAGUGAGAGCCCACGUUUUCAAUUUCGGGUUGGUGUCUAGUUUUCUUCCAAAGUCGGUACAUUACAAAGACUUCGGAGCUGCCGGCCGUGACGUCUACCCCUCAAACAGUGAUCCUAAUAUGUGGCCUGUAUGGUAAAUUGACCCCCAAUAUUUUGACCAAAACAAAUUUUAUCCUUAAAAUUUCUAAUUUAAGGCAAAUUUAUGACAACUAAGUGAAUUUUACAAUACCUAACCAUGAAAAUCAAAUUAGAGUUAGACGAAGGACUUUUUAUCCCUAAAGCUGGAAGUUUUUUUUUUUUUUUUUAUCAAUAUGUGGUCUCUUAUAUUUCAAAUAGUUAUAUUCAAUAGUUUCAAAUAAAAUAAAAGGUAAAUUAAAUUAAAUGUAUAACAACUGUGUUCUCAAAUCCUUAAAAAUGCAGCUAAAAGCACUUCACAUUGAUACAACACUAUUCUUCAGCCUAAAGAGUAUCUCUUUGUUAAAUUAUUUACAAAAUAAAAUUUCAUCGUAAUACACAAAAAGAAAAAUUAUUGGAAAGAGCAGAAUCUUAAUUUUGAGAUAUAACUUUAUUCUAAAUAUUAGUACAGAAAUUGGUGCAUGACUUGUGGAUCUAGGUUUCAAUCAGUUAUGAUUAAGAUUCAUGGUUACAUUAACAAGCAAAAGUAAUUACCAACAUGAAGUACUCAUUGGAUUCUCAUAAAAGCUUCAAGUUGUUUUUUCUUGUCUUUCCUUCGCAUUUAAUCAAAUAUUUCACCAAUAAAGUUCAAAGUACUAAUAAUAUGUUCGUGUACAUUUAAAACUGUAUUCAAUAAUUCAAAUAAUUAUACAAAAUACUUGUUUCAUUUGAAAUGUAAUUGAUACCCAAUUGAAAUGCCAAAAAAAAAGAAAAAGAAAAAUUGUAGUUCAAUCAAUUUAAUUUACAUAUAGUUGUUUAUAUUUUAAAGGGAUAUUUAAUUGUCAAUAUAAGCAAAAAAAAAGUUUAUUAAGCUUUCUCUUGAUUUUUAAUAUUAAAAUUUCUAGUAUAUAUCACAUAAUUUCAACCCAAUUGACAUCUAAUUUUAUCCUACAACCCUCAACAUCACUAUUUGAAACUUAAGAGGUAUAAUGAUUCAAAUUCUAAACAUUGGAGACUAAAAGUGUAAAAUCAAACCUAUUGGCUAAUGGAAAUUUGAUUUUUGCCUGGUAAGAAUGGUUGAAUUUCCAUCAAUUAUCCUAAUCCUAAAUCCACCCAAAAUUAGAAUUUUAGGACUAUCUUUAUUUUGGUCGAACCAUUAGAGACCAAUUUGACACAGACUAAAUAUGUUCUCCCUUUCAAAUAUGUUUACUUGAAGCUAGUGUAACAAGUUUCGCAUUAGCGAAGAGAUGAAGGGGAUAACAGAGUGAGUGGUAAAGUCGGUACCCAAGGUUAGAGAUAAUUACUUUGGUAUACAAAAAACUACAGCUAAUGACAAAAUAUUUCCUAUGGGAGCUAUGUUCUGUACAAUAGCCAGCUAUAGAGGUUGAAAAAUGAAAUAAAUGUUAUGAAACAAUUAAAAGUAUGGAUGUCCCUUUGUAUUCCCAAGAGGAUUAAUUCAUGAUUUUAUGGCUACAUUAUGUAUAGAAGUUACAAUCCAUUAAUCUAUACAUGUAGUGGAGAAACCGUUUCAUAGGUUUCUUCAUAUUAUUGUAGUAGUGGAUGUUUAAUAGGAUUUAUGUACCUUUAAUCUUGUAGUACCUAUAUAUAGAGGUACAUUGAUACCCUAUGGAAGGACUUUUGUAUCUUAUUGAAAUAUAAGAAUAUCAUUCUCCCUUUCUCUACCCCUUCUUCAAUUCGUAUUGUAGUAUUUCAUUUUAUUAGUUUUAUAACACGUUAUCAGCACGAAAUCUCUACUUUUGAGCAAAAGGUGAAAACGGGGGCUCUACCUUAAACAAAGGUGAAGUAAAAUAUUUUGUCGAAAUUCUGUUCAUAUUUCUUCAAGAAAAUUCUGAGGUAAAUUUCUAACUCAAAAACUUAUUUCAAUUUCUUAUGGCUAAUAUUUGAAUUAUCGCAAAAUACAAGUAGUACCUACUGUUGAACAACCACUAAACACAAACAUAUAUUGUUUGAUAUCUUUGAGGUAAUAUUUCUCCUUUUAAUUUUACUUAUUUAUCUUUAUAAUUAUUUGUUAUAAAUAAUUAUAUUCUGAUGCAUUGAGUUUUGGAGAUGUUAUUAUAAAAAAUCAAUUAUAUUUGAGGAUCUACUUGUCCUUUGAAAUACUUAAAGAAAAAGAUUCGACCACCUGAAGAUGGUCGUUGUUUAACGAAAAUAUUUGCCACUAGAAGAUGGUCAUUAUUUCAAAAGCCUGGUAUGAUAAAUUUACCUAUGGCUACAAGAACAUAAUUUUGCAAUUUUCAGAAUUACUUCUCAGUUGAAAUUGUGUCGAGAAAAUUUUACCCAUAAGAUAUAUUGAAAAUGAUAUUCUCUACAAUUGAUUUCUCGAACAUGCUCCUAUAGUAGCAAUAUUAAGAGAAAUUUUGAGAAGUAUUUUGUACUUAUUGCAUGCUAAUUCUAGUCCAUUCCUAGAAGUGAAUGCGACUAAAUUUCAAUUUAUUAGUUAUGGUUGUUGCCAUGACUAUGAUUCUGGUAAAUAUAUAUUUUACCAUGACAAGAAAAAAAUUACCACUUAAAGUGGGAUGAUAAUGAUAAGGACAAGAAAAUAAGAAUCCUGAAUAUAAAUGUCCCGAAGUACAUUUGACGAAUCAAAAUUAUAAUCGCAUCUUCACAUGGCCAAUUUCUUUAAACACCCUGAAGGUAUAUGAUGCUUGAUUUAAUUUAUGAUAGUAAUUAGCUUUUCUUCCUGAAGAAGAAAUGAAUGUUAAAUAUUUGGGAUCAAAAAAAUUAUGGUGAUGAUAUUUGUCCCAUAAGAAUUAUGGUGACAAUGAUAUGUGUCUCAUUAAUAAGUGCUACUAUAUACACUAUAUUCCAAUGAGAGAGACAAAUACAAUCAGUUGUAGUGUAUAAGUGAUUGAAAAUUCCAGAAGAGCCACUACUAUAUUUCUCCCUAUAGGAGAAAAGUUUAUCAUGAAUAAAGUACUACUUUUUAUCAUGUCUCGGAAAAUUUAUUGAAUUUGAAUAUCCGUCGAAAUGGAUAUCAAAUUGAGACACUAAAUAAGACAAUAAUAGAGAUCAUGUUUAGAAAUCAAAUGAGAUAAAGGUUAAUUAUAUCAUAAUAACCAUUCGAGAGAGAAAUGGUUAUCGAUAUAGUUGUUUUCAUUCUCAUUUGAUUUAUUAUUUUCACUUGCAGUAAACCAGAAGUUUACUGAUCCCAAUGGAUACAUGAUUUGACGAAAGUGAAAAUAUUUGAGAGCCGACAAAUAUUUAUACAUACUCCUUUAUAUUAUAUAUGACUCCAAAAGAAAUUUAAAUUUUAUAUUGGGUAUGAAUCAGUUUUUACGAUUAAAUAUCGUAAAAUAUUGAUGGAUGAUCUAUUGAAUGAUUUAUUUAUUCUGAUGAACUACGAUUCCCAACAUUAGGGGGAGGAAAAAAUCAACCGAAAGGAAAUCAUCUGAAAAAUUGAAUUUCCUCGAUCCUCAUACAAAAUAAUGUGAACUAGAACUUCAAGAAAUUAUUCAUUUGCAGAAAACUGCAAAUCAAUUGUCAGAUAUACUUAUCGACUCCAGAAGAGUCAUUAAAUCAACUAUUCCUGCAGGAAAUAUCUUGAUUAAAAUUGAUGUCCCUGAAGGACAUGCACAAGUGCUACAUAUAAAUUUAAGGCCGACUUACCUAAAUCAGGUAUAAAUUGAUUUCCAAUAUCUCCGGAGAUUAAAUGUCAUGACAAAAUUCAACCUCUUGAAGAGGUCGCUCCUGAAGAGCCAACUCCUGAAGAGAAUGAAAUCAUAGAAAAUUUAAUUGGAGCCUAAUAAAAUGUAGCACUUGAUAUUAUAGAAGUUGAUGAGGAUCAUGAAUCUAAAUCGGUUGAUGAAUGUCGGUGUAGAAAUAAUUGUUCAAAAUGGAAAGAUGCGAUCCAAUCUGAAUUGGACUCACUGGUUAAAAGAAAAGUUUUUGGACCUGUAGUCCAAACACUUGAAGGUGUAAAAUCAAUAGAAUAUAAAUGGGUAUUUGUGAUAAAGAGAAAUGAGAAAAAGGAAAUUGUGAGGUAUAAAGCAAGACUUGUAGUCCAAGUCUUGUGAAAUGUAUUCACCUAUAGUGGAUGCUAUCACAUUUAGAUAUCUUGUGAGUUUUGCAGUACAUGAAAAAUUAGAUAUGCGUCUAAUCGACGUUGUUACUGCAUAUUUAUAUGAAAAUCUUGAAAAUGAUAUUUAUAUGAGAAUCUCCGAAGGAUUCAACAUGCCUGAAGCAUGCAAAUCAAAUCCUAAAGAUAUUUAUUCUAUUAAAUUACAAAGGUCUUUGUAUGACCUAAAACAAUCUAGACGUAUGUGGUAUAACCGCCUCAAUGAAUGUCUAACUAAAGAAGGUUAUACCAAUGAUCCAAUAUGUCCAUGUGUUUUUAUUAAGAAAAAUGGAUCAAAUUUUGUGAUAAUUGCGGUAUAUGUCGAUGAUCUAAAUUUGAUUGAAACUCUUGAAGAGAUUCAAAAUAGUGUUGAAUAUUUGAAGAAGGAAUUUGAUAUCAAAGAUUUUGAAAAAAUAAAAUUCCUUAAUUUACAAAUUGAAUAUUUGAAGAGUGAAAUUUUUGUCCACCAAACUGCAUAUACCCGGAAGGUAUUAAAGCGAUUUUAUAUAGAUAAGGCACAUAUAUUAAGUACUCCAAUGGUCGUCAGAUCAUUAGAUCCUAAUAAGGAUCCUUUUAGAUCGCAAGAGGAAGAUGAAGAGACACUUGGUCCUGAAGUACCAUAUCUCAGUGUAAUUGAAGAAUAUUGGAAUGCGACGAUUAAAAGAUCUCAAAUGAUGUUUGCAUCAGGGGGAGAAAUUAAUACACAAGAAUAGUGUACUCUUUUUCAUUCACUAGGGUUUUUGUCCCGAUGGGUUUUUCCCUAGUAAGGUUUUAACGAGGCAUAUUCUUUGUGUAAUGGACAUCCAAGGGGGAGUGUUAUGAAACAAUUAAAAGUAUGGAUGUCCCUUUGUAUUCCCAAGAGGAUUAAUUCAUGAUUUUAUGGCUACAUUAUGUAUAGAAGUUACAAUCCAUUAAUCUAUACAUGUAGUGGAGAAACCGUUUCAUAGGUUUCUUCAUAUUAUUGUAGUAGUGGAUGUUUAAUAGGAUUUAUGUACCUUUAAUCUUGUAGUACCUAUAUAUAGAGGUACAUUGAUACCCUAUGGAAGGACUUUUGUAUCUUGAAAUAUAAGAAUAUCAUUCUCCCUUUCUCUACUCCUUCUUCAAUUCCUAUUGUAGUAUUUCAUUUUAUUAGUUUUAUAACAAUAAACAAAUCUUUUUAUGUUUAUUUUUAUAUAGAAAAGGUUUUUAAAUGUUUUCUUUUUUGUUGUAAAAAAAAAGUUCUUUCUUGUUUUUACUAGUACUUGGUUUUCAGUUCCACUAUGACAUCCUUUUUAAAGUUGGUGAUAAUUGUAAACUUCAAGAACCUAAGGGGAAAGCACUAGAGCUCAUGAUGAAUAACUAAUUUCUAAACAAUAAAAAGUAACCAAACUCCAAAAAUUAAAAGAAUGAGUGAUAGCAUUUAAAAAAGCAAAUUUUUACACAGAAUAAAUAAAAAUUCCAUUAUCUAUAUUUUUAAUUUUAUCACACAUAAUUCAUAGUCUUUUGUUGAAGAGAGAGAUUAAGUGCAUCAUCUCUUUUAAUUUUUAAGGUUUGGAAAACUCUUUUAACUUGUAUAAUACAUAGCAAUUCAUGUAAUUACUCUUCAUCAAGCUAAAAAAAAAAUUGGUUUCUCUCUAUAUUGAAAAAUGACAAUUAUGACCUCAAGUGCAAUUCAAUGGGCAAGCUUUUUAUAUUAGCUAUCCUGAUCAGAGUUUUCUUUUGUUAGAGGAAAAAGUGUUUCAAAAAAUAAUAGUAUUUGUGGAAGGAAAAAAAUUCCCACCCUAAUUUGGUAUCAUCCUAUUAAUUAAACAAGAGCACCUUAAAUAUCUGGUGCAAUCUUCUUUUGUUUCACCAUAUGAUAUUCUAAUUAUACCCUUCUUCCAUUUUAAUUGCAAAUCUACUUAUUUUCCCUUUUACUUUUUUUAUUCAAAUUUCUUUGAAACAACUUUAGGGCCUGUUUGGAACCUGAGUUUUUUGGGAGUUUGUCUAAAACUUUACUGUAGUGCACUGUAGAAGUUUUUGAAAAAAUUUUGUAGAAGUUUUUGUAAGGUGAAAAACUUUUUUGUAGAAGUUUUUGAAAUGUUACUGUAGACAUUUUUUGGAUUAUUUUUAGAGGUAUUUUUAAAACAUAUUUUUGAGUAUUUUAUAAUUUAUAAUUUAUAAUUUAUAAUUUUUAUAUUUUUAAACAUUUAUGCAUUUAUAAUACAUUUAUAAAUAUUUAGAAAUAAAUAUAUUUAUAUAUUUAUAUAAAAAUAUAUAAAUGUAUUAUAUUAUAUAUAAUACGUAAUAUACAUAUAUUUAUAAAUGUAUAAAUGUAUAAAUAUAUAAUUAAUAUAAAUGUAUAAAUUAUAAAUGAAUAUUAUAUAAAUAUAUAAAUUACAAUUUAUAAAUGUAUAUGAUGAUUAUGUAUAAAUGUAUUAAUAUAAUUAAUAUAAAUGUAUAAAUGUAUUAAUAUUAUGUAUAAAUGUAUAAUUAAUAUUGUUUAUAAUUUAUAAUUUUUAUUGUUUAAAUAUUUAUAUGCAUUUAUGCAUUUAUAAUACAUUUAAAAAUAUUUAUAAAUAAAUAUAUUUAUAUAUUAUAUAAAAAUAUAUAAAUGUAUUAUAUUAUAUAUAAUACAUAAUAUACUUAUACUUAUAAAUGUAUAAAUGUAUAAUUAAUAUAAAUGUAUAUAUUAUAAAUAAAUAUUAUAUAAAUGUAUAAAUUAUAAUUUAUAAAUAUAUAUGAUGAUUAUGUAUAACUGUAUUAAUAUAAUUAAUAUAAAUGUAUAAAUGUAUAAUUUAUAUUAUUUAUAAUUUAUAAUUUUUAUUGUUUAAAUAUUUAUAUAUAUUUAUGCAUUUAUAAUACAUUUAUAAAUAAAUAUAUUUAUAUAGGUAUAUAAAAAUAUAUAAAUGUAUUAUAUUAUAUAUAAUACAUAAUAUAAAUAUAUUUACAAAUGUAAUAAUUGUAUAUUAUUAUAAAUGAAUAUUAUAUAAAUAUAUAAAUAUAUAAUAUUAUGUAUAAAUGUAUUAAUAUAAUUAAUAUAAAUGUAUAAAUGUAUUAGUAUUAUGUAUAAAUAUAUAAUUAAUAUUGUGUGUUAAUAUUAUGUAUAAAUGUAUUAUAUUAUACAUAAUACAUAAUAUAAUUGUAUAUAAAUAUACAUAAAUAUAUAUACAUAAAUGUGUAAUAUAUAUAAUAUGUAUUAUAUAUAUUAAAUAUAUAAUAUAUAAUAUUUAUAUAAAUGUAUAAUUACAUAUUUCUAUUAAUAUUAAUUUAUAUGGUAUAUUAUAUUUAUAUAAAUAUAUAAAAAUAUAUUUUAAAUAAAAUAAAAUAUUUAUAAUAUUUUAAAUAAAUAUAUAAAUAUAUAAUAUUAUAAAUAUAUAAUAUAUAUAAUAAAUUUUUGAGGGUGAGGGACUCAAAAAUUCAAAAUUUUUUUUUGAGGUUACCGGCGGCGCCGGAAUAAGUGACCGGCGCCGGGAGAGGUGGUGGAGGCGGUGUUUGGUGUGAUGGGUUGGGUGAGGGAGGAAGAAAAGUUUUUGAGAAAUUUUUUGUGUAUAGAUUUUUGAAGUGUAUAGGUAAAAAACUUUGAAAAGUUUUUUGGGAUUCCUGUAGCAAAAGUUGUUAAAAAACUAGUAGCUAAAAAACUUGGUAAAAAACUAGGGUGCCAAACAGGCCCUUAAUACUAUAGAGAAGUUUCCUUGACAAUGAAGCAAUGCGCACAUAUAGAGUUUGGAAAAUAAUAUCCUACUUUACCCUCAAAAGUAUGAUAAUAACAAUGAAAAACAAGCUAAACGCAUCCAAACAACAUUAAUUAUGGGAGAAAAUCUUAAGCAGAAACAGACAGGCACCUAAAAUAUAAUAUCCCAACCAUGGUGGCAGGAAUGUUUUAAAGACAACAUGUGUGAUUUAUGAAUGUAAAAGGAAUCGAAGUCGUGUCAGAGUAAAGAGUUUUCUAAAAUUUCUUAGGAGAAGGAUAUUAUAUACAACGUGAAUUUUCAACGUACAACAGUAAUCACGAGCUGUAAAGCCUAAAGUGCUAUUUCUUUGUAAGGCUAAUAAUUUCCAUAAGGAUUUUGUAGUUUAUUCAAGUGAAUUUAUAUUUUUCCAGUAAACAUGAAAGCACGUGCCCAACUAAUAACAACAAUGUUUGUCUAACGAUGCAUUUGUUAAAAUUGAAGUUCGAAAACUGAAAUAUGAAAUCUGAAUUUUGAAUCUAUUAAAUUAUUGAAUUGUUAAGUAUUAAAUCAAAUACAUUUGAGUAUAUAUCACAUUCAGUGAUAAGUAAAUAGCUUAUCACUUAUUUUUAGGAGCAAACUUUGCCGAAAAAAUUCAGUGGCACUUAAUUAAUUCAAUUGUUUUAUUUUUGGUCAUCAAAAGAAUUUGAAUAUAUUAAGAUCUAAAUACAUUAAGUGCUGAAUUGCGUUAUCAAACAUGGCCUAACACUUGUUCAACUACCUUAAUUUGAUCGAUAGUGGACCAUAUUCAUUUGUAUUAUGUCCACUGAAAGACUUAAUAUAUAUUAUGUCCAUCUCUGCAGAUCACAACAACAAAAUAUAUCAUGUGCUGCAAGAAUCACGUUCAGUGUUUCCUAAUUUUUCUGACUGAUAAAAGCCUUUAACAAAUUUAAGAGCCAAUUGAAUGGCCCCAACAAAAUUGGGUCAAUUCCAAUUUGCAUCAAUGUCAACUCCACAACCUCCUACUUUUUGUAGUCUAUUCGUAGCAAAUCUUAUCCUUCCAUCCCUAAUAGAUUUGAACAAUGUUGAUCCAAUUUUUUGUGUUUUCAUUUUUAGUGUAAUUGAUCGUCUAUAUGUAAACUGAGAUUCUUAAUCUCUUGUACAAACUUACUUCCAUCUCCAAUAGAUUUGAACAAUGUUGAUAGAGUUUUUUCUGUUUUCAUUUUUAAUGUAAUUGAUCUUCUAUAUGUAAUCUGAGAUUCUUAAUCUCUUGUACAAACUUACUUGUUCAUAUCAAUGAAAGCUAUCAUUUUUGCCUAAAAAAUGUAAUUGAUCGUCUGUGCUUUGAACCAAGGUUCAUUGAUCAUGUAAUUCGAUUUCAACACAUUAGGCACACUAAAUUUAUUAACAAAGUGCUGCAAUUUGUCUAUACAUAACAUUAAUUCAGCAUACGCAGACUAUGAAAGAAUAAUGCAUGUUUAAGAAGCUUAGCAAAACCACAAACAUUAAAAACAAAGGAAAUUUUUUGCCUAUCAUGGUUUGACGAAAAUCUAGAUGCAUGCAAAGUUUUAAAUAUAUCGAUGCAUGAAAAUAAUUUCAGAUAUGGUAUUAGAAGCGGGACUUGGAAGAGGAACAAUUAUCAGUAUAAUUGUUUGUAGGCAAUAUAAUACAAUUUGAACAAGUUGUAACUCAUGGUUAACUACUUUGAAUAAAUUUACAAUAACUGCAUUAUAUUCAGUAACUAUACAAAUAGAUCUUAUACAUAAUAAUCGCGUUCCUAUUGUAAGGUUUUACAAAAUAAUUAAGUGUGGAUUAUAACCUGUUGGCAACAUCCUUUAGGAAUAAUUAUCAACUGCCCCUUUUCCAUUAGAAGAGAUUCCAGACAUGUCUGAAAUUCAAGACUUCCUAUAUGCAUGCUAAAGGAAAGAGGAAUAUCUCUUAUGUUUUUUUUUUAUCAAAUGAAGCCAUACAGGGGUAUUCUCAUUGGAUGUUCAUAUACGUGUUAAUUACCUAGUAAUUCUGGUGAUCAGAAGUAGGGUAACGGCUUUGAAUGCAUGAAAAUAAGGUGUCGUCCGGACUAUCAACAAAUGCUUAGGGUUAUUUGCACGGCAAAUAGAAGUCGGGAAAGAGAUGAAAAAUUUGAACUCAAACUAUUUAUGUUUAUUACUUGUCGAGGACUAUUAAUAUUUUGGGAGGUGAUUGGCAGUCUGGGGACAUUCUAUUUUGUUACCAAACAAACAAAUAAUUUGUUACCAAACAAACAAAAUAUUAUAACUUGUCUAACUAUGAUGCCUUGGCAUGCUUUGUACUUCAUUUCUUGACCGACUUUGAAAUUAGAAUUUUGCCUUUUUUAGGUUUUCUGACCCAGCCUCUUCUGUCAGUGUCUCCUUUCUUCUAUCACGAAUUUGAGCCUCACAAGUCAUUGAUAAUGAAGAUAUAUUUGUUGCGUAUAAUCUUCAAGAAAUCCAUGUGAUAGAUUAGGUCUAUGUUCCUUGACCACCCUAUACAGAAUAUAGUAUUUAUUUGUUGAAAGUUACAUCAGUGGUGCUUAACCUUUUUCUUAAUUCUUCUUUACCCUAUACAGAAUAUAUAUUGCUUUCACUUAUGGAAGUGGUGGCCUAAUCUAGAAGUUUUUUUGUAUAAAAUUCUUUGGCUUCUAGUUUAAAGUAGAAAAUCAAUGUGCAUUACGGUGUGAACGCGAAUGUGAUUUUUCCAAAGAAAUCUAGCUUUCUUAGUGAAAUAAUUACAUGAAUGAUUCCUCAAAAUUGUAAAUUACGUGUUUUAGAUCCCUCAAAAUUGUAAAUGACCUGUUUUAGUCCCUCAUAAUUAAAAUCAUGUAUUUUGAUCCCCAACAUAAUUAGACAAAAAUUUUAAAAAAUUUGUUGUCAAUUCCCAUUACCAGCAAAAAAUUUUCAUGAAAAUGAACACCUAGAGCUAUGCAUUAAUAAGAUGAGCAUGUGUUCUUCAAAUGUUCCUUUCGAAAAGUUAGUGAAAUCGAAGUUGGAAGGAACAUGUUAUUUAGACAUGCCUUAUACUUUCUUUUUAAUUUUAUUUUAAAGAAAAAGUGGAGUAUUUUCAAUUUUCCUUAUCAAUUUUUGCAAAUGAAUGUGAUAUGACCACCUUAGAUAUUUAGAAAUAAAAACAAAAAAUGUGGUGAGGAAGAAAUUUGGGACAAAAUAUUAUACAAUCCAUAUCUUGGGACCAAAAUGCAUAAUUUUUGUGUACGGUAUAUACCCAAAGAAUGAUAUACAAAUGUAGUGAACCAUCUUUCCAAUUCUUCCAUUAAAUACAGAAUAUGCAGACAAUUCCUUUCAUGAAUUCAAACCUUGGACCACCAUCCAACCAUUUGUUGUUGGGAAAAUCUGAAUUUGUAAUGAUUCUGAUAACUAAUCAGAGUUCUCUAAGUAAAGGAUGUGUAAUUAUGACACAUGCACUAACAACAACACGGGAAAAGAAAACAACAACACUAGUGCUGUCUUCUUUCUGAGCACCUGGAAGUACAGUUGCCUGAGAUUGACAAACCAGCUGGUUAUUGACAAUGGAAUACUUUCGAUGACAAUUCAAUGAAAAUAAGCAAAAGAUCUUAGACACUGUUUUUUUUCCUUUUUUUUGGAUUUUGGCACAAAUCGGGUAUAUGGAAGUUCACAUGUUAAUAAAAUAUGGCUAUUAAUUGCUUGUCAAACGAAGCAGAGUAAUUUUCGAAUUUUUAUUCAAUCUUUUUGCGAAAGUUAGAACUCAAAUGCUUUAGAUGAAUGAAUUGCAAAUAUUGGUGUAUAUAUAUAUAUAUGUCUUAUGUAGUAUAUUUCUCGUUCGGUUAAUAAUUAAAAAUGCUCAAAAGUAAAUUCUUAAAGCAUUAAUCAGUCCAAAAUCUAUGUUUUCAGAACCGGACCGGAUAGCGACUCGGCCAAGGUCAGGGGUCAGGGGUCAAUGGGUUCGACCGGGGGUCGAUAGGGGUCGAACCGGAUGACGUCAUAAAUAAAAAUUAUUUAAAAAUUAAAAUAUUAUAUAUAUCAUAUCUAAUAAUAUAUUGAUAUUAAUAAAGGUAUAUUCAUACAUAUUUGAUGUUUCAAAUAUAUUUAACAAGAAAAUACAAAGAAAUUAGAACAAUCAAGUAGCAAUUUAUAUUAUUUAAUAAAUAUUAACAAGUUUAGAAUUAAAAUUAUGAAUUUAAUUGAAAAAUAACAUCAAAUUGUAGGACAAUAUUUAUAAAGUAUCAAAUAUUUGAGGUAUACGAAUAAGUUUUAACAAUUUAGGGGGCCAAAACAUAAUAUUAUAAAGUUUGAAUUUUUUUUUUUAAAAAUUACUGUUGAACCGGAAAAACCGGGGUUUUCCCGGUCAAACCCGGUCAAACCCGGUCAAACCCGGAUUUUGACCGGCUUUGACCGAGUUUUAAAAUUUCCGGUUUUCUAAGUUGACUCGGACCGGCUACCUGGCCGGUUCCCGGUUCGACCGGUCGACCGGCCGGUCCGGUCCGAGUUUGAAAACAGAGUCCAAAAUAUACUAUCACCAUGAUUGCAAAAGUCAAAAUCAAGGUGAGCAAUGUUAAAGAAAUUCCACUCAAGUGUGAUAAAUGACAAAUGUAAACAAGUCUUCAUUGCCGGCAAGGAUCUGCUGCACAACUUGUGGUGGCAGUACUUUUCAUACUAGAAAAUAUUUUCUACCCAAAAAAUAAAAAAAGUGAUGUGUCCCUAUAAUUUGGACCAAACUCCAAAAGCAGAAAAAAGCUUAGUGAAUGAGAUAUUUCACAAAUGUGUCGUUACAAAGAAGGAGAAGAAGUGGGGAAAAGGGCACAAAAAAUUGGUAACCAAUACCUGCCUAGCAUUAGCAAUGUAAAUUGAGACGCAAGCUAGCAGAUGGACGUAGCAUCAUAAUCAUUAGAUGAUGAGCCGUAGGACAUGUAAACUAGUCGUCUGAUGGAUCCCUGAAUUUUCCUUGGUCCAAUUCCAUCUGAUACCCAAAUGGUGCUUUGGGAUUUGAGGAUGGAUAAUUUGGGCAUCAUAGUUUAGCUUUGGAAUGUCAUUGGCCUGAUGCAGAUAGUCAGACAGGAAACUUUACGUUUUUGACAUAUUUGAUCUAUGAGAUUUCUUGAUUGGCUAACUUUUUGACGUUUUCUUGUUUGCUUGUACUCACUUUUUAGUGGUGUAUAUGUUCACUAUUUACGUUUUUGGCACAUUUUGAUCUAUGUGAUUUGCUUGAUUGUGUAACCAUUUGACGUCUGCUUGUUUGCUUGUACUUAUGAUUUAUGGUGCAGGUUCACUACUUGCUGGUGUGGUGAAUGUUACAUGUCUCGGUGUCCCGAUUGACUGAAUCAACUCACUAAUGACUUAACCUGUUUGAAAUGACCAAAGCAAUUUAGUAUUUGAACAUAGGCUAAUUCUAGACGUUUUGGAGAUCUUGGUUGCUAAUCGUUCAUAGGAAAAUGCUGUGCAGCUCAAAAAGUGGAUGUUAGAGAAGUUAAAAUGAAUCACGUAAAGCAAUAAGUGUCCUUCUUAUUGAUAUUCAAUUCAACUUUCUGAGGGUCGCUCUUUGUACUGUAUAAUUUUCUGUCGUUUAUAAAGAACUUGAAGGGAUAGGAAUUCGGAAAAUCUAUGAGGGCUCUCAUAAUUACAUCUUUAGAUGAUAGAUGUCACACUUCAGAAAUACAAAGAAACACUGAACACAUAUUACACAUUAUGUGAAGGAUUAAUCUUGUAUACACUGAUAGUGUAUAUACUAUCAUCAUUGAAUGCAUAAUAAUUAAUUUAAAUUUAAAUUUUAUAUACGUGUCAUAUAUUUUAUUAUGAUAGUAUAUAUAGUGUCAGUAUAUAUAAAAUUAAUUCUUAUGUGAAACCCCAUCUAAAUUGUCUUAGCCCUAGACCAGGCAGUACUAGAGAUGUAAUCGAGUCGAGUCGAGCUUGAGUAUCAUCACACUUGAGCUCGACUUCACCUGCAGGAAGGAUACUCGACCUCGAGAUCGAGUUCGAUACAUUGUUCAUAGAACUUGAGUUCAACUUGCAUGGGUUCAAGUCAAAGCAAGUCUUAUCGAGUUCGAUCAAGAAGAUUUCGAAAUUUCAUUUUUUUUUUUACAAUUUUUAAGCUAAAAAAAUUAUCACCAUUCAAAAAAUUUCAUACAACCUAAACAUUUAGUAAAUUCAAUAACUCUCAUGAGUACAAGGGUAAUUUCAUAAUAAUAAUAUAUUAAAAAAUUAAAAUUAAAAAACAUGAUAAGACUUGAUGAGCUUUCGAGUCUUGCUACUAGACAAUCGAACUCGACUCGUUAUGGUCUAUUGAUUUAUUCGAAUUCAACUCAAAAUCGAUCAACCCGAGUUCGAGUCAAAUUUUUGACCGAACUGCUCGCGAGCAGCUCAGUGCAAUUACAACCCUAGCGAUACUACUCGAUUAGCAUUCGCAUGUCUGGACUGCGGCCAUGUGGUAUAACAAUUACGUGAAUCAAACUUCAAGUACAUGUUCAAUGAGAAAUCUAACAAGAUCAGAUAUUUCUAGCAAUGCAAAACUAUAAGCUGAGAUUAAUUUUGACUAUUUUGAGCUAUCUAACAAGUCUCCUCUUUACUCUGCAGUCCAAAAAGUGGUUGUUAGAGAAGAUUAAAUGAAUUAUAUAAGAAACAUGUUUCCUCUUUCUUGUGAUUCAUUUUUAACUUUUCGAAAGUCAACUGUUUAUACUGCAAAAACUUCGUCCACAAACAAUUUGAACGGACAAGAACUUGGAAUCUAAAGGCAUCUGACAAUAAGUCUUUCUGAUCACAGAUGUCACAUGUCAAAAAAAAACAAGGAAAAAAGAAAAGAAAAGAAAAGAUGAAACACAUUUUACACCUUGGCUCUCCUUGACUAUACAAUAAUGUUCAUUCUUCUAAUGGUAAUACUUGUGAAACCCCUUGCAAGAUUAGCAUGUGCAUGUCUCAACAGUGGCAAUGUGGUGUAACAAUUAUGUCUAGCAAACUUCAGUUACAUGUCCAAUGAGAAAGCUAACAAGAACGCAUAUUUUUAGCCAUGCAAAACUAUAGGCUGAGAUUAAUUUUGACCAUAUUUAGCUUUAUGAAUAAAUUCAUCCUGAACUUGAAAACCACAUAAUAUUACUAAUGACCUAUGAACUUUUUUCCCUUUUUUUUGUCUUUUUUUUCCUCUAAGUGCAAAUUAGGAGGAAUGUAUUAAAGCUUGAAACUAGUUAGGUACAAGAGGUGGGAAACUAGCUCUUGAGGGAUGUAACUAUAUACACGUAGCUAAGUUAAGCAAUCUGCAGGUUGAUUUCUUUGGCUAGCUAGCUUAUGUUGUGGUCCAAUUUUCUCUUUCACCAUAAAAUAGAAAAAGAAAGGGAGGGUUCUAGGGGACGUAAGAAUCCAUUAUACCAUAAAGAAAGAAUCUAAAUAUAUCAUGAAAUCACAAUAAAUAUGUGUGGCCUAUUUAUCAUUGCAAUGACUAUAACAUCGAAAAUGGCUGUUGAGUGUUGUCUCAAUCGUGGAGAACUUGGACUUGGCCAUCUACACGCAUGGGAUUGGACAAUUAGUGGUUGAAAUUGCUCCAAUUUAAGAGUUAACUUCAGCAAUAAAUUUUGUGUACUAUUCAAAUUCCUCCUAUCAAUAAAAAUAAUUCUCUACUCAUUAUUGAAAAGGAGUGGUGUGUGAAAACGAGAAUUGUAUAUAUGUUUCACUAUUCGUGUUAAUGUCGACUAAUUGAAAUUGACAAUUAUUUUAAAUCUCAUCUCCUUUGACAAGUUGAUAAUGACAAUGACCUUUUGCUUUUUGAUCUUUUCUUUAAGGGCCCUAGUUUUUUGGGGCUUAAUUAAACAGUGACAAUUUUCUCAUUUCAUAUUUUAUUUUAAGUACAUAUACGAGUUUGAGAAUAUGAUGAUACAUGUGCUGAGAGUUUCUAAAAUUAGAUAGAUGUUGAACUAAUUAAUUUCCUUGGUGAUUGAUUUAAAAUUUAAUUAAUUGUCGAAUAAACAUUUAAAUAAAGAAACAAAAACCUUGAUUUUGCUAGGCGAUUAAGUAGAUAGGUGUUUCUCUUUUUCUUUUUCUUUUUUUCUCUUUUACUUGAUAUCAUCUUACUUCCACGUUACAAAUUUUCAGCUCUUUCUUUUGCUGAGAAUUAACUCCACAAGAAAUUUAAUUGCCCCCAUAAUGAACUUUAGAAAAAUAUCUUCAUUGACAUCUUUGAGCGUGUUUUAAUUUUACUUGUAGCGAGGUACUUGUUGGACUUUUCAUAUAAAUUGCUUGAUUUUGCAACUCAGAUUCAACUAUUAAAACCUUAUUUGAUAACCCAAUUCAGCAGUAAACCUAAUGAGUUCAGAUCUUUACAUGUUUAGAUACAUUUGAUAACCUAAAACAUCUAAAUUAAUUAAGUGGAAUUGAAUUUUUAAAUAAAACUUACUCUAAAAAAUAAGUGAUAAACUAUUCAUUUAUCACUUAAAAUAAUAUACACUAAAUUAUAUUAGAUUUAGUACUUAACAGUUCAGUAGCUUAACCGAUUCAGAAUUCGAAUUUUAGAUUUCAGUUUUCAAACUUUAAUUUUAUCAAACACAUGCACCCUAAAUCUUGUCAAUUGGCCUGCUAAAAUGAUUUUGAAAUAUACAUGAUUUAAAAUCUAAUUAUACUUUAACAAGUUCAUGUGAUACAAUAUCAAUGAUCAACAAGUGAUGGGGGGCAACUGUUAGAAUUAUUCUUUUUCUGAGCAAGAAUGUGUUCUAUUACUAGUGUUUAUGAAAACCAUCAAUGCUUACCUUGACAAAUUAUUGAUUUGCACUAUCACAAAACACAUGCAUUAUUCUGUCGUUUAACCUAUUAUUGUCUUGCAUGCGCUAAGAGUUUCUAAAAUCAGAUAGGUGUUGAACUCAUUAAUUUCCGUGGUGAUGUAUUAAAAUUCAAUUAAUUGUCAAUAGAAAAAUAUACUCAAAGUACCAAAUAGGUUGAUUUUUCUAGGAGAUUAAUUAUAAGCACUUUUUGUUAUUAAAAAAAAAACUCUAAUGUAAUAAAGAACAAUGCACUUAGGCAGUACAAAGAAGUAGUUGAUGUUUCUUUGAAAGGAAUUAUGUAGAUGUGAAACACUUAUUUCACCUUUUGAUUAUUCUACAAGGUAAAGAUCAAUUUGUACUACGUAGUAGUCUAAUUGGCUAGUUUUGAUGAAAGAUAAAGUCAUUUUUCUUUAUGAUUGUUCUUGUACUAUAUUAAGAAAUGCUUUUUCGGAGAUGAUAAUUUCAAAACAUCUCUCUCUCUAUCUCUCUUCUACCUGAUAUCAUUUUACUUACACAUUACAAAUUUUCAGCUCAUUCUUUUGCUAAGAAUUACCUCCACAAGAAAUCUAAUUGCCCCAAUAAUGAACUUUAGCAAGAUACCUUGUAUGACGUCUUUCGCUUGUUUUAUUUUUAGUGGUAGCGGGGUGCUUGUCGGGCUGCUCAUAUAAAGAUUUUGCAACUUCAAGGUUCAGCUGCAAAAUCUUGUCAAUUGGCCCACUAAUAUCAAGAUGAUUUAAAAUCGAAUUAUACUUUUUUUUUUUUUAAAGAUUUCUCACUUAUCCUCCUUGAUAACUCGAACCUUAAACUCGUGAUCUAUCAGUUACAAAUAAAACGUCUUACCAACUAGGCUGCGUUUCAUUGUCGAUCUAAUUGCACUUUAACAAGUGCAUGUAAUACAGUAUCAAUAUCAACAAUCAUCAAGUAAAAGGGGGGGGGGGUAUAUCCUAUAAUUUUUUUUGAGUAAAAAUGUGUUCUUUUACUGGCGUUUUAUAAAAACCAUCAAUGUGUACCUUGAAUUAUUUAUUGAUUUGCAUCAUCACUAAACACAUAACCUAUUAUUGUCUUACAUAUUAGUAUAUUUUUUGGGGGUCAAACAUCUUACAGAUUAAUUAGUUUAGGAAAUUUUUUCAAAAUUUUUUAAUUUUUUGUGUGUGUUCAAAGAGGUAAAGCAUGAGAACCUCCAUAACACAAGAAUGAAUAUUUUCAUCUUGGUUGUUUUUAGGGCCUCUUUCCCCUAAAACCUUUCUGGCAUGUGUGAUGGGCAAAGUAAAUUCUCAAUGCUUGGGCACGUAGUUUCCUAUUGCCACGUCCUUACUGGGCUACAACAUCAAGAAAUUGUCAGCCCAUUAUUUGGAAUCUGAACAAUUCUAGAUCUUUGAUGGGCUUCAAAGAAAAUUGUGCUUAUGGAUUAGGAAUUUCACCAAAUGAAUAGCAAUAUACUCUAUAUGAAUAGCAAUAUACUCUAUAAACACGAAAUUGGGCUAUAAAGAUUGGGUUAAUUUCACUUGAAUGUCCUUGAAUUCUUGCUUUGGUUCUAAAUUGGAGAGUGAGAUACUUUAGUCUUCAAAGUAUAAAGUCUAUUUCCCUUUAUUCUUUAAAAUAUAAAAUUUAUUUCACAUAGGUUCCAAAAGUAUAAAAUCUAUUUCACUUUAAUCUCUAAAAUAUAAAAUUUGUCAUGCAUAAGUAUGAAUUUGUCCCACCUCGAUCAAUGAUUUUACUUAAGCGAGACAAUUUUUAUAUUCUAUGGAGUAAAGUGUUCCAUUUCAAAGUUUAGAGAUUAAAGAAUAAACCCGAUAAACAUAUCAACAGAGUUCUCAACUACAAAAUGAAUACGUUUAACAUUUAUUUUAACAUGUUUUCUAUAUAGAUAAUAGACCUCUUGAAAUGUAUAACCAAGAAAAAAACAAUAAAUAGUCUUGCAAUGAAAAUUAACAUUACCAUAUGGGCACAGGACAAUACAAGAUGCUGGAGGUGGCCACUGAUUAGCUGCCAAAGAAUCAAACUGGAGGAGAGGUGAAUAGUUCACUCUUGGCCAACUCAUACUGAAAUGACUGAAAAUUUAUUAGUCUGUCUUCAAAACUAAAUUAAUUUGACAAGGCUGCCAUUUUUUCUGAACACUGUAAUCUAAAACCCUUCAUCUCAUACUUUUUUCUUCCUCGACUAUCCAUGCUUUUUGUUCCAUACUAGUGGCAAAUAAAGAUUGGUGAAGUGUGAUUUCCAAUUUGAAAUGAUUUUUGCAGUUGCUGCACUAUAUAUUUUACUAACAACAUUUUAUUACUUUGGUCAAGCUUAAAAGACAUUUUCUUUUGAUUUUCUCUCUAAUGAAUAAAAUUUACUAAUCUCCUGCAGGCCAAAGUGAUAAAACUAAAAUCAACAGUGACAGUCUCAACUGACAUCCAUUUUCCCCAUGUCAAAAUUUCAACAAAAUUUGUAGAAAGGACCAUAUGGCAAUUCAGGGGUCAUGCUAAUUAAACAUUCCCAACGUUAUCAAAAUUAGCUAAAAUACUCUUACGUGUACUGUACUGCAUGGUCAACAUUCAAGAACCAGAUAAUUGCCAAAGUAGUCCUAACAAAUUCAUAAGUUGUGAUCUUAGCCACCAAUAUUCAGAUUGCAUCAACUUAGGCAUUAACAUUUCAAACAUGUACCAUUUAUGAUUGUCCUAGCUUCAUAUCCAAUCAUUUUUUUUUGAAAAAAUAAAAUUCACUAAAGAACUUUUAACUCCCGUGCUUACCUCUUCAAGAGAAGAAAAUAGUAAAAGUUAACUUAUAUAGUUCCUUGAAAAUAUGAGCAUGUAUAACAAUGGUUUGCAACUAUGUCAUUGAAGUGCUUUAGCCUAUUUUUAGUACUAAACCACAUUUUUUUUUUCAGAUGGCAUGCCCUUAAGGAGAUAUAUCUUCUAGCAGUUACUAGUGCAACUAUGAAAAUAAAACAAAAUAAAAUUUGACAAGCUAAAUUGAACUAAGGAAAAUUUAUUUCCUACUUUUUUUCUCCUUUUGGAAUAGAUUCAAAUUGUGCUACGCUAAUAACUGUCGAGUCUAAAAUUGAAAAUAAUACUAAAUAGCUGAAGUCAUGAGCCAAUUAUUGGGCAAAUUUUAACAAUUAGAUAGCUCCCUUCCCGAAAUUCAAUGGAACUACUAACCAUAUAGCAUAAUCAACCAUUAACAUCUUUACUUUUUGAUAAUUAAGCCACUCACCUUCACAAUAAGACAAUUAGCCUUUCACAUUUUAAACAUUGCAUUUUAGAACGAGUGAAUGGCCCAAAAGAUCACUAAACUAUUAAAAAUGGCACCCUUUAAUCACCAAACUUUUUUUGUGGCCGAAAAGGUCACUAAACUCGCAAAAACUCUCCAGCGGAGCCAUUUUACCGAAUUUCAGCGGUUUCUCAUCCGGUGGCAUGGGUAACGUGGAAUGGAGGAAUAUAGUCAAGGGGCAAAAAUGUCUGAAAGGUUAUUGAAAUAGGUGAAGCCAUAGAUUGUCUCAUUCCCAAACCACUUUUGAACCCAUAUAUUGACUUCGUCUUCUCCGGCGGUAAAAAUAGAGACUGUAAUUUAAAAUGAGAAACAGGGAAUGAUUAAAGGUGGUGGCAAUAAUUUAAGAGUAUUAUCGUUGAGCAUGAAGAGAGGGGGAUGGGGAUGAGGACAGGAAGUGAAUCAGUAAAAUCUGCUGCUUUGAAAUCAAAUUGAGAUUUCUCGUAUUUUAAGAGCUUGACUGAAGCUAUUGGAAGUGACUCAGGCUAUACUCCAAAGUUGUCUGGGCUGGGUGCCUCAGCCCAAUAGUUCGCUAGGGCGGUGCUCAGAUCAACACAAAUAAAAGAAGAAAACCCGUAUGCCGUGUAACUGGCUCGCUGACUAGCAGAAGGCUUUAUUCCUUUUCUUUUCUCGAAGAAUGGGAUAGCACAGCACUCCCUUCAACGGCUGCCCUCGGCAACCCACUGGUGACGGAUGGGAGCACACGGCUGCGGAAAUACAAAAAAAAAGUAUCAUUCUGUUCUUUUCUUUUUCUGUAAAAGAAAAAAACAUUUUUCUGGGUAAACAUUUUUUUUUUUUUGGCUGGGUGUAGUCAUUGGAACUGCCAAGACUCUUUCCAACUCAGCUAGGUGGCUGGCGAAGGAAAUCGAAGACUGAGCAAAUAAUGGGUAUGGCUCGAGAGACCAAUUUGAGAAAGCAGUGAUGAAACCUAUGGGCUCAAAGGGUCAUCGUCGUCGGAGUUGGAUGUUGGGUCGGGGUUAGUGGUGGGGCGGAUAGGGAUAGUAGGGAGGUCGGAAGUGACGAGACAGAGAGGAGAGUGAAUCUCGGUCACAACCAGUAAACUUCUACGCUGGGUCAAAUUGAAAAGUGAAGUGUUCCCAACUAGUAAACUUCACCGGAGAAGAUGAAGUGAAUGUCGAUCGAUUGGUCAACUUUGAGAAUGAAACAAUCUGUGAGUUCACUUGCCCCAAUAAUUUUUUGGACAUUUUUGUCCAUAUCAGAAUAUUUAUUCAACUCAAGACCCUUGUAACCGGAUGAUUCACCGCUAAAAUUCGGUAAAAUGACUUUGCUGGUGCGUUUACGUGAGUUUAGUGACUUUUUUUGCUACAAAAAAAGUUUGAUGACCAAAGGGUGCCAUUUUAAAUAGUUAAGUGACCAUUUCGACCAUUCACUCUUUUAGAACCAAACACCGUUUCCAGUUUGGUUGUCCAAUGAAAAGUGUAUGAAUACAUAAUAUGAUUGACAUUCUAGUCAGAAAAGUGGCAAAAAGGUAGGUUUUUUCAUCAUAGCUAGAUUUGGCGUAAAUAAAUAAUGAUCUUGUGUGGAGUAAUUUCUUUUUCCCAACAAACUAUUAGUCACCAAAAAUUUAGGAGGCUGGAAAUGGAUCUUACGUUUGAAAUGUAAGGAUCCAAUGUUGUGAAGUUGUGACUGUCACUGUUGAUCAUAAUUUGGCAAUUCAGGGGCGGUCAUGUAAUUUAGCAGCCAAGGUGGGGUUUCAAAUGUCCAUGACGUGCAUGGUAGAGCUAUUUGACCCUAUUUCAUCUUGACUCCUUCAAUCGUUGAUCAUAAUUUGACUAUGAACGCUUUUAAAAGUGGGAUGAUAUCACAGUUACUAAACUUUCUGAUGUGUAGAAGCAAAAGUUUUCCACAAAAAAAAAAAAUAAAUAAAUAAAACCUGUAGUGCCCUCCUUCAACAAUCAGAUUACCAGGAAUCUACAAUACUCUUAAACCUCUAAUUUUUUUUCUCCUCCCUUUUCCAAACUCUCCCAUUUCUUAAUCCCCUUUUCCCUUUGCCUUAUCCUUCUUUCCAUCAAAUCUUGGAAAAGAUUUAAUGAAAACAUUGCAAAUGAAGUUACAAUCAUAGGGGAAAAAAAAAAGAUCGAGAUACUCAAACCUUAGUAGACAAUUUAUGAUUAAUUUUUUUUAUUUUAGAUGUUAAAAUUGUUUUUGGGCAUUUCUAUUUGUGUUUGACAUUUGGCUUCGAAAUUAUUCAUUGAUUGGCUUCGUGAUCUAGAAGGUAUAUAUAUCAAUGGAGAAGGGCUUUUACUGGUGCUGAAGAGGAGCCGGUUGUGGCACAGAGUUAGAGAUAGAUUUGAUGACUGAAUCAAUUGCAAUUUUGCAGCAACUUAAUUGGAAACGUCUUAUUAUCAAGUAAUAAUUUAGAUGGCAUUUCGAGUCAGCCAUAUCAUUACCAAAGGUCUCAAGUGCAUUUCGAAUCAGCCAUUCAAGUAGAAAGCGAAUUUUAGUGAUGCAUUUCAUUUAGAAUAAAUCUUAUAUACACGAACAGUGUAUACACUAUCACCAUUAGAUGCGUCAGAUUCAUGACGCAUGUAAAAGAUAGAUUUUAAAUUCAAAUUUUGUAUAAUUGUCAUUUAUCCAAUGCUGACGAUAUAUAUACUGUUAGUGUAGGAAAAAUUAAUCAUUUCAUUUAUUGGUAAUAUAUAUAACACUACUCAAACAAAUAUUAGGGUAGGAAGUGCAGAUUGCUCCAAAGGCUGGCGAGGGUAGUGCAUUAACACCAAAAGAAAGGGGGGGAAAAGAAAGGUCUGUGCACACACACCCUAAACUUUCUCAUCAUACCUCAGGAUUCCACGUGUCACCAUCUAAACCCCUCUCGCCUUUCUCUCUCCUACCCUUCACCUUCCUAAAACUGAAAAACAACAAAAACCAACAAAACCCCAUAAAACUACCUCCUUAAUGCUAACAACGUACUACUAGUGUGUGUUGUGCGUGUUUUCAUUGCAACACAGAAAUGGAAAGCAGGGUCAAAACCAAAAGGGUCUGCACCAUUGAACCCAAAAACGACAUCGUACCAACACGGAGCUGGGAUGCAAUGAUCCCAGAAAUAUUAUCCUUGAUAUUCACGAAAAUAGUCCCCGUGGAAGAAAUGGUGAGGGCGGUGAGCUUAGUCUGCAGAGGGUGGCUGGAGACGGUGGUGGGGCCGUACUGUUGGAAUGAGAUUGACGUGGAACAUUGGUGUCGCAGCCACUGGAACAGCUGCAACGCCGGCAAUCGCCGUGGUGGGCUCCUUAUUGACUCGGUAGUUAGGAAGCUUGUUCGCCGGAGCAAGUUUACCGCCGGAAAGUUCUGUGCUUAUCGCUUGGGUAAUGCCGGUUUCUCUUACAUCGCCAACUGGUAUGUGUACUUUUCUUAUCAAAACGUUUUGUUUCUUUUUUUUUUUUUGUUUUUUGCUUUGUUUGUUUAGUAUGUAUUUUUGUUGAAUAUUUCUUAGUUGCAAUACCGUCUAGAAGUGGUUUUGAAAAUGCCAGAAAGGUUUUUUGAAGUUUCUGUUUUGUGGAAUUUUACCUUGCAAAAAAGUUGUUUUUGUUUUGUUCUUUGGAGAUAACAAUAAUAUUUCCUGUUUUAUUGAAAUAGCACCUAGUUGAUUUUGCCUUCUCUAAUAGCUUGUUUAUGAUCAAGUGUGACAAUUCAAGCUUAAAGUGAAAAAAGAAAAGGAAAUUUUUAUAGUUGAAAAGGAAAAUGGCUUUGAGAUCUGAAUUCAUUUCUAUCUAGUUCUUGAGAAUAUGCUAGUAUUAGAUUGUCCAUUAGUGAGUUUUUCUUCAUGGAUUAGAUCUGGCUACUAUUACCUCUAUUUUGAAAUUAAUAAUUACUUUAGAAUUUUGUACAUAAUUCAUGGUUCUGUCUAGUGAUUUGAAUAAUCUGCACAUGUGACAUGUGUAUCAAUUUUUUUGUGUAAUUCUUGAUUGCCCAAUUGGCUUGGGGAUUAUCUAAAUAGGGCGAAUGUGGCCUUGGGAAUUCUGGUACUUCAAAAAACUGUACUAUAAAAGCUAUCCAUGUUUAAUUUGGAGCUGGAAAUUCAAUUUAUGCUACUAAAACAUUCAAUUUGUGCUCAGGAUUUGUGUUUGUAUCUGUAAAUCAAUGCUUUACACAAAAUGCACACUGUAAUUGAAAAUAGACUUUGUCAUCUAUUGCUAGUUGAAAUAAGAAGAUUCAUUCACUAUGGUCAUAUAUAUCAUCAAUCACAAUGACAUGAUGCUCUAUUCUGUAAUUGUUGCAGUGGAAGAUGUCUCAAGGUCCUAAAAAUUCCAGUAAGUGAGAUAACUGAUCAAGUAGUAGAAAAGCAUGCAGAAUUACUAGUGAACUUGACAGAACUGGAUAUCAGCUAUUGUCUGAAGCUCACAAGCAAAAGUCUUGAAGCAUUUGGGAAACACUGCAAUUUCUUGACUCAUUUGAAGAGGAACAUGCCACCACUGGAGCUUGGGGCAGUUGCGGCUUCAGAGACUGAUGAUGAUGAGGCAUUCGCGAUAGCCAACACCAUGGCAGGGCUUGACCAUCUCGAAUUUGGAUUUGCUCGCGUGACUGAUCAUGGCCUUUGCACGAUACUUACUGCGUGUAAGGCUCUUACAUACCUUGACAUUCAGGGAUGUUGGAAUGUAAGAUUGGAGGGAGCUCUUGAAGAAAGAUGCAAAGAGCUUUUGGUUUUCAAGACUCCCUGGACUGAUAUUGAAAGUGAAAGUGAGGGAUCUGUGGAAAAUGAUAGCAGAGGAGAUGAUCAGAGCUCUGAUUAAUCGUCUUCUUCUGCUUCAGCCUAAGUUACAAACAUUUGGUUCACUUUUUUGUGUGGCUCGCUUGAGGUGUACUUGUGGGUGGUUCAGCCAGGGUCUGUACUCUGCAGUCUUGAUUAAGGGAUAUUGAAAGCAAGUAAAUGUUGUUUGUGGUGCUCUUCUUUUAUCAAUGGACAUGAAUGACAAGCUAGCAGGACAAAUAUUGGUAAAAUAUUUGGAAAUUUGCCUUGGGUGGAUUAUUGUUCUAAUGAUUGCCUUCCUCUUCUGUAUCAGCCUAAGUUACGAACAUUUGAUCCACUGUUGUGUGGGUAGCUUGAAGUUUAAUUCUAGGUGGUUUGGCCAUGUUUCUGUAGUCUUGAUUGUGGGAUAUUCAAAGGAAAUUUUGUUUGUGGUUCUUUUUCUUGUAGCAAGGCACAUGAAUGAGAGGCAAACAUGAGAAGUACCAGGUGAGAUUUUGGAAAUUUGACAUGGCAGAUUACUGUUCUAAUUGUUGCCUGUUGCCAUAUAGUCUGAUUUUGGUGUUGUCAUCUAGGAAACAAUUAACAGAUGCAACUAGGCCUUUGAAACCUACCAGAUAAUGUGAUUUAAUUUGUUUGGUAUGGUAACUAAUUACUAUGUCAAUAACUUCCCCUUCCUUCUUUAAAUUUCAUCUUGUUUUUGCUAAUUAAUUUUUUAAUUUUGCAAACACAUCAAGUGUACCAAUACCACUGGAGAAAAUUAAAAGAUGUAGAUUUCAAUCACAGUCUCUUAUUGUAUACUACAUUAUAGCCUCACCAUAUAAUUAAUGGGAUCCUUUUAGAAAUACCAAUGAAUAACUUAUGGGUCACAUAACUGGAAUUUUUAAUCAGCAGGAAUCCUAAAGAUUCGAAUCUUGCUUGCUUCAACUUCAUUAUAUUCAUAUGGUAGGUUGAUGAUAUACAGGGCCUACCCUUUAAGAGUAAAUUAUCAUGUUACCCUUGGCCACAAGACGCAUACCUUCUCUUACAUCUAUAAAUACCCUAAUUGUGUACCAAAAUGGUAAUAAAAAACAAUUGAUCAAAUUCUUGUCUCUAGACUAGGGCUACAAAUGAAUAAGUUACUCGUGUGUGCUUGUGAGGCCACUCGACAGCUGGAGCUGACCAAGUCGAGAUCGAGUUCAAAGAUACUCAACUUAUUAGCUCGUGAGUCAACUCGAUUAUUUAUAUAUAAUUUUCAUAGUGAAAUUACAUAUAUAUCUCUAAUAUUUAUUAUUUAUUAAGAAACAAUUACUAUUUUAUUUGUAGACACCAAAUUUUUAUCAAUUUUUAAUAUUUUCCUGAAAUUUUAUCUAUUUGAUAAGUUAUUAUUAUUAUCAUUUUUUUAAUAUAUAUUAAUGUAUGAUUUUCUCAUUUUUGUAGGUUUGUUUUUGGAAAAAGAAAAAAAAAACACAAAACAAAAGAGAAAAAUCAAGAAAUAAAAAAUCACUUUCAUCAUUUUCCCUACCAAAACAACUAUUAACCCAUUCCACACUCAAUUGCCAUGGACCUUUCUUUUCAUUAGCUAAGAAAUCAUCAUUUUGGCAAAUCCAACACACAAGCUCCACUUUGGCUACAAGUCCCUCUCGGUUCUCUGCUCUCUAGACAGAGAGACAAAAAAAAAAAAAAAAAAAAAAAAAGGCACUCUAGCUCUCAGACAACUCUCGGCCCUCUCCCUCGCAGAACAAGAAAAAAACACAGAAAAAAAAAAAGAGAAGGGAGGCACUCAGCUCUCUCUAGUUUCAGGAGACCAAAAGACAAGCCACAAAAAGAAAAAAAAAAGCACUCCAAUCCCUCUGGGCUCACUUGGCAGAGGCAGAAAAAAAAAAAAAGAAACGCACGAGAGAAGAGGAAGGGAAGCUCUCGGAAUUUUGCAGCCUGCCCCCUCACUCUCCCUCUCUCGGACUUGGGCGGAGGAAAGAAACAGAACAAAAAAAAAAAUCUUCCCCAACUCCUCUCGGUUCCAUCUCAACCUCACACACACCUACAUUGAGGUAAUUUUUUUAGUUUUUGUCUAGCACAUUAAAUCAAUGCUUCAUUGUUUAGUUUUCUUUCAUUUCUGCUGGCUGCCUUGUAUUGUUGUUGUUGCAUUGCUGAAAAUUGGGAAAUGACAUGAACUAGACGAAGGAAAAGGAAAUGUUUCUCAUGCAUGCAUAUUAACCGUUUGAAAAAGUGCCAAAAUGACCAACGAAUUAAAAGGCUGAAUAUUGUGCAUGUUGUUGUCAAAACGGAUGACCGUUAGCUAGCACCAGGCCUGGAAAUGUGUGCUUAUCUAAAUUUUUUGGAGUUUUGAGCUUUAAAGGCAUUAGAAUAAUUUUCUUCAUUUUUGGGGCUGUUUUGAUUUAAUGCAUCCUUUUGUUGUUGUUUACUUGUCAAACUAAGAUUAUAGUUGUAUUGUGGAAGUUAUAAGGAGGGUUUUGGCAUAAUUUUUAUGAUUUUUGGUGAAGAUUUGAGGGUUUUAAAAAAAUAAAAACUGAACUGAUUUCUUGGCAUUUGGCCACUUUUGGGUCAUUUUCUGUAAAAACUAAGUUCAAAAAUGGAACCUACGCGAAAAAUCGAGUGAGGGGGUGUAUUUUGAGAAAUUUUUGAGAAAUUUUGGCGACCGGAGAGGUCGCCGGCGGCGGCCGCCGGUGCCACUUUUGGGUCAUUUUCUGUAAAAACUAAGUUCAAAAAUGGAACCUACGCGAAAAAUCGAGUGAGGGGGUGUAUUUUGAGAAAUUUUGGCGACCGGAGAGGUUGCCGGCGGCGGCGCCACCGGCGGCCGCCAGCUGAAGCUUCCUCAGUUGGCCGAAGAAGAAGGAAGAAGAAACGAUUGGGGAAGGAAGAAAAGAAGGAAAGAAAAGAAAGAAAAAAGAAGAAGAAAAUGGUUUGGGCUAAGUUUUGUGGGUUUGUGGUUAUUUUUGGUUGGAUUUUGAAAAUAGGUUUUGGUUUAUUUCUUUUGGGUUUCAGUUGGGCUUAAGGGAUAAAAAGGCAGGCUGGCCUGUGUGUUUGGCUUGGACUUUCGGCUGGGCUUAGGUAGUGUUCGGCCCAAAUAAAUAAAAUGAUGGCCAGUAGCCUGUUUUCUUAAGAAGAUCAGAAACCGAUUUUUUCACUUUAGCCCCUUAUCUUUGGAGUAGUUUCACUUCGGCCCAGAACAUUUUAAAUUUGUUUCACUUAGGUCCUUAAAUUAAUUGCACUUUGGUCCUUUAAUUUUAUCUUUUAUUUAAUUUUGACCUCUAAACUUUGGAAAAAUAUAAUUUUUGUCCCCAAAAGUUUUUCAAUUUUUGCAAUUCAGCCCCUGAUGAAUUUUGACUCUCUUUAUUAUGAUUGUUUCUUUUCUUUAAUAGCUAAUUAUGUUACUUUUGAGUAGGUUCAACUUGUAAUUUUUAGAUAUUCUUAAAUUUAUUUACGUUUGACAUAUUGAGGUGAAUUUUCAUUAUUAUUAGUUUUUCAAUUAAAUUGGUGCCAUGAUUCUUUUGUUCAUUUUGAGUAUAAAUAGAGCAAUUUGACUCCGUUUAGUCACCACUUCAAAAGGGAGGUACCCCAUUAUUAUUAUUUCAAUGUCAAUUACGUGCUCUUAUGUGCUUCUACGUGUUCCUAUGUGUUUAUAUAUUUUUAUAUGCUUUGUUUGUUUGAUUUGAAUGUUCAUUUAAAUUUUCUUAUGUUUGUUUAGUUAAUUUUAUAAUUAUUUGAGAGGCACUUAAAUACCUCAAAAAUAUAAUAGAUAGGAUAAUUAGAUUUGUUUUAUUUUAUUUCCCCUUUUAGAUUGUAGUUAGGCGCUCCCCGAUGUAAUAGAUAGGUUGUGUGCUUAUGUGGCUUAUGUGUUACGUGCCUUACCCGCUUUUCUUAGGAUUUUUGCAUCUAGAUAUUAUGCUUAUGUGUUACGUGCUACGUGCUCUUAUGUGUUUAUUUGUUUUAAUCUAUGUUUACUUGUCUUAUUAUAUAUUAAAAAUGCAUGACGUCACCACACUAGUCCAACGCUAGUUGUGGUUUCUCCCUCCGUUUACUUGCUAGUCCAACGUUAGUAAGGAUUUUUAGAAAUGGGCUAGUCCAACGCUAGACCAUUUAGGUUGUCUUGCGCUGGAUUCAUCUUUGUGUGCUAUUCACUACGUUUCCAUGCAUGUUUUUAUUUUUAGGAUCUUUUCUCAUUUGUAUGAUAUUCCCUAUUAUAUUAUCCCUUACCCGCUAUAGGUGCUAAUCAUGCCAUUUAGAAUUGCAUCUCAUUUAAGCUAGUUCAUUUGCUUGUUCAUGUUAGGAUAAUUUUUUUUCAAACAUGGAAAAUGGGUAAUUAUAACUUUUUAGUUUAAAUACCCUACUAAUCCAUGUAUAAGAAAAUUAUGUCACGAGUUUUUGCCUCCCGUACCUUUUAUGUUGCAUUCCCUUUUUCUUUGAUCACUUAUAUAUGUAUAUAAUUUAAUUUCUUUUCUUUUAUUUUAAUUUCAUCAUUCGCAUAUUCGUGACACAUUCAAGGAAUCAUUGUGGCCUUCGCAAUUAAUGCGAUUGGUUCGAUUAAAUCCUUGAAUGGAUAUUUUGACCCUUUCGAUAUUUUAUAAAUUUAGAUUUGCAUCCAUGUAGGAAACAUCCAAAUAUGAUAAAACUAAUGGUUAGAUUAGAAAAAAUUUUGACUAAACCUCGCAACUAGUUUCGACUAGGUUGAAAGGGUGCCUUAGGUUUGAGUCAAUUAAACCUUUGCCUUCCCUUUCUUCAACCGUGACUCCUGAACCUAUUUUCUCUUGUUUUAAAAAACCUGGAGUUGUCAAAAAGGGUUUUGAUUUAUUUUAUUUUUGUCAAAAAAAUAUUUUUUUGGCUGACUUGGUACACCAAAACUCCAUACCAAGUGGCGACUCCUAUUUUUUCUUAAAAACCCUUUUAGACUAAAUUUUGGACCCAAAUUGUCGCAUUCUUUUUAAAUCCCAUUCUAGGUCCUUUUUCAUUUAUUAUUAUUAAAUCACAUCUUUUUAUAAACUCUUUCUUUUUUCCAUCGCGAAAAAUGGGGCGCGACAACUUGGCAACUCCACUGGGGACGCUAGAGAGUCCAAGCACUUGGUUUAGUUGUCUUUUCUUUUUCUAACCAUUUCACUUAUCAUAUUUGGAUGUUUAGGUUGCAUAUUCCUUUUACUUUUUCUUUUUCCUCAUUUUUAGGUUCACAUCAUACGUGCAUGCAUUAUUUUUAUCCUAUUUUUUAUUUUUUUCUCGUGGGCGCCAUCCCACAUCUCCUUGUAGGAUUAGGAUCGAUUUCCUUAGGUAGGCGGAUGGUGUGCUCUGCGCCCAUAGCGAUGCCUAAGGGAUCACUCAAGCCACCGAUCGAAGGUUUUGGGAUUGAUGACCCCUUAGCCUUUUGGUCUGAAGGCUUAGGAGUCUGAAAGCUUAUUGAGUCUAGAUGCAUUAGUAAGCCAAACCUCAUGCAUCCAUAUUAGAAAUUACUUAAGAUAGAGUCAACCUUACCCGAUUAGAGACACUAUUCACGAGGGGAGGGAUCCAACCUCUCUUUUCUUUUUAUUGUUUUAUCUCUGUGUAUUGCUUUGCUACAAUGUGUUAUAUGUAUUUAUCUGAUUGAACUAACUUUUCUUGGUUUUUGUCUCCAUUGCAUUCAUAAGCCCUAGAAAAUAAGAGUCCUGACAUAGUACUCUCUAGGAGCCUACCCUAUUUGAUGUGACACGUUUAAAUUCAAUGUUUCGCAUUUGCAGCAUAAAUACAUUUCAUUUUAGGCUUACCCCGGUAUUUAAAUGGGGCACUUUUAGAUCAUAUGUCAAUUAUUUCAUUGCAUAUUUAACCGCUUUAAUAAACUGGCAUCAUACAUCAACUUUAGAGGGAAUGCCGCAUAGGGGAUCCCGCGUUAGGAAUAAGCCGCCUUGUGUCUCAGAUAUGUAAUCCAAUGAGACUUGCACGUUUAUAUUUUUUGUACCAUCCAAAGGGGUAGUGCACAAGGUAAGGUAGGAUUCGAUCAUUUCCGUGUGAUUACAUUGAGAAUGAUGGAACAGUUUUUACACAUUAGAAUAUGAGUCUUUAAUAAUCACUUUUUGGCCAUUUUAUUAGAAUUGAUAAAAAUUCCUUGCGUAAAGGACAUUAAGUUGAAGAAAUUCACAAAUUCCUCAUUGUUGAGAUGAUAAGUAUGUUAAGGCCAAAUCUUGAUUUUCGAAGGCAUAUAGACUAAUAAAUCACAAUGAAUUUUUUGAAACUACUAAUGGGCAGACAAUUCCAUCGAUUUUGAUAAAUCAUCAAUUUCAUUAAUUCCAUUUUUACAUCUAAGAUAAUUGAAUCGAUUUUUUCAUGGAUCAUUCAAUCCUUACAAUUUUGCUCAUUAUUUUAAUUUCAUUUUCAUUCAAUUUCAUUUUGGAUAAAUCAUCAAUUUCAUUCUGUUUAUUUGGCUAGUGAUCCAGUCGAUUUUUGAAUAAACUGUCAAUUCUAUCUAAUCCAUUUGACCAAUUUAAUCAUUUUUAGGACAAUACAAUCAAUUUUGAAUAAAUCAUCAAUUCCAUCCAAUUCAUUAUUCAUUUAGUCAAUUUUAUUUUUUUUGAAUAAAUUCUCAAUUUCAUCCAAUUCAUUGGAUCAGUUUUAUUCACUUUCAGGAUAAUCCAGUCUAUUUUUGAACUAACCAUCAAUUUCAUUCGAUUCAUUUAACCUAUUUAUUCUCUUUUAAAGUUUCGAUCUAUGGUUCACCGAAGAAACUAGUCGAAACAUUUCAAUCCUUUCAAAAGUAAGUUUUACACACUAAAUUGAUUUUGAUAUCAUUUUAUGUGUCAAUCAAAGCAAUCAAUCCAUUCGGACUUUGUCCUCAUUUUGUUAGGACAAAUUGUCUCUUGUCACUCCAAUUAUCCAGUUUUUUCAAAAUUGUCUUUUCAUUGAAUCUCAAUAAGUCGAUCGGAUCCAUCAGGUAUUGUAUGGUGCCUACCCCAGAGGAUUGCAUUUUUCAUACUAGGCCAACCCUUGGCAUAAAAGGGUUCUCCCAUAGGACAUGCAUACCGAUUUUGCAGUUUGCUUACUAACUCUGGGUGUUUUGCUUUUAUUUUUUCCCCCUCCCCUGCAUUUAUAAAAGUUGUUUCAACAAGGUAAAAAUAUUUUUCCUAUAUCUGAUAAUAUUUUUGGUCUGAUAAAUUUUGAAAAUUACAAGUGUUACUUGAUUCUUGGGCAGAUCCUACAAUGUAAAAAAAAAAAAAAUGAUGAUGAAAAAAUGAAUGAAAAAUCCAUUUGAAAACGCUAGUGUAAAGUAUCUCAAAAAUCUUUUGAUUCAUUGUUUCUAAUAUAUUUUGUCUCAAAAGAUAGAAAGAGAAAGUGUGUAUAUAUUUGAAAAUGUAUUCUUUAGAGAUUUUUAUUUGCUCACAUGUAUUAUAUUUGACAAAAAAAAUUUCAAACAUUUGAAUAAUAAAGUUUUUAUUUAGACAAUUAUUGUUUUGUAUAUAUUCAUUCUUUAUUUGCUCAUUGAGAGAUUUCAUGAUAGAUUUUAAGGAAUAAGGCUAAAUUGAAAUUUUUUGACCUUUUAUUCGAAAUUCAUGAGUGCAUGUCAAAUUCCCAAAAUUCUUUGCAUACACUAGAUUUGUGGCCUAAACUAUUCAAUGAGAGUCGGAAAUAAAAAGGGUCAUUCAAAUUUGAUAGCUUGUCAUAAAAGAUCAACCCCAACACUUUUCAUUUUCAUUUUUUGUCCACUUUUAUUGAACCUCCAAGAUCAAUCGCAUUGGCUGACUAGUUUCAAAGUGAGAUAAUUUUUUUUCGUGAAAAUGUCCGGUGGGUCUAACCAGAUUCAAUCCACAUCUAAGUGAAAGCAAAAAUGCACAUUACUUUUUGUUUUGUUUUGAAAAUUUGGAAUGAUACUUUGGGCUUUCAUCUCUCUAUCUAUACAGAUUCUAUCAUUUAUUUUCCCAUUUGAGACUUCAAAAAAUAGAGUUUCGUUUCAAAUAAAAGCCUCAAUGAUCAUGACCCUUCACGGAAAAAUUUUCGAAUGUCAAAUGGAAAUGGGUUUUUCCAACGGGUUAUUCUUUACUUUGGUUGUCAUGAGAAAUAAGAAUGAUGUUUUGGUCAUCGUUUCUACCAUCUAAACACUCUUAUCCUUUGCAUCCUCAUUUGAGAUUAAAUUGGUGGUUCGUUUCAAAAGCACUUAUGAUUGCACCCCCACACUGGGGAAGGAGAUUUCAAAAAGAAAAAAAAAAGAAGAAGAAGGGAGAAAAUGCUACAAGUUGGGGGAUUUUGACUUUAACAUUGAUAUUUGGUCUUCAACAUCAAAAAGAAAGAGGGGCCAUCUACACUCCAAAUUAGGGAGUUUUCAAUUUUAUCAUUGACCUUGGGAUAUCAGUAUUGGUAAAAAAAAUAAUAAUAAAAAUAAUUAAUUAAUUAAAAAAGAAAAGAAAAAGAGAGAAAAGAAAAAUGUGAAAAAUGAAAAAUGAUGAAAGUGAAAAAAAAGAAAAAUGCGAAGACAUCCAAUGUUGAAUUCCCUCUAGUGAUUGAUAAAAAAAAAAAAAAAAAAAAGAGUCAAAAUGGGGUCCCGGAUUUUAAAUCCAAAAUUGGGGCAAAUUUUGGGAAGAAGUGCGAUCUUAAGUGCAUUGUCCUUGAAAUUUUUAUUUUUUUUAGCUAUCGUUGUCAAGCCACAUUACAAGUUCAUAAAGUCCAUUGUUGACUUAUUUUUCAUGACAAUUUGAAGUGAAAAUAUUGUCUCUAAGGAAUUUACCAAUCACUCAUGAUCAUAAGGCCAUAACCUGUUUUUAUAUGUUUAGCUAUCGUUUCUACCCAUAUAUUACAAACUUAUAUUUCAAAAAAUAAGAGUGAUAAGUUAUUUGCUUUCACCAAGAUCUGAUAUUGAAUGUGUUGGAUACAAUUUGGUCACAAAAAAGAAAAAAAAAAUACAGAUCCUAACAUACCAUUCCCCUGAGCCAUCUCAAAAUCCUGAAUAAUAUCCAUUCGAUUGGUUCUAAAAGAUGAGCUCAUAAGAAAAGUGAUCCUUUUCCCUCAACACCAAUCCCAAAACAAGGAAGAGAUCUUUUUCAAUUUGGUCUUAUUUUGAGGGAUUUAUCAUGGAAUCUUCUACAUGAGUUUGAAUAUGAUAUUUAAAUUCUUCAUUUGAAAAAUAUAGUUUCUAUUCACAUUGUAUGUGAUUAUUUUGCAACUAAAAUAAGCCCAAAUCGGGGCAAAUUUUUUUUUUUUGUAAUAUCUGUGAGAUUUCACCAAAUAAGUUCAAAUUGAGGCAAAAUUUUAUAAUACAUUUGUAGGGUAUGUCCAAUAUCAAGUAUAUAUUUUUUAAAAUCUUGAUAAGUCAAUACUUUGCAUGAAUCUUAAUUGUUACAUCAUUGCUCAAAAAAAAAUUAAAAAAUUCAAGUGCUUUGAAAAAUUUCCCUUAUGCAGGUGUUUAUGGUUGAGAUCGAGGAAAAAGUGCAAUUCAAAACUUGCAAAUUUGGAGAUUAAUCACGAAUAAAAAUGGAGCAAUGAUGCUACAUUGAAAAAUGGAGGAUCGGCUAUUUGCUCAAAAGGAGUACAUACUUCAGCAGCCAACUUGAAAAAAAAAGAGAAGAAAAGAAAAAAAAAGAGAAAAGAAAAAGGGGGAAUGAAAAGAGAAAAAAAAAAGAGAGAAAACGAGGGAGGAAUAAAAUAAAAGAGAAAAGAAAAGAAAGGGAAAAUAAAAAAAGGAGAAAAAAAAGAAAGGGGGAAUGAAAGAAAAAAAAAAGAGAAUAAUAAAAAAAGGAGGAAAAAAUGGAAAAACGAAAAAAAAGAGAGAAUAAUUAAAAAAAAGGGAUUGAAAAAAAAAAAGAGUUUUUCCUUCGAUUUUGCAAAUUUUGCAAUUGAACUCUGGGAGCAUUUCAUUGGAGAUUACAUUUCUAAGUUGGGGCAACACCUUGCCCUCUUAUGCUGAAAUGGAAGUGGUAAUACAUGCCAAAACCGAGAUCCCGUCCUUGCACAUUUUGACAAAGGCUCAGGCAGAAGAAAUCAAAUGGAUUAAGGAGCACAAUGAGUUGCUGUCUCUGAUUGAUGAAAAAGAGGUUGAAUGUUUGUCAUGGACAAUGCUAUCAUCAAAGGAUGGUUCGUUAGUUAUGACAAGAAAGACAAAUCUUGCUUAUUUGAAGUGAGGGAUAAGAUUUUGAAGUAAAUUCUUCCGAUUCAAGAGGAGGUUAAAGAAAAGUUUGCUCCGACUUGGCAAGGGCCAUUUAUUGUUCAAAGAGUGCUAUCCGGAGGAACGUCUAUUCUUACAUAACUGGAUGGACAGGUCUUUCCUCUGCCAAUCAAUUCAGACAUGUGUAAUAAAUUCUUUAUCUGAUUAUGUGAUUUUUCUUUUUGAAAUACCAUCUAUGGCGGAUCAAAGGCGAGCCUUCUUCUUUUCUUUUUGAACAUCUUAUCCCUAGUUUUCCCCACUGAACCUCCAGAAUAAUUUAACCUUUCAUUUGAUAGCCCUCCUAAAGAUUGCAAACCCCAUACUGGGGUAAAUUUUUAUCUCCUAUUUGUCAUGAAAAAAAGAAAAAAAGAAGUCAAAAGUCAAACUGGGGCAAUUUUUUCGGUUUUAAUACCCUCAUACUGGGGCAAAUAUUGAUAGAAUGCGGUCUUAGGGUUUUUGAAACCUCUUUGAAGAUUUUGCUUUAAAGCCUUAACACUUUUUCUACACCUCACAUGACCCCAUAAUAAAAAUCAUAAAGUCUCGACCUCCGCUUUAGUGGUAUUUCUAAUAAAAAUCACUUAAUCAAAUGGCAAUUGAGGUCAGUACACCUUCACCAUUUUUACAUGGGAAGGGUUGUCGCGCUGAUGCCACCCUUUCUUUAAAUACAUUUCUGAGUUGAUAAAUGUCGUUAACAAGAUUUGUUCAUUAGGUGAAAACCUGAAAGGGUGUCUUCAAAAGAAUGAAAAAAAAAAAAAGAAAAAGGGAUUGAAAAAAAAAAGAAAAGAAAAAAAAGAGAAGGAUGAAAAAGAAAAAAAAGAAGAAAAUGAAAACAAAAUAAAAUAAAAAGGUGUGACCUUUGCGAAAAUCCGAAAGGUUAAGGUCAUCAAUGUGAGAUUUUGGAGCACAAGAGAAUCAUGAACGAAAAGCGGGUUGCUGACACUUGAGAUACUGGCCAUUCAUUCAGAUCUGGUCAUUAGAAAAGUUGAUUUGUGGUACAAAGUGAGGUAUGGCUGACUGAUGCUGGAAAAUUGAGAAGAUUCAAAACAAGUUGCAACACAACUCUUGAGGAGCAAUUUUGACAUCGAAAGAUCAUACUUGCGUGGUUCUCAGGGCCAAAAGGAGCACAAGGAAUCACAUGGUGUUGGUAUCAUAUGAUCACUCGUUUUUCUUUUUCAAAAGCAUGAAAAAUGUGGCUAAUUGAUUGAAAUAUUGAUGCUUCCCAAAAUUAGCCGUCAAAUGUGGUUCUUGAGCUGGGUGGUAUAAUUGUAUGCCCGUCGCUCCUACAUGGCGCGACGGGCAGCCAAAUUUUUUUUUUUAAAGUUCUUCUGGCCGUCGCGCCAUGUUGGAGCGACGGUCAGAGGUGUCAGAAAUUUCUGGCUGUCGCGCCAUGUUGGAGCGACGGUCAGAGGUGUCAGACAUUUCUGACCGUCGCUCCAACAUGGCGCGACGGUCGGGAAUUUUUUUUUUUUUUAAAUCCUCUGACCGUCGGUCCAACGUGGCGCGACGGUCAGAAAUGUUUUUUUUUUAAAAAAAUCCUCUCAGUAAAAAAAGAAAAUUUUUUGUUAGGGUUACACUUACGGUAAGGGUUAGGGUUAGGGUUUACGUUACAAAUAAUUUAGAAUUUGUUUUAAUAAAAAAUCCUUCAACUCAGUGAUUUAGAAAUGUUUUUUUUUUAAAUCUUUGUCCAAUUCAUUUGGAAAUUUCUCAAAAAUUUUUCUGUAAAAAUUAUUUAAAAUGAAAAGUUUUAAAACAAUGCUUUAGUUUGACAAAAUUUUAAAAACAAGUAUUUUAAAGGAGAUUAGAUUUAAAAAUUUUGAUCCAUUUGUUAAAGGAUUUAGGCAAUUCUUAAAGAAUUAAUGUUUACCAUUUUAUCAAGUUUAAAUUAUAUAACAUGCGUAACUGUUAUGAUUUGUUAAAUUUAAAAAUUAAUUUAAUAAUAUGAUUUAAAUUGAAGUGAUUGCGUAAUGGAUAAAAGUAUUGCUUAAUAUUAUUAUGAUUUGUUAAUUUUAACUUUAUUAUGUAUCAUGCACACAGAAUGUUAAAGGAACCAUAAUUGUAUAAAAAAAUGAAAAAUUAUAAUAUGAAUUACGAUUUAUAUAUUUGAAUUUUCAUAUAAAAUGUAAUGGUAUAAAAAUAUUAAUAACAUAUUUGUAGAAAUGAAGAAUUUUUUGCGUUUCAUUAUUUGAUAUACGAUAAUUAGUUUUAAUAAUUUAAUCUAUUAAAAUAGCUAUAAAAUGACUAGUAUUUAUUUGUUUUGUAGGUAUUAUCGUAUAGGGACCCUUCUAUCCAAUUAUAGGGUUUAAUAAAAUAACUUGUACUUCUUUAUUUUGAAAAUAUUUAACGUUAUUCAAAUUAAAAGUGAUUGGAUUAAACAGAAAAAGUAGACAACAAAAUUAAAUUAAAUGUCAUGUGAAAUGCAUUAAAUUAAAUGGAUGAGAUAUAAAAUAUCGUCGAAGACAAAAUAAUAUCAAUGCCUCGCAGUUUUCUUGCCUUUACCUUUAGCCUUGCCCUUAGCCUUGCCCUUAUCCUUCUCCUGAGAUAUCGUCGGGGGACAACAAUAUCUAGUAGCAAGCCUUCUCUGACGAUUACGUUGCACUCGUUCUCCGAUAACUAGAGUAGGAACUUGUGGAACAGCAGUAGAUGGGCCAUAAUCUUCAUCUGCGUUAUCAGAGACAAGGGUAUCCUCGCCUGUCGACUCAGCUGUCCCAUCACUGUCAUCAGUGUCUUUGGAACGAUAGUCGUUAAAAUUUCCUGGAACAGUAUGUCCUGACAUGCCCAUUGGUUGGGUAUGAGUAGGCAUGAACAUAGUCUGACCAAGAGUGCAAUAAUCCGGAAGAUCUACAGUAGUAGAACCACCUCCCGUGGCACCAAGCAAAUCAUUUAUUUGGCUAAAGUCUGCAUCUAAGGAACCCCCAGAUGUAGUGGCAUCGUACCCAAAUACAGGUAUAUAUGGCGAAGGCGUGAAUGGUGAACCAAACGCAGGUAUGUGUGGGGAAGGAGUGAAUUGUGUACCAUAAAUAGGAAAGUGAGUGAAUGGUGUAAACUGUGGCAAAGUCGAAACCGGUGUAUGUAGUGAUGUAGAAAAAUGUGUACCGGUCGACCUAGUGCAAUUUUGAGGGUCCACUUCAGGGUCACGAUGCUCUGUCUCGUUGUUGUCCUCAUCAUGCAAGCCAUGCCUAUGUCGUCUAACUCCACUGGUAGAUGCUCGAGCUUGACGAGGGACAUGUCCAAUUGGCCUCUCAUAAGGAACGUGCUGACACUGUGUUUGGGUCUUAAAUGGGUCCCAAUCACCAAUUUUCAUACGAUCGUAUUGUUGAAGGUGCUGCAUAGACCCAAAUGCACCAUCCAUGAUCGUCAAAAGACGCGGAUCAAGAGCAUAUCGUUGCUCUUCAACAUUGAGGGCUUCAUGCGAUUGAUGUCCAAUGCGCUGCAUGGUAUCCAUCUGAUAUAAAGAAAAUAGACAAAUUAAUAUAGUGUACAAGAUUGACUAAGAAAUGAUAGCACAAAACAUACAUAGUGACGGAGUAAAAAUUGUAGGAGUAGUAAUUACCAGAAAUUCAAGUUGUCCUGAUACCCCGUAGAGCAUGUGCCCGGACUGCGUCUGCUGAUGGAUAGGAGAGGUAAUGUACAAGAUGGUGUGACGGUGGUACCAUCUGAGAUACUCUUCUGAAGGUCGAAAUGUAUCUGUAGGCUGUCCCGGGACCACAGCUUCGUAGCGUCGAUCCCAAUAAGUGCAGUAAUUCCUAUGAAACUGAGCCCAAUUUCUUCCAGGAAAACCAGCUAGACCAAGUUGGUGCAAACCCUUUUGAUCAGUGUCAAUUUCUUCAGGAAUUUUUUGUAACAUGCCGAACUGACGCAUCACCCGUUCUGGACAAUGAAACUCAACUAUGUGCCAAAAUAUCAACGGGACCUUUGCUCGCCAUAUACGCUCUCCCCGUCUGCAAUACGCGGGUAGAGAUGGCAGUAUGUCACCACUAUAUGGCAUCCAGAUGAACUGAUAGAACAGGAAAAAGAUAUACUCAAUCCUCAUUUGCUUUGAAUAGAAAUUCAAAAAAAUGUAAAUAAUAAUUAUCCACAAAAUAAUUACAUACCUGAUCCAUUCUUAGUAACCCUAUCUGCUCUCGAUAAUACAAAACAGGCCGACCAGGAGGCUCAUAAUCUAAACGAUCAUCUGCCCAUCUCCCACCUCUUGGGUAAUCUCCAACCUCAUAUCGAGGAUAUAUAUCAGGACGAAUAAGUGGGAUUCGCUCCCACGCCCAAAGCUACUCAAUAUCAAGGUAAUUUUCAGUGAAUAAGAUGUGUGUUUAAGCAAAAAUAAUGUAUGUAAUAUAUUUUUAUUUACCUGUAGUAAUAAGUAAGGCCCACCAGUACUCUUAGUUUCUGCUCGAGAAGCAAUACACAUCCGCGAGUAUAAACAGGCCAACACCGCACUUCCCCAACUGUAUUCGCCCAUGGCCUCCAAGUCUUGUACAUAAUCGAGCCAAUUUGUACUAACAACAUUGCCCGUGGUAUCUGCAAAUAGUAGGCCUCCCAAUAGAAUCAGUAUGUACAUCCGAGCAUAUUGACGAACUAUCUCCUCAGAGGCAUCGGGCUCCAAUGCUACCCGUAAUCGUGCCUUUAUGAAUGACAUCUUCAGUCGGCCAUCUCGAAAAUGCCUAUUCUCUGGCCAAAUUCCUAAAAGAUCAGAAACCAUUUGUUGGCGUUGUAAGGGACUCCGUCUAAUAUGAUUUAAUGUAACAGGAAGGCCAUCAACACGCAGGCCCCACAACACCUCAACAUCCUGCAAGGUGAUGGUAGCCUCGCUCAUAAUAGGGAGAUGAAAAGUGUGUGUCUCUUGUCUCCAACGCUCAACAAGUGCAGUAAUCAAUCCAUGAUCCACAUGAACGUAACCGGCUCUACGUACCCCGCCAAAUCCAGCCCUAUCGAUGUAAUCAGAUACUCGAGGGUCUAUAUGCAUAAAGGGUUUAAAAAAUUCUUUGUCACAUCUUCUGACAUCUAGGUCACAAUAUGCGCCAUGAAAUACAGCAGCAGACCUGUGGUGUGGCUGUAAAUAUAAUAUAGAAGGGUCAAUCGGCCCUUGACUCGGGGGUUGCACACUUGUCCAAUUAUCCAUGGACAAUUCUGCCUGCAACUAAAUUAUUAUUAGUCGAAUUAAGCGUGCAUUCUUAAAAAUAUAUUCCAAAAUACAUAAAUGCCACUAAAAAACAACAAGAGAAAAAUAGCAUAUACAACAUAACAGAAAAAAGCAACAAGAGAAAAAUAGCAUAUACAACAUAACAGAACAUUAAUAUUCAUAACAGAAGAAUGCAUUUCAUUUAAAUGUUCAGAAAGUACACAAAUAUGGGUGGGUUUAUUUCACGACAAAUUAAUCCUAAUAUUCUAUUGAUGAAAGUAACCAGAAUAUGGGUAGUUAGGUGCAGUGUGUCCAGGUUGUAAACAGUUACUACACCGACGUGGAGCAUCAGGACACCUUCGAUCCAUUUCAUUCAGGAUUCUAGCCGUUCUCAAAGGCCCCGGAGUCUUUUGUUUCAAACGAUCAUCUAGGAUAUGCAAUCGUAAAUCUGCUGUCGACCAAUAUUUUGUGUCCCUAAGCGGAUAAAAAUGGCCUGCAAAUGUAGACUGGUAUGCAGAAAAUGUGUAUUCCGGCGCCACAAGAGUCAUCGGAUUAAUUCUGGACCUAAAGCAAGCUGCGAACACAUGCGAACACGGAAAUCGUAAUUCCCUCCAUUUUCCACACGUGCACGUUUGAUUUGUAAGGUCAACAGUUUUCGCGUUGCCACCCCGAUGACUUUGUCGAUGAGCAGUAGUAAUACAAAACACUCCCCUAACGGGAUCAUACACUCUAACGGAGUGUGCUCGCCCAUUUUCUUCAUUAGCCAAAUAUUUUUUCCAACUUUUUUUUGGGAGUGGGUACACCUGAUCCUUUGUGAUCUUUAGGUUCUCGACAAAUAGAUCAACUGUCUGAUUCAGUGUAAACCGAAUACAAGCUGUGCUCGGCAAUAUCCGAGCAUCCCUCAUUAAGUUGUUAAAACAUUCGGCCAUAUUUGUAGAUGUGUGUCCCCACCGAUAGCCCCCAUCUUUGCAUAAGGCCCACUGUACGGGUCUAACUGAACCUCCUGUCAACCAUGCAUAUGCCUCUGCAUUUAAUGUGAAUAUUUGUUGCAUGUAUUCCUCGUACUUUCGAGGUUGAUUUGCUGAUCCAGCAGCCCACACAAGCUCUUUAAGCCUACGCAUUGGUGAUUAUAAAAAGCGUUAAAAGUAUUUCAUUUCCUAUGAACAAAAUUAAGCCCUAAACAAGUUGAAAAAUAAUGUUACCUUUGAUUCUUGAAUUUCUGGGUAAAAUUGCUCCGCACAUGAACCAAGCAAAAUCGAUGAACUGCUAGUGGUUCUUUCCAUUCUGGGAGCGUCCUCAUUGCGUUAAUUAUUCCGUGGUGGCGAUCUGAAAUUACGCAUAUAUUUUGAAUAUCACCACACACCUGAAUACGCAAUAGUCUCAUGAACCAACUCCAACUGCGAUUAUUCUCCUCAUCUACUAAUGCGAAAGCCAGAGGAAAUAAAUGAUUGUCAGCAUCGAAAGCAACAGCAGUUAGUAUCUUUCCACGGUACGGGCCUUUAAGAAAUGUACCAUCCACACAAAUGACGGGUUUUAAAUGACGAAAUCCUUCAAUGGCAGGAGCAAAUGCCCAAAAGAUAUAGUCAAAUAUCGGACUGCUCGAAAUACUCAGUGGAUGAUGAUCCCACACAACCACCGUACCCGGAUUGGUAUAUUGUAAUUCCUGGACAUACGUUGGGAGCUGUGCAACGGACGUAGGCCAAUCGCCAUAAACAAUAUCGAUAGCCCUACGCCUGCCAUACCAGGUUUUCUUGUAUGAAAUGUCAACGUGAAAUUCUUUUUUCACUGAUGUUUGUAUUUCUUUGAUCCUAUACACUGGCCCAUUCAUUAUGUGGGGGAUAAUGUGCUCAACUAUUAUGUCGCCACUCAGUUGCCUAUGAUCGUUGUUACCACAUACACGGACACAUGUAUGCUUUUCAGCAAGUGUAACGAUCAUCCACAUCUUGUGAGAUUUCCGUAGGGUUGUCCUAAGUUGCCAAUUGCAUGAAGGUACAGAGGUGCGAGCCCGACAUCUGACAUACCAAGUUGUGGGAGUGCUUUCACGGACUUUAAACUCCAUAUUUUCCUUUAUAGACCACAAUUUAACUGCUCGUUUUACAUGGUCUUUGGUUUCAAAUAGCUGGCCAAGCUCUAACUCUUUCGUGCGUUCAUUCCACAAUUUUAGCUUCUCAACCCCACAUGCAUCCAGUGGAUCAAACGUUAAUGCAGCAUCAACACCGGCUUUAUAUCGCAGUUGUGGUCCUUCAUCAAAGGUCCAUUGAGUAUUAUGAUCCUGAUGAUCCCCUGUAUGGGGAAAUGAACCAUACACAGGGUUGUCAUCAUCGGAAUCAUCAUCUGGUUCGGGUUCGGAGUCAACAUCAACAUCAGCAUCAACAUCAACAAAUUCAAUGUCGUUAUUUUCCCCGAAUCCCCUAACUGUACACGUAUCAAUGUCCACACCAUAACUUAUAAUGGGUUCCGUGUCCAUUACUGGGUGACUACUACUGGGACGAUUAGCCUCCAUGCGGCGUCCAUUACCCUUUCUCCUAGAUCUUCGAGCCGAUCGAACAUUUUCACAAUCUACUUAGGUCAAUUGACUCUCAUAUAAGCCAAUUGUCCCUACCACAUCCAUAUGUUCCGAUCCAUAUAUGCUUGGAUCUUGAUUACCAUGCAAACUUGUAAUAGGCAAAUUUUGCAUAUCAUCAUGUUUGAAAUUUAGAAUCGAUUCAACCUCGAUAUAUAUCUCUGUCCCAUGAUCACUAUUAGCUUUCAAAAAAUACAUUCCAUCAACUCCAUUAUCAUCUACCAAGGGCGUGGCACCGAACACACCAUUUUGCAUGCAAUUCCGAAAUAUCAAGUUAAUUUUAUGAGUAUUUCGGUUUAACUCCAUCAUAUUAUAUACAAUGUCCACCAAUCCAUCAAAAUUCACCCUUUCUGUGAGGAACAUGACCUUUUUGGGCAACGGUGGAUCAUAUGAUAUUGACCCGCCAGCAUACACAAUUUUUCCUCCCCAAUAGAAUUGCAUCAUCAGACAAUUACCGCUUGACAUGUUUCACCUAAUCUACUAAAGACGUUAAUAUAAUAUAUGGAGUAAAUUAUAUAAUAAAAAUGGAGUAAAUUAUAUAAUUUAAUAUUAUUUUAACAUAAUUAUUAUACCUAAUCAGUGCAUAGAAUUUACAACUUUUUGUAUUUUUAUUUAAAUUACGUAAGCAGUCGAGUGAUAUAUCUAUGUUAAGUUCAACCCUAAUUAACAUAUUUAUGUUAAGUUAAUUACGUUUAAAACUAAUUAAUAUAUUUGUAUUACGAACCAGUUCAACAGCAUGUAUUUAACAUGCUACAACACUAAUAUGGAGUCUAAAAGUUUAUUGAUAAAUUAAUCAUAAAAAAUUUCUCUCCAAAUAAUUUAAAAUAUUAAGAUAUAUUUGUAACUAUAAAUAGUUUUGUAAAAUAUCUACACUAAUUACCUUUAAUUCGAUAUACAUGUAAUAUUAAAAAAAUUAAUAGCAUCUAUUAACAUAUCCAUAUGUCUGCACCUAUUGUUUAAAGUAUUAAUCACGUGAUAAAACUAUAUUAAUUUAUUGUUAACUUUAAUCAUGUGUUAAAAGUAUAUUAAUUGGUAACAACACUUAAAUUUAUCCUUUUUUAAUAGGAUGAUUAGUGAUAUGGUUAAUUAAUAUCUAAUCAAAUAAUUUACCUUACUAAUUAAUUAAACUAAUCACUAACUAACUACUCUACUGGGUUAUCACAUAUUCUUCCACAUAACUAGUAUUAUACAAUUCAUUAAUACUACAUUCAUUAAUUUCAACUAAUCACCAUGCUACAACAAAAAAAAUACUCUAAUUUACCAUGUCAAUUAAAAAAAACUAAUACGAAAUAAAAUAUAAACAAUGUCAUGUCAUAUUUAGAUUUCACAAAUAAUAUAUAAUAUAACACAAAAAUAGAAUUCACAUUAAAACAUAACAAACAAUAUUAUACAAUUAAUAAUCAUGAAUGAUAUGUUCCAAAUUAUAGUAAACAAUAUUUAUGAAUAAUAAUUAAAAAAAUAGAUAAGUAUUUUACUUACUUGAUUAUUGUUGUUUUUCCCUAGUCAAUGAUGGAGUUUCUGCGAGAAUUUCGUCUGUCGAGACUUGCAAACACGACUGUUCAAAUCAAACGCCCUCUACUGACCGAAUCCCAAGCUCUCUAUCUCCGUUCAAAUAUUAUAGCUUCAGACUUCACUGGAGGAGCUCCUUCAGAAUUCCUUCAGAAUGUAGCUAAGUUUCAAGGAUCUCUCUCUCCGUCCAAAUAUUGUUUGUAACUUCAAACAAUAUUUAUUUCACUUCACACACCCAAGCUUGAACAGAAUGCAGAGGCUUUACCGACAUGAGAAAUGGAGAUGCGGAGCUCCGUUUAUGAUUAGAGGGAAGAGGGAGAAACGAAAGUCUCAGCAAAAAAAAGAUACGACUGAAGUUGUGCUUAUGGAAAUGGAAUUGGGAGUUGCUCUGAAGAACAAUUUAUAAGCGAAGGAAUUGUGCAUUUCUCUAGCCCGUUGCUCCAUGUUGAAGUGACUAAAGUGUCAUUGAGAAAUAAAACAAAAGCUGUCUACGCCUGUUCCUGACACAAAACAAGCCAAAAAAAUAAAGCUGCAGUCCCAAGCGGUCAAAGGCUGCAGGCUUCUGCCCAAUAAAUUUUGUAUACGUCUGGCAGAUGUCCUGCAGGACAUGUCUACAAGGAGAGGCCAUACUAAAUGAGGACAAUCAAUAAUCGAGUCCAUUUGUUUGUUUAUUGCAUGCAUCAACCUAACAAUGAUGAACGAAUGGCAACUUACACAGGUUUCACGGAAAGGUUUCACGUGAAAAAAGCUAUCAAUAAAGCCACGGUCAAAGGUUAUAGAUGCUUGAGAAAAUUUGUUUUUUCAAAAUAAGGAGGAGGAUUUAAAAAAAUAAAUAAAUAAAUUCCCGACCGUCGCGCCAUGUUGGAGCGACGGUCAGAAAUUUCUGACACCUCUGACCGUCGUUCCAACAUGGCGCGACGGCCAGAAGAACUUUAAAAAAAAAAAAUUUGGCUGCCCGUCGCGCCAUGUAGGAGCGACGGGCAUACAAUUAUACCACCCAGCUCAAGAACCACAUUUGACGGCUAAUUUUGGGAAGCAUCAAUAUUUCAAUCAAUUCGCCGAAAAAUGUGGCCUUCGUUAAAUAUGAUUUACACUGGGGCAAAUAUCAAAAGGAGUGAGCUCCAAUUUUGGUAAUGCAUUCUAAAUCGGUUUUAUGAAAGGAAAAAGUUAAAAAAAAAAGAAAAAGAAAAAGAGUCUUUUAAAAUCGAGAUGAUAGUGACAUAUGUAUAUACCUCUCGAAUCUCUUGAAGGGAGAACUGUCAUUGGUAUUCUUCUAGUUUUAAAAUUCGUCACUUUGGAUUUUUUCAAAAACAAAAAAAAAAAACAAAAAACAAAAACAAAAAAAAAAAGUGUGUUUCUUUCAUUUCUUCUAAAGGUAUAAAAAAAAAAAAAGAUAGCAAAUCCACCAACUUGAGCAACAUGCAUUUUAAUCUUUUAGUUUGAUAGUAUUGGACUUGCGUUUUCAUUUCUUUCAGUAUUUCAUUGGACCCCGGUCUAUCCCACCAAUCUGUUAUUUCAAAAAGAAAAAUUCAAAAAAACAAAAAAACAAAAAAAUCAAAUAAAAAAAAUUCAAUUAAAAAAAAAUAAAAAAAAUCAGAAGAUCAAAUUUAAUUUCCUGUUGGUGAGUCUCAGCGUCCACCGCGCACCCUUCUAUCCCCUUAUUGACAAUUUAAAUUUCUGUUGGUGAGUCUCAGCGUCCACCGCGCACCCUUCUACCUCCCCUUCUUGACAAUUUAAUUUCCUGUUGGAGCGUAAUCGCUUCCCUCCGCGCAUCUUUUUCUAAAAGACCAAUUAAAUUUUCUGUUGGAGUGUAAUCGCGUCCCUCCGCGCAUCAAUUUAAUUUCCUGUUGGUGAGUCUCAGCGGCCAUCGCGCACCCUUCUAUCUCCCAUUCUUGACAAAUUUAAAUUCCUGUUGGAGCGUAAUCGCGUCCCUUCGCGCAUCAAUUUAAUUUUCUGUUGGAGCGUAAUCGCGUCCCUCUGCGCAUCAAUUUAAUUUCCUGUUGGUGAGUCUCAGCGUCCACCGCGCACCCUUCUACCUCCCCUUCUUGACAAUUUAAUUUCCUGUUUGUGAGUCUCAGCGUCCACCGCGCACCCUUCUACCUCCCAUUAUUGACAAAUUUAAUUUUCUGUUGGAGUGUAAUCGCGUCCCUCCGCGCAUCAAUUUAAUUUCCUAUUGAUGAGUCUCAGCGUCCACCGCGCACCCUUCUAUCCCCCUUCAUGACAAAUUUAAUUUCCUGUUGGUGAGUCUCAGCGUCCACCGCGCACCCUUCUAUCUCUCCUUCUUGACAAUUUAAUUUUCUGUUGGAGCGUAAUCUCGUCCCUCCGCGCAUCUUUUUCUAAAAGACAAAUUUAAUUUUCUGUUGGAACGUAACCGCGUCCCUCCGCGCAUCUUUUUCUAGUUAUGACAAGUUACUUUUCUUGACUGUUUUGACUAAUAAUUGUGCUUUUUCAUUCAUUUUGUGUUUCAUGUUUAGAAGUUCUGAGAGUUCAGACUUUUUCGACUUUGCAAAGACCACAGUUGGUCAAUGCACUUGUUUCAUUGUGGUUCAUUUGCAUUGGAACUACGUUUGACCUGAUUCCCAUGGUGGGAUACGUAGGCAACUCUACAUGGGUUCGGUCACAUUUUCUGCAAUGUUAUUGCAUCAUUUUGUUCAAUAAUUUCAACCAAGUGUUGGCUUGUUUAUUUUAGCUCAGGAGCAGCUAGAAGAGACAGGUAAGUAAUUUGGAGUCUACAUCUUUGUCUUAAGUUUCUUUGAAACUCUAGACAAAGAGGGGCAAGCUGUAGACACCAAAUUUUUGUCAAUUUUUAAUAUUUUUCUGAAAUUUUAUCUAUUUGAUAAGUUAUUAUUAUUAUCAUUUUUUUAAUACAUAUUAAUGUAUGAUUUUCUCAUUUUUGUAGGUUUGUUUUUGGAAAAAGAAAAAAAAACACAAAACAAAAGAGAAAAAUCAAGAAAUAAAAAAUCACUUUCAUCAUUUUCCCUACCAAAACAACUAUUAACCUAUUCCACACUCAAUUGCCAUGGACCUUUCUUUUCAUUAGCUAAGAAAUCAUCAUUUUGGCAAAUCCAACACACAAGCUCCACUUUGGCUACAAGUCCCUCUCGGUUCUCUGCUCUCUAGACAGAGAGACAAGAAAAAAAUAAAGGCACUCUAGCUCCCAGACAACUCUCGGCCCUCUCCCUCGCAGAACAAGAAAAAAACACACAGAAAAAAAAAGAGAAGGGAGGCACUCGGCUCUCUCUAGUUUCAGGAGACCAAAAAGACAAGCCACAAAAAGAAAAAAAAAAAGCACUCCAAUCCCUCUGGGCUCACUUGGCAGAGACAGAAAAAAAAAAAAGAAACGCACGAGAGAAGAGGAAGGGAAGCUCUCGGAAUUUUGCAGCCUGCCCCCUCACUCUCCCUCUCUCGGACUUGGGCGGAGGAAAGAAACAGAACAAAAAAAAAAAUCUUCCCCAACUCCUCUCGGUUCCAUCUCAACCUCACACACACCUACAUUGAGGUAAUUUUUUUAGUUUUUGUCUAGCACAUUAAAUCAAUGCUUCAUUGUUUAGUUUUCUUUCAUUUCUGCUGGCUGCCUUGUAUUGUUGUUGUUGCAAUGCUGAAAAUUGGGAAAUGGCAUGAACUAGACGAAGGAAAAGGAAAUGUUUCUCAUGCAUGCAUAUUAACCGUUUGAAAAAAUGCCAAAAUGACCAACGAAUUAAAAGGCUGAAUAUUGUGCAUGUUGUUGUCAAAACGGAUGACCUUUAGCUAGCACCAGGCCUGGAAAUGUGUGCUUAUCUAAAUUUUUUUGGAGUUUUGAGCUUUAAAGGCAUUAGAAUAAUUUUCUUCAUUUUUGGGGCUAUUUUGAUUUAAUGCAUCCUUUUGUUGUUGUUUACUUGUCAAACUAAGAUUAUAGUUGUAUUGUGAAAGUUAUAAGGAGGGUUUUGGCAUAAUUUUUAUGAUUUUUGGUGAAGAUUUGAGGGUUUUAAAAAAAUAAAAACUGAACUGAUUUCUUGGCAUUUGGCCACUUUUGGGUCAUUUUCUAUAAAAACUAAGUUCAAAAAUGGAACCUACGUGAAAAAUCGAGUGAGGGGGUGUAUUUUGAGAAAUUUUGGCGACCGGAAAGGUCGCCGGCGGCGGCGCCACCGGCGGCCGCCAGCUGAAGCUUCCUCAGUUGGCCGAAGAAGAAGGAAGAAGAAACGAUUGGGGAAGGAAGAAAAGAAGGAAAGAAAAGAAAGAAAAAAGAAGAAGAAAAUGGUUUGGGCUAAGUUUUGUGGGUUUGUGGUUAUUUUUGGUUGGAUUUUGAAAAUGGGUUUUGGUUUAUUUCUUUUGGGUUUCGGUUGGGCUUGAGGGAUAAAAAGGCAGGCUGGCCUGUGUGUUUGGCUUGGACUUUCGGCUGGGCUUAGGUAGUGUUCGGCCCAAAUAAAUAAAAUGAUGGCCCAGUAGCCUGUUUUCUUAAGAAGAUCAGAAACCGAUUUUUUCACUUUAGCCCCUUAUCUUUGGAGUAGUUUCACUUCGGCCCAGAACAUUUUAAAUUUGUUUCACUUAGGUCCUUAAAUUAAUUUCACUUUGGUCCUUAAAUUUUAUCUUUCAUUUAAUUUUGACCUCUAAACUUUGGAAAAUUAUAAUUUUUGUCCCCAAAAGUUUUUCAAUUUUUACAAUUCAGCCCCUGAUGAAUUUUGACUCUCUUUAUUAUGAUUGUUUCUUUUCUUUAAUAGCUAAUUAUGUUACUUUUGAAUAUGUUCAACUUGUAAUUUUUAGAUAUUCUUAAAUUUAUUUACGUUUGACAUAUUGAGGUGAAUUUUCAUUAUUAUUAGUUUUUCAAUUAAAUUGGUGCCAUGAUUCUUUUGUUCAUUUUGAGUAUAAAUAGGGCAAUUUGACUCCGUUUAGUCACCACUUCAAAAGGGAGGUACCCCAUUAUUAUUAUUUCAAUGUCAAUUACGUACUCUUAUGUGCUCCUACGUGUUCUUAUGUGUUUAUAUAUUUUUAUAUGCUUUGUUUGUUUGAUUUGAAUGUUCAUUUAAAUUUUCUUAUGUUUGUUUAGUUAAUUUUAUAAUUAUUUGAGAGGCACUUAAAUACCUCAAAAAUAUAAUAGAUAAGAUAAUUAGAUUUGUUUUAUUUUAUUUCCCCUUUUAGAUUGUAGUUAGGCGCUCCCCGAUAUAAUAGAUAGGUUGUGUGCUUAUGUGGCUUAUGUGUUACGUGCCUUACCCGCUUUUCUUAGGAUUUUUGCAUCUAGAUAUUAUGCUUAUGUGUUUACGUGCUACGUGCUCUUAUGUGUUUAUUUGUUUUAAUCUAUGUUUACUUGUCUUAUUAUAUAUUAAAAAUGCAUGACGUCACCACACUAGUCCAACGCUAGUUGUGGUUUCUCCCUCCGUUUAUUUGCUAGUCCAACGUUAGUAAGGAUUUUUAGAAAUGGGCUAGUCCAACGCUAGACCAUUUAGGUUGUCUUGCGCUGGAUUCAUCUUUGUGUGCUAUUCACUACGUUUCCAUGCAUGUUUUUAUUUUUAGGAUCUUUUCUCAUUUGUAUGAUAUUCCCUAUUAUAUUAUCCCUUACCCGCUAUAGGUGCUAAUCAUGCCAUUUAGAAUUGCAUCUCAUUUAAGCUAGUUCAUUUGCUUGUUCAUGUUAGGAUAAUUUUUUUUCAAACAUGGAAAAUGGGUAAUUAUAACUUUUUAGUUUAAAUACCCUACUAAUCCAUGUAUAAGAAAAUUAUGUCACGAGUUUUUGCCUCCCGUAUCUUUUAUGUUGCAUUCCCUUUUUCUUUGAUCACUUAUAUAUGUAUAUAAUUUAAUUUCUUUUCUUUUAUUUUAAUUUCAUCAUUCGCAUAUUCGUGACACAUUCAAGGAAUCAUUGUGGCCUUCGCAAUUAAUGCCAUUGGUUCGAUUAAAUCCUUGAAUGGAUAUUUUGACCCUUUCGAUAUUUUAUAAAUUUAGAUUUGCAUCCAUGUAGGAAACAUCCAAAUAUGAUAAAACUAAUGGUUAGAUUAGAAAAAAUUUUGACUAAACCUCGCAACUAGUUUCGACUAGGUUGAAAGGGUGCCUUAGGUUUGAGUCAAUUAAACCUUUGCCUUCCCUUUCUUCAACCGUGACUCCUGAACCUAUUUUCUUUUGUUUUAAAAAACCUGGGGUUGUCAAAAAGGGUUUUGAUUUAUUUUAUUUUUGUCAAAAAAAUAUUUUUUUGGCUGACUUGGUACACCAAAAUUCCAUACUAAGUGGCGACUCCUAUUUUUUCUUAAAAACCCUUUUAGACUAAAUUUUGGACCCAAAUUGUCGCAUUCUUUUUAAGUCCCAUUCUAGGUCCUUUUUCAUUUAUUAUUAUUAAAUCACAUCUUUUUAUAAACUCUUUCUUUUUUCCAUCGCGAAAAAUGGGGCGCGACAUUAUUCAUUUUUAAAAUAAUUAUUUUUUUUUAUUUUUUAGACUCGAGCUCAAGUUCGACUCAACUCAAAUUUGAUGUUGAAUUCGAAUUCGAGUCUUAUAUUGAGAGUUCAUCGAAUUCGAGUUUGAACUCGAGUUUGGUAAAAUUGAAUUGAGAUUCAACUCAACUAACCCAAAAUGUAACUUGAAUCAAUUCGUUUGUAACCCUACUUUGGACUCUCAACAACUAUCUCUUGGAUGGUGUACUCACUUAAGCAUCGAAAUGGCUUCAAAAUUUGAUCCAUUCCCUCCUUUAUUUCUUUCCACUGUAUGAGAUUUGUGUGAUAAUUGGACCUUGAGUAUGAACGCUCAGCAUAACUCGCUAUUACAAAAUUCUUGUAAGAAAGGAUGUUAAAAAUCAUGGUGGUAAAUUAGAAUGACAUUCCAAGGAUUUCAUCAUAAUUAUAAAGCCAUUUCUUCUACCUAUUGAAACUACAAUAUGACACCCUAAAAUUUCACAUCAUACCACGGAAGCCUUUAACCCCUUGCUAAUUUUAGGCAAAUAUGUACUCUUAAUUCCAGUGCUUUAGGGUGUUCUUCAAAGCAAAGUUGGGGUUUCCAAUAAAUCUUAAAGAUCUUUAUCUUACUUAAUUGAACGAACCAUAAACUUUUGAAAUUGAUUCCAUUGUAAAAGGCUUAAUUUUUAGUAACCUAUUUUGUCAAUGGUAAAUGAGGAGGGUAUUCCCGGCUCGGCUAGAAAUAGGGUCCCGCCCUGUUUCUCUUCGUUCCGACCGCCUCGGCCUUUCGCCAUCGGGAAUUGGCUUCGGCCAGGCUAUUGCCUCGGCCAAGGCUCCCCCUCGUCAGGCCGAGGUCAAGAAUAAUGACCUGGCAACCGGAGUGGCGGAACAUGGUCUCUGACACCUCUGACACUUCUGAUAAAGCUGCUCUGACAUGCGCCGUCUGACACAACUGUCCCUGCGCACCUUUCCGCAGAGUCCAUUAAGCCACCUUGAUACACUGAUCCUGCCGGAUCUCUAGGGACCUGUGCAAGCAGUCCCUCUCUCCUAUCUGACUCCUAUAAAUACCCAACACUUCUACUGAGAAGGGGGACGACCAAAUUUCUGGUAAAGGCAUACUAGUCUUCUCUAUACUUAUCACUCCUUCUCUCCCGAACUGACUUAAGCUUCGGAGUUACACCGGAGACUUUAGUCCCUCCUAUAAUUUAAGCAGGUAACCUCAUUUGAGAUAACCACCAGGAUAAGAGGCCUUCUCCAGCUCGGGUGACCCACUCCAGCAGGACAAAAACGACCUCUUCAGUAAAACUUAAGCAUUUGUAGGUGAAAUAUCGACAUAUAUCCUAAUCCGUUCGGUGUUAAUACUAAGGCACUACCCAAGUUAAUCAUAUGGUCCUAUUCCACUUUGAUCUUAUUCAGCAAUAGAAAUCCAGAUUCAAGGAAUAACCAAUGCUCAUGUAGGAUCAAAAUUCUUGUAAUUUGAAUCUUACGUCAUUUGUAUCGAUAAUUAGUGUCAAGAAACAGAAGUAAACUGUGACAAUGCUUUAGAAAUUGAUCCUUCUUGAGUUUUGUGGGACACAUGAUGCCCGCUCCGGCUCGGCUUUGUAUCCGAGGCUGGUGUCCCCGGUGUGGAUACUAAGAUGGCAGCUUGGGAAGUUCGAUCCGUUACCUUAACCCUUAUGAAAUGAUUGAUGUGAUCCCACCGCCUGACAUCAAUCCCUACAAGGCUAUCUAACACUCCAAUUGCUAACAUAGCCAGCCUACGACCGUCUUCAACAAGGAUAGCAAUUGGAACUGGUACUCACGGACACUCAUUCCAUGGAGGGUGGGAUGGGACGGGGUGGGGCGGGGGUAAAAUUUUUCCCCAAUAAAAUAUGGGGCAAGGGACGGGGACUAUACCCUCGUCUCAUCCCCAGUUUAACUAGAAUAAUAUAUAUAUAUAUAUAUAUAUAUAUAUAUAUAUAUAUAUGUGUGUGUGUGAUAUAAUUAAUAUUAUUAGUUAUAUUAUUAUAUUUAUAAUAAAUUACUAAUUACACGUUUGACUAAUUAUACAUUUUAUAUUUAAUUAUUAAUUAAAUUUCUUAUUAAUUAUAAACAUUUUCACCUAUGAGUUGGGGCGGGGCAAGGGAUGAGGGUGACGGGGAUUGGGGCGGGGACGAGGAGUUUGUUUGGGCAAUGGUCCCUUGCUCCGUUGUCAUUCCUUAUUUCCAACACCUUAAAGACAGGUCAGACACCUCAUCGAUAAAUCUGCAUACUUUAUUACCAUUACAAAUAUGCAUCUUAGAGGUAACAAAUUCCAUUCAUACUCUUCAUUUUUCAUUUCUCGAUAUCUUAUACUUGCUAACUUAAACAUCAAAGUCACAUUGAGAAGAAGCCCUAAUCUGCGUCUUUUUUGUGUUGUAGGUGACGUGCAUUUUCCCGAGGCUCUUCGACCUCUACGGGAGAUCCGUCUUCUCCUCACACAAGUUUCUAUCAGAAAUUCCAAGUCAUUUGUACAAGUUUACUUCCUAAGGCUUACUUCUAUGCUCAAAUUGCAGCAUCCGACUCAAUUUUCUGCCUAGAAUUGGUUUUGUAUGAUCGCGCAUAUGAUGGGAAACAGUCAGUUGGUCUAGACAUUCCGAAUUCUCUUAAAUAUGAGGAACUUCCCAGCUUAUUUGAUGCUCCAUCUGGACCAUCUCCUUUCGUUUCUAACUUCCACUACAUAUUAACCUUUCAUCUUCUUGUGGAUUUGUAAUCACAUAAUUUUAUUAUGAAAAAGGUUUUGAUCAUUCGAGAUUUUGUGUGCCAAUUGCAUUCAAAUUUGUUGAACGUUUAUCUAUCGCCAUUGUUUGUAAAACCGAACAUAGAUCAUGGCAUGUGAUGGGUGUCUAAAUCACAUUCAGUUUAAUGGACUCAACCCAAAAGGUAAUUGGGUUGGGUUCAAAUUAAUGUCCUAAUCCAAAGCCCAUAGGCACAUUAAAGCCCACUUUAAGUCAUCAGAAACUGAAGGUUUAUAAACCUUUUCUCCAUGCAUUAUUGACUUCGAAAAAGUUUGAGAAUUUGAGACAUGAAACUGUUAAUAUCACUCCACUUUUUAUUAACAGCACUCCCACUAUUAUUUUUAUCAUAUAGUUUUCACUUAUUAGUUUAUAUGAUAAAACAAAUUGUAAGAGUGUCCUUAACACAAAAAAAAAAAAAAAUGAUGUGCCAUUAGCAUUUUUAUCACAUUAAUUUUUAUUAAUUUUUUUUUUUUUUUACUUAAACUGCACUAAUUAUGCCUCCUCAAAGGUCAACGGCUUUGCAUUGCUCCUUUUCUUUUCUUUGUUUUUCUUUUUUACAGUAUAUAUUGCCCCCUAUUUCCUCUUGAUACAAAUUUCUAUAAUAACCAAAGUCCCAAUACAAAGCAGAUAUAGCAAUUAAUGAUUAAAUAAAAUAGAAUGAAAAGGAAACAAAAGAUUCUAAGACGAACCACCCCAUUUAAAUUUUAUUUCUACUACAUCAAAUUAAAAACUCUACCGGUAUUAACCAACGUAAUUUAACACACAAAACCAGACCAACAUUUGUGUCUUUGUAGUUGUUUUCAAGUAUCGACUCUUCUCCAUUUCUCCAAACUAAGGCUUUUUUCGUUUAGAAUAUAUUCAAUUUUAUUUUAUAUCUUACUUAUUAGUUAUAUUAACAAUUAUUCUUGUUUAGAAGUAAGAGGUACAACUAUAGAAGACCUAAAGAAAAUUAUUCAUUUUUAUCUAAUUAGCUUUUUAUUCAUAUGGUUUUGUUAGAUUCCAUUUUGAUUUGGGUAUCAUUGUUAAGUUUUUACCUAAUUGUUCAUUGCCAUUACUUAACUUCCUAGAAUAUUUAAUUUUUAGUAUUCCAUUUUUUUGCAUUGUCUAUUAUUGUUUAAGCAUUUAAAUGCUACUUAUUUUUCACAUGAAUUUUAACCUCAAAUUUGUCAUACUUUAUUCAUUACAAUGUUUUAUAUUUUUUUGUAUUUGAUUGUUUGCUUCAUCUAAACUAAAGUCUUAAUUUUGUCCCUCAUCCUAGCGUGUGAGUCAUCCAUAGUUGUUAGUAUGAAAAAAAAAAUCGCUAUACUAUUAUUGCAUAAAAUAUUAAUCUUAUUACUAUUUAACUAACAUGUGAGUCAUUGUAUAUAGAUCUUCCAAAAGUUGUACAUACUCUCUUGUCAUCAUCUCUUUCAGUUAGGGAUAGCAAUAGGGUUUGAUGGGGAGGGGGGAAAUGCUUGGCGGAGGUGGGGGCAGGGGAGGAAAUCUCCCCCAACUUUAAACAAGGUGGAGAUGGAUACCCCACCCUGCCUCUCGUCUUAAUUUAAUAUUAUAUAUAUAUAUAUGAAUAUAUAAUACAUAAUAUAAAUAAUUAUAUAUAUAUAUGAAUGUGAAAUGGAUGAUAUGAAAUUUUCUUGUGCUAACAUAAUAUAAUUUUUGUGAUAAAAAUGAUAAUUUUGCUAUGUUAGUUUACCUUUUUUUUGUUAUGGCAUGUUGUUUGUAAAAAAUAAUGAUAAUUGAUUUAGAAUUUAUGUAAUAUCAAAUAUAGAGAAACAGAUUCACAAGGUCAAAAUAAUUUUUUAAUUUUAUCUCAUCAUCAAUUUUUCGUUAAAAAUUUAAAAGAACAAUUAAUAAAUUUAUUAUUAGUAUUGUACGUAUAUAAAAAUAAAGCCACAUAAAAAAAAUAAAAAUAGUAACAGGGCAGGACGAGGGCACCUACAGGAACAGCGGGCACGGGACGAGGGAUGGAGCAGGUUCCCUGCCCCAAACCCACACCAUUGCCAACCAGCUUUCAGUUUCUAUCAAAUUACAGACAAAUUGUUCAACAAAGCUCCCAUGUUUUUCUUGUAUUUUUUACCGCGUACAAAUUUCUUUAGGAUAAAUGUACAUGGUGGGCAGCAUUAGGACCCUCAACAGCUGUCUUUCCCAUCUUCAUCACACGCAUAUGCUUUGUUUUGUCUUGACAUUCCCUGUUGUCUUCCAUAUGAGCACUUCCCCACGUCCAAUAAUGUAUCUCAUCUCUCUCGCUUUCACUGUAUUUUCUAUCAUCCCUCACUCUCACCGUUUUAAGCCUAGACGAUACAAGUCUAGAACAAUUUCUAGACGUGAAAAUUUCUUUGUACGUGUAAUUUGUACAUCAAGUGCACAUGAAUAUCACUUGGAGCACUACUUUCUUGCAUCAAAAUGUGCUACAAAUUUUUAAAGCACAUAUAAUUUUCCAAUAGAUUCUUUCCCACCCCACUUAUAAUUUCCACAUAUUGUAGUCCAUGUGCAAUUUCUACAUUAGUAUUCAUGUGACAUGUGCUUAAGAUAGAUGGAUUUUCUCACCGGAGAAAAUGUAACACAUAACAAAAGACUUGCAUCAAUAAGUGUCAUGGUAUACUUUAUAUAACUGAUUGAGCCGUUGGUCAAAUACUGUAAUGCUUAAUUUAUUAAUAAAAUUAUCUAUCGUUUUCGGAAAAAAAAAAAAAAAAAAAGCCAAGCUGCCCUGCUAUCCUUUCUGCAGUACUAGUACCUCAUAAUAUGAUCAAUAAAAUCAUGGACACUGAUCCACAUGCCUCUCUGUUAAGUAGGUGUAUAUAGGUGUCAGUCAAAUGUAUGUGUUUAUGGUUUGAUAUGGGCCCAUUCUUGGGAAAUUAUAGAGUCAGAUGAAUGCCAACUGAAAUGGGAGCUGUGGGAUUUGAAGUCUUUUGAGUGUUGUGGUUAUGAAGAUAUUGACCAAUCAAAGCCAAUAGAAGGCCACACCAUACUCUUUACAAUUUUGAGGCACAAACGAAGCCAUGUUAUCAUUGUUGUAGUUAAGUAUAACUUGUGUACGUGUCAGAAAGCUUGUGAAUAAUACACCAACUAAUAUUAAUGUGCACAUAUGCAAAAGUUGAAAAUUAUGAAGUCUUGUUUAUUAGAAAUUUAAUGACUUGGCCUAGUUGAGCCUUGGAUGGCGAGCACCUGUGACUUGGCACUACUUUGUUGGUGAAUCGCUAAUAACACUACAUAAUAAUAAAUAGGCACUAAAUCACCAAAAUACAAACACCAGAUUAGAAGUUCGUAUAUCGUUUAUCAGUGUUUAGAUAUGUUAUUUUUUAGUGUCUAUAUCUAUUACGUUAAUGCGUGCACUUUACCGUGCGUUACCAUUACUAAAUCGGUUGAGUUUCGGUAUAUAUGUUGAGAGGGAUAUAUACACAGCGAGAGGAGGAAAAUAGAAGAGGGAAAAAGGGCACAGAUGCACAGUGGCUUUAAGGUCACAAAACUCAACCCAACUGCUGAGACUAGAAAUGAAGGCCAAUAACUUGUAUUGAAUGAUCUAUCCGAGAGCAGUCUGUUAGUUGCUCAGUAAAAAUCUAUGUACUUUUAAGGUAACAUCUCUUUUUUGGAGUAUAUGUCACAGUCGCCAUGAAACUAAUUACUAUAAAGAAAGAGACUAGAUUCAAUCAGCUAAGGUUGAUCCAAUAAAUAUGUCAGGGUCCAGUCUAAACUGAUAGGAGUGUAGUUUUCAGGUUUCCAACAAACAUAUGAACAUGUCAUUUAUUGGGUUGAGAAAAAUGAAAGGUGGAAAGGUGCAACAAGCCAUAAUAAAAGAUUCCCUUAUAUAGAACAGGUUUCCCUCCAUAAAUACAAAAUACACUACCUCUCUGCCAACAGCUUAUGACUCAAGGCCCUACUGGUUGAAUGGAUGAAACUCAUCAUACAUGGGGAAGAAGGCAAAUGUACAUCAUUGGAGUGAAGAAAAGAUGAAAGAAUAUGAAUCUUAGUCUUGGUCCAUUAUUUUAUUCCUUCAAGAAAAUCUACUUUACCUGCAUUUGUUUGCACCAGAUUUCCUGGUGAUCCAGUCUUUGGUGUCAUAAAAAAUACAAAGUUUUCUCUAAAUUCAAGGUUGAUCUUUGCUGUAUUUGUGCAACGUUUACCAAGUCCCAAUAAGCUUCUUCGUGAAAAUAUUACUUGCUACUAUUGCUAGAUUCAGUCUAGGAAGUAUAAUUCUUAAAUCAAAUCGCUAGUUGAAGUCACUGAGAUUCAUGAUUUCAUGUAAAACGAGUGGUAUUUCAUGGCAAAGAAGAAGAAGAGCUGGUUCAAUCUACUGAGGAGAAUUUUCAUUGCAGAUACAAAAUCAAGAAAGGUAAAUAAUGAGUUCAACUGCUUCUUUUAUUUGCAGAAUGUUGCAUACAUCUCAGAAGGUGCUUAAUUACAAUAUUCACAGAAGGAUGAAAAAAAAGGAUGGGCAUUUGGAGGAUUUAAGAGCAAAAGAUUAGCCUCUCUAUCAGCACCACCACCUCCAAAGAAGAGCAUACUAGGUGCACCUGAAGAAGAGAAGCAGAAUUAUGCAGAAAAUGGAACCAUUAACACUACGGCUGCAGAAAUCUCUCGUACUAAUACUCGAGAUUUCAGGCCCGGUGUCAGCCCUCGAUUGUCCACUCAAGACAAGAAAGAAUCCCAUGAAGUUUCAGCAACCAAUGUCUUUAGCCCUGCUUCACAAUCUCAUCAAUGCCAAUUGCAGAUCCAACAUCUUGCAGCUAUCAAAAUUCAAUCAGCAUUUCGCGGAUAUCUAGUGAGUUUUGUCAAACUUCUCUUUUCAAACUUCUCCACUCUGUUUCUGUAUCUGCAAAUCCAACUGCAGCACUCUUAUCAAACUUCCCAUAUCAAAAGUGAAAUCACAAGGAACCUGCAAAUUACUAGUGAAACACCAAAUUAAAUUGGGCAACAAGAAUUAUCCGAGUAUCAGUUGAAACAUUUGAACUCAUUUUAGAUGGAUGAUCAUUUUCUUUCUUUCUGACAUAACUGUUUGGAUUUUGCAGGCUAGAAAAGCUUUACGUGCACUGAAGGGACUAGUAAGGCUUCAGGCGAUAAUUCGCGGUUGGGCAGUUCGACGCCAAGCCAUUAAUACCCUCAAGUGUUUGCAAAGCAUAGUGAACAUUCAGUCAGAGUUUCGUGCCAAGAGAUGUGAUAUGGUGAAGACCACUCAGCAUAAUCAAGAAAACCAGGUGCAGGACAUGACAGAGAAGGACAUAAGGGUAAGUUAACGGUGAAUUUAGCUCUUCUUAUGUUUCAUUCCUUCGUGUUGACAAAUAAUCCAAAAGCCAAUUGGCCUUCCUCCUUUCAUUUUCUCCUACUGUACUUUUGACAAUACUGGGGCUUUAUCUCAUUAAUAACGUAAAGGUUCAAACUUUUGCCUGAUUUGCUGUAAUUUAUAGUUAACAGUGGAUCCAAUUUGAUGGAAAUGUUCUUUUGGUGUAAAAUCAAUCAAUAACCUCGCCAAAGUGAUACUGUGCUUGACUGGGUAUCAGCAGAAACUUAAGAGUCAAAAAGAAAUUUCUCUAGGUUUCACAAUAUAUAUGAACUGUUGAACAUAUAGUUGAGUAAAUCCACAAAGUUCCAUAACAUUUAGUUUGCUUUCAAUAGUUCACUAGAUCAAGUAUCAUCGUCCUUAGCAUUUCCUCAUCCAUCUACUUACGCUACUCAACCUGAACUAGAAAAAUGAAAGAACAGAUUUAUCUAUUGAGUUUGAGUUUUAAUUUAUCCUAAGAAACUUUCUUCUUGUUCCAAGUAACUAAAUUAUUUUCGUCCCCAAAUCUUAGUUAUUUUCUUGAUAUCUGCAGAUUGAUACAAAUAGCCAGAGAACGUGGGAUGAUAGUACUUUGUCGAGGGAUGAAGCAAAUGCAUCGUCCAUGAACAAGAGGGUGGCUUCAAUCAGGAGAGAAAGAAUAAAGGAAUACUGGUUAAAUCAUCGGGUUAGUUACUAAAACUUUGAAUCCUGAAAUCUUAAAAGUGUAGCUUAAUUCUACCGGCACCAGAUAGCAUAGCAUCACUGACAUGAUACUGUCUAUAUUCAGAGGUCCACUGAGUCAGAACAAAGCAAGCAAAAUGUAAAACAGAGAUACUGGCUAGAACAAUGGAUGGAUUCCCAGUUAGCUAAAAGAGAAGAUCUUCGCAAUAUAGGAACAGCGUUCCCGGUAAAUGCAAAGGCCAAAGAGGAACUAGCUGGCAGAAGACUCAGACUAAGAAUUCAGAAACAAUAUCAGAUUGAAGGAUUGGAUUCUCCUCUAAAUGUUCCAAGAAGAUCAUUUCACAGGAGGCAACGUUCCAACGGAGAUGAGGACUCUUUUGUAGGCUCUCCUUCUGUUCCAACAUACAUGGCAGCCACAGAAUCUGCUAAGGCAAAAGUUAGAUCAAUGAGCUCACCCAGGCUAAGACCAAUCUGUUUUGAUGCUUACUCUGAGAUCAAUUCUCCAUAUAAGCAUAAACUCUCUCCCAUAUCUUCCAUUAAUAGUGAGGCUACAAGCUGCAGUCAGAUCAGCAAACACUAUGGUUUCUCCCAAAGAUCUCCAUGCUUGAAAGGUAUACCUGGUCCAAUCAAGUCACAUAGAAGUCUGAAGGAGUUCAACUUGAUUGUAGAGAGUAAUAAAGAUCAACUGAAUGCCUAUGGAUGAUUCAAUUAUGCCAUCCAACUCUAUGCUAGAAGUCUAAGAACCUCAGCUUUAUUGCAGAGAGCUUAUUGCGGGUUUCAGCUCUUUUGCUUUGACAAGGAAUUGAGCUUGUAUUGCAGAUGUACUUGAAUGCCAAAAUGACACAUGAAAGGAGAUAGGAAUAUUCGAAUGAAACUCCAUAGUUUUUAAGUUGUAUUCAAUUAAAACCAAUGUUACAUGAUUACCAGAUUCCCUAUUCACAUACUAUUUCCAAUCUCGAAUUGUUAUCCACAGAAACACAGGAAUCAGGCCAGUUGUGUCACUCUUUUCCAGCUCACCCAUACCUAAAGCCUGGUCCUUAGCACGGGAGAAAUUUGAUCUUUGGGAAAAGUAAAUGUCAUUGGUGACCAUUUGGAGCCUUUAUCUCGUUACUUUAUGCACCAAAAAUUGAAAUAGAUUCAGGUCUUUAAAAUUUCUGUAGAAAAUGGCAAAUGUUAGAUUAUAGAAUCAAAUAAAAGAAUAAUAAGACUAUUUUUUUAUGGUCAUGAAACUAUCUAGUGUAACCAUUGGAAUACGAUCGAAUUAAGAAUUUGCAAGAAUAGGCGAAAUCAUGGAUAUGGAUCUCAUGAUUGAUAGGCAGAAAAACUCCUGAGGCAGCAGACACAACCCACGUAUGAAACAGAACACAGGAAUAGUUUUCUGGCUUCAGCAUUAUUAUAAGCCUGUAAAUAUAAAAUUAAGUCAUUCUGUCGCUCAUGGCCUGGUGAAUGAGAAACCAACGUGCUCUGCUGAUAUGCUCUCUGCCAGACACAAAAUACUCCUGGUUCAAAGAAGAAUUUCCUGUGCCUAUUACGGAUGAGAUUCUGAUAUAUGCCAAAUAGUACGAAAGACAUUCUUGACUCUCAACAGACUUCUUUCUUUUGGCCCAUAUAGAUAACUUUACUCCAUAUCCAGGAUAAGAAAGCACCACCAUCUACAAAUUCACAAGUCCAGAUAAAGGAUGUAUGACAAUCUACAGAUUUGUAAUAAUAUUGAAAAGAGCAGUACAACCUGUCUUUCAUCAAUUUCAAAAUACUAAACAUCAAGCUACAACUUCCUGAACUUCCUGAACUAAACAUCGAGCUACAACUUACACCCCUAGGAAAUUUUGCUUACCGUGGUUACAGUUCAGCAAAUAAUUGCCAUUUCCAGUUCCAGCUGCAAUUAGCUCAAUCACUUCCUGAGCACCUAUAAGUUAAUUUGUAUCUGAUAAUUCUACAAAAUUACAACCUUUAGCAAGCUAUAUUGAAGGCAAAACAGUUGAACUAUUACACCAAAUGGAUGCUUGAUUUUGUGUCAAAAUUCAUCUUCUUCACAAGCUUCUGCUGCAGCUAUCUCGGAAUCCAACUUAUUUAUCAGCUGCUCACUUAAAUGUUUAGAAACAGAGAUCAUGUCAAGUAUGACAGAUGGAUUUAGGCCUGCACCCCCUCGCUUUGUCAGCCCACAUAUGCGCCCUUGCCUAUUCACAGAAACAGAGACAGCUGAGCUCAUCUGAGAUUCUUCUUCCGAAGUUCCAUCCACGAUGUAGUGCUUACCAACCUGCAAAAUUUACCGUGGAAGAUAUUUGAAUUACAGAUAAUGUUAUAAUUUGGAUAACUAGUACCUGAAAAUAUUAUUCUUUCACCUUUGUCAGAGUUAUAAUGGCAGGAAUUCCACUGGUGUCAAAUUGCAAAAAUUCUUCAUCACUCAAAUCAACCUCUGGCUGCUCAUCAGAGGCAGCUGAAGCCACUUGGACUUUUGGAAGAGCUGUAUUGCUCAGAGCAGCCUAAAAAUCAAUUAUUUUAAUGAAAAUCAAACUUCAUGAAAAGAUGUAGUCAUCAAACAGGUCUAAUCGAUUUAAUCUAGGAUUUCAAAAGCAGUGUCUAAGCUUCUUUCUUGCCACCAAGCAUUGAUUAAUCCGCAUUGGUAAACAAAGUCAAAAGCUGCAGUCACCAGUCAAUUCAUCAUUGCCAAAAAACUAUAUAUAUAUAUAGACCUUUGAACUGCAGUUCAUUAAUCAAAUAAAUCAAAUGUAUAAAUGCACCUUGACUGCAGCGCCCAAGGCAUCUAACAGAUUCCCAUCUGAACUUACAACAAGACCUUCUAUAUAAAGAUCCCAACAGAUUUUCCCCUCAACGAUAGAAAGAGAUGAGAGAUCUAUUCCAGCCCCUGAAAAAGCAAAGAAAAUUAAGAGCCCCAUAUUAAUUAAACAAGACAGAGUACCUCAGCAAAUUGCAUCCCUUGAUGGACUGAUCUUGCUUCUUAGCAUGUUUACCUGCUCCACUUUUACCACCCAAGAGACAGCGCUGAAGAGCAACUGAGAGUUCUGACGACAGCUCUUCCCCUCCUCUACCCUACAUGAAAGAAGAUCAUAAAGAAAACUGCUAACAAUCCAAAUGGAGGAUAAAUUAAGUAUCUACCAUAUGGCAUUCAGCACAGCUAUUAUGUUAAUGCAAAGAAAUUCCAGUGUUUCUGCUCACUAUCGAAAGACACAGUCACCUACUUAAACUAGUAAACCUAGCUGUGCAUUGCUUACAAGCAGGCAAGUAAACACACAAAUAGAUGGCAUCACUACCAUUCAUUGUCAAUUUAAACAUACAAAGGAAGUAAACCAGGGCUUCACUACCCUUCAUUGUUAACCGCAAGAUUCAUAGAACAAGAAGAAAUACCUAGUAGUGUUAAAUGCAAUCAUAAGCUCAAAAACAGGAAAUGAAGUUUCAGUUACAUCCAAGAGUUUCAAGACAAGAUAACCAACCUAAAGAUUCAUGAUACAAUAACAAAAUGCGAAAAAAUUUUAUGUUUGCACAAAAAGCUAAAAAAAAAAACAUUUUGUUUCAACUUUCUGCAGGAUCUCCAUGUUGCUUUUAUAGUGCUCAUAGUUAUUAUCCGCUAUAUUUGUCAUAUCUGUCUGUUAUUAAAAAGAAAAAAUGUUUACUCAGAACUACAAAGAAUACAUGAAUAUCACCUCAAAUGCUGGCUCAGCCGUGGGACUGCAAUCCACGUUGAUUAAUACCUUCCCUUUAUCCGGAUAAGAUGGGCUCGGCUUUCCAAGUUCAGCCUAGAAUUACACAUUGACAACUCACAUAAAAUCCCAACAUCACCACCCAAAAUGUACAAUUCAAAAAUCCCAAACACAUACAAAACAGAACCAGUACUUAAACCCAAAAAAAAAAAAAAAAAAAAUAUUCCACCUUAGCACUCGCGAUAACAUCGGUGGCACCAAGCUUAACUCUAGCUGAACCAUUAGCCUAUAGUAAAAGAAAACCCAAACUUAAAACACAAAAUUUAGCUCCAAAAAAGAAUUUCUAAGAUUAUGUUAGGGAAAAAAAACAAAGUAAAAUGAAUGGAAAAACCCUUACCUGAGGGAUGACACCUGUUUCAAUGUAAAUGGGCCGAUAAGUGUAGCGUUUUCGGCCGUCAGUACGGAGGUCCUGUUCAAUGCCUCCCUUGAUAAAAUGCUUUUCUCCAACGGAAAGUCCCACCAUUGCUGCAAAAACAUGUUAAAAAUGAGAAUAUUACGGAUAAAGAAGCUUAAUUUGGUAGAGGGGCGUGGAAAUUGUACCGUCAAUGGCCGGAGGAGUGGUGAAGAGGGCUUUUGCCGGUGACCGGAGAGUGAGAGACAGAGGAUUGUAGAGAUUUUGGGAAAUUAGGGCUCCCUGGGGUUUUUGGGUUAUAUUUGUAAAAUUGCAUGGACCGGGCACCGGGUCUAUUAUGUGGGGCAAAAUUGAACCGGUCGAGUUGAGUGGAGCAAUAUUUAAUAAGGGAAAUGGCAUAUUUAGUCCUUUUACUUUUCAAUUAAAGGCACGUUUAGUCCUCAAACUACUUACUCGACCUUAAUCGGUUCUUACACCCAUAAUUUGGUGAAAGUUAAGCCCUUCUGUGGCUUUUCACUAGAGGUGGCAAAAUGGGUGAUUUGGGCGGGUUUGGGUUGGGUAAAAUGGGUAAUGGGUAUAAGUGAGUCAACCCAUUUAUAUCCAUUUAAUUAGAUGGGUAUAAAUGGGUAAGUCAAAAAAUGAGUUGGGUAACCCAAUUAUCCAUUUAUAACCCAUUUAUUCUAAUUGUUUACAAGCUCAUAUAAAUUCAUUUUGUAAACUAAAUUAUCAAUUUAUACCAUUUUACACCCAUCAUUAAUUUUAAAUAUUUACUUAUUAUGCCAAAUAAGUCUAAUUAUAAAUUUUUUUUCCUUCCGCGUGCCAUGUUGCAAAAUUACAUAUUAUUUAAUAAUUAAACAAUGAGAAUCUAAAAAUUUGGACUAAAUAAUAUGAAAGUUAACAAAACAAUUUAAUCCAAAACUUUGAACCCCUAGUCUUUUUUCGUUUAUAAAUUUAAAAUUUCAUUUGAAAAGGUAAGAAAGGAAGCUAAAAUUUGUCAUAAAUUGAUGAUGCUAAAAAAUGAUCAAAUUAAUAAAUUACAAGGAAAUAAAGCGAUAAGAUAAAACCAACAAAUAAAACAAAAAUACUUAACAUAAAAAAUAGUUAAAAAUCCUUAUGAAGACUAGCAAUCACUUCAUUUAGCAUACAAAUAAAGACAAAUUUUCAAUAAAUACGAAAUUUAGAAGUAUCUUACCAAAUAGAGAAGAAACUGAAAAUCAAAACCGGUAAACAUACGGAGCUUCGUAAGAGAAUUGCGCAACUAAAAUUUCGUCGCAUUUGUUUCACCAGCUGAUCAUGAUUUCAAAGUCUCAAGUUCUCCUCUCUCUUAUUAGCUCUCUGCUUCCUUCUUAAAAGAAGGGGGAAUGUAAGUUAAAUGGGUUAAAUGGGUUAGAUGGGUUACCCAAUUAAACCCAUUUAAUAAAUGGAUAUAAUUGGGUAACCCAUUUAUAUCCAUAUAUAAAAAUUUAAUGCACCCAUAUCCAAUUAUUAAUGGACGGGUAUGGGUAAAAUUAAUUAAAUGGUUUUAUUUGACACCUCUACUUUCCACUAAAAAAAAUGUGCCAAUGGCAAAUCUUUAGAUUGCAAUUUUCUUUUCUUUUUCUAGAAGUUUAUGAAUUGUUUUUGAUUUAAAGUGUUUAUGGUGAAAUGUAUUUGUCUUUUUCGAGGUUGCAAGUAAUUUGUAAGAUUGAGAUACGAACACUAAAUGCCCUCAGGCGAGAUCCCUUCUUGUUAUGAGAACCUAGAGUUCAUAGAAAUAAGUGUGAUAAAUAAUUAACGAUUUAUAUCAGGUCACGUCUCAAGUAGCAUGAUCUAAACUGUCUUUAAAUUGUAAAGAAGAAAAGCAAAUUAACUCCAAAAUUUGAGAUGCAAUCCAUUUGGACAGCAAGACUUGCCUCUAGGGGUUACAGUUAAGGCAUCAAAUCUAGAUAAUUAGCAGUUUAGAUUAGGUGAUUUCUUAUGCGGUAUGACUAGAACUGUUGCUUUAAAAUAUUAGAGUAAAAGGGGUAAAGCUCUAAAAUGAGACGAUCCUGAGCCCGAGCAGAGAAUUGCCUCCUGAAGUUGCAGUUAAGGUAUCGAAUCUUGCGUCAGUAGCUAAUCUGAGUAACAGUUAGGAAUAGUUAAAUUGAUUAUUGACCUCCACAUAGGUUAGUCACUAUUAUAGGACCUCCCUUGAUAUUUAGAAAGUAGAUGUCCUAUCAAUUCAAAUACUUUGUGAUUUUGCAGCUUUUUGGACUCAACAGUAACUAGAGGAGAAGAGGGAUUACCUCCUGUAAACUCAUUCCCACGUGCAGUAAUUGACUGUAUCUAUGGGGUAAAAUUGUACAUUAAUUACAACGAUGCGUACACUCGUUAAUCACAAUUGGACACUUGACUUUCCUUUUCACCUUUAUGUAACAAGUUUAUUUUGAAUUUUGAAAUUUUGGGCCAAUCUUAGCCCCGAAUCAAUAUCUGAUUUUUCAAAGAUGCUUAUUUUUUUGGGCCAAUCUUGGCCCAUUCAUUAUUAUUUUAACUAAGGUGGCAAAAGAAAGAUUGACAACUGCAGACCGGGUAUAUCAAUGGAUCGGAUCUUAUCCAAAUCCAACCCAGAUUCAAUAUACUUGAGUAGGGUUUGGAUUUAAUUUCUUAAAUUCAAACUCUACCCAGACCCUAUAAGAGAGUCAAGGAUUUGGGUAGGAUCUGAUUUUCUAUGAUCCAUAUCCAAAUUCAAAUUCAUACCAGACAUAUCCAAACUCAUGUGUGUGUGUAUAUAUAUACAUACAUAAAAUUUAGCUUGUGCAUUAACACAAUAUAAAUUUUAUUUGUGAUUAUUUAUGAAUUGAUGCAAGCCAUAAAUAAUUAAUUAAUAUGUUAAUGUAUUAUUCAUGUUUACAUGCAUAUUAGUCUUUAGGAACUUUUAUUCGUAAACUUAUUACAAUGUUAUAAUAUUUAUUAAUUAAUAUAAAACAUAGAAAAAAGAAAUAAUAGGUUUGGUGUUCUUUGAGAUGAUAAUUGAACUUUACAAUAAUUAUAUACCUACUCAUAUUCAUUUUCAGUUAAAGACAAAAAUAUUUAGCAAUCUAUUGUCUCAUGACUGAAUUAUUAGUUUUUAUCAAAAUUAGUAAAUUUAUGAAUUUAGUAAUUAAAUUCACACUAAGCAGGUUCACUGUGUAUGGAUGAAAGGAAUAAAUCAAAUUUAUUAAAGAGAUAAAAGUUAUAAGAAGAUAGAGAAAUUAUAAGCAAAAUUGAUUAUACGUAUAAUAUAUGUGUGUGUGUGUGUGUGAAAUUUAGUUUUGCAUUUAGUACAAUUGUUUUCUUUCGUUUAGUUCUUAUUAAUUUUAUAAAGUGAAUAUAAUAUAGGCUUAAAUACAUUUUCCUUAAUUAGAGAACGGUUUCAGUUCAUCCCUUGUAUUCACGAAAUAGAUAAAAUACCCCCUAAAGUGCAAAGUUUUUUCUGUUACCCUCACUUCUUUUCAUAAUUUCUGAUCUCUUUUUUCUUUUUAAAAUUUUCUUUCAUUUUUAAUCAUCAAAAUAAUUUUUGGAAAUAAAUUAUUUAUUACCUGCAAAUCAGGUGUGCCUUGAGCACUAGUGUUUUAUAAAUUUUUUUCCCUCUUUAAUUCAUGCUAAUGAAAUAACAAAAAUGCCAAAAGAGUCUUCUAAACAUUAAUAUAACUUCGAAAGGGUUGAAAAACAUUAAUUAAGAUGUGGGAUUAUCCAUCAAGCAUAAAUGGUCUGAUAAAUAAGAAAAAAAUCAAAUGCCCACAACCGUUGGAUAAAGGUACUUGAUGAGGGAAGAAAAUAAGUGUAUUUGAAUAGAGUAUUAUUUGAAAUAUUAUUUGGAAUAAUUACUAUAACACUUUUGUGAUGUGAUGUAUGUGAAAUAAAAAGAUAGUUAAAAAUAUAAAAAUGUAGAUUGAGAAAUGUAUUUAUGAUACAAGUUUCAACUAUUGGAAAAUUGAGCAUUUAACUUGUUCUCGUUGACUCGUUACAGGUUGCAAGUUUGGUCGUCUUGUUAAAGAGUCUGGUCUUUGUAAACUAUUAAUGCAGCAGGGCGGUAUAAUAAUGUUGAAAACGAAAGAAUUAACACAUUCAGUGAACCAACCGUCAAGAUUUAAGAAAUAGUUUAUUGACUUAAAAAUUUGAGAGAAAUGCAGUUUUGAUCCUCAAUGUUUAGGUCGUGUGCCAAAUUGAUCCUUAAUAUUUCGAUCAAGACAAGUCUGGUCCCUAAAAUUUGUGAUUUUAAAUAGAUUUAGCACAACAGACGGAAAUAAAAUAAUAACUAACUGUCACCAUCAAAUUGUCAUUAGUUAAGAACUUUGACUUUGCACUUUUGUACAUAAUCCACACUACAAACUAGACGUUUCUUGGGUCAAAUUAAGACCGAACCAAAAAUUUAGCUGGUCAAAAUGUAAUUUUAAAAGCUUGAUAUUUUUCGCUCACACAAUUUCAGACUUGCAAAUUGUUGGCAGUGUUCUCUCCGAUUCCAACCAAAGACCACAGUUGCAACUAAAAUAGAAAGAAAAUUUUUUGUUUGUUUUACUAAACAUAUAUCGGUCUACAAUAGAACAGUAACUUCAAAAUUGGCAGUGACGGAACAGAAUUAAAAAUCCAGGUAUUGAGACAAAAUUUGCAUGAAAUGGAUAUUGUCAGUCAAUUGCUUGGUUGGGAACAAAAUUUCAUAUGGAUGUAGCAGGACAAUCUUCAAUAAUUUGAGCGGUUUUAUGUUGGUUGACAAGUGCAAUCAUAGAGACGAUUUAGUAAUUAAGCACAUACUAGGUGUCAUUUCAAACUGUCAAGAAACUUUGCUCGCCUUGCUCAAAUUAUAAUGUAUUAUUUUUGCCAACAAAUACGAAGCAAAAUUUGUUAAGUUGCAAUUUUUAGGUUCAGACUUCAAGGAUGGUAAUCAAAAGUAUAAUUAACUUUGGCUAGAGAUAGCAAAUCUUGAGUGCCAAAUACAAUACAAUACAAAAUAUGUUGAGGUAAAAUUUGUAGAUCCGACCUUCAAGAAUGGCAUUAAAAUGAUUAAUUUUUGGCUAGAGAUGUUAUCUUGAACUUCCUUUUAUACACUAAUAAAGGGCACACCCCCUUUUUUUUGCCACUUUUUAUUAAUUAUACUCUUCACAUGCAAAGUAUUCAUAAAUUAUGGUAGUAUUGAGUUAGUUUUUUCUUGAUUUUGGCACAUGAAGACGCUGUUAUAUGGGUAGUAAUAUUGUAUGCAUGAUAAUAAGACCAGCGAAAGGAAUAAGCACAUGAUAAAAUGGGGUAUAGUUGAUUGCUACAUUAGAAUAGUAGAGAAAGUAAUUAAAUGGGGUAUUUUAGGGUGUGCGAAAGUAAAUGAUAAGCACACGGUAAAUUUAGAGAGAAUCACAGUCAACAAAGUUUGUAUCAUGAAUAUAUGGAAUUAUUGUCAUAUAGUUUACACGUACCACUCUUCAUAUGCUUACGUUCACCAAAGCUUUUAGCUAUGAUUUUGGCCUAUUAUUUCUAAAUGCAUUUUGGUCUAGCAGUUGUUCAUCUAAAUGACUUAAAGAUUCUUUAGUUUACCAAAAAUAAUAUUGUGGAUAUUACUUGCUUAGAUGCUAAAUUAAGUUAUGAAUUGAGCACAACCAAAAUUUACACACAAGACAGUUUAGACGGUUAAAAGUUAGAGGCUUUUUUUUUUUGUAUUCUAAAUUUUCUUUUCCCUUCUUUUCUUCCUCCUCCAUUGGAGAUGGCUUUUUAUUGUUUGUUGGAUGGAUUUGGUUUUUGGUCUAAUCUCACCAAACAAAUCAAACACAAGCAACUUAGUCUCCUUUGCACUAUGGACACUUGAUCGUUCUCUUUGAUAUUGUUUGAGUUGCCUUUUCAGCUAUUUGAUUAAUUUGUUUAUUUACUUUAAGUCAUUAAUUAUUGGUUUUCAAUUUUAGGGUUUUUUGUUUUUCAAUUUGUUUGCUUGCCCUUAAUGAUGGAUUUUAAUUAUUUUAUUAUGCUAUUUUAGUUACAAAUAACUUUUGUAACGGUUAACAUGAUUGAUAUUCAUUCAUUUAUCAUUAUUGGAAUGCAUUACCAUUGUUCAGCGGAGGAUAAUUUAAGUAUUUAAAAAAAAGGUAUGACAAAAUUCUACUUACACUUCUAGACUCACAAUACCUUUAUAAAGAGUAUAGAUGGAUAGGUGUAAGGAUUCGAAAACCCCAUUUUAACUAUAGGUGUGGGGAUCCUAUUGCCCGAUUUACAGCUUAAGGGAAUUUGAAAUCUCUUCUUGGUAGCUAACUUACCAAAUGCAAAUUGGUUUGUGAAAUUUGUAUAUCGCAAGAUAGAGACUCGAGAAGCCAAGAUGUUGCCCUACCAGCGCCAGAUCCAAACUAGGUGUCUAAUUGGCCUCUACACUCGCAAGAUAGUUAGAUAGAGUGUAGAGGCACCGCCCGGAUCCAUUUCCCACCAUUAUCAAUCAUCAACCGAAUUCUUUAAGAAAAAAAAAUUGCCUAUAAUAGACGCCUUGAACAUCACCAUCCCUGUUCUCAUAAAAUAAAACCUUAAAAAAAAUUGAAUACAUGCCUCCAAGUCUUUCAAUCAUCAUUAUCCCUGUUCUCAUAUUGUGUUUGUCAACAUAUCAUCAACAGAUAAAUCGUUGUCAUGGUGCUACUAUCUUUACCUCUCUGGACAUAUGUAUCUUUUCGCAUUAUUAUUUCACAUCCGAACUGUCUUGUAUAGUAUACAUACCUUGAAUAUGCAAUUAUUACCCAAGCCAUCUGCUGUUUGGUAAGAGGGGAUUGGAAUUAGAAAUUGAAAAAAAAAUCCAAUAUAAGUUGUUUGGGCUACAGGUAUUGGAUUCAAAAUUUUGGAAUGAAUUACUAAAAUUUGGGAGUUCUUAGUUCCUAAUAAAUUGGGAAGCUUUGGUGGAUUCCCAAAUUUAAUCCAUGUGCAUGAUUUAAAAAUUAAUAUUUUGCACUUUCCACACCCUUUCCCUCACGUCAUUCUCUCUCCCUCCAUCUUUUCUUCCCUUGGUCCCUCGCAGCUUUCUCCCAUGUCCAUGACUCAUCUUUCUUCUUCCUUCUCUCUCUUUCCCUCGUACCUCAAUGGUGACCCCUCUAUUUUCCCUUCCCUCUUUCCAUAGUAGUCCUUCUCUCUCCCAUUCCACCUUUCUCCCCCUCUAUAUAGUCCAUUUUUUUCCUUCCAUAACAGGCAGCAAACACUUUGACUCCUCUUCCUUUAACUGACUCAACUUGGUUUUUUUUUAUGGGUCAAGUGUAUUAUUUCGAUGAAUUAAUCUCAAAUCUGUAUAUUUCUAAUUCCAUUGAGUUUGGAAGGAAAAAAUUUUUCUUUCCAUCACAUUCUUUUCAUUCUAACAAGAGAUUUGGUGACGGAGGUUUGCUGGGUAGUGUUUUAGUAAGAGAUAUGGUGGUGGGGUGAGUACGAAAGAGUUAGACAUAGAAGAAAAAGAUGAUGAAUUGAUGAAAAGGGGAAAAAGAGGACAAAAUAUAGGUAAAAAAUGAUAUUAAAUUAUGAUACCUAUUCCUUACAGAUAUUUGCCAAACACUAGUUAUUUGAAUGACAUCCUCACGAAGAACUCGUACCAAUUUUUUAGAAAUGAUUCCAAUUACAAUUCGGAUUCCUUAGCUUGAACCAAAUGCCUACUAAAUCUGUAAUUUUAGAACUCAAUAUCAAAAUAGCCAUGAAAAAUAUUUACUACUACUUGCUUCUUGGAUACUUUUUGUCAAGUUACCUGUCAGCUUGCUCAGCCAGGGCCACCACUACCAACAUCACCACAGAUCAAUCAGCCCUUCUUUCUUUGAGGGCUCAAAUCACUUCAGACCCUCAUCAAUUCUUAGAAAACUGGUCUCCUACAUCCUCAGUUUGUGAAUGGGUAGGAUUCGUUUGCCGAUCUCGUCAUCGUAGGGUAACUGCCUUCAACAUUGCCAACAUGAGUCUUACUGGCACCAUUCCUCCACAACUAGGAAAUCAAUCCUUUCUUGUUUACCUCAACAUGAGUCGAAACAAUUUCCAUGGAGAACUGCCCCAUGAGUUAUCUCAACUGUGCCGAUUACAAGUUCUUGACUUUGGAGUCAAUGAUCUUGGUGGAGAGCUUCCUUCCUCCAUUGGUUCCUUGCAUAAACUCCAAUGCCUGUCCCUCAGAAAUAAUAGCUUUACAGGUUCUAUCCCACCUGGUAUCUCUAACAUGUCAAACUUGGAGAUGUUAUGGUUGUUGUAUAAUUCUCUUGAAGGGACAAUACCAAAGGAGAUUGGAAAUCUACCAAACCUGAAGAACUUGUACAUGUUCUAUAAUCAACUUUCUGGUCCUAUGCCUGCUGAGAUCUUCAACAUUUCCUCUUUGGAAAGGGUUAUUGUUUCAAGUAAUAGACUAACCGGCGGAGCUUCCGAUUGAGAUUUGUCGCCAACUUCAGAAGCUGACAUGGCUUGAUCUAUCAGACGACAGGCUAAGUGGUGGAAAACCAUCAAUAUUGUCUCAAUGUUCAAAGCUUCAAGUACUCAGAUUGUCUAUCAACAACUUCACUGCAUCCAUACCCAAGGAAAUUGGUAGCUUGACGGAGCUUGAGGAACUAUAUUUGGACAAUAACAACUUAACAGGUAGGAUUCGUUCACAUGCUUGCGCAAAUCAAAUUUUGAAGAUGACAAUUUUCUUUUAAAGAUUUGUCUACGAGGGUACAACAAUUUAUAUGUAUAAUUCCAAUGAAAAAGCAAGCACACUAAUAUUUCCAGUUUUCCACCAUGCUUAGAAUAAUCCUACUUAGAUUUAAAUUUCCAAAGCUAUAGACUUUCUAAUAUAGAGAAUUCGUUAUCUUUAAGUAGUGACUUUAAACUUGUUAGGGGUGGCAAUUUCCGACACGACCUGAAAACACAACACGAAUCUAACACGAAAUUAAUGGGUUUGGGUUGAGGUUUCGGGAGUUCGGGUCGAACCCGAAAAGAAAACAGAUCGAUUUCGGAUCAACACGUGGGUGACCCGAUAUGACCCGUUUACGAAUUAAAAAUUAUUUAAUAAACAUAAAAAUUAUUUUAUCUAACUAAGCUAAGUUAUUCUUUUUUGUCAAAGGCAUUAAUUACUUAAUCCUAAAUGAAUUUAUUUAACUUGUGUAAAGUUAAAAUUAUUAUAUUUGGACAAAUAAUAUAUUAUAUUAUUUUUUAAUUUUAUACUGUUUUAAUUUAUUUUAAAUUUGGUUUUGGGAUAAAACACUUUUACGGUGUUUAAUUUAUUUUGGAUUUAGUUUGGAAUUAUUUAUUUAAAUUUUUAUUACUUGAUUAUGUAAUUAGUUUUGUGAGAAAUUAAUUUUAUUAGAAAUUACAGUACUAAAUUAAUAAAUUAAAAUUAAGUUUCGGGUCAUUUCGGGUUCACCCGCCAACCUGCCAACCCGAAAUUUUCGGGUUCAUGUCAGGUAUCUUGACCCGUUUUGGGUUGGCGGGUCAGCGGGUUUUCUGUUAUACUUGGGUCUCAAUCCGACCCGUCAACUCGAAUUCGACCCGAUUGCCACCCCUAAAACUUGCUACUUGAGAUGCCCAAUCUCUGCCCUUUGAAAUUUUUUCAUAAAAAUAAUUAAGUGGGAUUUUGUUCAUUAUAUUAUAUUCCAUUUUAAAGUUGGACUUCCUCGGUGAAUUUUACUCAAAAAAAUUAUACUCUAAACGAUAUAGGACUAAUACAAUACAUACAGAUCAAAAAUAAAUAACCCACCUCCUGAUUUUUAGGAGUUCCUAUGUCUAAGCAUAUCAUGUUUUUAAAAUCGAUUAGUGUAAGUGAACUCUUUUACUUAAACGCCUCUCAUGAGACACUUAAAUUUCUAUUGCAUAUUUUAUGUCUAUUCACUUCAUUUUUAUGGGUUUCUGAUGGCAUCAGUAGAUGCAAAAGGAGAGAUGAGUUUCCUUCUUUAGGAAAAGAAGAAUUUACUUGAAAAUUUGGAACUAAAAUAUGUGCCUGUGGUUGGCAUUUCAUAAAACUAUUAAAGUUAUGUGUCCUUUCCAAUCGCAUUUGUAGUUUAAUAAACCUGUCAUAUGUUUCCUUUUCAUUUGCUGAGGACCAUUUCACUCCAAAGAUUUAACAAACAUAUUAUAGAGAGGCAACUUCCAAAUUGCUAAUUAAUGCAAAAAAUCUGUAGUUUUGGACAUGUUGGAUUAGUUUGGUAAUAUGAAAAGAAAUGAUAUUAUAUUGGUAAUUCAAUAAACACAUGCAAGAGCUUGGGCGGUCACAUUAAUAAACAUGUGCUAGGCUUAGGGUAUUCUUGGCUGGCAACAUGCUUUGAAAAGCAUGCGGCGGCCGCCCUCUCAAUGUUCACAAUAGGUCAUUGACAACAUAAAGUCAUACCUACCUACGUUCCAAAUCAAAAUAACUUUGUCCAAAUUUUCACUUGAAAAAUAAGGUUUAGUAUAAAAAAAAUGAGCCAAUUACUUAGAACACAAUUCAAAAGUUACGACACAAUCUAUUGCAAAAAUUUGUUAACAAUUAAUGUUAAAUUCUUAAUCUAUCGAUGGCAAAAAUUCUUGUUACGAUCAUUUGCCUUAGAUUUUGUUACGUAACUUAGUGUUUUGUGUGUGUGUGUGUUUUUUUUCUAUAACUAAUAACUUAAGAUAGCAAAGUGUUAGAUUUGAAGCUUUGGAAACUAAAAUGAGGUUAUUAAGUAAUCAUUAAUUGUUAUCGUUAGGAAAAAAAAAAGUAAUCAUUAGAGUUGACUCAAUAAUCAAGAAAGGGUUCUUAGAAUUUUUUUCGCUGUCAGAUUCAGAAUUCGAAUCAUAAUUUUAACAGUUGAAGAUAGAAAGGAUAAGAGAAAAGGUGUAUGAUAAAAGGAAAACAAAAAAAAAAGUAUUCAAAUAUAUACUCCCGUCCCACAAAAUUCAUCACUUUUUAAAAAAACCAACUUAAUGUGAAUAGUCUCUAAGAUUGAUAGCUGUAUGCUUGAACUCCCCUUUUGGACCUCGUUUUUCAGUUUGAGUUAACCUUGGAUGUCCUUAAAACAAAAACAAAAAAAAUAAAAAUAAAAAUUGGGAUGGUGGUACCUUAUAUAGUCAUGUGGGACUCACCACCUGAAAUGACACAACACUUUGUUGUUGUUCGAACGCCACGCUGCUCCUUUGGCCGGGCGUAUGUCACAUGCACGAGAUUACACAAGUCAAAGUGGUUUAUGGGCCUUUAUACAAAAUUGUCAUUGACUUCUCAUGUAAUGGUAUUCAAUGGAAAUGCAUGAAAUUCUUUUUACUAGUUUAGGUAAAUGAAAAAAGUUUUGGGACAUUAUAGCAUGAUACUUUCAGUAGGAUAGAAGAAGUAUUAAAAGUUAAAUAAAGAAAGGUUAAACUACGAUUAGGUGAUCAAACUUGUACUAUGUCUUUUCUUUGAUAAAGGGGUGGCACCAAUUAGUUUUUUGAAAAAUGCAAGCUAUUUUCCUUCUUGUUUGCUAAUAAAUAUUCAAAGCCACAUGUUGGUUGAAGAUUGCCGAAACUUAUGACUUUUGUGUCCCAAAAUUAUGACUUGAAAAUUCAACCAUCAUGGCUUGAUUGUGUUGACCAAAAUAAUGGCUCCAUACCGUGUACAAUUGUAUUUUGUAUCUAGCUAGAUACAAACAAAAGUCAUAAGUUUCGACAAUCUUCAACACGGUAAGGAGCCAUAAUUGUUGAAUCUUCAACACCAUCCAACUUUAUAUUUUGCUAGAGACUAAUCAGUACUACUUUUUUUUCUGUCAAAGAUAAGCAAUUAAAUUAGAUUAGAACGCUCAUAGAGUUAACGAAAAGACUGGCCUAAGCAAUCUAAGAAGACCCACCAAACUAAUCAGUACUACUAGUUACCAACUUUUUAUAUUAAAAAUUUUAAAACCACCAUUGACAGUGAAUCGAGAACCUCUAGAAUUAACAGUGAUAAUUGCAUUAUGCAACAUAAACAUUAGGAGAUUAGAUGAAGUUGAUAAAAUAAUAAGUGUAGAAAGUAACACAAUAAACUUUUUUUCCUGAAAUUUGUGUACUAAAAUUAUAUUAGUAUUUAUAUUUGUUAUUUUAGAAUUUAUAUUUGUCUUUUUUGUGUCUGCAUUACACGGUGCAUUUGUCACUAACAAUUAUAGAGGAGUAUGAUUUGAAGACAUUAGCCUUUUCCGUUAAAUGUUUUAGGAUCCUACAAUUGACAAUUAAAAUGUAAGAGCUAUUUAUUCAACUAAGCAACUGACAGACAAGUCUUUCGAACGAAGAUAAAGGAUUAUUUAGUUACUUGCCCCAUUGUUUUUUUUUUCAUCUUUUCAAUUCAAAGACAUCGAUUUACCUGCAAUAUUUUUAAUUGGAAAUAUGGAAAGUUAAGUGAUUCUGAUCUUAUAAAAAAUUCUCAACCAUCAAUUCUCCUAAACUUAUAGUUAUUCUAUUUUUCUUAUCCCUAAAAUUUGAAUUUAUCCAUCCUAAUUUUUUUACACUUACACUGUUUUCUAGUAUCCAAGCGAUAAAGAGUAAUAUAUUGAAUAUUCAUAUGUAUAUAUAACUCUCAAAAUUACAGUGCCUAUAAUACUCUCAAGUAUAUUUCGAAUAUCUCAAGCAAUGAAGGGUAACAUUUUAAAUAUUUGCAUGUAUGUGUAACUGUAAAAAAUACAUUGCCUAUGAUGCUACUAGGAUUUUAUUUAAUUUUAUUGCUAUACAUUUUCUAGAUGUAGAUUUAAGAGUUCAAGUGUAUUUUGCAGGUGUGAUUCCCCAAGAGGUGUAUUUAUAGCUUGGCUAUAACCAGUCGAUUGGUGAGAUCCUUUUCUUUUGUACACGUCUAAUUUUCCUUUGCACAUUUCAUAUUUUCAUCACUCUAUUUAUUGUCACUUGGGACCUCAAAUUUUUGAUUUUACCACUUCACAUUUUAAAGUUAUAAACUCAGCCCAAUUCACCCCAAUCCAGCAACUUGUCCAAGAAACUAGGCAAACGAUAUGUUGAUUCCAUUAUAAAAAUGUGAGAGCACUGUGCUUUAGUCUACUUACGUUAGCAACCUGAGCAGUUUGGGCGAUUUGAAGGUUUCAUAAUUGAAGUGCGGAAAUAUAUGCAACUAAUUAACAGUUAAUCACAGAAGAAGAAGGUACUAAUUAAGCCAGGAUCACUAGCUAAUGCCAAUCUAAUAGAUUAGAAAAGAGCUGUAUGUUUUGUACAAUGGAGGUGUAAAGUCAGAAUUAGCCUAAUCAUCAUGUUGCAAAAUCGAUUUAGUCCUUGUAAAAAGGCAAACUAGUCUCAAAAAGAACGCUAUAUAAUUGAUUGAACAUGUUUAAACCUGCUUAUUCUGCAGGUACAAUACCACAACAGCUUGGCAAUCUGCAGAAUCUAGAAGGGCUAAGUCUGACGUUCAAUAAGCUUGCAGGAUCCAUACCUGUUCAACUGUUCAACAUCUCAACGCUGCAAAUAUUGUUACUUCCGGGCAAUAAUCUUUCUGGAAAUCUUCCAUCAACAGUGGGUUCUGGAUUAAUCAAUCUGGAAAAGCUUUAUCUCGAUGGGAAUGACUUUGAAGGAGUGAUACCGGCCUCGAUAUCAAAUGCAUCCAACCUAGUAUGUUUAAGCUUGGCUGCCAACAGAUUCAGUGGUCCAAUUCCUAAUUCUCUUGGGGAUCUAAGACUUCUAAGAGAACUUAGUCUCUUCCAAAACAAUUUCACAAAUGAUCCUUCGUCACCAGAGUUGAGCUUUAUUAGUUACUUGACAAAUUGCAAGAACCUAACAAUCUUAAUAUUCGGUGACAAAUUGACAAUCCGUUGCACGGCAUUCUUCCGACAUCUGUUGGAAACCUUUCUACUUCACUUGAAGAACUUUACGGAUAUCAUUGUAUUAUCAAGGGAAACAUUCCUGAAGCUAUUGGUAAUCUGUGCAAUUUAUGGGUUUUAAGUCUAUUUGGAAAUCAACUGAGUGGACCUAUUCCGGCCUCAGUGAAAGACCUGCAGAAACUUCAAGUUCUAGAUUUGAAUGAUAACUAACUUGGUGGAUAUCUGCCAGACACUCUUUGUGGCUUAAACAGCUUAUAUGGUAUGAAUCUAGGCCAAAAUUGAAUCCAAGGAUCGAUCCCCUCAUGCUUAAGUAGCAUUACAACUUUGAGGGAGAUUAGAUUUGGUGGAAACUUAUUAAACUCUACCAUACCAGCAAGCUUGUGGAGCCUCAACUAUCUCUUGCAUUUGUAUCUGUCCUCUAAUUCCUUGAGCGGCUCACUACCUCGAGAAAUUGAAAACUUGAAGGUAGUGGUGAAUUUAGAUUUGUCAGUAAAUCACAUUUCUAGAAGUAUUCCAAGCUCAAUGGGGGGUUUGCAAAGUUUAUCUGGACUUUCUCUGGCACAAAAUAGACUUGAAGGAUCUAUUCGAGACUCACUGUGGUCUGUAUUAUAUAGGCUUGGAAUUGCUGGACCUAUUUAGUAACAAUCUCUCCGGUUCAAUCCCAAAAUCCUUGGAAAAACUUGCACACCUGAAUUCCCUUAAUCUUUCUUUCAACAAUUUAACAGGUGAGAUUCCUUCUGUUGCUCCUUUGAAGAACUUCACAAGUCAAUCUUUCAUAUCUAAUUGUUGAGCCGCAAGGUUUGACUUUGGUGGUAAAAUUUUUCAUCCCACGUCGAAGACCAGCAAUGGAAGCCUUCCCUCUUGAUACCUAUAAAUAAGGCUUCCUAUGAAGGAAUCAAUUGCACCACUCAAGAGAGCAUUAUAUAGGCUAUUAGUUUCUUGGGUCAUCUAUCCCAUUUAGUCAAAUAUUUUAGGCUCUCUUGUUUUGAGUUUAGGAAUAUUUUCCAAACUCUUUUAUAAGUGCCAUUUUGGCCUAGGAACCACUUUCCUACGGCUUUUGUAUUUCUUCUUCAUAGUAGAAAUAUUGCUCCUCCUCCGCCCGUGAACGUAGGUCAAUUUGAUCGAAUCACGUAAAUUUUUGUGUCUUUUAUUUGUUUUGUUAUUUGUCUUUAUUGGGUUGCCACAACCCUUUUUAUAUGGUCGGUUUUACCGCCUAAUUAUUAUAUGGCUGGUGUUUACCGCCUAACCAUUAUAUGGUCGGUUAUACCGCCUAUUUUGUUCUAAUUUUAAUUUGUUUAUUCCUAGAUCAGUCCUAACAAGUUGGUAUCAGAGUUAGUUGAUAUAUUUUGCAAGACAGGUUCAUUUGGUGGGGCCCGUUCAUCCGGUGGGGUCCGUUUUACUUGGGCCCGCUCACCUUGUGGGGCCGGUUCAUCCGAUUGGGCCCGCUUAUCUCGUGGGGCCCACUCACCCUGUGGGACCCGCUUAUCUCGUGGGGCCCGCUCACCCUGUGGGACCCGCUCACGAGACUUGCAUAUCUGUUUGACUAGUUUUUUUGAGACAAGUUUCAUGUUAUAGAUUUUGUGGCAACAAUAACGAUAACAGAAACGGUUAUCGAAUAAUUCGACAGGAAUGUCAACUUCGGCAUGUGGCAGCUCAAGAUGAAGGCCAUUCUUGUUCAAGACGGAGUUGAUUUGGCAAUUCAAGGAAUUGAGAAAAAGCCAGAAGAUGUAAAGGAUGCAGAUUUCGCCGAUAUGAAUAAGAAGGCUAGAUCCAGCAUAAUUUUGAAUCUCUCCGAUGAAGUUUUACGGGAGGUAGCAAUGGAGACUUCUGCCAAGGCUAUGUGGGAUAAAUUGAAAGUCUUGUAUAUGAAGAAGACAGUCGAGAAUCGGCUAUAUUUGAAGCAGAGUUUGUAUAUGUUUCGGAUGUCUGAAGGUACAUCUAUACUCUCCCAUCUUUGAUAAAUUUGAUUCUAUUAUUAUGGAUUUGGAGAAUAUUGAUUCGAAAAUUGAUGAUGAAGAUCAGACCAGACAUAAAAAUGUGGUGUGCAACUAUUGUAAAAAGAAGGGUCAUGUUAUCUCUGAUUGCUUUAAAUUGAAAAAUAAAGAAAAGCAAAAGGAGAAAAAGAGUGAGACCACCGAGGCUAGUAUUGCAGUUGAUGAGAAUGACUGAGCCAUUUUCUGUGCAACGAAAAAUAAUUUUAGGUCUAACAAUGAGUGGAUUAUAGAUUCGGGUUGUUCAUAUCAUAUGUGUCUCAAUAGGGAUUGGUUUUCAACUUAUGAAUCAACUGAAGGUGAAGUUGUCUUAAUGGGUAACAACGCCGUUUGUAAAGUUAUUGGCAAAGGCACAAUCCGGAUUAAAAUAUACGAUGGUAUUGUGAGGACGCACACAAAUGUUAGACAUGUUCUAGAUUUGAAGAAAAAUCUCAUCUCUUUGAGCACUCUUGAGUCUAUUGGGUGCAGGUAUUCUGGUGGAGGUGGAGUUCUCAAAAUCAAUCGAAGUGCUCUUGUUGUUAUGAAGGCACACAAAUCUGGUACUUUAUAUAUUUUGCAGGGAUAUACUGUUAUAAGUGCUGCUGCUGUUUCAACAUCAUCUUUAUCAGAUACAGACAUUACCAGAUUAUGGCAUAUGCGUUUAGGGCACAUGAGCGAAAAAGGCUUGGGUAUACUGAGCAAAAGAGAACUUCUUUGUGGACAAAAUACCGGACCAUUGGAAUUCUGUGAACAUUGUAUUUUUGAGGAGCAGAAAAGAGUCAGCUUCAGUUCACCAGCAAUUCACAAGACAAAAGGUACUCUUGAUUACAUUCAUUCAGAUCUAUGGGGUCCUUCUCGUGCUCCUUCUAAAGGUAGAGCCAGGUACAGGUUGACUUUCAUUGAUGAUUAUUCAAGGAAAGUUUGGGUCUAUUUUCUUAAGUAUAAAAAUGAUGUUUUCCUAACUUUUAACCAAUGGAAAGUUUUGAUUGAGAAACAAACAGGAAAACUUAUUAAGCGGUUGAGAACAGAUAAUGGCAUGAAAUUUUGUAAAGGUGAAUUUGAUAGAUUCUACAAAAAUGAAGAAAUUGUUCGGCAUCGCACUGUUAGAAUGACGCCUCAACAAAAUGGUGUAACCAAACAUAUGAACAGAACGCUUUUGGAGAGAGCAAAAUGUAUGAUCUCCAAUGCAGGAUUGACAAACGAUUUUUGGGCAGAGGCAAUCAAUAUGGCCUGUUAUAUUGUCAACCAUUCUCCUUCUGCAUCUCUUGAUUUAAAAACUCCUGAGGAAGUUUGGUCAGGUAUUCCUGCUGAUUACUCCAAUUUAAAAGUUUUUGGGUGUCCAAUAUACAUGCAUGUGAAUAAUGAAAAAUUGGAGUUUAGGGUUAAAAAGUGCAUUUUUCUUGGGUAUGCUUUUGGGGUGAAAUGAUACAGAUUAUGGUGUUCUGAUCCCAAAUCUCCAAAAUUUGUAAUCAGUAGAGAUGUUACUUUUGAUGAAUUGUCUAUGUUAUCUUCCAAAAAGGAGUCUUCUAGUCCUUGUACUACUGAUAGUACACAGAAGCAGGUGGAGCUUGAUAUUGGCAGUUCUGGUCCUUCUCAGACAAAAUUUUCUUUUCAUCAAAUGCCAGUAGAUGCACCUGAAUCUACUGUUGAAGAUAAUUCAGAUGAAAAGGAGUAUUCCAUAACCAGAGAUAGACCAAGGAGAGACAUUCGACCACCACAAAGAUAUGCAAAUUUAGUUGCAUAUGCUUUGUCUGUUGCAGAAAAAAUUGAUGCAGUUGGUGAGCCUUCCACCUAUUCAGAGCCUUUCACCUAUUCAGAGCAAGAAACUGCUUCUGAAUAGGUGGAAGAAUCACCAACUGCAUCAGUUUCUUCUGCAACAGACAAAGUAUAUGCAACUAAAUUUGCAUAUCUUUGUGGUGGUCGAAUGUCUCUCCUUGAUCUAUCUCUGGCUAUGAAAUACUCCUCUUCAUCUGAACUAUCUUCAACAGUAGAUUCAAGUGCAUCUACUGGCAUUUGAUGAAAAGAAAAUUUGGUCUGAGAAGGACCAGAACUGCCAAUAUCAAGCUCCAUCUGCUUCUGUGUACUAUCAGUAGUACAAGGACUAGAAAACUCCUUCUUGGAAGAUAAUAUAGACAAUUCAUCAAAAGUAACAUCUCUACUGAUUACAAAUUUUGAAGAUUUGGGAUCAGGACACCAUAAUCUGUAUCUUUUCACCCCAGAAGCAUACCCAAGAAAAAUGCACCUUUUAACCCUAAACUCCAAUUUUUCAUCAUUCACAUGCAUGUAUGCUGGACACCCAAAAACUUUUAAAUUGGAGUAAUCAGCAGGAAUACCUGACCAAACUUCCUCAGGAGUUUUGAAAUCAAGAGAUGCAGAAGGAGAAUGGUUAACAAUAUAACAGGCCAUAUUGAUUGCCUCUGCCCAAAAGUCGUUUGUCAAUCUUGCAUUGGAGAUCAUACAUUUUGCUCUCUCCAAAAGCGUUAUGUUCAUACGUUCGGUCAUACCAUUUUAUUGAGACGUCAUUCUGACAGUGCGAUGCCAAAUAAUUCCUUCAUUUUUGCAGAAUCUAUCAAAUUCACCUUCACAAAAUUUCAUGUCAUUAUCUGUUCUCAACCGCUUAAUAUGUUUUCCUGUUUGUUUUUCAAUCAAAACUUUUCAUUGCUUGAAAGUUAGGAAAACAUCAUUUUUAUGCUUAAGAAAAUAGAUCCAAACUUUUCUUGAAUAAUUAUCAAUGAAAGUCAACAUGUACCUGGCACUACCUUUAGAAAGAGUACGAGAAUGACCCCAUAGAUCUGAAUGAAUGUAAUCAAGAGUACCUUUUGUCUUGUGAAUUGUUGAUGAAGUGAAACUGACUCUUUUCUGCUUCCUAAAAAUACAAUGUUCACAGAAUUCCAAUGGCUCGGUACUUUGUCCACAAAAAAGUCCUCUUUUGCUCAGUAUGCCCAAGCCUUUUUCGCUCAUAUGCCCCAAACGCAUAUGCCAUAAUCUGGUGAUGUCUGUAUCUGAUAAAGAUGAUGUUGAAACAGCAACAACACCUGUAACAGUAGAUCCCUGUAAAAUAUAUAAAGUAACAGAUCUGUGUGCCUUCAUAACAACAAGAGUACUUCGAGUGAUUUUGAAAACUCCACCUCCACCAGAAUACCUGCACCUAAUAGACUCAAAAGUGCCCAAAGAGAUGAGAUUUUUCUUCUAAUCUGGAACAUGUCUAACAUCUGUGAGUGUUCUCACAAUACCAUCGUACAUUUUAAUCCAGAUUAUGCCUUUGCCAAUAACUUUACAAACGGCAUUGUUACCUAUUAAGACAACUCCACCUUCAGUUGAUUCAUAUGUUGAAAACCAGUCCCUAUUGGGACACAUAUGAUAUGAACAAUCUGAAUCUAUAAUCCACUCAUUGUUAGAUCUAAAAUUAUUUUUCGUUGCACAGAAAAUGGUUCAUCAUUCUCAUCAACUGCAAUACUAGCCUCGGUGGUCUCACUCUUUUUCUCCUUUUGCUCUUCUUUAUUUUUCAAUUUAAAGCAAUCAGAAAUAACAUGGCCACUCUUUUUACAAUAGUUGCAUACCACAUUUUUAUGUCUGAAUUUGGAUCUACUUCUACUUUCUGUAUUUCUCUUUUCAGAUCUACCCCUAACAAACAAGCCAUCGGCUUGACUCCUACUAGUUUUUUCAGUAAUAUCCCUAUCUAUCUGCUCUUUAGAUUUUAAUACAGAUUUAAUUUUCCGAUACGAAAUUGUUUCCUUUCCAUAAAUCAUAGUAUUACGGAAAUACUUAAAGGAUUGGGGAAGGGAAUAUAAAAGUAAUAGGGCCUGAUCUUCAUCAUCAAUUUUCGAAUCUAUAUUCUUCAAAUCCAUAAUAAUUGAAUCAAAUUUAUCAAGAUGGGAGAGUAUAGAUGUACCUUCAGACAUCCGAAGCAUAUACAAACUCUGCUUCAAAUAUAGCCGAUUCUCGACUGUCUUCUUCAUAUACAAGACUUUCAAUUUAUCCCACAUAGCCUUGACAGAAGUUUCCGUUGCUACAUCUCGUAAAACUUCGAGAUUCAAAAUUAUGCUGGAUCUAGCGUUCUUAUCCAUAUCAGCGAAAUUUGCAUCCUUUACAUCUUCUGGCUUUUUCUCAAUUCCCUGAAUUGCAAAGUCAACUCCGUCUUGAACAAGAAUGACCUCUAUCUUGAGCUACCACAUGCCGAAGUUGACAUUCCUGUCGAAUUAUUCGAUAACCGUUUCUGUUAUCGUCAUUGUUGCCACAAAAUCUAUAACCUGAAGUUUGUCUCAAAAAAAUUGGUAUCAGAACUGGUUGAUAUAUUUUGCAAGACAGGUUCAUCUGGUGGGACCCGUUCAUCUGGUAGGGCCCGUUCAUCUUAUGGGGUCUGUUUAUCCUUGGGCCCGCUCACCUUGUGGGGCCCGUUCAUCCGGUGGGGCCCGCUUAUCUCAUGGGGCCCGCUCACCCUGUGGGACUCGUUCACGAGACUUGCAUAUAUGUUUGACUAGUUUUUUUGAGACAAGUUUCAGGUUAUAGAUUUUGUGGCAAUAAUGACGAUAACAAAAAUGGUAGUCGAGAAAUUCGGCAAGGUUAUGUCAAGGUCGAGAUUUGUUGAGCCGCAAGGUUUGACUUUGGUGGCAAAAUUUUUCAUCCCACAUUGAAGACCAGCAACGGAAGCCUUCCCUCUUAAUACCUAUAAAUAAAGGCUUCCUAUGAAGGAAUCAAUUGCACCACUCAAGAGAGUAUUAUAUGGGUUAUUAGUUUCUUGGGUCAUCUAACCCAUUUAGUCAAAUAUUUUAGACUCACUUGUUUUGAGUUUAGAAAUAUUUUCUAAAAUAUUUUGUAAGUGCCAUUUUGGCCUAGGAACCACUUUCCUAUGGUUUUUGUAUUUCUUGUUCAUAGUAGAAAUAUUGCUCCUCUUCUGUCCAUGGACGUAGGUCAAUUUGACCGAACCACGUAAAUUUCUGUGUCUUUUAUUUUGCUUUGUUAUUUAUCUUUAUUGGGUUGCCACAACCCUUUUAUAUGGUCGGUUUUACCGUCUAAUUAUUAUAUGACUGGUGUUUACCACCUAACCAUUAUAUGGUCGGUUAUACCGUCUAUUUUGUUCUAACUUUAGUUUGUUUAUUCCUGAGCCAGUCCUAACACUAAUCCUAUGCUGUGUGGUGCUCCAAGAUUUCUUGUCCCUCCAUGCACUACUUCUCCUUUUCACACAUCAAGUAGGAAGAAGAUAUUAUUAGUCAUAUGCAUGUUGUCAGGUACUUUUGUAACAAUGAUUGCUCCUACCUCAGCAAUUUUGUUUGUGCGAUAUAGAAGGAAGAAUGUGGUUCCAGCAACAAUUGAUUUAUCGCCCAAGAGGACACCAGAAAGAAUCUCGUAUUAUGAGCUGUUACAAGCAACAACGGUUAUGACGAAAGCAAAAUGGAGUGCUUGUGGCUGUGAAAGUGUUCAGUUUGCAUAUGGAGGAAACAUUUAAGAGUUUUGAUGCAGAAUGUGGAGUUUUAACAACAUUCGCCAUAGAAACCUAACCAAAGUGAUUGGUUGUUGCUCUAACCUCAACUUCAAAGCCUUAUUGCUUGAAUACAUCUCCAAUGGGAGCCUUAAGAAGUGGUUGUACUCCAACAACCAUUACUUAGAUUUAAUGCAAAGGUUAGAGGCCCUUAAUUCAACAUUGUAGAGUAUGGACUUGAAGGUCUAGUGUCAACAAGAAGUGACGUGUAUAGUUUUGGCAUAGUUUUGAUGGAAACAUUCACAAGAAUGAAGCCAGGUGAUGACGUGUUUUCCGAAGAUAUGAGCCUAAAGCGCUGCUGGAUUGAAGAUUCUCUGCCUGACACAACAUUUCAGGUCAUAGAUACCAACUUACUCGGGCCAGAAGAUGAGUAUUUCACGAAGAAGCUGGAGUGCAUUUCCUUGGUUUUUGAAUUGGCUUUGAACUGCUGCGCUGUAACUCCAAGAGAUAGGAUUAACAUGAUCGACGUCGUCACAUCACUGAAGAAGAUAAAACAUAACCUCAAAGAUUUUGCUAGGGAAACUUGAACAAAGAAAGUAUAUUCAAAUUGAUUUCAAGUACCCGUAGAACAUAAGCCACGAAUUCUACUACUCACAACUGAUGCUCGAAACAUCAUCUUUUGCAGGACGAUGCCAAAUUUUGAGAUAUAAGCUAGAGUAUUGUCUUAUCCUCUCAAUACACCAAUGAGUUUUUUCCAUGCCAUUGCCAGGUUAUAGUUAUGCAAAUGACUUCUUUGCUCAACAUAAAACUCAAUAAGCAUGCUGUAGCUUUCUUAGGUUAAUUCUUUUGCCUACAUUCGGUUGAAAAAACUCUAGAGCAUCAGCUUGUGAUGUUUUCUUUAACCUGAAAUUUAGCUAAAACUCGAUAAAGGAAGCUAGGAUUUUUUUUCCAAGUUUUCAGGUUGACGUUUCAAAAAAGGAAACAAAGCAACACAUCAUAUGCCGGAAAUGUUGAUGCUAAAUUGCAAAUAUAUCUCGUCGGCCUGUAAUGGACUUGCCAAAUUGUGAGAAUAGUUCAAAACUAAUGUCAUGUCAGAGUUUAAACUAUGGCAAAUAUUUCACCUGAAUAAAUUAUUGACUAUCAAUACCAUAUUAAAGCACAAAUAUGAUUUGGUGAUUUAGCGAUAUAAUUUUUUCUUUUCUAAAAUGUCCUUAGCAGUAAUAUUAAUGAUUUUAAUCAUUAAUUUUAGGGAUUAGAACGAAUCCCCUAUUGCUUUUUCUCUCAAAAUCUCUCAAAUUGCGAGAGGCAAGUACUAGAGUUUAGAACUGGCAACCAUGUUUGAUUAAAUAAUCCUCAAUUAGGAGAUAAAAUCUGAUGAUUAGAGGUGGAUCUCUAAGGAUGGAGAAAGCACAAAGCGUGCUGAUGACAUAGAGAAAAAUUGUAUUGAGAAUUUGAGGAGAGAGUUGUUUUGGCAUAGAUAGUUAAGUAAAUGCGUAUGACAACCUUGAUGUUUAUUCGGUAUGCUUCAAAUUUUACUAUUCUCAGUGAUUACAUUACCGGAAACUCUAUGUAUAUGUGCUGCUGCAUUAAAUUGCAUGUUGCUUAUUUGAGUUAAUUCUGCUGCCUGUUACUACAGUCUAAUUACAUCCAAAUUGUAAAUAAUGGUAUGCAUAUGAGGGUAAUGGUCAACACUGGAAAGGUGAAAUUAGGUGCAUCAGGGGCGGAGCCAAAAAAAAAUUUUAGUGGGGGCAAAAAUAACAUCAAAAUUUUUAUCUACUCUUUUUCUAAUUUUUUAAGCAAAAAAAUAAUAAAUUCACCAACAAGUACAAAUGGGGGAAGAAAGAAGAGCCGUCGGUUGUGAAGGGAAAAUGGGGACCAGAGGAGGAAAGGGAAUUGGGGAGUGGGGACCAAAAGAAAAGACUGAUAUAAUUGGUACUUGGCUCUGUUGGGGGAAAAAAUGGGAGACCAGGGGAGGAAAGUGAAUGAUAUAAAAUUUGUGACCUAUUUUUUCACAUUUGUUCUAAAAAAACUCUGGGGGCACCUUUACGAUUAUAUCAAAAUUGUAUAACUAUUAUACAAAUUUGAGGGGAGGCAGUGGGGGCCCAUGCCCCCAGUGCCCCCACCUUAAAUCCGCCCCUGAGGUGCAUGUCACUUGCCCGGCUCAGCUCAGUUCUUGGUUUUUAGCGUAUAAUUUACUGCACUACCUAGUUCCAUACGCGGUUCAAUUGUAGCGCAGGCCCUUGGAGUUUGUUAACUAACUAGGGGUCGAAUAGUAAGGUGAUGCUUUACAAUUUUUCUUGAGUAUCUAACGCUGGGAACUUGGUGGAUAGUAUUUCUUCUUGAGAGUGUAAAUGAAGUUAGGCCUAAAGGUUUCUUAUCUGUCUCUUAUUAUUUUCAUGAAAUUUCAAGAGAUUAAAUUGCUUGCAGGGAACCAGGGAUUCUAGCAUGAUGUUACCGAUUUGUGCUCAAGAACUACAUCUUGUUGAGUUAUGCUUAGAUACCAAAAGAAUAUGGUGAUUUGAGUCUGGAUUUCUGAACAGCUUACUAGUGGCAUUCGGAUUGCGUUGUGGAGCAGAAGUUUUAAUUUGGUUACAUAUCAAGUGUAGAAUCAUUUUAAUUGCAAUUUUUUUUUAAUUAUCAAGUAUUUAUAACAAAAUGUAUUUGUAACUCUUGUAAGAGUAAGAUGGGAAGUUAACACACUGAAUGCCCUUAAGGAAGUAAUAUACUCCCUCUGUCCUAAUAUUAGAGUCGUUUUUUGGGAAUCUAAUUUUUUAUGCAAACAUGGUAAUCAUUAUGUUUAGAAGAGAUGGCAUUAGUAAAUUGACAAAAGUGUUCUUUGAAUUCAAAAUAUUCUCUUAUAGAUGUGCAUUGGGAUUUUAAAAAGAAAAUUAAAAAGCUUGUGUUAAAUUUGAAAUAGUAACUCUUAUUUUAGGACAUUAAUAAAGUGAAAACAUGAUAAUAAUAAUAGGACGGAGGGAGUACUAGUUACUUCAUCAAUCUGGUGCAUCGUAUACCUUCAACAGGUUGAGUUUGCUGGAGUUGCAGGAUCAUCGCAUGAGACAAGUAGGGUCUAGAUCCAAUGGUACUGUCUUAUGUGGCAUGAUUUGGACUGUGAUUUUAAAUUUAAAUUAAAAAGAAAAAAAAAUUGCAAAAUUUGAUAUGCAACUGGUUCUGGUUCCCUAUUUGCCUGGUAAAGUUGCAGCUGACUGCACCAGCAGCUAUUUAUUAUUAACUUCUGGGAACAGUUAAUUACAUUGACCUCUAAAAGGGUUUAUUAUGACUAAUGAACACAUCCCUAGAUUUUAGAAAGUAAAAAGACCUCCCUAUUUAUUGGGAUUUGUUUGAUUUUGGAGCUUGAAGCAUGAACUAUCACUAGUUUAACCACUAGUCGUGAGGACUAGUGGCCAGGGAGUUAAAUUCCCGCCUGGUAGAUCAGAGUUCAAUUUUUGACUAACAAGUUUAUGACGGGGAGGGAAUAAAGGAGUGGGGGAGGUGAAAAAAAAAAACAACUAUCACUCGUUUGCAAUAGGGAUUGUGUUGUGUAGAGUAAACUCAUUCCCACAAGUCAGAGAUUUUAAUAAACAGAGAAAAACAAGUGAAACUAUUUGGUAAGACCUGUGUAUAGCACACAUAAAAACAUGUACAUUAGUAAUUGAAUAUUGAAAUUUUGGACCAAUCUUGGUCCUGAACCAUCAUGUGUAUUUUGCAAAUUUUCUGACUAUUCCCCAUCUUUAUUUACAGUACUAAAAAAAAAAGAAAAAACAAGGCUAGAGGAACAUUUUUACAAACUUGGGGAUCUUGCUAAGAUCAUGACAAAAACUCAGGCGAAUUUACUAUGAUAACAUUAUCUUUUUCAGUUUUGAAGGAUUAUGAGAUCAUCUAUUAAAGAUAAGUCUGAAUUUGCGCCCACUUCAUGGGAAAUGGUCAAUCUCUACCAACUUUCUAGAAUAGUGGCAGUUUCAAAGGUCAAAGGAAAAGACGGACUGUUUUGCAGUACAAUAAUACCCAAAUCUCAAGUAAAUGAGACUGAUAUAGUACAAUGGAGGGCAUUCAGACAAAAGAGGAGUACAUGGCUGUACUAAACCAAACCCUGAAUUCUUUUGGUCUAUGUUAUAACAGGAGCAAGGCAGUACCAAACAUUGGCUCCUACAUGUAUCACAUCAGGCAUCAUGGUUGUUAUCCUUGUGCUGUCAUGUCCAAAAAUGCUUCAAUCUUAGUCAUGUCUAUGCAUUCUUAAUUUCUUGUGUUAGAUAUAUGGUGUCAUGAGAAAGGAUAAAAUGUGGAAGGAUCCAACAGGGGGCAAUAUAAGAAUACAGUUGUCACGACAUUGCUAUUGUCAAGAAAAAUCUCUAAUUUGUGUCCCAUAUGCUCUCAGGUCAGCCCCUGCAGGAUCUGUGUUCAUUAGGGAAGAUUUUGCAAGAAUAUUCUCAAGUGUUGGAUGAGUGGUAAACUUCAAGUUUACCGCACCACUGCUUGAUUUUUUUCAGUCGUACUACAAAAUGUAUAAAUUCUCAAGAAACAAUUUUAGAAACUUUCCUUGAAGUUUCUGACUGACUAUUUUACUGACGUUCCUAUAAAUUUCAUUGAUCUCCCCGUUACAAUCUUGAGGCCCAAUGCUUAUAUCAUUUAUAGUGAAAGGAUUUUACUAGCCUCACAACUUUUCAAAAUAUUAUGCAAUUAUGCUAAGAUGAUCAAUUAAAUUGUCCUUAAACAUUAUUAAAUGAAUUUAACCAUAAUUAUGAAACAUAGAAUUUUUUGACAUACAACCAAAAAAGGCACCAAUUGUAGGCACCCUUUUCUGAUUGACAAACCCGACAACUUGUGUGAAUGUUUUCACUCUACAAAAUAUUGAUUAUUGCCUUGCAAUUAUGUUUGUAAAAUCUAUUCUUGAUGCUAAAUGUUGUUGGUGAAUUCCAUGAUUCGCCUUUAAGGCUUGAAGAGGCCAUAAUUUUUCUUUCCAAUUCUUGAACUUACUCUCGCAAAUUCCAGCACUACUUAAUUGACUACACCUCAAUUGUUGAAUGUUAACCAACGAAAUUUCCUGUCAAAUUCUAUGUUCCUGCUGUUACAUUCAAUCUCAAGGAAAUGGCCGCAAACACUUUGAGUUGUUUCUUACUUUGCGGUUGCCUUGCAAUUUCAACAAAUUGCGCUUGCGCACUCCUUCAAGCUUUUAUUUGAAAAAAAAAUAAGUAUUUACUUUUCAUACGAGAUUAACUAAUGUAGGGCCCAAACUAAUGUAGGAUCUGCUCUCCAAACUAAACUAGGAGAGGAGUGAAUUAGGCUGUUUACAAAUUAAGUAAAUAAGGGUUAUUAUCAUUUUACCUCCUUAAACUAUAUCACCGCUUCCAGUUUAUUCCCUAACAUUAUCUUUUAAUUACUUUACCUCCAUAAGUAAUUCAACUUAAUAUGUUAAGAAAUUUUGGACAAAAAUACCCUUUUAUUUUAUAGCAUUACUACAUUGUUAUUAUCACUUUAUUCGUUUAGAUUAUAGUGAUACAAUCACUUUAGUUCUUAAUAUUAUUUUCUAAGCAUUUUAGAUCAUCGUUAAUCUAACUAGUAUGGUAAAAUUUUUUUAAAUAUAUUUACCCUUUUUAUGUAUAAUUAAAAAUAAAAAAGUUGGAAUGGUUAUUCUUCCUUUUUUUCACUUUAGGAGAUCAAAAAACAUAAAAAUAAAAGGGUUUUCUCAAACUUCCUUUUUUCACACUUAUUAAUACUAGGAAAAGAAAAAGAGAUAGAAAAGAAGAUGAAAGAAAAUUAGAUUUUGUAAAGAAAGAAAAUAAAGAAAAGUCUAACAUUAUUGUAUUACAUUAAGGUUGUCGGGAUUAGGAUUGAAAUUUGGUAGUAAACAGAAAAGUGAAAUAAUUUUAAAAUAAUAAAAGUAUUUAAUUCUUUCUUAUUUGUAAUUUUUUUUUUUAAAAAAAAAUUUGAGCUCUCUCCCUCUCCAUCUUUCUAUUCUUUUUUUGAUAUUAAUAAGAUUGCCAAAAAGAAAGAAAUUAAUACUUUGACUUUUUUCCUUGAUACUAAAAAGGGAGAAGAGCCUUUCUAAACUUUUUAUUAUUUUUAUUAUACAAAGAGGAGGGUAUUUUUUUCUAAAGUUUUUUAACUUGCUAAGUUGGUUUAAUAGUAGGAUAAAUUGCCUAAAAAAUAACUUUAGGGGGUCAAUUGAUAAUGGGACUAUAGUUUACGGGGGUAAAGUGAUUAUAAUUUUAAGGGUUAAACAUGUUUUUUCACUUUAAUUAACAAAGGCAAUUGUUAAAAAGAUUCGAAGAAAAAAAUUCCUCGAGGGACGUGCGUUGCGAUAUUUGCAAACUUUGGGAUCUUGCUGAAAUGAUGACAAAAACGCAGACGAGAUUACCAUGAUUUACUCUUUAUCAUUUUCAGUUUUCAAAGAUUAUGAGACCAUCUAUGAAAGGUUAAGUCUUAAUUUUGCACCCACCUUCUGGGAAAGAAGGUCCAUCUGGAGAAGAGAUUGAUUCCAACUUUCUGGAAUCGUAGUAAUAUUAUAAAUUGACACUUUCUAAGGCAAAGAUGGACUCUUUUGUAGUACAACAAUGCCCAGAUCUCACAAAAUUGACACUGACAUAGUACAAUGGACUUAUUCAUAGUUAGAGAUAAAAGAGGAGUACAUGGUUGUACUAACCUUGAAUUCUCUUGUCUGUGUUAACAGUACAACCAAGGCAGUACACAAUUUUGCUCGUGUGUACAUAUAUAUAUAUAUAACAUCAAGCUUCAUCAUUUCCAUCCUAUUUCUAUUAUGUCCAAAAAUUCUUCAACUUGGCAAAGAAAAGAUAAAAAGUGGAAGGAUCCAACAGGGGCAACAUGAGAACACAUAUGCCACAAAAUUGCUGUUGUCAAGAUAAAAUCCUUGAUUUGUGUUCAAUGUGUUCUCAGGUCGCCCCUGCAGGAUCUCUUCACUGGCAAAGUUCUGGCAAGAAAACAUGCAUGCAAUCAGUGUUGGAUGAGUGGUAAAGUUCUGAUUUACCACAUUACUGCUUGAUUUUUCAGUAGUACUAAUCACUCUAUAAAUUCUCAAGUCAGUUUUGGAAUAAUGUGAUUAGUUUGUUUUGUUGUACUUUUCUAUUAACCACCACUACUUACAGAUUUUGGUGACCUAAUUCAAAUAUUUCCCAUGGAUUUUAAGAUUUAUGAUUAAUCUUGUUUUCAACCACGAACUCCUUUGCACUUUUCUUCUUAGAUUUAACAUUGUGCAACUCAUUCCGAUUUGGACCAUCAACAGCUCAGACUGGGUAGGCAACCUAUAAAUUAAGCGUCAGACUGGUCAGCUAUGUCCUUCACUACCUUCAACACAUGUAUAUGUAUGUAUGUAUUUAUGUAUAUGAACAUAUAUAUCCUUCACAAUCUACAAUACACAUUGGGGGGGUAUUUCAACAGCCUACAUAUUAAUCAUGUCAGGUGAACUAUCCUUCUUUCCUUGACCCUAGAAAUCAAGGUUACUAGUUUGUAUUGGACAUCACAAAGUGCUUUCACCCCAGAGCAAAAACUUCAAUAUGACCCGGUCUACUAAUCAUUUUGAUAUUGUUACAGAGGGCAUCACUUCAGGAUACAUUAUUGUCAUUUUGUCACCCUCAUUUCUUGAUACAUCUCAUGCUACUCCAGUUCUUCACUCUCAGGCCAGUUCAAUACCGAAAUGUUUUGAUUUGAUCUAUGAAAAAGAAACUCAAAUCAUACGGGUUUUCAGAUAGGGCCAAAAUCAGGAUGGAAUAACUUUGCUUGUAGCCUUCAUAUCUACAACAUUACAAUGGCAUACAAACAGAAAGAAAAGCCAUAGCAGAGCAACGACAAGUAACAACCACCAAGAUGAAAGAAUACAACAUUAGUAAAUAUAAAACAACAGAAAGGUGCAAGGGACAGACCAGGAAUCAGAUUUCUUGAAGUUGAAAACUAAGGAUCAAAAUUGCUGUUCCGUGACUUCCGUCUCCGACAAAAACCACUAGAGUUGCUCUAAACUAAAAUCCUUACAGCUGAUGCAAUGGCAAGUAGUUCUUCCUCACUAGCUUUCUUCCAUACUCCACCUAUCAUCAUAUGCCCCUUGAUAUCUUCGGAAGUAAGAUUUUCCUGGUCAUCUAUUUCACAACCCUCUAUUGUCUUUCUUAUUUUCUUUACAUUCAUCUUAUCUAAAUCAUCGGCAACAGAAUGAGGUUCUCUCUUCUUAGAGCAUUGGUUUGGAUCCCACUGAUCUUUCCUAAUUGCUAAUGUUGGGAUUUCAGGAGCUUCAAAGUUGCAGUCAAGAACUGGAAAUCGGCCAGCAGAACCAAGGGACUGAGGCAACAUACCAAUGGGACAUGGAUUCCAAGAUUUUACGAUCACCCAUCUUGUAUUUUUCUCAUUGUUGUUUGUUGACAUCAAAUUCUCAGUCUUCCUCCGACGAAGUUUGAUUAACUCGAGGCUUCUGGCAGCAAAAUCAAUAGAUUCUUGUUCAUGGGAAAGGAAGUUCUCAGAGACACUAUCAUUGGAAGGGAAAGCUUCACUAACAUCCAGAUCCGGUCCAGUCAGCUGUAAAAGUUUCUCAAGUUUAGAAAUCAAAGAUCUAUCUCCCAGGAUACGGGCAAGAAAAAGAGCAGAAGUCCUCAGCUGAAGGUUGCCAUGAGAGCAGGUGACAAGACAUUUAUGUAGAAGCUCAAAAAUAGUUGCUUUAGGAUGAUUCUUCUCUAUAAGAAAAUCUUCGCAUUCGGCACCAGAAUUUUUGAGCUCCAAAGGCUUCACUGCACUAAGAUUUCUGACAAGCCACUCAAAUAGAGUAGCAAGUUGUUCAAUUUGGUGAGACUCAUCAAUAUGGGCUGAGGAGAGGUGCUCAUCUGAUGAGGGAUCAAAUUAUUUAUCAUCAGGUCACAAACAUAAUAUGUUAUCAUUUGAAAUUAACACAAGGGAUAUAAAGACAAACUUUGCAUGAUGACAAACUGUGAAUUGUAUUUAGUUCUUAUCGGCUUUCAAAAGAGUAUCUAUUUAUUUGUCUAAUGGGAAAAGGCAUCUUAAAGAGUCUAGCCUCCAAAUAUCCAUAAGUAUUCUUUAAUCUGAUAUAUGACUACUCGGGAAACCAGCAGAACAGGUAUAACAGUGUGAUUGGGUUUCCAGUAUUGCAUACGAUUUUAGGUGCUAUUCACUGAAACCAAAGCUUUUUAUUGGUGACGAUGUGAAAAAUCUAAACCUAUAAGGUUACACAACAAUAUCAGUGCAGUUUAACAAGACAUCUAAUGUGUAUGUAUCUGUGCAUGUAGAAAUGCCAAAAUCUCAGUAGGUACUUACCUACCUAUUUCAUUGUUGUUGCCUCCCUUGGUCUCAAUCUUUAUAAGCACAGCCUUCAGAAGACUCCAAAGCAGUUCUGGUUCCUUCUUGAACAAUUUUAUGACAACAGGUUUCCAUGCAUUGAACACAGUUGGUGUAGUCUCAGAUCUAUGACUGGUUUCUUGAUUCUCACAGAGCUCCACCAUGUUUGACAAAUCCAUUGCCUUCAGCAAGAGUUCCAGUAGAACAUCUACUACUUCUCCAGAGAAGGAAGAAUAUAACCGUCGAACAUUCUUUAACAGCUUGUUUACCUGUUUCUUAGAAACUAAUAACAGCCAGCAAACAUGAAAUGAGGAUUUCUGCCAAUUUGAUAACUUCUUUCAGUAAAAGAAAUUAAUGGAAAAAUGCUCAAAAAUUUCAUCCAUAUAAUAAAAACUACAUGUCCCAUAGACAACUUUCACUAUCUUACUGUUUUCUAUUUAACCGCAGGGCUUGCGAAACUCAAAAUCUCAUACUCACCACAAAUACAAUAAAACUGACAUUAACCUCAAGUGUAACCUCAAGUUUAAUGCAUGUCUUAUCCAAGACUUAGGGCCAAAUUUACUUAACGGUAAAGAGCUUCCUACAAAGAACAUUUACACAAUUAAAAAAAAAAAGAACCUUUCUUUUCCCACUUUUUGGUAUGGAUGAAUUCGAAAAAUAUGACAUAACUAUGAUUGCAAUAAAAUAGCCAUCUUGAAAGCAAUGGUAAAGAAACAUUCUUAUUGUAUUUCCUAUUGUUACCUUAUGCCCAUUGCCUUUGCUACUAUGAUAGCCGACAAUACAAAUAACACAAUAGAACUAAAGAAAUAGAAUCAGAGUAACUGUAACCACAGAAGCAGUAACAUUCUCAAUAAGGUAAGACUAAUUUUAGUAAUGAAAGUCGGAGAUCAGAGGUUUCCAUCAGUGGUAACUAGCAAAAGUAGGAGAUAUACUGACUAGUAAGCAAGCAAAUGGAAUCCUAGCAUAGUUAGCUUAAUUUUUCAUGUCAGGGUGUUAAUUAAGGGAGGGAAAUCAAAUUGUAACUAGAAGCAGUUGAAAGAGGAGAACACAUUGUUCUAUUCAUGAAGGUGAGGAUUUAAUGGGUGUGGAAAACUGUUGGUGAUGAGGGCCAUAUGAAGACAGGAUGUCUACAGCUAGUCAAUAGUCAAAUGACGUGUGCUAACAGAAGCUGAAAGUGAGUCCAAAGAAAAAUAUGUUUUUCAUACCAGGCAUUUUGUCAUUCAGCCAAAUUUCGUAAAUACUCUUCAAAGAUAUCAUGGAAUAGACCAAAGAAAAUUUACCUUCUGAACUCACACAUCUCCUAGCUCUAAUGUAAUUUUCCAAUCAGUUAUGAUUUUGGUGCGAACUUAUUCCAAUUUUGCCUUAGAGAUACAUAAACAGUUCAAGAAUAGUACAGGAAAUACUUCAUAUUGACAACUAUUGUUUGAUGAACACUUAGAAAAUAGAAAUAUUUUUUCCAGUAAACACAAAUCAUAAAAAAUUACAGCAUUUUGUUGGAGACAUGAUCGGGAAGCUUUCAAGAAAAAAUGGACCAUAUGCACUUAUGCAUGACAGAGGAAAUACCAGCUUAUCCACUUUCUGACCUAGCAAGCUAUUUUGUCUCCUGGUAUCUGAGCAAUCAUUUUCUGGAAUAUAAACUUUUCUGUUUGGUAGGCCAUAUAGAAUAAGGCAUGCCUUCCAAAAUUUUGAUUAAAACAACUAAGUUGACAUCUAAUCUUCUUCAGCAUGCAUUGAGUUUAGAUAUGGAAAACUCAAAUAAUUUUCCAAACCAUGGAUUGUCAAGUGUUCAUUUACAGUUAACAGAUUUACUCACCAGAAGAUUUAGAAUUGGUAUGCUUCAUGGCCAUUAAAGAGAGAAAUUUGUUAGGCCCAUGAAGACAUUCUAAAUGCUUAAAUCCUGAAAAAGCAUCAAUGUAAAUUAUAUAAGAAUAUAAUCAUUGACAAAGAAUAAUCCAACAAGGGAAGGCUAAGAUUACAGUCUUUAUUCUCAACAGUAACAAUUCUCUUCCUCUAUGUCUAUCUCUCUAAGUCACAUGAUAUUGAAUAUUUGAAUGUUCAAGACGAAGGAGAUCUUUUUUAAAAUGGUAAAGACUAGAAUUGAGGGAUGCGUCAUAGCAGAAGUAACAAAGUGCCCUGGUACCAUUAAUUUAUUAAAGACUGGAAGUUCUAACAAGUAGUCUAUUGUGCUGCCAAAGCAAGGUGAAAACUUUGAAUUUCAUCUAAGGGUUAAGCAUAUAAAGGAACUAAUCAGGCGAAAAUCAUUGGACAAAAGAGAGCAUUCUGUCAUCUAUUUUCAAAUAGAGAAAGUUCGACAUGAAAAGAGUAUUAUGAACUAACAUAGUGAAGAAUGAAGGUAUCCACUCACGUUUCCCUUUAACUAGUGAAGAGCCUGAUCUCAAGCCGCACUUUGCUCUCAAACAAGAUGCCAGUUCAUAUAACCUAUGCUUAAUUUCCACUCUAGCAUUGCUAAUUACGUCUGCUUGAUUUGGAAUAGCAUUCUUCUGAGGUUCCCAGUAAUAUUCUUUCAACCAAUCAAGUGCCUGAACGUCAAAAUCAUGUUAAAAAAGCUGUGAUCUUCAAUUUCAUACAAAGAAUUGAAAUGAUUAAGAAGUAUGUUAAGUCAAUUAUGGUUCUAACACAAAGCUUGCAUGUGCAACUUCAAAUGAAUUUCCAUUACUGUGCUCUCUUAGCCAAGCAAAAAGUUCAUGCAUGACAAAUUCCAGUAAGCACUACAGUUGAUAGAUAUAUAGAUCAAGGACAAAAUGCUACCUUCAUGGAGGCAAGACGAACCAGGUGAAGAGAAGGGAGAUCACGAUGAGAGCCCUCUACAAAUAAAGAACAACCAACUCAGAAGAAAACUUAUCCAUAAGUCAAGCCAUUCCACAUCAUUUAUUACUAAUUUUCGUAUUAGGAAUUGAACUCAAAAAAUAUGCAUUGGUAAAUAAUCAAGGGAACAGAUGAAUACCCAUUUUUCCUUUUUCUUUUGGAAGUACAGGAAAACAAGGAAGCUUAACCAAUAUUAUGCAUCUUAUAUGCUGACAAUCAGCUACUACAACAUCAAAUGGUGAUCUGCGUAAUCUAAAACUUUGUCGCUACAUUUCUUAGAAGAACUAUGUGAGUAAAAUAAGAAAUGAAGAAACAGGAUGUAAAGUUGUUUACCAUGACGAAUAUCUAUGAGCAUACGUGGAAUACCAAUAGCACCAGCAGCCUCUGCUAUUGAGACCUCUGUCUUCUUGCGAGUUUUCUCAAUGACACCAUUGACAAGCCUUAGAAGACAAGAAGCAAAAUUUUUAGCACGAGUUUAAGGAUAGAAUAAAGCAUGCAAGGAAGAUACAUGAAGCAGGUUCUUAAUUAGGCAUACUUUUGCAGGGGUCACAUAAGUACUUGGGCCACUACUCAAUGACUGUAGUUUUAAGUAUACACGCACUCAUGGCCCUCACACCCCGUUUUGACAAACAUUUUCUUUCCAUCACACAGCCAAUGAGGUAGGCAAUGAAGAGUGAAGAAAAAUGAAAAAUGACAUUAAUUGGAUGCCUUGGAAAACAAUGAAUGCAAGAGAAAGGCAUAGACAAGAGCUGCUUAUACUAUAACAUAGCACUACAGAAAUUUUAAAAGAUUUUCUUACUGUCUGCCUUUUAUUUAAUAAGUCACUUCAAUUUUCUUCUGAAAAUUUUGUAUUCAUUCAUGCCAAUCACAACAAAAUAAAGAACUGGCACAAUAACACUCUAAAAACCAAAAGUUUUUAAAAUCUCCAGGGGUAAAUAACUCCCCGAGAACUGAACCAUUAUUCCUUCAUGUACUUAACCAUCAGAGCUUAGCAAAAUGUUUUCAUCACCUCAUUGAUGCUUUUUAAACAACACACAAGUAUACCAAUUGAAUCUUCACCAUUGACACCACAAUUACUUGUCAAUAUUGAAAAACCCAGUCUUCUUGGAGCACUUUCAUUUUAGUUUAAAUAAGCAAGCCAUAUUUGAUGAGAUAGCUCAAUUGAUCCCAGAGGUAAAAACACAUUAAAUUUGCUAAGUAAUGAAGAACUACCUCAUGAUUGCCAUACAAUACAACAUGGCCAGCAUUUCCUCUGAGUCCACAGCUUCUCCAGGUAAGUCAUGCCUAAACAGUAAAAAUUCAUACCUCCAAUCAGCACAAAAUUCACAGAUUGCAAUGUUCACGAAGGGCAUGAAUCGAACAUCAUGUAAGUACAUUCUAAACAAAAAAUAAUAAUAAUAAAUAUUCCAAAUAAAUUAUACAUUUUGAUGAUUCAUGGCCUUACAAACAGGUAAAUACAUAAAAACUGUGUCCUAUUUAUGAACGUUCAUUUCAAAAGCAUCAGACAACAGACCAUUUCACUUUUAGCCACCUUAAACUAAUCAAAUUUGUAAAUCAGGGUUACCUAAAAAAAGGAUCUUUCUGCUGAAUUUCUACAAUUGACGCAGUGACUUCAACCACUACAGGCAGGCAUCCCCUGCUCCGCCAAGCCGUAAUCUGAAGAAACCCCCAAAAAAAUCAUUCUUUAACAUAAUAAUAAAUGAGAAAAAAAUAAUAAAUUGAUGAAUUUAAAUUUGGCCUUCAAUUACUCGUUGGAGAGCUGAGGCAACGGAUGGUGGAGAAGAAGAGAAGAGGGAGAUUCUGACAAAGUCCCACUCGUCCCAGCUAAUCCAUGGUACCAAUUUGAAGCUGUGUGAUUGGUCCAGAACGACGUCGUUAGCAGGUGGUUCAGUAAACCCUAGCAGAGGCUCCAUUGUUGAAGGGUUUUAGCUUCUAUAAUCUCUGUGCAAAGUAAUCUAAAAUGAAGUUUUCAAUUUGCCCCGACCCGAAAUAUUAUUGCUCCUAAUUAAAAUUGGAUAAGAAGAACCGGACCCGAUGACCCAUCAGAUUCUAAUAACUACUAAAGAGUUUUUUUUUUUUUUUUUGUCGGAGGACCAAUAACUACUAAAAAGUAAAUAUGCAUAUUAGAGAACUAAAGUAAUUUAGAAUUCAUUUUGAUCUAGCUGAGAUUUUAUUUUAUUUUAUUUUAUUUUUAAUUUUUUUAAUAUAGGGAGGGACGAAAUUUAAGAAGUGAAGAGAGUGCAGCAGAAUUUAUUAAAGUACGGAUUAUGCACAUGAAUAUUAGAUAUAACCCGGGUUUGGAUUGUCUUUUUUUUCCAAAAACUGUUUUUGUCUUUGAGAAACAGCAUAUACUGUUAUGUAGAUCUACAGUGAAAGAAUAAUAAAACUGCAGCGUUUUUGGCAAAAUACUCAAUUGUCUUGUUUUCGGCUUUCCUUGCCAACACUACCGAAAAUCACUUUCCCAAAUUGCUGAGAUUGAACGCAAAGAAAGAUUCAGAACAGGGACUUGGUCAGGAGCUUGUGCAAAGUACUCCUCUGAAGCACCAUUGCCGGCCAUCGAGAGGGAAAUUUGUCAGUAAUCGAAGCAGAUUUCAGCUCGCGACUUCAAAUCCAAACCUUCUCUGAGCUCUAACCCCCUCUUCACUCUUCGAUCCAUCUUGCUAGUACGCCCCUCUUUGAGAGCGACCUUGUCUACAAGAGCCCACCCUCGCGCUUCAAUCCAUCAUGAUCUUAACCCCCUUCCACAGCGAAUAGCACAUCUCGAACCCCCACAGCUCCGACCCCUCUCGCGCUUCAAUUUACUGUUAAGGUUAUGUUUCUAGCAUUUUGCAGCUUUCAAUUUACUGUUUCUGCUGCUUAUUGUAAAGAAUAAUGUGUGGGUUGCUCAAAAUUUGCUGUCCGGAAGGUUAAAAAUUUUAGACAUUGAGGUCAAAAUUUGCUUGCUGCUUUCACUUUUUGUUUUAGCCGUUUAGAGAUGUUGGACAGUAGAUGUAGAGAUUAUUUGUGCAGAGUAUUGUGAUGGAUGAACCAUUUCUCGCCAAUGCUGAGAAUGAACCACGAAAAAUUGAGCUGGUGUGAUGAUUGAGACGAUAAACUAGUUUGCUCCAAAUUCGAUGUCAGAUUUGUUUUAUAUAUGUUGAGAAAAUGGAUGAUCACAAUACGGCAUUGACUUCAAUUCAUAUCAGGUCUAAAAUUUUGUAGUCCAACCGAAAACAACUUUUGGUUAACUAAAAACUGCCUAUUUCUUCCUUUCUAUUCAAAACAUGACUUGAAGUAGUUUGUUCCCGCAAUUAUGUAUAUCAAUUCAUUUAGAAAUACCAUUCUGUGCAUGCUGUUCAUCUUCGAUGUGCAGCUGGGAUCAAAUUGAAAGGGAAUACCUGUCCUUCUUUCUGUGUUGGCAAAUUUUGAGCUGUUAAGCUUUCCCUAUGCCAGUGAGAUUUCUGAAUGACACCAGAAACCUUAGUAAAAUCUUGAGUGUGUCCGUUUUAAGGUUAUUUAAAAGUGAAACUGUACAGGAGGGAAAAGCUGUUGAACGAAUAGUAAUAUGAGUGGUUCUUACUGUAGUUUGUGUUUUAAAAGUUAAUGGAGAAUGAUGUGUAGUCGAAAUUCCUGUUCUUCAAUGCUUGUCGGGUGCUGUUUUGCCGGAGUUGGUGGAUGCAUUCGAUAGUCCUUAUGUGCGAUUAACCAAAAUGCCUUACUUGCUUGAGAUUCAUUAGAAUUGCCUAAAUUCAGUGAAAGAAGCGUAUGUUUCUGCUUCUGAUGGAAAUUAUUGGCUUGGAGCUACUUCUGAUUGUGCUUUGGCAUAUUAUUCCCCUCCAUGAGUGUGUCCAGCUUUGCUAAUGCGACUGCAGUCAUGUUUUCGUAUUAUUGUAGCACUAAUUCUUGUGUUUUUCCCAAAAUGAAUUGUCUGAUGCUAUUUUUGUGAUUUUAAAUUGUCUUCUCCGACUAUUACUGAGAUUGGUAUCUGCAGUCUAACUUCAUACUGCUGUUUGGUGCUAUAAAACAGGGUUGGUUGGUGUUUUCAUUGCUGUUGUCUAAGGUUACAUGCCCCCUAUUACUCGCCGUGCUUCCAAAGGUAUAGUUUGCGUGGUUCUGACUUUGUUCACUGCCUUGUUUAGUGUGACUAAUUUUAUUCCUCAAUGAACACAGCAUUGAAGACGAAAAAUUGUGAGAAUUGUUGUGCAUCCAACUCAGCUUGAGGGGAAAACGAUUUACAAAAGUGCAUUUCUAACUACUACAAGGUAAUACCUGCUAGUCCUCUACUUUCGCUACUUAUUAUUUCAUCUCUGUCUUGCCUCGAGGUAUAAUUACCAACGUGUCUGAUUGCCUUUGUUUAUGGGUUAAUAAGAUGAGAAAACAAAGGCGCAAUCCAGGUGGGUAGAAAUUUUAUUUCACUAGGCAGCAUGAAAUAGAAAUUGCCAACUGCCUUGUCAGCAUGCAUAGAGCUAAUGAAAUUAAGGACAAUAAUAUUGGUAGCUACAUGGUUCCCGAAAUUCAGCAGCGGUUGAACGGCCAAUAUGGCACAUCGUUCACUUCGGACAGUAUAAGAGCCAAAUACUAUGCCUUGCGAGAACUGGCCAAACUGUACAUUGCCUUCAAGAGGCGGGAAACGGGACUAGGUUGGAAUAGCCAGAACUUUACCUGGCUCAUGGACGAUAGCAAGUGGGCCGAGCUUGCACGGGUAUAUUUUGUCAAGUAAACUAUUUUUAUAUCAAUUUAUGGCUGUUAAAAGUUAAUCAGAUUAUACCUGCUGCUCCCUCAAAUAACCUUUUGGCUGUGUUUUUUUUUUUUUUGUCACGUGAACCCAAAAUUUUUAAAAUUUCAAGAUGACUGCACCGUCUACCACUUGCUUGAGGAAGUUUUUGUCAACUAAGGAGCAACGGGAGAUUUCAGCGCUGGCUUUGAGAACGAGCCUCGUACUUCAGCCGAGGAGAGAUACAUGGAGAACGUUGCACGAUCCUCACGGGGAAAGGGAAGGUCGGACUAUGCGCACGAGGGUCUUGAAUUAAAAUUGGCGGUUUCAUUAAUCAAAGUUAUGUCUUUUAGCAAAAUGGUAUGUCAGGGAUUUGACACUUUAUGUAUUAUUGUUUAAAUAAAUCUUAUAUACACUAAUAAUUCAUACAGUAUUAUCGAUUAGAUUCAUGACAUAUGAGCAAAUUUUGAACUUUAAAUUUUAAAUCAGUAGUGAUAAUUGUGUAUAUACUAUUAAUAUAUAAAAGAUUAAUUCAUGUUAUUUUCCUCCUAAAUGUCAACUGAUAGCAUGCAAAUGUUGAGCAUAAAUACACAGCUGCACAUGGUUAUACAAUAUUCUAUGCCUAAAAGCACGCAAUUGCAAAGAAUUUCUUUGUCAAAUUAAACUCACUACUCCUUGCGGCCCAAUCAAAAUGUCAAUACUUUCUAUUUUGAAAUGUCCUAAAACUUUUUAUUCUCUCCUUUCAAUACAAUCCCCCCUUUAAUUAUAUAUAUGUUAUUAUUUAAAUUCAAAUUUUGAAUUUACUGAAACAAUAUAAAAAAAAAUACAAAUAUUAUAAUCAGACCAUUAUUCAUAAAAAGUUAGACUCCCUUUGAUCAUACGAGACGGAUGAAGUAUUAUAUUCCAAUUCCCGAGGCCUUUAUCCUCUCUUCCUCUUGGAUUUGUACAACCAAGGAGCUGAUAGAUUAAUUUAACUUUUUUUUGUGGGGUAAGAAUAGACUAAUUUAACUAAAUCCAAAGAACAAAGCACCAUUAGUACAUAUUUUAUUCACUAAUGGCACAACUUUACAUAAUAAUCAAAGAUUCCCAUCAAUUUUAAACAAAACCCUGUUGCAUUCACCAUACCAUAUGCACUUUCACCGGUGGGAUUCCAUAUACUAACGACCUUAAGAACGCUGGUUAUUGCACAACCCCACAAACCACCAAGAAAUGGCCGCUCAAACUCACCUGUUUCAUCCACUCCACUCCUUAUCUCUGCCACUGAAAACCCGAUGUAAAUCACCUGACUUUAAACCCAAGCUAAAACCCUCCACAUUCAUCAUCUCCAGCAAGCUCCGGGCAGCGGUGGUAGGAGGAGGUCCAGCUGGAUCCUCUGCAGCUGAAGCACUUGCUGCUGGUGGCAUAGAGACCUUCCUCUUCGAACGCAGCCCCUCUACUGCCAAACCCUGUGGUGGAGCAAUCCCACUUUGUAUGCUAGAUGAGUUCUCCAUCCCUCCUCACCUCAUUGAUCGGAAAGUCACCCGCAUGAAGAUAAUAUCUCCGUCCAAUCUGGCCGUUGAUUUUGGUAAAACUCUGAAGCCCCAUGAGUUCAUCUCCAUGCUCCGCCGAGAAGUGCUUGAUGACUUCCUACGCCGCCGUGCUGAGUCUUGUGGCGCCGCACUUAUCAAAGGACUUGUCACAAAUGUGGAGGUUCCCCUAACAAGCAGCUCUUCAUAUGUUAUUCACUAUAAUAAGAAUAAUUCACAGAAAUCUCUUGCUGUUGAUGUUGUUAUUGGUGCUGAUGGAGCCAACAGCAAGGUGGCUAAGGCCAUAAAAGCAGGAGAUUACACUUGUGCUAUUGCUUUUCAAGAAAGGAUUAAGUUGCCUGAGGAGAAAAUGGAAUAUUAUGAAAAUUUGGCUGAAAUGUAUGUCGGAAAUGAUGUUUCACCUGAUUUUUAUGCGUGGGUUUUCCCCAAGUGCGAUCAUGUGGCAGUGGGAACGGGGACAGUAUGCUCAAAGAAGGAUAUCAAGAUGUUUCAACAUGGCAUAAGAGCAAGAGUUAGGCCAAAAACUCAUGGCGGUCAAGUAAUUAAAGUUGAGGCUCAUCCAAUCCCUGAGCAUCCACGUCCAGUUAGAGUCAGGGGACGAGUGGCUCUGGUGGGGGAUGCAGCAGGAUAUGUGACGAAAUGUUCUGGUGAGGGAAUUUACUUUGCUGCCAAGAGUGGGAGGAUGUGCGGGGAAGCAAUUGUCAAGGCAUCAGAAGGAGGUGAAAGAAUGAUUAGUGAAGAAGAUUUAAAGAGGGAGUAUUUGAAGAAGUGGGAUGAGAUGUAUUUAACUACAUUCAGGUUUUUGGAUUUGUUGCAAAGGGUGUUUUAUGGUAGCAAUGCUGCUAGGGAGGCAUUAGUGGAGUUGUGUGGGGAUGAGUACGUGCAGAGGAUGACAUUUGAGAGCUAUCUGUAUAAGAAGUUGGCCCGGGGGAACGGAUGGGAUGACAUUAAGAUGGUCAUGAAUACAAUUGGGAGUCUAAUUAGGUGUGAUAUUGUAGGCAGAGGGAUUGAAAUGUUUGACAAACGAGUUCUUGCACAGUUGUAGUGUAUCAGGGAACUAGUUAAAUGAAAGAGAAUCAAAUGAAACUUCAUCAGUACUUCCCAGAGAAGUACAGAUCCAGGAAGUUUUAGCUUUAAAUCACCUAAAAACCUUUUGGUAUGAACAAAUGGUUGUGCCAUUACUCUAUUUCAGUUCUUCAUAAAGCAGAUUCAAAUUGUUGUUUCCAAGAAAAUCUUUGCUGCGGUGGUCAAUUUAGCCUUUCAUCAUUGCCUUAAGUAUCAUCCUGUAAAGUAAUGAAUAAUUAAGAACUUGACUACAUUAUUAUAACUUCUGGGUGCAUAAAUACAGCUUUACAGUGGAAAGAAGUGAAACAUUUAAGCAAGCUAUAACUUUUCAGCAAAGCUUCAAGUUGAAUUAACAGUUUCCUACCAUACACACACUAUUUACCUUGAUCCUAACAUUAUAGCCCAGUCGAGCUAAGAGUUUCUUACCCACUUUGUACCUCGAUUCUAACAUUAGCCAGCUCCUGUUUUUGCCUCUACUGAUACCACAAUUUAUUUGUACAACUUAUUCGCUAUAUGCAUAGAGUUCAAGUGUUUCAAGAGAAAAUCAAAUCCCAUUUUCACACCAUUCUGUAUCCAUCCUUUCUUGACCCCUCCGCCCUCCGCCACAACCAAUUUCUUUCUUCAUGUAGUGCACAUUGUGUUUGAAUCUUUUGCGACAAGGUUUUGAAAAUAAAAAAAACCCAAGUGCCUAGUGAUGAAAAAGUAAUUAGAGCAGUAAAAGGGUUAAAGCUUGAUAUAUUUCCACAUAUAAUAGGACCCAAAUAACAACCUAAUAGUUGAAUAGGUGGCUAUGCAGCCACCAAUCAUCCCUCUUGGUUAAAGACAUACAAGCAUAGAGGAUAUAGGCUCUGAUUUAGUAGACGUAGUUUGCAGAACUUGGAGGAAUAUGUGCUUUGCUGCCUGUGUUAUGCAGCAUUUCUGGGACUUAAUUUAGUCAAGGGAGAAGAUUUUGAAAGCAAUGCAAGGCAGAGAUGGAGUUGAGGAUUGAAAAGAAUGAACAGGAGAAGAGCGUGCAUGAAAAACAUAGGCAGGGGGGAGGGGACUAGCCAAGGUAAGCCCCUUAAUUAUGACAGAGAAAAGACAAAUAUGCAAAGAGGAAAUUACAGAAUAUUAAGGAAAAGAAUUCACCUUAUACUUAGAAUCUCUCUUGAUGAAGUGCAUAAGAUGCCAUAUUCUAGGCCAAAGAAGUUAAUUCUUAAAAAUGCAGAGAACCAAAGCUUCAAAAUAGAAUGAAAAAAAUCAGUUUAUGAUGCUAACUAGCCUUUUUGAUUUUAAUAACUAUUAAUAUACUACGAAUAGAACUAUAUAUGUUUACACAUACAUAUACAGUACGGCCUUCAACCCGCACUUGUCUCCGAGACUCAUACCUGACUCCACUCAAAGUGCCCUUAGCUAAAGGUUUUCUCAAAAGAUUAAUGUUUCUUCUAAAUGUGUUUCAAUUUUAGGUAGCCAUGUAAAUACUAUAUGUAUGCCUCUGUGAUUUAUGUCAAUUUCACUCUAAACAUUUUAAAGCUUGGGAUCCUCCUCAAAACACCAGAGUAUCUUAAUCUAUAACUAACAUGGUCUUAAUUUGGUUGGGCAGAAAACAAUCACAAGCAUAAAAUGUAAUUAUCCUACUCAUGUUAGGGUUAGCAUUUUUGUAUUUUCAGAGACCCUAUCCAACAUUACUCCCCCAAUUCAAAGAAUUCAGACUCUCUUGCAAUUAUUCAUGCACUGUUAAGCUGCAUCUGUAUAUUAGCAUAACACCAGAGAAGCCUAAGCAGUAUGUCUCUCAUAAUAUAACAUAAAAAGGUUUGCUGAUACACAACAAAGUCACUUAAUACCUGCAAUUCACUAAAACUUUUGCACAAAGGGUACUUUAAAGUAUCAAGAUGUCACUAAUUUCACCAAUGAUCCACUUAAGGUCCUCUUUAAACCAUAUGCUUCAAAUUCUUAUUUGGCUAGAAAAGUCCAGAUAACUUGCACCUCAACUGCAAUUUCUCAUAUUAAAUCUCUAGCACAAAGUAGCUUCAUAUAACUACUUUUUUUAUAUUAACCAAAAAAAAAAAAAAAAACAGCAAUACAAGAACCCAGAAGAACCAAACCGAUGAAAUCCUUUUAUUGUUCUAUUCUUAAUAACAACAAGAUAACAUGAAAAAAGGUUGCUGCACCAUUUUUAAUAAGCAUUGCAAUCAGACCAUCAAAAUGAAGUGCAAAAGGUCGAAGUUGAAAGAAUGUGAGCUGUGAAACUAAUAGACAUGAAAAAUACAAAAUGAUCUUAAUAAAAGCUACCAUAAAUUAAGGAAUCAAAACUGUGAGCAUAAGCGAAAAGAGUUCAUGGAAGAUAAAAAGAGUUAAAAAGCAGAGGAUCUUACGGUUUUUUUUUUUAAACCUUUUGUCAUUCAGAUCAGAUAGAGCCAGCAAUUAUAUUCUUGUAACAAACAUAACCAGAACACAAACUUUGAAAUUUCCCCAAAUAACCAAGACAGGGAGGUUCCUUGCUUGUCGGCAAGUGGACAGAAAACAGAAAUACCUACAAAAAAGGAAAAAAAAAACUAAAAUGGAACAAAAAAGUAAGCCCGAUACUCCGGUAUUUGAUGCUGGAGAUGGAUAGUUUGCAUCCACCUGUUGAUUUUGCAGGAGAUGAAUAGGUUUACUUGGGGCUGAUACCGCUGAAAAUAUAAGGUUGGAAUUGAAGGAAUUUUGUGAUGGUUGAAGAUGAUACAAACAUUCAAUUGGAAAUUCCCUGGGAGAAAGAGAUGAAAUUGAGGUGGAACAAUGAGGUGGAGAAGGAGUUUUGAGGGUUGGAUUUUUGGGAGAAGAUGGAUUCCGGCGUUCAUGAAGCAGUGGCGGCCCUGGAGGACGACGCCUGGAGGGAGGAGGAGGAGAACCACCCGUACUAAAGGACUGGACGGCCCCCUUUUUUCUGACGAGGACGACACGUGGCAGAUUGUAAUGUCCUGCUUAGUGACGUGUCUGUACAGUCAUCAUACACGUAAGCAUCAUGAAUGACAUGGCAUCCAUGUCAUCAUCACACGAUUUGUAUGACUCGCUGUACGUGGUCUGCAAUUUCCUUCACUUUCUUCAUAGUUAGGUCAAGUUAGGGUUUGUUUUUAUUUCUGACAAGGUUUUUUGUAAUUAAUUUGUUAGUUCAAUUUAUGGAUUCAUUCUUUAAUUCAUGUAGAACACAUAUUGCCUUUUUGGUUAGUGAUUUAAAGAUUUUUUAAUUACCUUUGACAAUUUAUUAAUUGUCUUCGACAAUGUAUUAAUUUUUUUUUUAAAUUUUCUAGGUUUCUGGGAUUAGAAAAUUUUUGUGCAGUUUUCAAUUUUUUCUUUUAGACUUUGGUAGAAAGCAAUAUACAUCACACUAUUUAGAUUUUUUCAUGUUUUUGACUUAAGAGCAAAAUACAUCUGUUCUUUUUUUUUUUUCCCAACAACGAUACAUUGUAUAACCUACUCUAUCCUAAUUUAGAGAGAGGAGGAGCCUAAAAAGGCUUGUGUUAAAAGCUAGUGGGUAUACUGUGGCGACCCCACUUCCCCCUGAGGCGAACCAAAGGAUUGGCGGGCCGUCUGCCCAACUCUCGCCAGGACUCACGCGAGCAAUCUAACCCGAACCCUUUCGAAGAAUAAACUAAUCUAUUACAAAAUCAUCUUCCCCGAAUAGAAUCAUAUCUAAAGCCACAUUACCUUCGGAGAUAGCAAUGAUAAAAUUUCCAGUCGAGACCCUUAAACGACCUACGUGCUACUUACCAAAGUACAAAGUCAUAACAAACCGGAUAGAUAAAAUGCAUAAAUCCAUAAUACAACUUACAAGCCAAGUAAUCGAACUAAGGUUUACACAUUUUCCAGCUUCAAGUGGCAAUCCAAAAAGGAAAAUACAUUAUCCCCAAAUAACACAUUACAGCCCACAGGAUAAGAUAUAGUGUUCAAAUGCAGUCCAAAAGAAAAACAUAAAUUAAGUAAGCAUCCAACUUUCAGUUUCCAGAACCUGUAAAGGAAAACAAUAAACGUGGGGUGAGCUAAAACUCAGUGGUGCCCCAAAACAUACAAGCACAUAAUUUCAAACAGCGAUUAAUAACUGCACAAAUUUAAACAGUUAGGAAAGCGUAUAACAGCACAAGGUAGGAUACAUGGGCUCUCAGGAGCCAUUUCCCUCGCUUGAGCACCAAUUAUCGUAGUUGACCCUCCGUCAACUCUCACUACUUAUAAGCCAUGUAGAUCCACUUAUUUUAAUCCUAACCCGUCACCAUUCAUACCUCUGCUUCGGGCCCGGACUUCGCCUACCGACGCAGUAUACUCGAGAUAUACCCGUAUAAAAUUAGUCGAGGGAUUCACCCAAUGACGUGAUUGCAAUCAGAUACAUGCGUCGAGAAAUUUACCCAAUGACGUGAUUGCAAUCAGAUACAUGCGUCAAGAGAUUCACCCAAUGACUUAUUGUAGUUAGAUUCAAGCGUCAAGGAAUUCACCAAAGACGUGAUUGCAAUCAGAUACAUGCGUCGAGAGAUUCACCCAAAGACGUGAUUGCAAUCAGAUACAUGCGUCGAGGGAUUCAACAAUGAUGUAACUACAUUUAGUUUCAUGGUAGUUAGAUUCAUGCGUCGAGGGAUUCACCCAACGACGUAGCUACAUAUAGAUUUAGGAGAAAAAUGUUUUGCACAAGUCACCACUCGAACGGCUAGUGCGAUAAAGUACACACAGCUCACUUCGAUGGAUCAGAAACCAAUUUUUUUCAAAUUAUCACAUAUCCAGUCAAGAAGGUACUUUAAGCAGGUAAGCAUAGAACAGGCAGGGACACUCACCAAGAGUGGAGUUCAGAUAUCAAGUUGGGGAUCGAAUUCCGCGUCCUCGAAAAACCCUAAAAACCAAAAUUUGAAACUAUAAGUUUCUACUUAGUUUUUAAGCUUAUAGUCAUUAAAGUAUAUUUAAUAUACUACUAGUUCACUUUCCCUUAGAAAUAUCAAGAGUUCCUUAGAUUAAAACUUGACAAAAGUAGAAAAGAUAUUUCCUAUGGUUUUCCUUGAGGUACUUUUCUAGAAUGAAGUAACUAGUAUUAUUUUAUUGAAAUAAGUCGAUAAACCUCUGAAUAUCAAAGCUAAAAAGUUACUUUGAACAUUUCUCUAAAGAUACGGCUUUUGCAAGAUUUAUUUCCAAAAACUAUUUUUCCUAAAAUAGGGUUUCUUGCCGAGCAAGUUUUCCAGGCUUUUAACUAAAAUUUGUAAACUCGUAUUUUGAAAUUUUUUUUUUCCUAAAGUUAGCUAUCCAAAUGUAAAGCUUAAGGAAAGAAAAGAAAUCGAAAUAAGACCUAGAAUUUUCAAAAGCUAUAGAAUUAAAAUACUAUAGCUAUCAAGACUAGUUUGAGCUAAAGGAACUUAUCGGUUUCGAAAAGUUUUAGGUGAAACACUAGAUAUUGAGUUUUUAUAUUAUAAUACUAGCUGGGAAAUAUUUUUGCUUGAUUUGAUAACAGCUACUCGAGUUCACAAAGUCGAAACGACUUGCACAGCUCCGGUUCCGUGAAUAUAAUCGAAGUAUAAGAUAUAGUGCUAAAAAAAUGGGGAGAACAAGGACAGAACAUAAUUAUGAAUCCCUUUCUCGAACACAAGGGCAUCUAUGAGGCAUUUACCCCUAUUAAGAAAUUUGAAAAUCCCGAACUAGUGGGAUUCCUCCCUUUUGAAGGGAGUUUUGAUAAAUUUGGGGAGUUGUUUUUGGUAAAAAUUCAUGAAAAUCAUUCAUAUGUAUGUCUUUUGUUUAACUAUGUUUUUGUAAAUAGUUUUGAAUCAAGUGAUUUUUGAAGACACGUCUUGUUUAACAAGUAACAUGCUAUUAAAAUUGAUCUUUAUCUUGAAAUUCAAUAAAAUGUACAAUUUUAUAUAUACUGUGUUACUUACACAUUCUUUUCAGAUGGCCAAGAAUAGAAUCCUCUGAUCCUUUAGAUAUAUCUCGAUAUCUCACGAAUGUGAAUUUGGAUUUUAAAAUGAGAGGAGUAGCGAAAUGACAUCCGAAAAUAUUUCAAAGAGACCCGAAUGGUAUAAAGAGAAACUCAAACCGAAUUGGGAUUAAGAUUAAGGAAAUAAAAAUCAAUGGUCACUUGAUAAAAAAUAGUUAAAUGCAGUCUGUCAUGGUCAAUAUUAUUAAAAGGAUUAGCUCGUGCUUACCAUAAAAUAGUCAAAUCAUGACUAUUCAGACUAGGAGACAAAGCGUUGAGGGAGAUUUUGUCGGUGGAAGAUGAGGCCAAAUGAAGAGUUUGUCCCAAAUUGACAAGAUUCUUUUAUUGUCAAAAAGGUAUUGCAGGGCGGAGCACUUAUUUUCACUGAUAUGGAUUAACAAGAGUUUCCCUUAAUCGAUUAAUUUAGAUAUAGGUAAAAUUUUACAUUAAUGAAAGUUUCCUUUCAGAAUUAAUGCAGGGAACAGAAUUAAAGUCCAGCCCUCUUUCUUUCCCAUUGAGACAUUUUAUCCCUAGUGGUCUCUUUUGAUCUUGUAGAAUGAAUGAUUUCGCUUGUCAACCUGAUGAGCAACCCUAGGGGAAGACCCUCCUAGACCCUCCCAACCUUGUAAUUAUCAGAGUUGGACCUUUCUCCCAAUGGAAAUUGAACUCGAAUUGUUCUCAUGGACUCAAGACCUCUGACACACAAAGGCAAUCAGCAACCUUAAGCAAAUAAUGCUGGAUGAAAAGACACCACGAUUAGGGAACAAGCUAAUCGAUAAAGUCAGAUUUGAAUCCUAAGCAAUGAACUCAAGAAUUCAAGAGUAAGUUCGAUUAAGAACUUGAAGGAAAAAAUCCUCACGAUUUCUGGUUGUAAUAUUCCGUCUUUUCACUCAUACAAUAGGUGCCUUUUAUAGGCUAAAACUAGGGCAAAUCCGGCCCACAUAAACCUGAAAUAGGAAUUCGGUCCGCAUAAAGAGCUAGCUCUUUAAGACUUCUCGAUAAGGCCCAAUAAGUAAUAAAAUACUCAACGACCAACAACUACUAGACUAGGCAGUCUUAAAAUAACUACCAACUAAGCUAACAAGUAUGAGAUCAUUCUUUCACUUCAAACAUACAAGUGAACAAGGUAACUUCAUGGUCCAUCAAAUCUUCAAACUUAACUUGCUCCUUGCUUGUAUGGUGAAUGAUCAAGGCUCAUAAAGCUUCCCUCACCUUCUUGGUUCUUGAUCUUGUCAUCGGACCACCAAUGUUGAUCAAAGGGUCCUUGACCCAAGGUUGAAGGUGUUGCACACCCGUAUCCACAUCAUUCCCUCCCUCCUCGAAAGGAUUCGUCCUCGAAUCGUCAAAGUCUGUAUCAAAGGCAAAUGGGGAUAGGUCAGACACAUUAAAAGAUACGCUUAUGCCAUACUCAUUUGGAAGUUCCAAUUUGUAGGCAUUGUCAUUUAUCCUUUCUAGGACACGAAAAGGUCCAUCUUCUCUUGGAUGUAACUUGGUCCGUCGAGAUGCUAGAAACCUUUCCUUCCUCAUGUGUACCCAAGCCCAAUCACCAGGUUCGAAUACAACAUGCUUUCUACCCUUAUUCGCAUGUUGUGCAUAUUGCGCAUUUUUCUUCUCAAUUUGAGCUCUAACUCUCUCAUGCAAGGUCUGAAUAGCCUCUGUCUUUUUGAUACCAUGUGCGCUUAAACACUCAUCAACAGGAAUAGGUGAUAAAUCUAGAGGGGUUAGCGGCUGAAACCCAUAAACAAUUUCAAAAGGAGAAUGAUUAGUAGAAGAAUGAGUGGUUCGAUUAUAUGCAAAUUCGGCAAUAGGCAAACAUUCUUCCCACUUUUUCAAGUUCUUUUGAACAAUGGCUCGAAGUAAAGCACCAAGGGUUCGAUUGGUUACCUCAGUCUAACCAUCCGUUUGAGGAUGACUAGAAGUAGAAAACAGCAACUUAGUUCCCAACUUUCCCCAAAGUGAUUUCCAGAAAUAGCUUAAGAAUUUCACAUCCCUAUCACUUACAAUAGUACGCGGUACCCCAUGCAAUCUAACCACGUCCUUGAAGAAUAAAUCAGCAACAUGGCGCGUAUCAUUGGUUUUCCUACAAGGGAUAAAAUGAGCGAUUUUAGAAAAUCUGUCCACUACAACAAAGAUACUAUCCAUACCUCUAGAAGAUCUUGGUAAACCAAGCACAAAAUCCAUGGAUAAGUCUGUCCAAGGAGCAUGAGGUACGGGUAGAGGAGUGUACAAUCCAUGAGAAUUACCCCUUACCUUUGCUUGCUUACACUUUAAACACUUAUCACAAAUGUUAGCAACGUCACGCCUCAUUUGAGGCCAAUAGAAGUGUUCAUGCAAAAUGUCAAGAGUUUUAUCAAUGGCAAAAUGUCCCAUCAACCCUCCGCCAUGGGCUUCUCUAACAAGUAAUUCCCUAAGUGAACAGUUGAGAAUACAUAGGCGAUUCUCUUCGAACAAGAAGCCUUCAUGCCUAUAGAACUUUUGAAAUGCAGCAUGUUCACAGGCUUGAAACAUAUUAGAAAAAUUGUCAUCAUGUGCAUACAAGUCUUUAAUGUGCUCAAAACCAAGCAACUUAGUGCUCAUGUUAGUGAUCAAGAUAUAUCUCCUAGACAAUGCAUCCGCAACGACAUUAUCUUUCCCCUUCUUAUACUUAAUGAUAUAUGGAAAGGAAUCAAUAAAUGCAAUCCAAUUCGCAUGUCUUUUAUGCAACUUACACUGACCCUUAAGGAAUUUAAUUGAUUCAUGAUCAGUAUGUAUCACAAAUUUCUUAGGCAUAAGAUAAUGCUGCCACACUUCAAGAGCACGCACAACAGCGUACAAUUCUUUAUCAUAAGUAGGGUAAUUAAGAGCUCCCCCACUCAACUUCUCACUGGAAUAUGCCAAGGGUCUACUAUUUUGAUGUAAGAUAGCCCCUAUGUCGAUUCCACUAACAUCACAUUCAACUUCAAACAUCAAAUCAAAAUUAGGCAAGGCAAGAAUAGGUGCUGAAGUCAACAAAUUCUUAAACUUAUGAAAUGACUCUUCUUGCUCCUUUUCCCAUUGAAACCCCACAUUUUUUUUAAUUAUCUCAUUCAAAGGUGCUGCAAUAGUACUAAAGUCUUUAACAAAUCUCCUAUAGAAACUUGCAAGACCAUGAAAAGACCUUACCUGAGACACAUUGGUUGGAGUCGGCCACUCCAAGAUGGCAUUUACCUUGGCGGGAUCAACACUUAUGCCAUUUGCACCAACAAUAUACCCAAGAAAGUUAACUUCAGGAGUGCAAAAGACACAUUUUUUCAUGUUAACAAAUAGCAUAUUUUCACGCAAGAUACUUAAAACAAGUCGCAAAUGUUCAACAUGCUCAUCUAAAGACUUGCUAAAGAUCAAUAUAUCAUCGAAAUUAAUGACAACAAAUUUCCCAAGAAAAUGCCUUAAAACAUGGUUCAUUAAUCUCAUGAAAGUACUUGGAGCGUUUGUUAAGCCAAAGGGCAUUACAAGCCACUCAUAAAGACCAUACUUUGUUUUAAAAGCAGUUUUUCAUUCGUCUCCUUCCUUUAUCCUUAUUUGAUGAUAACCAGAUCUUAAAUCAAUUUUAGUGAAAAUGAUUGCUCCAUGUAAUUCUUCUAACAUAUCAUCUAACCUAGGAAUAGGAUGACGAUACUUAACAGUAAUUUUAUUAAUUACACGAUAAUCUGUGCACAUUCUCCAAGUCCCUUCUUUCUUAGGCACUAGAAUAACUGGAACUGCACAAGGAGUAAGAGAUUCACGAACCUGUUCUUUUGCAAGGAGGGAAUCGACUUGUCUUUGAAUUUCCUUUGUUUCCUCCGGAUUUGCUCUAUAGGCUAGUUGAUUUGGUAGAAUUGCUCUAGGAAUAGAGUCGAUUUGGUGUUCAAUGCCUCGAAUUGGAGGUAAUCCUUUCGGUAGUUCCUCUGGAAACACAUCCUUGAAUUCUUGCAAAAGAGAGUAAAUUGCACUAGGAAGAGAAUCGGUUAGGCCUAGUGUGUAAAAAGAAAAAUAAUCAGCUUCCCUGUACAGAAGUACUAUGAGAAGAUUUUGUGCAUUCAAAGCCCUAUCUACCUCACGUACACUUGCAUAGAAGCUCUUUUUUAUUUUCACUUUCAAGCUCUCAGUCUCACUGAGUUUUUUUUCACUCGAAUUUUCUUUUUCACUCAACUCGGCCUCUACUUUCUUUUUCCCCUCAUUCUCUCUCACAUUCAACUGUUCCUUUGCCUCUCUCGGUUGCCUUUUCUCUCUCUCUUUUCUUAAAUGCAAUUAUUCUUCAUACACUUGUGUAGGUGUCAAGGGUGAAAGAGUGAUUUUGAGGUUGUCCAUAAUGAACUUAUACUUAUUGGUGAGUCCAAUAUGAUCAGCGUGUCUAUUAUACUCCUAAGGACGCCCCAACAAGAUAUGACUAGCAUGCAUAGGAAUUACAUCACAUAAAACUUGGUCCUUGUAUCGACCAAUAGAAAAAGCAAUUAAAGUCUGUUUGGUCACCUUGACUUCCCCCCCAUCAUUUAACCAAGACAAUCUAUAUGGUUUAGGGUGGUAAGUCCAGGGAAUGUGUUUUUGCUCAACAAAAUCAGCGGCUACACAAUUAGUACAAGAGUCACUAUCAAUGAUCAUAAGACAUACCUCAUCUCCAAUUUUGUAUCUCGUAUGAAAGAUAUUGGUUCGUUGGAGAUCAUCUUCUUGAGUUUGUGCAUUGAGCACUCUCAUGGUCACCAUAGUUCGAGUUACGGGGUCCUUUUCUAUCUCAACCAUGUCAUCAUCCUUCUCUUUUUCUUCCAGCGGUGACAUGUCCGCAUAUUCCUCCUCUCCUUCGCUUUGCCACAAUUUCUCUUCAUUCAUGUACAUGAUGCUUCGGUUAGGGCAUUGAGCCAUGAGGUGGGCAAUUCCCUUGCAUUUGAAGCAUGCCUUUGGCUGGUUGGUAGAUGUAUUUGCUCCUGGAAGAGUCGGCUGCGGGGUUGGUUUAGAAGAAGUUGCACUCGGAGGGAACGGUUGUUCUUUCCGCUUGUUUUCCCUCUCUCGAUUACCUUGCCUUGGCCAAACAUUGGAUGUUGGUAAUUGGUUCCUUCUCCAAGGAGUGAAAGAGGAUGUAGUGGUUCAGCCACUAGGUGUCUUUAGAGGUAAGGCUUGCUUUUCCACUUUCUCUACAUAAGACACCAUUUGUUGAUGCUCAAAAUGGUCUUGAAACUCAACCUUCUUCCUAAUUUCAGGAUUUAAUCCAUUAAGGAACCUCGCCAUGGUUGCUUCCGGAUCCUCUUGUACAUUAGCCCUUAUCAUCGCUACUUCCAUUUGUUUGUGGUACUCAUCAAUCGAGUUAGAACCUUGAGUAAGUCGUUGGAGCCGAUUGUACAAGUCCGUGGUAUAAUGGAAGGGUACAAAUUGUUUCCUCAUCACUUGCUUCAUUUCAGUCCAAGUGUCAAUCGGUUGUUCCCUAUUUCUCCUCCUCGUGGCACAUACUUGCUCCCACCAAAUAGAUGCAUAAUCUUGAAAUUCAAUAACUGCAAGUUUCAUCUUUUUCUCUUCAGAGUAAUUGUGGACUUAAAACACUUGCUCAACUCACCUAACCCAAUCCAAGUAAGUUUCAGGAUCAUUUUUCCCAUGAAAGGUAGGCAUCUUGAUCUUGAUGGAACCAAGAUUGUCAUCGGUUCUCCUAGAUUGGUCUCGACCUUCCCUCGCUCCUCUUUGGAUUUUCCUUGAUCGAAAGGAGGUGUGAUAUCCCUCAUCAUCCGUAUCAUGAUCAACACUCUGAACACUCGAAACCCUAUUGUGUGUAUCUCCGGUACCUCACAUCUCAAUGGCAGCCAAUCGGUCGAAUAAUUGUGUCAUCACCAAUUCAUGUCCCUCCGUUUGUUUUCAAAGAGCUUGGAGCACCAGUUUGAGUGACACGUCGGUCUCAGACGGCUCGGGCAUGUUCCCCUCUUGAGACAUAUUGUCCAACCUGCAAAACAAGUGUAUCCCAGUCUACCUUGCAAGCACUCGUGUAUCACUCAAGGAAACACACUCACUCUCAAUUUUCCUUCUCGAAAUUCUUAAAGCAACUCAAACUCUCAAAAAUUUCAGAAUUAAUUACCUUGUAAGCAAGUAACAAGACACAAAGCAGAAUUUUGUAAAUCUUAGAAAAAAACUCUCUACCCGAAGCUAGAAUUUUUUUUUGAGCUGCUAUUUUUGCUGAGUUUCUGGUCAGUAUUUUGGAGGUAAGUGGUGCUUUUGGGGUGCUCAAAUAAUGUAUGAACCAGUUCUCAAAUUUCAGUUAAAUCGGCUCGCAAAGACAAAACAGAAUUGAAAACCAAUCAAGAUUUAGAGACUCAAGUUUUGGGAAACCAAUCAAGAUUUGAAAACUAAUCAAGAAUUGGAAACCAAGCAAGAAUUGAAAACUCAAGAUUUGGAAAACUUGAUUUCCUUUGUGUGAGAGCCGAUUCCUUCUCUUCUUCCUUUAUUUUCGUUCUCUCUCUCUUUUUUUUUAUUUUUUUUGCUUCGGCUCUUCAAGGAACACAAAUUCAGGUCACACCAACAAGUUCAAGAAAAUGGAUGAAAAGUUAUGCAAAUUUCAAGAAGAUCCUAGUUCUUGAUUUAUUGUUCAAGAACUUUCAAAAUAAGACUUGGUGGUCCAAGAACUUCAAGAAUUUGUUCAAGAAGUUCAAGAACUUCCCCAAAUUACGUUGUGGUGUUUAGGGUUUGCAAGAACAAUAACCAAUACUCAAGAAAUAGGCAAAACAAAAUUUCAACAAUACUCAAAAGAAAAUUCCAGCAAUACUCUAGCAAGUUGGAUACUAAAACAACAUAAGGUAUAUGACUCUUUUUUUUUUAUCUUUAAACCCUAACAACCCAAACACAAGUAUAAUAGACCCAAGAACUUGGACAGAAAACACAAAAAAAGACAACACCCAUACAGAUUUUGUUUUCUCGGAUGAACAGUAACGUGAACAGUACGCUACAGUACGAUAAACAGUAUUCGGUACAGUAACGAUGAACAGUAAUCGCUAUAGUAACGAUGAACAGUAAUCGCUACAGUUUUUUUUUUUUUGACAAAAGACACAAACUAACAAGAUAUGAACAAUUUCAAUUAAAAGAGAAUUAACCUGAUGCUCUGAUUACCAAUUGAUGAGCAACCCUAGGGGAAGACCCUCCUAGACCCUCCCAACCUUGUAAUUACCAGAGUUGGACCUUUUCUCCCAAUGGAUAUUGAACUCGAAUUGUUCUCAUGGACUCAAGACCUCUGACACACAAAGGCAAUCAACAAGCUUAAGCAAAUAAUGAUGGAUGAAGAGACACCACGAUUAGGGAACAAACUAAUCGAUAAAGUCAGAUUUGAAUUCUAAGCAAUGAACUCAAGAAUUCAAGAGUAAGUUCGAUUAAGAACUUGAAAGAAAAAAUCCUCAUGAUUUCUGGUUGUAAUAUUCCGUCUUUUCACUUAUACAAUAGGUGCCUUUUAUAGGCUAAAACUAGGGCAAAUCCGGCCCACAUAAACCUGGAAUAGGAAUUCGGUCCGCAUAAAGAGCUAGCUCUUUAAGGCUUCUCGAUAAGGCCCAAUAAGUAAUAAAAUACUCAACGACUAACAACUACUAAACUAGGCAGUCUUAAAAUAACUACCAACUAAGUUAACAAGUAUGAGAUCAUUCUUUCACUUCAAACAUACAAGUGAACAAGGUAACUUCAUGGUCCAUCAAAUCUACAAACUUAGCUUGCUCCUUGCUUGUAUGGUGAAUGAUCAAGACUCGUAAAACUUCUCUCACCUUCUUGGUUCUUGAUCUUGUCAUCGGACCACCAAUGUUGAUCAAAGGGUCCUUGACCCAAGGUUGAAGGUGUUGUACACCCGUAUCCACAUCACAACCCCUGAAAAUCGCAAACCCUACAUUGGGGCAAAUUUAGUUUUGAAAAAAAAAAGAAAAAAAAUCCCACACUGGAACAAAUUUAAUUUUUAAAGGAAGGCCGAAAGAAAAGAAAAUAAACAAAAGAAAACCUCAAUUAAAAAUAAACUUGAGCAAAUUUUGAAAAAUUUCAAAAGAUGAAUAGAAUGACAGAAGACAAAAAAAAAAGAAAAAAUGAAAGAAAAGAGAACUUUAGUUGAGAAUAAACUAGUGUAAGUUUUGAUUUAACCUUAAAAUAAGGUUGGCACAAUAAUGCGAUUUUAGAUCAUUUAAACCACUUUUGAAAUCCGCCUUCAAACCUUAACUUUUUUAAGCGCCCCACCAGACCCCAUUACAAAAGUCGAAAGUUCUGACUUCUGUUCUUUGCCAUAUCUUUGUCAAGAAAUUUUCUAAUUAACUGGUACAUGAUGUUCAUAUACUGAUGCGAGAAAAAUUUUUAGAUAUGUUUCUGAAUUGAUUAGGUUUGAGAUUGACACUACUCAUCAGGUGAAAAUUCACAAGGACACCUUCAAAAAGGAAAAGAGAUCAUUAUAAAAAAAUAACAAAAAAGGGAAAAAGAAGAAGAAAGAAAAUAAAAGUCAAGAAAAAAAAAGAGAAGAGAGAAAGAAGAAGGAAAGAAAAUAAAAAGGUGGGGGUAAUCUUAGUGCAAACCCGAAAGGGCACUAAGAUAUGGUUUCCCAAGGAAAGCAAAGAAUGUAAUAACUGGCAAUUCAGUUCAUUUGGAUUCCUAUUCACAUUGAAAUUUUUCUGCCAGCAUUGAAUUCCCGACGGACGAUAUCUAAAAGGUCAAACAGGACAAUUUGUUUGAGGUCAAAGUAUUUUGGUUAUCAAAUAUAGAUUGUUGAGUUUAUGAUUCAUCACUCUAAGAUUAUUUUUCCUUCAAUACAAGUUGAUGGUUAUUUUUGGCAUUACAUUGACUUUUAUUAUUUUGUAUAAAAGAAAAUUUUUAGGUGUUGUAGGGUUUCAUUUGUCUCAUUGGAUUUUAUCAAAUAACAAUCUCCACGGUUUAUCGAAAGUGCAUAUGUAUAAAUUUUCAUAUUGAGUUAGCAUUGGAAGCUAAGACAGCCUGGAUAUGAUUUGCAGCACAAGGCUGGAUUUUGCAGCAUCGAGGACAAAACAUUAAAAUAUUCAUGUUUACACGUUUCUUAAAAGCUAGACAGGUCGAAUUGUGGUGACAUUAUUUGUUCUUUCUUUUGCAGGUCCUUACGUGUUUUAAAUAACAAAAUUUGGGCAAAUUUUUUAUAUAAUCGUGGAAUGUCGUUCAAGAAUUGAAUAUUUAUGGUUCAGACCGAGGAAGAGGUGUGAAUGAAAUUCUUAAGGAGGAACAAAAAUGCCAUAAUGCAAAGUGAAUGAUCGGUUGCACAACAAUUGGUUGAAACUGGGGCAAAUUUUUCAAAAAAAUUCUCCAAGUGAGUAUUCAAAAACUUUUUCAUGCACUAACGCUUCUUUCUUGGCAAUUUAAUUUCCUGUUGGUGAGUCUCAGCGUCUGCCACACACCCUUCUACCCUCUUUCUUAGCAAUUUAAUUUCCUGUUAGUGAGUCUCAACUUCCGCCGCGCACCCUUUUACCCUCUUCUUGGCAAUGUAAUUACCUAUUGGUGAGUCUCAGCGUCCACCGCGCACCUUUCUACCUUCUUCUUAGCAAUGUAAUUUCCUGUUGGUGAGUCUCAGCGUCCGCCACAUGCCCUUCUACCUCCCUUCUAUCCCAUUUCUUGGAGCGUAAUCGCGUCUCUCCGCACAUAUUUUUCUAAUUAUGUCAAUUUAAUUUGCUUGACCGUUUUGACUAAAAAUUGUGCUUUCUCAUGAUUAGAAGUUCUGAGAGUUCAGACUCCUUCGAUUCUGCAAAGAUCAUAAGUGGUCAAUGCACUUGUUUCAUUAUUGUUCACUGGUAUUUGAACUACAUUUGACCUGAUUCCCAUAACGGGAUACGUAGGUAACUUUACACGAGUUCGGUCGUGUCUCUUGUAAUAUUAUUGCAUUAUUCUCGCCCAAUAAUUUUAGCUAAGUGUUGGUUUGUUAUUUUAGCUUAGGUGCAGUUAGAAGAGACAAAUAAGUAUUUUGACGUCUACGUUUUUGUCUCUAAUUUCUUUGAAACUCAGACAAAGAGGGGCAAGUUGUAGAUACCAAAAUUUCAAUGCUAUUUAAUUUAAUUUAAUUUUAUUUUAUUUUCAUUAAUCAAAAAUUGCAAAGUGAUAGUUAGCUAUUUUUAUUGAAUUAGGGUUCAUUUUCUAUUAAAUAAUUUUCGAAAAAAGAAAAGUCUCACAAAAAUUUGUUUUUAAGUUUUUCAAAUUCAAUUUCUUCCAAAUAAAGUGGAAAUUUACAAAGCAAUUUCAAUUAGUAGUCUAACAUUUUAUUUACCCUAAAUUUAUUUUUAAAAAAAUAAAAAGAAAAACAAAAAUAGGUGGAAUGCAUGUAAUAUGGUUAGGUGGAGUGCAUGUAAAUGAUCCAUGUGAUUUUGACAUUUUGCACAUCACAACAUUCAAAGGAUAGGUGGCAAGACAGGUGGAAGAUGGAGAAAGAUCUGGAAACAAAAGGGAAAAAUCAGGAAAACAAGGCAAAAGGGAGCGAGCAAGAGAAAGCAAAGGGAAGAAAAAAGAAGGAGAAAGGAAAAAAAAGAAGAGGGUUUUCGCUGAGAAAGAAAGAAAAGGGAGAAAGAAAGAAAAACUGAGGAGGGAAACAAGGGAACCUAGGGAAAAUCUGGGAGAGAGGUUCAGGCCAAACAAGAGAGAAUAGGAAGAAAGGAAAAAAGAAGAAAAAGAGAAGAAGGAAGAGAAGGCUUCGAGCGAGGGGAGUUUUGGGAAGAAAGGGUGGAGGAGGGGAAUCUGCUGGAGCAAGAAAGGAAGAGAGAAACUGGGAGGAAAAGAAGAAAAAGGGUUUCGGGAAAAGAGAGGAAAAAGAGAAGAAAGGAAAUAAAAAGGAGAAAACCAGAAAAAGAGAGGAAAAAGGGAGGAAGUUUGGGGAGGAUUAGGGAGAAAAACAGAAAGGCAAACGAAAGGAAAAGAAAGACAAACAAAGAGAAAAGAGGGAAGAGAGAAUUUCUGCAAAUUUUUUUUCAGAAUCAGGUUGGAUUUUCAUCACCUUGAGAUGCAAUUUUCACAAUUGAAUCGAUCUCUUCUUGGAUGUUUUAAGCAAUCUAGGAUAUUGAUGAAGUGAGGGGAGCAAUUUUUAUUUAGACAUUGUGGAGAAAAAGCGUCAGGAAAGCCUCCAAAUUUGCCUUCCAAAGUCGUGGAUCGGUUUGACUGAUGCAUCUACAAAUCUGCAAAAAUUCUUCAAAAAGUGUCUCUGUUCGUUCCUUUGGCUCUCAUCACAUCUAGGAUUCAUCUUUAGGUAAAUCUUACGCGUUUUCCUCAUUCAUUCCAGUUCACAUGCAAAGAUUAAACUCAUCAAAAAGGAAUUUUUCUUUAGAUUAUUGCCUCGCAAGUCCAUAGUGUUGGUUGUAUGAUUUGGUUGGGUUUGAUGCAUCUUAUUUGACUAACAAAUAAUGAGGUUUAGAAGUUGAUGAGAAACUUAUCUAUCUUGAAUGUGUGUCCUUGUUGCUUUUGCACGUCUUGUGGCUCAUAAUCAAAGCUUUGUUUUGAGAAUUUUUGUUGGAAACUUAUGAAUAAAAAAGCCGUCAGCUUUCUUGCUUUCUUUCCUCCGUGAAACUGAAUGGAUGUGAUCCAUGGGUUGUGGGUUCUUUUCCUAGUAUCUUGUUUGUUUUUCAUGAUUUGGGUUUUAGGCUGUUUUCUUGAAGGGUUGGGUUUGAAGUUUUAGCCAAUGUUCAUCUCACUUUGCUGCAUUUUUAUGUCCAGUUACCUUGUUAGAUUUCUGGGGAUAGAUAAUUGUGUUUAGGUGAUGUUAAUAACGAUGGGGUAGAAGUUCUUGCAUUUGGUUUUAGUUGUCGAAUUAGUAGACGUUGCUUGAGUUAUUUCGCACAAACAUAUCUAGGCGAAUGAGGAAAGAUUGCUGAAGUCUCAAAGCAACGAAAGUUGCAGAAAGCUUCUUCGUAAGAUUGCAUGAAAAUUUCAGAAAAAUUGCAUUUUAGACCUUCAAGUCUUAAGUAAUGCUAUGGGCUAAGAAUAUGGAAAACUCAAUCAAUUUUACCCUUUUUGAAAUUCAAUCAAUCCUUUUAUAUUUUAACCAUGUUUUAGACCUAUUGCUGCUAUGGCCCAAGAAUAUGGAAAACUCAAUCAUUAAUUUGCAUUUUGUUUGAUAAAGUUGAAUCAACUACUUGGUUUGAAUUAACUAUUAAUUUGCAUUUUGUUUGAAUUAACUAUUUGUUUAGUUUAAAUGGCAUUUAAUUUGAAAAUUUUAGGAACCUUGAGUUGACUUCAAAUGAUUUGUUUUGUGUUUAUCAAAGAAAUUGGUACCUUGACCAUUUCCUUUGUUUUGAGGAUAAAAAAGAGAAUUUUCAUUUUAUUAGGUCACCAAUUCAAGGGAGGUACACUCUACUGCUUAUUUUUUAUUUUAAUUGAUCCUAUGAGAAUUUAUGUGUGUAAUUGCAUGUUUUUAUGUUUUUUAUUAUUUAUUUUGUUUUGUUUAUUUAUUCACUUUAUUUGUUUCUUUUAAUUUCAUAUAUUCAUUUUAAUUUAAUUUUUGAUUAUUUAAGAGUCAAUUAAAUGUUAAAUUGUAAUAGUUAGAUUAUUAUUUUAUUUUGUUUCGUUCUUUCCCUCUUAGAUUGUAGUUAGGGUCCCCAAAUGUAAUAGUUAGGCCUUUAUUUGCUCUUAUUUGCUUUGUAUGUGCUUGCAUGUUUACGUGUUUACUCACUUUCUUAGGGUUUUUGCAUCUAUAUAUCAUGCUCAUGUGCUAUGUGCUCUAUGUGAUCUAUGUGUUUACUUGCUUUUAUCAUAUUUUAUAUGAUUUAUUAAUUAUAAUAAAUGCAUGAUAUCACCACACUAGUCCAAUGCUAGUUGUGGGUCUUUAUUCCAAUUUCUCACUAGUCUACUGCUAGUUAGAGCUUAUAGACAUGUGUUAGUCUAACACUAGAUCCUUAGGAACCGUUCACGCAUUAGAUCAUGUUUGUGCGGUAAAAUCACUACAUUUCAUGCACAUUUUCUACUUUUAGGAUCCUUACCAUUUUGUAUGAUAUUUUCCUUAUAUAUAUCCUUUAUCCCUAUAUGUAAAAUAUGACAUUUAGACGUGCAUUUCAUUUAAGAAAAUUAGAACUAGGAUAUUUUUUUUUUGGCUAACUCCGUCCAUGAGGGGGGGAUGCCACCCCCGCUUUUAUUCAUAAAUCACAAAAUACAAUGUUUCUUGCAUUAAGGGGUUCGCACCCUCCUAACAGAAGGAGCUCUCAUGCUAUCUAGGCUAAUUCCUCCACGAGCCAGCCUCAGCCAUUCAUUCCAAUGCUCAUAGAGCUUAACAACAUGGUGGGGGUGUGCUACCUCAACAUUAGCCAGAAUAUCUGUCACAUUAUUUGCCUUUCUGAAACAAUGGACAAGUCUCGACGGAUCUCCUGCCAGCUUCCAUAUUUGCUGGACCUCCCAGCGGAUAUGCCAAUGACAGUGAAGCUGGAGUUGAAGAAUCCCCACCAAAACUAGAAAAUCCAGUUGAAUGCUAACAUUCAUGAACCCCUUUUGAGCAUAUAUCUGAAGCCCCGUUAGAAGUGCCAGCGUUUCUGCCUGGACGCUAGAUGUCACUCCAAAAAAAGCCGAGAACCCUACCAUGGGGUGUCCCGAUGGAUCCCGUAGCACUCCUCCGCCACCACAUGGCCCAGGAUUACCCUUGGAGCAGCCAUCCGUGUUCAGGGUAAGUGCUCCCAUUGCAGCUGGCUCCCAACAAACAAGUUUGAGCUCGAAACGCCGCUCCGACUGAGACGACCAAUCACACAACUGCAAGAAUGAUCGAGCCCCAACAUGUUGCUUGAACUGCCCUUCAAGAAGUAAUUUGGUCUCCAAAAAAAUAUCUUGGCAAAUAGAAGGAGGAUGCAGUUGAAUGCCCUCAAAAACUGCUCUAUUCCUAGCCUUCCAAAUGUGCCAACAAAGUAUGCUCGGGAGAGUAUGAUUGAUAAGUGGAUAUUUAACGUACAUUUUGUAUGAAUUUGGCAUUAAUUUUUGGUAUGAUCUGAGAAGAUUAAGCCAUAUUUGAACUCUUUUGGUGAUAAUUGCUUAAAUAUUGAUUAAGGUUUCAAAAAUUGAUAAAUGAGUGAAUUAAUGCAUUAAUUUUGUGAAAUUGUGAAGGUAAUUGAUGUAUGAAAUUCAUGCACAUCCAGAGGACAAAGUAUACAAGAAAUUGGGAGCAAAAAUGUAGAAAAAAAGGAAGAAGUGAAAAACUGGAAAAAUGUUCAACACGGAUCCGAUCUCGGAUCCGUGUGAAUAAGAGGGAUCCGACCCCUCGUCUGUACUUCUGGCGGAGCGCAUCCGAGGUCAGGACGAUCCGACCUCGGAUCCAUUAUGAAAUCCCUCGGAUCCCUCGGAUCCGAGCUCGGAUCCAUUUUCACUCCUCGGAUCCGAGACUCGGAUCUGUCUCUCUCCUCAGCAAGUGUCACAGCUGUUUUUCUUUACCUUUUUCACAACUUUCCACCUAUUUUGAGGGCCAGAAAUCGGUGGCACAUUCUUCUGCAACAAAAGAGAAGACCAAAUGAGUAUGGACAAAAGGAAAUAUCAUAUCUUUGACUUCUUUUUACAAAAUCUGAGUGGAGGAAAUUAUGAAGUGAGAGGAAUGGAAUUUCUUCCACCUUUUAUGCAGAAACACAGAGGAGAAGCCUGGAAUACCAUACGUAGCUAGUUUUCUUUCUUGUAUCUAAUUUUCUCUCUAGAUAGGAGUUCUUGGAGAAGUACUUGGAGAGUUUCACUUAUAAUCAUAUUGUGCAAGAACAUAGCAGGAAUUGGAGAGUUUCACCUUCAAUUGGCUAAGCUUUCUUUUAUCUUUCUUAUACUUGUACUUUAUGAGGUUUUGCAUUAAUAAACUUGUGAGUUUGAUUGUUAAAUCAUUCAUGAGUAGCUAAACUCCUUCAUCUAGGGAGUAGAUGAAACUUAUGGCUAAAUAAUACUAAUUGAAUGUGAUCUACACUUGUUAUAUCUUGUAUUAAUUUGUCUACUUGUGUAGCUGUGAUUACUUGUUAUUGAUUGAUCACCAAUAGCAUGUUUAUAGUGUUAUUAUUCAAUGAGAAUUGGUAAUAACAAUUGAAACACAUGAGUAGAGCUUGAGUUGUAUGUUCAUGAAAAUAGAGAUACACUUAGGUGGAUUAGUGAGCAUUUCAUGAAAUAAAACGGAGUAGUAGUAGUAUUUCACCAUGAAAAUAGGGAAAUCUAUAUUGCUCUAGGCCAUUUCAUCAUGAAAAUGAGACUUGGUAAUCUUGGAAAUAAAUCUCUGGUUAAGCAAGAAUAAUAGCAAGAAGUAAAUCCAUUCAUUUGUGUAGUUUAUGCCAUAAGUGGAAUCUACAUCCCUAGAAUCUUCCUUAAGUGAAAUUUAUCUAUUCGCAUUCAGCAUUUGUUAAACUAGAUUUGUAUAUCAGAUUUGUAGAUUACAGCAUUAGAUUUUCUCUGCUCAAAUUAAUUGUAAGUCUAAAUAAUAGAGAGAACAAGGGCUUAGUAAUUGUUUAAAUUGCUCCUCGUGGGAUCGACCCGAUACACAUUUUGUACUACAAUUGCAACCUGUAUACUUGCAGUCCAACGGGUGUCAAAUCGGAAUUAAACUUGCAUUGAUACAAAAAUCCCGUCAAGUUUUUGGCGCCGUUGCCGGGGAGCGGCAAUAUUAGGGCCUAAUCAUCUCUAUUAAUUUAGAUAUUUUUUAGUGUUUUUUUUUAUUUGUUGAAUUAAAACUGAAAAAUUUCUCUUGUUUUUGUUUGUAGUGUAUGCACCGAUCAAAUCGAGAAGUUGCACAUUUCGAUCUUGAAAUUGAAAGAACAUUACACAGAAAAAGGAGGAGUACAUCACAUCAAGAGGAACAAGAGGUUUGGCAGCCAAUAGAAGAUAUUCUGAUAGAAUUACAAUUUGAAGAAGACAUGGCAGAAAAUGAAGCAAAUAGGCGAGUUCUACGAGAUUAUGCUCUACCGGGAACACAAGGAUCUCAAACGAGCAUAGCAAGGGCUACGGUAAAUGCUAACAAUUUUGAGAUUAAACCAUCACUUAUCCAAAUGGUUCAACAAUCUCAAUUUGGAGGUAAUGCAGUAGAAGAUCCUAAUACACACUUAGCUACAUUCUUGGAAAUUUGUGAUACAAUUAAAAUGAAUGGAGUUAGUGAUGAUGCUAUAAGGCUAAGAUUGUUCCCAUUUUCAUUGAGAGAUAAGGCCAAACUUUGGCUACACUCUCAUGCUCCUAAUACUUUCACCGGAUGGGAUGAUUUAUCAAGAGCAUUCUUAAAUAAGUAUUUUCCACCAGGUAAGACUGCUAAGCUAAGAAUAGAUAUCACUAGUUUUAGCCAAAUGGAAGGUGAAUCAUUAUAUGAGGCAUGGGAAAGGUUUAGAGAUUUGCUUCGGAAAUGUCCACAUCAUGGACUGCCGGAGUGGUUAAUCAUACAAACCUUUUAUAAUGGUUUAUCUUUCUCCACUAAAACUAUUAUUGAUGCAGCCGCAGGUGGAGCUUUAAUGGGUAAAUCACCCCAAGAAGCUCAGAAUUUGAUAGAAGAAAUGGCCGCAAAUAACUACCAAUGGGCCAAUGAAAGAGGUAAUACAAGACGUCACGCAGGUAUGAUAGAAAUGGACACUCUCAAUAUGCUGAGUGCUCAAAUGAAUAAUGUGAUGAAGUUGCUAAAUAAACAAGGUGGAGUUGGUCCAAGUUCAUCUAAUGCACAUGCAGCAUGUUGUUCUAUAUGUGGAGGUGAACAUGAUAUUAAUGAGUGUGUUGAUUCUGAGCAGGUACAAUUUGUCAAUAAUUACAACCGAAAUGCUCCAAAUAAUCCCUACUCGAAUACUUACAAUCCGGGGUGGAGAAAUCAUCCAAACUUUGGAUGGAAAGAUCAAGGCAAUCAACAAAGGCCAACCAAUCCGCCGGGAUUUCAACCAAGGCAACCACAGGCUGAAACUAAACCAAGUUGGGAGAUCGCGGUGGAAAAACUUGCUAAGGUGACUUCGGAUAGAUUCGAGCGAGUUGAGGGGCGGUUGGACCAAUUAGCUGGGAUGUACAGAAACUUGGAGGUUCAAAUUGGUCAAAUUGCCAAUGUGAUCAACAAUAGAAACCCUGGUGAAUUACCAAGUAAAACCGAAGUGAAUCCGAGAGAGCAUGUCAAUGCAAUCAUUCUUAGAAGCGGUAAAACGGUUGAGGGAUUCGAUUUUGAAAAUUCAGGUGGUGAAAAAGACAAGAAGCAAGCAAUUGAAGGGGAGCAAGAAAGUCAAAAUGAUCAUGUUAUCAUUGAUAUUGAUGCACUUCAUCCCAAAUUAAAUUCUAAUGUGAUACCUUUUCCUCACAGGUUGAAGAAAGAUGGACAGGAUCGGGAGUUUGAAAAGUUCUUCAAAAUGUUUAAACAAUUGCACAUUAACAUUCCUUUCAUUGAUGCUAUAACACAGAUUCCCUCUUAUGCACGUUUCUUGAAAGACAUCAUGUCAAAGAAGAGGAAAAUUGUAGAUAAUGAGAUGAUAGCAUUAACGGAAGAGUGUAGUGCAUUGAUUAAGAAUAAACUCCCUCCUAAAUUGAAAGAUCCGGGAAGUUUUUCUAUUCCUUGCACUAUUGGUCAAUUGCAUUUUUCUAAUGCUUUAUGUGAUUUAGGUGCAAGUGUGUCACUUAUGCCGUUAUCGGUUGCCCGGAGAUUGGGACUUCAAGAGCUAAAAGCUACCAAUAUUACAUUGCAAUUGGCGGAUCGGUCAAUCACACGUCCCAUGGGUAUUUUGGAAAAUGUGCUCAUAAAGGUAAGACAAUCUAUAAUACCUGUGGAUUUUGUUGUCUUAGAUAUUGAAGAAGAUGUGAGAAUGCCAAUUAUUCUAGGACGACCGUUUUAGCCACUGCACGAACUAUAAUUGAUGUAGAAAAUGGUAAGCUUAUAUUACGGGUUAAUGGUGAGGAAUUGGAAUUCAAUUUGGAUAAUAAAGAAGGGAAUAUAGAGCCUACUGCUCUUGUUUCUAAUAUGCCAUAUGAUGAAAAGGUUAACCAAGAAAGGACCGAAGAAGUUAAAUUUAUAAAUGUCCUUGGUACUAACUUUCAUGGUGUAGGAACAAAGGAGGAGAAGAUAAGGAUGGAAGUUGGCUUAAUAAAUUCGCCAUUCCAUGAAGAAAAUGGUGAAAAGUUGAGCCAAUUCAGAAAAGACAAGCAAAAUCCACUCCAAGGUGAAGUUGAGCCUCUCUAUGACAAGUCUAAUAUUUCUCCUUGGCAUUUGAGGAAAUUGGACUAUGAAGAUCAAUGCAUGGUUCACCACAUGGUGGAUUGGCUCGGGAGUUUCAACCCAUGGGGAGAAAAUCUCUCUCUAAUGCUCUAAAGUGAUUCAACUUUUUCAGUCGAGCCAACGACUAUAAACAAAAGCGCUAAUUGGGAGGCAACCCAAUAAUAAUUGUGUAUUUGUGUGUUUUUAUGUGUUUCUUACAUUUUGGUGGGAUUUAAUUAACUAAUUAGAUGUAUUUCACUUGUUUGUAGGAGAUACGGGAGUUUUAUCAUCCAUUUUGGAGGUGCACUUGAAGAACAUGUUGGCAGGGAGUUUUUCUUACCAGCUUGUGUUUUAAGUGCUUAAAAUUCCCAUGCAUAUACAUACAUUGUGCAUUUCAAGUAUAUUUAAGUGAGUUUUGGUGAUAUCAUGGUUAUAAAGGCUCAUGGACUCAUUUGAUAUACAUUUAAUGCCCAAAACUGCCAUUUUAGUGUAAAAAUGAUCAAAGAACCUCACCCCUCGAUUUUCAAUGUAGAUAUGUUUGUUGUGUUUUGAGAGGUUGGAUAUUAUGUUUAUGGUAUAUUACAUGUGCAUGGGACGUUGGAAUUGAGAAAAGGGAUGUCCAAUGUGUAAUUUGGAAUUGGCCGAAAAAGGGAGAAAAAGUUUAGAAAAAUUGCAGUUUCUGCAAUUAGUGCAGAGAAAUACAGAUCCGAGCUCGGAUCCUAAAAAGCCAGACAGAUCCGACCUCGGAUUUAUAGAUCCGAGCUCGGAUCGUUUCCAACCCAGAUAGAUCCGAGGGUUCGUCUGUGUUUCUGUUGAGACUGAUCCGAGCCCUGUCGGAUCCGAUGCCUUCCAGAACGGAUCCGACCUCGGAUCCUUUCGCGAUAAGAAUGGAAACGAGGCCUCGGUUCCUCAUUUUCCAGAUUUCUUUUUUCUCUCUAUCGGAAACCCUAUCCCCUUUCCUCCAAUCUUCCAUUUCAUCCAUAAAAUUCCCAAUUUUUCACAAUAAAAACCUUCCCUAACCUUUUGUGAGCAUUAACCCUCAACAAUUUGGAAUCGAAAACAUCAAAUUGAGGGGUUUUGAUCUUCAAGACGUGAAAUAGGGCCAAACUGAAAUCUUGCAAUUUGAGGACAAAUUUGGGCUUGUUUGUCUUCCAUUUUUGCAUCAUUAUCAUCCUCCAUCAUCACUCUACACAUUUGAGGUAACAAUUUGCAAUUUUCUUUGAGUUUACAUAAUCUCUAAUUUUGCAUUUUUCUAUUUCUUAGGUAUAUUGUGAUAAAUUUGUAUUUGUUAGAACUUCUUGAUACAAUUGUGCUACAUUGCACUUAAAUAAAUUGUUACAACUAGUUUUAUGUUUAUUUUUGAGAAAAAUUGUGGAUUUGGUGAUAAUUUUUGACAUUUCUUUCUCAAUUUUUGGGCUUGAGUAUUUUAUUGACUUAGAAUUGUGAAUUUUACUAUAUGAACUUAUUUCGAGAGGUAUAAGUCACUAACAUACCAAUUGAACAUGAUAUGCUCUCAUUAGAACAAUAGCCUAUGGGAUAAAAGAGUGUGUCCCUGAUCAAGUUGACCACAUUGAACCACUUUUACUUAAGAUAAUUAGCAUUUGUUUGGAUGAAUUGGAACUCAUAUGUAUGUACAUUGAGUGUUAUAAAUGGGAAUGGAGAUAUUCUCAAGUGUUUGUGUGUUUAUGGAUAUAAUUUUCAAUUAUUUGCACUUAAUAUGCAUGAAAUGGUUUCCUUAUUGGUAAUAUCCUCUUUACAUGUGGGAAUUGGAUUUGAGAAGUGUUAGGAAGUUUAUUUGUUUAAAUUUUGGUACAGUUUGGCAGGGAGUUUAGCCCUUUUUCAAGGGGAAACUCUGCCGAAAUUUUUUUAAAUUCCUAGUUAACAUGUAUGAGCAAGUUUCUAUCAUUUCUAAUACAUACUCAUCUUGUUUAUAGGUGUUAUGGCUCGUACAAGGAGGGAUCGUAUUCGUACUCCUACACCAUCGUCAAGUGAAGAACAUACACCUUCUGUGCAUGAGGAGUCGCCUGAGGAAGAAUCUCCUUCGCCUGAGUCACCACCUCGCUCUCGUCGAAAGACCGCAUCCACUAGCCGUGACGAGCCACUUCCUGACUAUGAUACCACUCGUUUCACCUCGCUCGAGAAUCAACAGUGGUACGAGGCUGGUUUGGACAAAGAGAUUAUCGUUGAAAAAUAUUUGGCACCGGAGGUGGAUGCACACUACCACAUCUCCACGGCAUUUAAACGACUCGGAUGGGAGACUAUACUAAAUUUGCCAAAACAUUACUAUCCCAAUCUGGUCCGGGAAUUCUACGCCAAUGUAGAAAAUAAACAAAGUCACAGUGGCAACCUCAUCGUCUCGUGGGUUCGAGGAAGAAGAGUGGCUCUCAAUCGCGAUACACUGAGACAAUUCGUCAAAUUCAAAGAUGAAGGCGAAGAUGUCAAAUUGACCAAGGAGUUCAAAGCUCGAGACCCUUGGGAAGUGGGAGAGGCCGUGGGACGACUAAAGGGUCAAUACCGUGAGCGAGGAAGUUCGAAAAAACUCACAGUAUAUGCUGACUCCUUCGAGCAUCGGUACCACCUGAUUUUCUACCUUUUUGCCUUCAAUGUGGUGCCGAAAAAGAGUGGCAAACGAGAGAUCCGAAAUAGCGAUCUCUAUUUUCUGGAUAAAAUGAUACAUGGAGUGGGUAGGCAGUUGACUGGUAUUCCUCUACCCAGCAUUAUCAUCAGCUAUAUGCGAACCACAGCUCGUAUGAGGGCCGGCGAGACUUGUUUUGGAUUUCCUCGGCUGCUAUCCCUCAUCUUUGAGAAGCUCAAGAUUCCCAUUGGAACCGAGAGAGCUGUGGUAACUAGGUCGGCCGAGGAGGUAAAUGAUUCGUUACUCAAAUCCUUGGAUAUUUCUACUGAUUUUGGAGCUACUUUGGUCCGGGACACAGGAGAAGCAUCGACUUCCACUCAGCCUCCGCCCCACACUGAACCACAAGCGGAAACUCAAGAGACGGAGGCACAGCAGCCUCUUCCUCCUCCGGUUCCACGACCACCUCCUCAACCACGCUCCAAGUGGCAAGAGCUUCUCAAUGCUAUUUGCUGUAUGGAGACCCGAGUCGUCGAGCGCAUUGACCAGACGGAACGGAUGAUGACUGAGCAACUCGACCGACAUGAUCGCCGCCUUCGUGCGAUCGAGGAUCAUUUCCAUAUCCGACGGUCCCCUACACCGACACCUCAUCAGGAGGAGGGCCAUAUUGGUACCUCACAGGGUCCUCAUGGAGCCGAGGAGGCAGUAGACCCUCGUUCCGAGCAGCCAUGACGCUACUUAGCGGAUUUGAUCUUUUAUGUCUUUAUUUAUUUUUCUUUUCUUUUGUUAAGACAACCUUGUAGAUUUUAUUUUUCUUUUAGUUGAAUCAUCUUGUGCUACUUAUGGUAUUUGGUACCUUUGUUGUCUCAUUUUGGACAGAAAAAGGAUGAUCGUGAUGAUUAAAGGCUUCAAAUUGCAUCACCACCUAUUUGAGGGAAGUUUCAGUUCUUUUACCUUCCUCUACAAUGAGGACAUUGUAGAUUUUAAGUGUGGGGGAGGGAUUACUUAUCUUAUGGGUGAUUGUGUGUUGAAAUGCAUGAUUUUAGUUGUUUAUGGCUUAAAAAUGUUGGAAUUAUACGUGGAGAUAGUCAUGAGGAUAAUUUUUGUGAAAAUUGAGGUUGUUGGCAGGGAGUUUCAUCCAUUUUUAUGGGGAAACUCUGUCAAAAUUUUUCUAAAAUAUUUUCCAGUAUUUCAUUGCAAUUCUUCCAUAAAAAUGGCCAAAAUGUUAAAAUUUUAAGUGUCUAAUUCUUCCAUUGGAUAAAAUGUUAUGUGUAUUUUGGAAAAGUUUAGUUCUUAUUUGGCCUGGAAUGAAUUAUUAUGCAAUUAGGAUAUUUACAUUUUAGAAAGUAUAUUUUGUUAAAUAAGAAAAAUUAUGCUUAGAAUUUUGCAAAAUUAAUGAGAUUUAUCAUUUUUACCUAAUUUUAUAAGUAAGUGAUUGAUAUAGUCAAAGACAAGGCCAAAUUCUUCCUUUAAUUAUAUUUAGAGGGAAAAAGAAAUUAUAUGUUAAAAAAAAAGAAUAAUAUUAUUAUUUUUCUACUCCAAUGAUUCACAUACUGAGUAACCGGGGGUUGGCAUUUACAAAUGUCGACAUUCGCGUAAAAAAGUAUUGGAAUUAAGAGUAUGCUUAGCAAUUUAAAUGAGUGAAAUGUUGAGUAACCGGGAAUUUUCACCUAAAAGUGUUGAUUUUCGCGUAAAAAGACAUUUUCAUUAUUUAAAUGAGAAGAAAUGUGAAUAAAUCCCUCUAAUUUGUUAAGUUUUGGGAUGAGGAAGGCCAUAAAUUUGACUAUGUGAUUUACUUAUUUGUGGAAUUAGGAUAGAAUGAGAGAAUUGAUUUGAAUUUAUCAAAAUAUAGGCAUAAUUAUUUUUAUUUAAUUGAAUAUUAUGGGUAUUUAGUGUAAUCUGAGAAAUGGCAUAAUAAUUGGUUUCUAGGUUUUUGAGGAAUUAAAUUUGACAAGAGUACGCAUAUUGUUUUCUCUAUCUCUAUUGAAUAUUUGAAGUAAGUUUUGUGUAAAUUUGCUUGAGGACAAGCAAUGAUUCAAGUGUGGGGGAAUUUGAUAAGUGAAUAUUUAACGUACAUUUUGUAUGAAUUUGGCAUUAAUUUUUGGUAUGAUCUGAGAAGAUUAAGCCAUAUUUGAACUCUUUUGGUGAUAAUUGAUUAAAUAUUGAUUAAGGUUUCAAAAAUUGAUAAAUGAAUGAAUUAAUGCGUUAAUUUUGUGAAAUUGUGAAGGUAAUUGAUGUAUGAAAUUCAUGCACAUCCAGAGGACAAAGUAUACAAGAAAUUGGGAGCAAAAAUGUAGAAAAAAAGGAAGAAGUGAAAAACUGGAAAAAUGUUCAACACGGAUCCGAGCUCGGAUCCGUGUGAAUAAGAGGGAUCCGACCCCUCGUCUGUACUUCUGGCGGAGCGCAUCCGAGGUCAGGACGAUCCGACCUCGGAUCCAUUAUGAAAUCCCUCGGAUCCAUUUUCACUCCUCGGAUCCGAGACUCGGAUCUGUCUCUCUCCUCAGCAAGUGCCACAGCUGUUUUUCUUUACCUUUUUCACAACUUUCCACCUAUUUUGAGGGCCAGAAAUCGGUGGCACAUGCUUCUGCAACAAAAGAGAAGACCAAAUGAGUAUGGACAAAAGGAAAUAUCAUAUCUUUGACUUCUUUUUACAAAAUCUGAGUGGAGGAAAUUAUGAAGUGAGAGGAAUGGAAUUUCUUCCACCUUUUAUGCAGAAACACAGAGGAGAAGCCUGGAAUACCAUACGUAGCUAGUUUUCUUUCUUGUAUCUAGUUUUCUCUCUAGAUAGGAGUUCUUGGAGAAGUACUUGGAGAGUUUCACUUAUAAUCAUAUUGUGCAAGAACAUAGCAGGAAUUGGAGAGUUUCACCUUCAAUUGGCUAAGCUUUCUUUUAUCUUUCUUAUACUUGUACUUUAUGAGGUUUUGCAUUAAUAAACUUGUGAGUUUGAUUGUUAAGUCAUUCAUGAGUAGCUAAACUCCUUCAUCUAGGGAGUAGAUGAAACUUAUGGCUAAAUAAUACUAAUUGAAUGUGAUCUACACUUGUUAUAUCUUGUAUUAACUUGUCUACUUAUGUAGCUGUGAUUACUUGUUAUUGAUUGAUCACCAAUAGCAUGUUUAUAGUGUUAUUAUUCAAUGAGAAUUGGUAAUAACAAUUGAAACACAUGAGUAGAGCUUGAAUUGUAUGUUCAUGAAAAUAGAGAUACACUUAGGUGGAUUAUUCAGCAUUUCAUGAAAUAAAACGGAGUAGUAGUAGUAUUUCACCAUGAAAAUAGGGAAAUCUAUAUUGCUCUAGGCCAUUUCAUCAUGAAAAUGAGACUUGGUAAUCUUGGAAAUAAAUCUCUGGUUAAGCAAGAAUAAUAGCAAGAAGUAAAUCCAUUCAUGUGUGUAGUUUAUGCCAUAAGUGGAAUCUACAUCCUUAGAAUCUUCCUUAAGUGAAAUUUCUCUAUUUGCAUUAAGCAUUUGUGAACUAGAUUUGUAUAUCAGAUUUGUAGAUUACAGCAUUAUACUUUCUAUGCUCAAAUUAUUUGUAAGUCUAAAUAAUAGAGAAAACAAGGGCUUAGUAAUUGUUUAAUUUGCUCCUCGUGGGAUCGACCCGAUACGCAUCUUGUACUACAAUUGCGACCUGUAUACUUGUAGUCCAACGGGUGUAAAAUCGGAAUUAAACUUGCAUUGAUACAAAAAUCCCGUCAAUGAUAAAGAGCCAGACGUGGCCACGCCAACCACCAAGAAGCCAGACGGCCCCGCACAGACGUGACUAUGCUAGAGAUGCCACACAACCUCUCAAAGAAUGCCCAUAUUGCUAUAGCAACCUCACCCGUGGCAAACACAUGCUCAAUGGCCUCAGCCGCCAGGGAAGGGCAACACACACAUUUUGACGGGACAUGAACCCCAAACGUGCAGAGCAUGUCAUCUAAGAGCAUCCGACCCAUUAACAGCCGAACCAUAAAAAAUGAUACCUUGACGGGGGUUAGACGCUGCCAAGCCCUAGAGAGCAUGAUUGAAGCAUUAUCGACAUGCUGUCCCUUCUGAUAGGUUGAAUCUAAUGAAAAUUUCCCAGACAUCUCCGGUAUCCAUACCACCUCAUCCGCAGAAUGUUCAGUCGGGACCGAUUUUCUCAACACAGAAGACAUCAUAUCCCGUGGUAGACACUGAGCUAGGAGCUGAGCAUCCCAGUGACCCUGAGCAAUAAAGUCUCGGAAGGAUAGAUGUGAGGCCACUGGAGUUUUGAGGAACAACGCUCAACUACCCAACCAAUUAUCAUACCAAAAAUGACAUGACCCGUCUUGUACUAACCACAACAUGGAUAGCUCAACCUGGCGGCCGACAUCCAGCAUCCAUCUCCAUGUCGCUGAGGCAAACACCUUACACUCUGCCUGGCAAGGAUAAAUGCCUCAACAAUACUUCGCCUGCAUGAAGGAAGCCCACAGGGACGUCCCAGUCCGGAACUGCCACCAAAGCUUGUAAGAGAAAGCCCUAUAUACAUCACUAAGCCAGCGAAACCCCACCCUCCCUCCUCAAGCGGGAGACAAAGCUUAGCCCAGCGAAUCCAAUGAUACCUUGAUCCUUCCUCCGAAGAUCCCCACAGAAAGUUGCACAAGCUCGCUCAAUAACCCGGAACACAGCCUUGGGAAUUACUGCCGCAGACAGCAAGUGAAUCGGAAUAGCGGAUAGAACAUGUUUUAUCAAAGUGAUCCUUCCCCCCGACGGUAAAAGCUUAGUUUUCUAGGACAGUAUUUUCCCAAGGAUCUUCAGACACACCUCCGCAAAGUAGGCCGUCUUACACCUGCCGACAUAUAGGGGAAAGCCUAAAUAGCGGGUAGGAAACGCCUAUCGCAAAAACCCUGUAAUAUGCUCGAUUGUCCUACCUCUUGCACUGGAUAGUGACGAGUGGACCAAAUAGCCACUCUUCUGAGCAUUGAGCAAUUGGCCUAAGGAACGUUGAUACAUAUCGAGCACCCGCAUAACCUGGCGCAAAGAUGCGUCAUCUGCAAAAGCCAAAUGGGUUACCGCAGGGCAAUCCUGGGGUACCUUAAACCCGUGGUAGGAUGGCCAGGUUACAAGAUCGUUCAGUCCCCGUGAUAGAACCUCCAUGGCUAGGAUGAACAAGGCAGGGGAGAGCGGGUCCCCUUGACGAAGACUCCUGCUCGACCUAAAAUAGCCGUAAGAUGCCCCAUUAAUCACAACCGAAAAUCAGACAUUAGACACCAACCGCCAGACCAUAUCAAUAAAGCGUUCUCCAAACCCAAACUUCCGCAAUACUCUAAUCAGAUAAAGCCAGGACAUCCGGUCAUAAGCCUUGGCCAUGUCAAGUUUGAGCACUACGUUCCCCCCUCUCGCUUUCUUUCCUAUGACUGCAACAAUUUCCUGAGCCAAUAAAUAGUUCUCCGUAAUAUUCCUGCCUCUAACAAACCCUGACUGCUGGGGAAAGACCAGCUUUGGCAACAAGACAGCCAGUCUAUCAGACAAAAUGCGCGACAAAAACUUUAUUUAUGAAAUUGCAGAGGCUUAUAGGCCGAAAGUUAGAGAAGUCUUGAGGGUUUGAGACCUUUGGGAUGAGGACAAUAGAAGUCGAAGUAAUGAAACGCGGAAGAUCAGCCCACAAAAGAAGCUUACCACAACAUUAUACACAUCUUGGGCGAUAACAUCCCAUACAAAGGUAAAGAACUUGCCCGUAACCCAUCCGGUCCCGCCACACUGUCCCCAUCCAUGGCAUGCACCACAUUUUUCUCUUCUUCCAUUGAAGGAAUGUCCUCUAGAGUCAGGUUCUCUUCCCUCGUGAGGACAUGAGAGAUGAGCAGAAGCAACUCAGUGCUAGGCACCACAGACUCAGAGUACAGUCUCGAGAAGAAACGAAUGGCCUCAGUGGCAAUUUCCCCAUCGCCCUCCACCCAAGUCCCCACUUGCGUUUUGAUCCGGUGGAUCGUAUUCUGGACUUUACGUUGCUUAACCACCGUAUGGAAGAACUUAGAAUUCUAGUCCCCACUUGAGAGCCACCUAACACGUGCCUUUUGGCUCCAAAAUUGCUCCUCGAUUGCCAAUGCAUUCCGAAACUCCGCCUUCGCCUCCUGUAGCAAAUGUGAGCGUCCUCCGAGUCCUCGCUUUCCGCCCCUGUCUCUACCAGAACCAUUUUCGCCUCUGCCACCUUGACAGCCUCAAAAACAUUUUCAAAGAAGCAUUUAUUCCAUUGUUGAAUGGCUCUCCUCACAGUCAAUAGCUUAGUACACUACACACGCCAGGGAGACCCAUCCGCUGGGAGAGCCCAAGCAUUGCGGAUCACCUCCAACAGGGAGGACAGUGAUAUCCAAACGUUGAGAAAAUGGAAUGGCCGCGGCUUAUCAUCCUAAUGGGUGGCAAACGUGAUCUUUAAAGGGGCGUGAUCGGAAGGGUGCCUAGUCAGAUGAACCAUUGAAAUAGAGGCGGACAGGUCCGUACAUUCGCCGUUAACAAGGAGCCGAUCCGACCGCUUCCACACCCGAGCUCAACCUCACCUAUUAUUACACCAAGUGAAACUGGGUCCAGAGAACCCGGCAUCAAAAACUUCAGCCUCCUCCAUAAAUGACAUGAACUCCAACCCCACCGCGGACACAAAGGAGCAGCCCCCUCGCUUCUCAGUCGGAGCCAAGAUCACGUUGAAAUCCCCCCUAUGCACCAGGGAUGCGACCGUGGCUUGUCAAGUAAGAGAUCCCUCCACAAGUCCUUGCGACACUUCACGGAACAUCUCGCAUGGGCCCAGGACAACAUUAAGGAGCCAGGCAAUAGUGGAUGAUGAGCAUCUAACGUGAUAUAUUGGUUAGAAGACCCAACCUGCGAGCAAACAAAUAGUGACUUAUAGAAUACCCAGAGAUCAGCCGAUGUAUUAACCAUGACAUAAUCAAACGAAAGCUGCAAUCGUGUAGACUCAAUCUUAGGUUCACAGAUGCAAAGAAAUUGAACAUCAUGCAUGCGAAUUAACCUGAUCAAUCUCCUAAGAUUGGGAGCUUUCGACACCCCCCGAAUAUUCCAAAAUAGAGCAUUAACCAUGGGAUGAGGCAUUGAAAGAAUUUUGAGACGAUGUUGAAGAACAAAGCUGCCUGUCUGAGGGAAACUUAGCACACAUACCUUUCACCUUCACCUGCGUAAAUCCCUGCUCCAACUCCGUGGCCUGAUCAAUGUUAAGCUCCAACAGUGAUAGGUCAAUCGCGGGCCCAUGCGACCUGCUCAAUCUUGGCGACAAAUUCCUUGUUGCCCACGGCAACUCCUUCUCAUGCGAAGCUGCUGGCGAACCAAGCUCAACCGAAACAAGCUCCUUGAACCCACCUUGCAUGCAUGUGUCCGCCCUUCCAGCAGCCUCUUCCUCGGUCACCCUUCCCUCAACCGCACUAAGCUCCUUGAACCCACAUUGCAUGUCUACGUCUUCCCCUCCAGCAGCCAUUUCCUCGGUCACUACCAUCUCCAACCCAGCUCCUCCCUCAGCCGCUUCUUAGGCCACCAUCCCAUUGGCCGUGGCUGCACACUCUACUUCCCCUCCCGUAACCAUCAUGCAUGCGGGUUCUUUUGCCUUGGACGCUACCCCCUCCAACCCAGCCCUCUCCUCUGCCACCCCUGCGUCCCCUAUCAAACUAGGCGCACACAUCCCCUCCCCACCAACAACCAAACCUACCACGUCGCUGCCCACUGCCUCCUUCGCUACACCCACACCCAGCCCCUCUGUUCCCUUGUUAUUCACCGCCACCCCUUCCUCCGCAGGUAGAAUAGUGCCUUCACAGUUAGCCAUACCAUCAGGACUCCGCACAGCCUGCACCCUAAUCCCUUUGCCACUCUCCUUGUUAGCAGGAAAGCGACCAGGCCGUAGCGGGCUUUGUUGCACUCAGCGGUCGAAUGGCCAAGCCGCCAGCAUGAAGAGCAGUAAGAGGGCAGAUGCUCCACCACAAUCUCUUGCUAGAAACCUCCUCUCCCUCGACAGCCAUCCACACUCGAGAGCAGGUUGGUUUCAACAGAUCAACUUCAACACAGGCUCUGGCAACGCCGGGCCUUGUACCAGAUGCAGUUGCCGAGUCCAAGAACAACGGUGUACCCACAAGAGACAGAAUAGAGAAUAGCGAAUGUUUAUCAAAAAAAUGAAUUGGGAGUGCCGGCAAUGCAACCUCGGUACAAGCGAGGAUUCCCUAUGGACAUGGAAUUCCCUAGUCCAAUGAAACACCCUCAUAGGGUACUUCCCUAUGUUCCACAGCCCUCUCGUCCAGAUACGAUUGAAGUCCGUCUCUGCCGAACAUCUCAGCAGCACAUGUCUAUAAUCCAGCAAGCCGAUUGAGAUGUCGUCCUUCAGAUUGAGCAUCGUAAAAAAUUUUCGCACUACCUCCAGUGAUGGCCGGCCAUGGGAGUAUUUGCCCACUAGAGACCAAUGAAAAGAAGUAGCCAGCUUGUUGGCCUCCUCCUUGGAGAAGACUAUUGCUGCCUCCUUUGUACAAAGUGGCUAGUCGCAGAUGGACAGGAGAAGGAGCCGGUUCCGAGAAGAGUUGUGAAGAAGAUUUCUUGGCCGUUGGAGAGGCCAUCUGACCCUCCACGGUCUGCCUGAGGGCGGCCAUGGGCUGCCGCCAACCCUAGCAACGUUCCGACUUUCUUGGAGCAAAGGGUUUCGGAGGUUGUUUUCUAUAUGUUGGCUUUUUAAAUUAUUCAUUCAACUAGAUUAGAUCAUUUGCUUGAUUAGAUAGGAAAUACCCCUCGAAUAUGGGAUAUGGACAAGUAUGGCUUUCUAACCUUAGGACGCUCGUAUUCCCUCUAUAAAAGAGAAAAUCUAAUUACGAAUCUUAGCCUCCAUACUCGUUAUGUUGCAUCCUUCUCUUUUAGGUCACGUAUAUUUGUAUAUUACAAUUUUUUUCUAUUUUUUCAAGUUUCAUUGUUGCAUAUUGUGACCUCUUCAAAGAAUCCUAUAUGGGCAUCACAAUUAAUGCGAUUUGCACCAACUAAAAUUCGAAGAGAUAUAUUGACCCUUCUAAUAGCCAUUAGGUCUAGGUUUGCAUUCAUAUAAUAACAUCCAAAUAUGAUAAGUUUUUAGGUUAAAUUAAGAAAAUUUUUGACUAAAUCACGCAACUAGUCUUGAUUAGGUUGAAAGGGUGUUUUGGAUUUUAUCUUUGCCUUCCCUUUCUUCAACCUUUGACUCCCGAACUUUUCUCUCUGAUUUUCAAAGUCUUGGAAUCGUUUUAAAAAGGGGAUUUUCUCUACUUUUAUUUAAAAUUUAUUUUAGGUGACUUGAUACAUGUUAACUCAAUACCAAGUGUUAACUCCUAUUAUUAAUUAAAAACUCUUUUUAAACUAUUAUUUUGGGCCAAAAUCGUCGCACUUUAAGCCCCAUUUUUAGACCAUUUUUCUUUAUUUAUUAUCUAUAAAUCAAAAACUCAUUUUUACUCAAAAUUAAUCAAAAAUUUAUUUUUAUAAACCCGUAAUUUUAUUUUUUCAAAAAUGGGGACGACAUGCAACUAAUUUUGCAUGCCUUUUGUUAUUGCAUUUUCAAAUAAAGGAUGGAAUAAAAUACAAUUGACACUUCACCAAAUCCAUGAUCCAUGAUAUACCCUUGCGAGAGCUGGUUGUCAAACAAGAAUUUCAGUAUUUUUACUCGUCCUUCACUCAAUUUUCUCCGAUAGAUGCCAGCCUAGUCUCCUGCUACCAUGAAAAUAUGUCAGCUUUCCUAGUCUAGAGUUCUUUUCUUUUGUAAUUAUGGAAUGCUGGAAUACUCACCCUUGCAAAUAAAAAUCCUUUGACACUCAUUUAUCCCACUACUACCCAUCUGUAUACAAAAGUUAUAUUUACACUUUAUUUUUGUAAUACUACUAAAUACUUUUGCAAUUAUUUCUCAUAUAUAUUUAUUCUUUUAUCUUGCCUUCUAUUUUGUUUGCCUUCCUAGGGAGGCUUCUCCGUAUUGUCCAUCUUUAGUCUCUUUCUGCAUCUCCAAUUCGUAAUUUUGGAUGCAGUCUUUUCACCGAUUAUUGCAGUAUUCGUAGUUACUCUGGCAUUUUCAAUCCUAUUUCUAGACCUAAUAUCUAGCUUUUUAGGACUAAAUUUAUUUACUUCAUAGCCUCUUCUAACACUGCCAGACCAAUCAUCCUUCUGCCCGCCUUCCAUACCAGAUGGCCAGUGUUUUUGCAUGGGCUCCUGCUUUCAUACAUCUCCUCAGUGUUUCAAACUGAGAUUCAAUCAUUGCUUCUAUUCUACCAAUAUUGUCCUUCACAUCGUUAUUACCACACUCAAUUUCAACUAGCCUUUUUAUCAAUGUCUUCGCUACAGCCUACGCUAUUGUAAAACUGCACAUUGCCCUGUCAAUACAACCCUUCAGUUUUCUAACACUAGUAACAUUACAAAAUGCAAUUGCAAAUUCAACAACAGUUCACACAAGUGCAUUUUACAUUACUUGUUCCUCCUCAAAUAUGCGAUUCCUCCUCAUUAUUCUCACACUUUCAUUAGUCUCAUACCUUCUCCAAAAUCUUAUCCUUGGCCCUCUUGGAAGGAACUUGUGAAACUCAUCCUCACCUUCGAUAUAGAAUCGUUCCAGAUAAUAAAUCUACAUGGAUAAAAUAUCCAUUAAUCAUUUAUAGUUCCUUUAUAUCAAAGGUAAUUGUUAUAGCAAUUUUUAGCGCUAUUUUAAAAGGUGUGUCUUCAUAUACCAUCAAGAAAAGUGCACAUCCCGCUAUUCUGUUGCCAUCUUCUUCACAGAUGCUCUUCACCAAGUUGUCUAGUAUGAAUUUUGACUAGUUCAGAUUUUCCAUAUUCUUUUCUUUGCCGACUACAGCCAUAGGCUCCCUGCUCACUGUGUCAUCCAAAGUUGGCGCUAACGCCCUACCAACAACAAACAGUACGAACUUCACUUUGAAUUCUAAGCCUUCAUUAUGCAAACUAUAUAGGUUGUCCCUCAAUUCCUCCGCUAUAAUUUUUCCUUAGCCGUGACGUGUAAACAUUAGCCAUGAACAUUCAAUGUCCUCCCAUCUAUAUCAAAGUUAUCCACUAGCCAGUUGAACAUCUCUUCAUCAACCUCAACUUCCUUCACAUUCAAAAUUGACCCAAACCCAAACUCUCCAAUAACCUGCCACUGCUCAUCCAAAACGUAGUCCAUCAUAUUCUUCAUUGGAUGAGUCGAGUUCUUUAAUAUUCUUUCCGUCGUUAGCCAGAACUGCUUCCUUUCACUACUACAACUAAAGUAAUUCAUUGCUAUUGCACUUUUAUGCAUUAGUGAGGGCCGAAUUUCGCUUUCUCCUUCACUAUCCCACUGCAUAUCUGAAACAUCUAUUUCGGCCACCAACUCCAUUAGGGAUACCAUUUUGCAUUCUUUGUGGGAAUUCCUAUUUGGUUUCGCGAACCUUCAUUUUAUAUGCGUAUAGUGUUCAUGUGACAACCCACCACCCCUAGGGCGUACCCAAAGGUUUGGCGGACCGUCUGCCUAACUCUUGCCAGGACUUACUUACUCACUCAAUCAACUCUCAAGAUUAAUCAUUCAAGCCUCCAAAAUAACAUUUAAGUUCUACAAUUCAACCAAAAUAAAACUUAUUUAUAAGCUAAAAGUCAAAUAUAUGAUACAACAUCAAAUGUCAAAAUACAUCCUAUCAACCGAGAGUACAAGUACAAGAGGGUUAUACACUCUAGGUCACACUUAAUUGCUCCAGACUUCUAUUCUUGUAAGGAAAAAAAAAACUAAAGGAAUGAGUUAAAAAUCUAGUGAGGUUCCUAAACAAGCAAUCAGGUAGGGAAACCAAGGAAACAUUAUAUUUAACAAUUUGCAUACUUUGCACAGUAAUAUCCAAACAUUCAAGAAAUAAACACUCAAUCAUUAGAAGGAUACGUACUCACUUGGAGUCAUUCAUUCAAGUCAUUCAUUCAUUCAUUCGCCAACCAUUUUCCUUAUCCCUCCGACAUUAGAAAACAUUUGCAAGUGAAAACUUCUUCAGUGAAUUUGUCAUUCAUUCAUUGAUAUCAUUGCAUUGAAUUCAUUGGCCAGUUCUCCACCAGAUUUCAUGGUAAUAUUCGAGUAUACCAAACAUUGUCCUAGAGUCACCAGUCACCCGACCGAGUCCGCUUCUGGCUCGAGUCGACUGGCAAUGAAGGGCAAGAGCCCAGUUCAGCCAAAAGGCUUACAUUCAUACACAAAUAAUAUUCAAUCAUUUAAUCAUUGAAAAUUUCACGUUCACUUAGAUCAAGUGCGAUAAAGUAUAUACUCGCCUGUCGAAAAUCUAUUUAACAAUCAUUUAAAAGCAUUUAACAUUCAAACAAUAACUCAUAGAUUUUCACAUAGUCAUUUAUUGCACAAACAUCAAAAGUACACACUCACCAGUUUAAGCAAAGUAACAUCAAAAGUUUCCUUCCAAAUUAUGCCCUUGAUCACCGACAAACCCUAAGAAUAACCAAGAGAAAAUAUUAUGGUUCAAUCAUCCAAAGUUUAGGUGAACUAAAGAAAAUCAGAGUAACUACUAGUACAAAGGUGCAAAUAUGAUUUUGGAGUGAAAAGAGAACAUUUAGACCCAAGGGACAUGAGUAACCAAGAAUUUCCUCAUUCCAAUUAUAAACUGAACUCAAAAUGGUUUAACAACUCCAACUUAAAGUUGGAAAUGAAAGUAAGGACAGUUUUAGAAAAAUAGAAUUUUUCCAGUUUUGUGCUAUUCUAUUUGAAAAAUCAUAUCUCAAGCUUCUUAAAUCCAAAAUUUAUAAACUUUAUACUAUUGAAAAAUAGAUUCAAAGGAUAAUUUCUCAGAAGACACCUUUGCAAGAUUCUAUCCACAAGUCAGUCAAAAUCCAAUCUCAAGUGGCUACUUUAUCUAGUAGAAAGACAGAACAGGAAUGAAAAUUCAGUAAAAUUUGAAAAAUCACAGAUAUUCAUAGGAAUUGAGAAAAAUUCUGAAAUUUUCAUGGUCAAAAGUACUCUGAAUCUAGUUUCAAAUGCCAUAAGCAGAACUUAAGUUAGAUUUUUCUACACCAAGAUAUGACAGAUUUCCCAAGACUGCUCAGAGUCUCCUGCGGGAAAAAUUUCAGCAGCACUUCCUUUGUAUUUACCAAUUUUUCCAGCCAUUUCAAGGCUACAUUUUCACCAGGAGACAGCUCCAAUCAAGUCCACAAGAUAUAGGAUACAUAGAAUACUUAUUUUAACCACAAAUAUAGCUAUAACCAACAUAUACCUAAGCUGGAAAUUAACCAAACCCUAGCAACAACUUCACCAAACCCUAGCAAAACCAUGAAAUUACCAUAAACGUACUUCCUCCAACUUCAAUCAUAACAUAUCUUGCAUAAAUCUCAACAAACAGGUAAAAAGAGAUGUUUUCUAGAAAUUUUACCUCAAAACCCCAAGAUAAUAAGCAACUCAAGAGCUUUCUUCUCCAAGUAACUCUACCAAAAGCUUCCCUCCAAGCUUAACUCAAGACUAAUCGAUAUGGAUUAGGGUUAGUGUUUGGAUUUUUCACAAAUCAAGCAAGGAAAUCAAGAUGGAAUUUGGAAGUUUUUUCUCUCUUCUUUCCUCUCUCAAUUUCGUCCAUGAGGAAGGAGAAAUGAAGGAAAAUUGUGGCUAGAGGAAAGAUAAGAAGAAAGAAAAUGUCUUGGUCAACAUUUGGUUUAAUGGUUGACAAGUGUCACCCAACUAUUUUGUCUUUCUUUUCCUUUUCCUUAGUCAAUAAUGGUGGCUGAUUUAAGGGUUAAUUUAGGAAAAAUUAAAUGAAAUAAAAACAAGGAUGUUAGGGUAAGAAAGUAUUGGUCAAGCAGUGUACUCAACCGGUAACAAAUGGCACACAUUGGUUCAAGCCUAUUUCCCUUAACUCUCUUGUACUAUUGUUUUAACUUAUGAUUACUAACUUAUUAUUAUCAUUUCUAGUCACACACUUCCUUUUACCUAAGACUCACUCUUAUUCACCAAAUUUAGUGUACACAUGUCACCAAUCGAUCACACUACCAAAAUGUACCAAAACCCUAACUUACUCUAACUUUAAAAGUAAAAGUAAAACGCUUUACUUAACUAAUGAAAUCACCAUGAAAUUUAGGGCUAGUAAAUAAUUAAAUAGUCAAAGUAAAGAAAUAUAGAGGGAAAUAUAAAUUAAUUUUUCAAAAAUGGGAGGAAAUUCUGAAGGAAUUUUUGGGUCCUCACAGAUCAACUUCUCUGGCAAGCUUCGUGCCUUUUCAAUGACCUUAAUUUCACUCAUGGCCCUCUGACUUUGGCAAUUGAUUAUUUUAGGCACUCCACCUUUUCCAUUUACACUUUUGAAUCCCUCAAGUUUUCCCGUGGCCCAUACAGUCAACUUCAACACCAACGGCUCUUCAAGUUGCGAGUCACAAAACACUUUUACACAUGGCCGUCCAAAACAUAUUCCCUAUGAUGUGUGGCUUCAAUCACUCAAUCCUUUUCCCCCACCUUUCGCUACCUCUUCUUUGACCAAUAAACAUACCUCAGCAACUUCCUUAGAUUUACUUGUUAGAAAGAGAUGAUACAAAGUGCUAACUCUAUAAAAGAUGAUUAUUUCAUCGUGAAAUAAAUAUUUGCAUUCAAAUAAAUGAGAAUUUUUAUUUUAAUCGAUUCAGUAUUUUCACAAAAUCACUGACUUGAGGGAGAAAAUAAGCUAAAUCAAAGACUUCGAGGAGAAUAAUAGCUUUGAAGAAGUAGUGUUAAAAUGACAAAAGCACAAAUCCACUUAAACGUGACAAGAAUUUUUUCUAAUAGUUGUUAUUUUAUGUUGCUCAACUUAUAAAUCUUUCAGUAUACAAGUAAAUUAGGUUUGGCCAUAAAAAGCCACACAUGACAAACUCAAAAUCUGCUAAAGGCGACAAAGAACUUUUCUCAACUUUAUUUCACACUAGGAAUGUAUGUAGAAAGGAUUCAUAUGUUACAAUUAAGAUGUAGGCAUAAAAAGUCAUCGCAGACUUAGAUUGAAAUUAAAUUUUAUGAACUUUUUUCUAAGAGAAGUAAAGUUAUUAUUUUAAGUGAAGGACAAAAAAAUUUAAAAUGUUGUGAGUGGAUUUAAAAUUAAUGUUAAUACUUUAUACAAGAUGGACUUUUUCUGUAGGUGUUCCUUAAUUUAUAUAUCCAGUAUAUUUAUAUAGUGUUCUUAGUUCAAAUGAAAUCAUAAUAUCUCAAGUGUUUAAGCUAUAAAGUAUAAACGUAAGGCACAGACGAAACAUUUAUUUCUUUGACUGUGUUUGAGCUCUAGACUGAUUUAUCUUAAUUAAAAUUGGCAGUUUCAUUAAUCAAAUUUAUGUCUUUCAGAAAAUAGUAUCUCAAGGAUUUGACACUUUAUAUAUUAUUGUUUAAAUAAAUAUAUACACUGAUAAUUCAUACACUAUCAUCAUUAGCUUCAUAAUACAUAAGCAAAAUUUGAACUUUAAAUUUAAAUUCAAAUUAGUUAUCAUGCAUUCAGUGGUGUGAUGAUGUUGUAUACACUAGUAGAGUAUAAAAGAUUAAUUAUUUUUUCCCCAAAAUAUUGACUUAUAGCGUGCAAAUGUUGAGCAUAAAUACACAGCUGCGCAUGGUUAUACAAUAUUCUAGGCCUAAAAGUACGCAAUUGCAAAGAAUUUCUUAGUCAAAUUAAACUCACUACUACUUACGUUCCAAUCAAAAUGUCAAUACUUUUUAUUUUGAAAAGUCGUAAAUUUUUUAUCCUCUCCUUUCACUAUAAUCCCCUUUAAUCAUAUAUAUGUUAUCAUUUAAUUUUAAACUUACUGGAGCAAGAUAAAAAAAAUACAAAUAUUACAAUCAAACUGCUUCUUAAAAAAUUAGACUUCCUUUGAUCGUAUGAGACGGAUGAAGUAUUAUAUUCCAAUUCCCGAGGCCUUUAUCCUCUCUUCCUCCUGGAUUUGUACAACCAAGGAGCUGAUAGACUAAUUUAGCUUUUUUUUUUUUUUUGGGAUAAGAAUAGACUAAUUUAACUAAAUCCAAACAAUAAAGCACCAUUUGUACAUAUUUUAUUCACUAAUGGCACAACUUUACAUAAUAAUCACGGAUUCCCAUCAAUUUUAAACAAAACCCUGUUGCAUUCACUAUACCUUAUACACUUUCACCGGUGGGAUUCCAUACACUGAAGACCCAAAGCACACUGGUUAUUGAACAACCCCACAAACCACCAAGAAAUGGCCGCCCAAACUCACCUGUUUCAUCCACUCCACUCGUUAUCUCUGCCACUGAAAACCCCAUCUAAAUCUCCUGAAUUUAAACCCAAGCUGAAACCCUCCACAUUCAUCAUCUCCAGCAAGCUCCGGGCAGCGGUGGUAGGAGGAGGUCCAGCUGGAUCCUCUGCAGCUGAAGCACUUGCUGCUGGUGGCAUAGAGACCUUCCUCUUCGAACGCAGCCCCUCUACUGCCAAACCCUGUGGUGGAGCAAUCCCACUUUGUAUGUUAGAUGAGUUCCCCAUCCCUCCUCACCUCAUUGACCGCAAAGUCACCCGCAUGAAGAUAAUAUCUCCGUCGAAUCUGGCUGUUGAUUUUGGUAAAACUCUGAAGCCCCAUGAGUUCAUCUCCAUGCUCCGCCGAGAAGUGCUUGAUGACUUUCUACGCCGCUGUGCUGAGUCUUGUGGCGCCACACUUAUCCAAGGACUUGUCACAAAUGUGGUGGUUCCCCUAACAAACAGCUCUUCAUAUGUUAUUCAAUAUAAUAAGAAUAAUUCACAGAAAUCUCUUGCUGUUGAUGUUGUUAUUGGCGCUGAAGGAGCCAGCAGUAAGGUGGCUAAGGCCAUAAAAGCAGGAGAUUACACUUGUGCUAUUGUUUUUCAAGAAAGGAUUAAGUUGCCUGAGGAGAAAAUGGAAUAUUAUGAAAAUUUGGCUGAAAUGUAUGUUGGAAAUGAUGUCUCACCUGAUUUUUAUGCGUGGGUUUUCCCCAAGUGCGAUCAUGUGGCAGUGGGAACGGGGCCACUAUGCUCAAAAAAGGAUAUCAAGAUGCUUCAGCAUGGCAUAAGAGCAAAAGUUACGCCAAAAACUCAUGGCGGUCAAGUAACUAAAGUUGAGGCUCAUCCAAUCCCUAGGCAUCCACGUCCAGUUAGAGUCAGGGGAAGAGUGACUCUGGUGGGGGAUGCAGCAGGAUAUGUGACGAAAUGUUCUGGUGAGGGAAUUUACUUUGCUGCCAAGAGUGGAAGGAUGUGCGGGGAAGCAAUUGUUACAGCAUCAGAGGGAGGUGAAAGAAUGGUUAGUGAAGAUGAUUUAAAGAGGGAGUAUUUGAAGAAGUGGGAUGAGAAGUAUUUAACUACAUUCAGGUUUUUGGAUUUGUUGUAAGGGGUGUUUUAUGGUACCAAUGCUGCUAGGGAGGCAUUAGUGGAGUUGAGUGGGGAUGAAUACGUACAGAGGAUGACAUUUGAGAGCUAUCUGUAUAAGAAGUUGGCCCAGGGAAAUAGAUGGGAUGACAUUAAGAUGGUCAUGAAUACAAUUGGGAGUCUAAUUAGGUGUGAUAUUGUAGGCAGAGGGAUUGAAAUGUUUGACAAACGAGUUCUUGCACGGUUGUAGUGUAUCAGGGAACUAGUUAAAAUGAAAGGGAAUGAAAUGAAACUUCAUCAGUACUUCCCAGAGAAGUACAGAUCCAGGAAGUUUUAGCUUUAAAUCACCUAAAAACCUUUUGGUAUGAACAAAUGGUUGUGCUAUUACUCUAUUUCAGUUCUUCGUUAAGCAGCUUCAAAUUGUUGUUUCCAAGAAAAUCUUAGCUGCUGUGGUAAAUUUAGCCUUUCAUCAUUGCCUUAAGUAUCAUCCUGUGAAGUAAUGAAUAAUUAAGAACUUGAUUGUAUUAUUAUAACUUCUGGGUGAAUAAAUACAGCUUUACAGAGGUGAAACCUUUAAGCAAGCUAUACCUUUUCAGCAAAGCUUCAAAUUUGAAUUAACAGUUUCCUACCAUACACACUAUUUACCUUGUUUCUAACAUUAUAGCCCAGUCGAGCUAAGAGUUUCUUACCCACUUUGUACCUCGAUUCUAACAUUAGCCAGCUCCUGUUUAUGCCUCUAUUGAUACCACAAUUUAUUUGUACAACUCAUUUGCUAUAUGCAUAGAGUUCAAGUGUAUCAAGAGAAAAUCAGAUCCCAUUUUCACACCAUUCUGUACCCAUCCUUUCUUGGCCCCUUGGCCACAACCAAUUUCUUUCUUCAUGUAGUGCACGUUGUGUUUGAAUCAUUUGCGACAAAGGUUUUGAAAAUAAAGAAAAUCCAAGUGCCUAGUGAUGAAUAGUAAUUAGAGCAGUACAAGGGUUAAAGCUUGAUAUAUUUCCACAUAUAAUAGGACCCAAAUAACAACCUAAUAGUUGAAUAGGUGGCCAAUCAUCCCUCUUGGUUAUAAGCAUAGAGGAUAUUGGCUCUGAUUUAACAGAUGUGGUUUGCAGAACUUGGAGGAAUAUGUGCUUUGCUGCUUGUGUUAUGCAGCAUUUCUGGGACAUCAUUUAGUCAAGGGAGAAGAUUUUGAAAGCAAUGCAAAGCAGAGAUAGAGUUGAGGAUUGAAAAGAAUGAACAGGAGAAGAACGUGCAUGAAAAACAUAGGCAGGGGGGAGGGGGACAAGCCAUGGUAAGCCCCUUAAUUAUGACGGAGAAAAGACAAAUAUGCAGAGAGGAAAUUACAGAAUAUUAAGGAAAAGAAUUCACCUUAUACUUGGAAUCUCUCCUGAUGAAGUGCAUAAGAUACUAUAUUAUAGGCCAAAGAAGUUAAUUCUUAAAAAUGCAGACAACCAAAGCUCCAAAAUAGAAUGAAAAAGUCAGGUUAUGAUGCUAAGUGCUAACUAGCCUCUUUGAUAGUAAUAACUAUUAAUAUAUUAGGAAUAGAACUAUGUAUGUUUACACAUACACAUACAAUACGGCCUUCAUCCCACACUUGUCUCUGAGACUCAUACCUGACUCCACCCAAAGUGCCCUUAGCUAAAGGUUUUCUCAAAAGAUUAAUGUUUCUUCUAAAUGUGUUUCAAUCUAAUAACUAACAUGGUCCUAAUUGAUUGGGCAGAAAACAAUCACAAGCAUAAAAUGUAAUUAUCCUACUCAUGUGAGGGUUAGCAUUUUUUUCUUUUCAGAGACCUUAUCCAACAUUACUCCCCCAAUUCAAAGAGUUUCAGACUCUCUUGCAAGUAUUCAUGCACUAUUAAGCUGCAUCUGUAUAUUAGCAUAACACCAGAGAAGCCUAAGCAGUAUGUCUCUCAUAAUCAUGGUUCGCCAACUCGGCCGAGUCCGAGACGACUCGGCCGAGUCAUAACCGGAACAGUCCCUACUGUUCCGAUACCGAUACCCGAAACGUCGAUUAUAUCAUAUCCGAUGUGAAUCGCUCCGAAUCAGUCGAUAUUGUCCGAGUUAGAACCGUGUAGAAAGAUAUCGGUCAAAUUCUCGGAUUCGACUCGGAUAUUGUCCAAUUUCUCACGCUUUCUUGUUUUCUUUUUCAGCCACAAAGACAAGAUUUAGGAGAAAGGGAAGAUAAGGGGAGAAACAUACCGUCAAUUUCUGGGUGCCUUUUGCAGAGAGGGAAUAUCUUCAGAUUAGCAGAGAGGGAAGGAAGGAGACAACAGAGGGUGACCAUGGUUAUUUGGAGAAGCGAGUUCUUUCUUCAUCGUCCUUCCAGUGAAGGAAGGAGAGGAGAAAAACAGAGGGUGAAGGCAGAGGGAAGGAGACAACAGAGGGAAAGGGAAAGCGAAAGAAAGAAUGAAGGUGACGGCUGGCUAAUCUGGAGCUGAAGCUUCAAUUUCUUCGUCAUUUGUACUGGGCGAAGGGGUCUUCAAUCUGGCUGUGAAAGGGAAAUUACCAAGCUAAGGGACGGCUAAAUCUGAGAGGAACAACACUAGUGAAGUCAGAUUGCUACUUUGAUGGUUUGAUUCCCAAUCUCACUCGGAGGAAUCGAGAGCAUCUCAAUUCUUUUGGCAGUAAGUUUACACGGAGUUGUUUCAGCAUAUGAAAGGAGCCUAAUGACAGAGCUUUGAGAGAGCGGCAACCAUUUAAUAAUCCCAAAGACACCAGGCUCCCACUUUGCCAGGUUUCACUCUCUAAUUCCACAUUGCGGCAACUGUCACAUAUUUGGUGGAGAAGCUGGGCUUUUGUACCAGACCCAGAGACAGGGAAAAAAAUAGAAGGAAAAAUUAGAAGCACUUAAAUUUCAAGUUUGGCCUAAGUUCAAGUCUGCAUCUUCUUUCAAAAUAACUUAUCAAUUUUAAUUUUUUUAAUUUAGUAUUCAGAUGUGAUAUUUAAAUAUUUGUAAAUUUAUGUAAUGCAUUUUGACAAUUUUUACAUAUUAUUAAGUAUAUGAUUAAUUUGUAUUAGUAGUCUCUUAUCUAAAUUUUAGUUAGAAAAUAUAUAGUGAUUAUUUGGAUACAUUUUAAUGAUCAUAAAUAUAAUUUAUUUAUUUUCAAGUAUCUCAAUUAUGUUGGUUAAAAUGAUUUUAGGUAAAUUAAUUAGAAAAAGGCAAAUUUGAUAAUUUUAGGUAAUAUAUAGUAGGUAUUUAGUAAAUUUAAUUUGAUAUUUGUGUUUUUAAUGGUAUUUUCUAUUUUUAGUAAUUUUUUCAGAUUUUUUGGAAAUUUUUAUAUACUAUAAUGUGUGUAUCACCCGAUAUUCAACCGAUAUGCCGCGACGGAUGUGGAACAACCGAGACCGCGACGCGGCCGCGAUCCGCGACGGCGAACCAUGCUCAUAAUAUAACAUAAAAACGUUUGCUGAUACACAACAAAGUCACUUAAUACCUGCAAUUUACUAAAACUUUUGCACAAAGAGUACUUUAAAGUAUCAAGAUGCCACUAAUUUCACCAAUGAUCCACUUAAGGUCCUCUUUAAACCAUAUGUUUCAAAUUCUUAUUUGGCUAGAAAAGACCAGAAAACUUGCACCUUAACUGCAAUAUCUCAUAUUAAAUCUCUAGCGCAAAGUAACUUCAUAUAACUACGUUUUGAUAGUACCAAAAAAAAAAAAAAUGCAGCAAUACAAGAAUGUCAAGAAACCAGAAGAACCAAACCAAAGGAAUCCUUUUAUUGUUCUGUUCUUAAAAAUAACAUGUGCAAAAAGUUUGCUGCACCAUAUUUAAUAAGCAUUGCAAUCAGACCAUCAAAAUGGAAGUGCAAAAGGUCGAAGUUGAAAGAAACUAGUAGACAUGAAUUACUAAAUGAUCUUAAUAAAAGCUACCAUAAAUUAAGGAAUCAAAACUGUGAGCAUAAGCGAAAAGAGUUCAUGGAAGAUAAAAAGAGCUAAAAAUGUUAAAAAGCGGAGGAUCUUACUUUUUUUUGGGAAAAAAAAAACUUUUGUCAUUGAGAUCAGAUAGAAGCCAGCAAUUAUAUUCUUGUAACAACAAACAUAGCCAAAACACAAACUUUAAAAUUUCCUCAAAUAACCAAGACGGAGUUUCCUUGCUUGUCAGCAAGUGUUAUGCGCACAAAUAUUUACCAUGGGCAUUUUAGUAUUUUCAUUCUGCGUUUGUUUUCUAUAUUUCAGAUUGCAUGUAACCAAUUAACAGAAACAGAAAGGCCAUGCAUGGAAAGUUUACGUACUGGUCACAUGCAUGGCACCAGAAAUAGAAAGUCAUGAAAAGGCAUGGCAAUGGAAGUUAGUUAUAACUAACUCUCCUUCCACCGUCUCCCUACUAGUAUAAAAGAUCAGUAGAGCAAGGAGAAUAUCAUCGAACAACUUUGUAACAAUUUCAUGUUCCCCAAAUGUCUACAUCUGAUCAUCAAUAAUAUCUACUCCCUCAUCAUCAAGAGGUGUUCUCCAUUUCUUCAUCUCUUCUGGUAGGGAGCUUUUGGUCUCUUCCUCCCUUUUGGAUCAGUGGUAUCAGAGCUAGGUUACUCUAGCUGAGUAGGAAAUUCCAGGAAGCAAUGGUAGAAGGCACAAGAGGUCAAGAAAAUAGGAAGUUCGAAGAAACUAUCAGAAAUCUCCUAAGGGUGCAGAGAGAGCAAUUCAAGCGAGAAUUGGAAGCAAUCAAAAGCUUGGUGUUGGAGGUUUGCAGCCAGAGGAGUCAAGGACAGCAAGGAUCUCCCCACACUUCUGAGAAUGAUAAUCAAGGAAGUCGUGGGGGUAGCUAUCAGCUCCAACCAGGUUUUCGCGCAUAGAAUUUCCCAAAUUUGGAGGUUUAGACUUCAAAAGCUGGUUAUAUAAGUGUGAUCAGUUUUUUGAAAUUGAUGAAACUCCAUCAGAAGCCAAGGUCAGAAUUGCCGCCAUGCAUUUGGAGGGCAAGGCUCUCCAAUGGCAUCAAGUUUUAUGAAGGCUAGGAUCUCCAGAGAUCCACCUUCAUGGGAAGAGUAUGUACGGGCCUUGGGAUCGAGAUUUGGAGACAGUCUUUAUGAUGAUCCCAUGGGGGAUUUAAAGAGCUUGAAACAGAUCAGGUCAGUAAAGGAGUACCAGGAAUUGUUUGAGAAAUUGUUAAAUAGAGUAGAUCUCCCUGAGCAGUACAUGGUAAGCUGUUUCAUUAGGGGAUUGAAGGAAGAAAUUCAAUUGGCGAAAAGAAUGUUCGUGCCACAUGAUCUACAGCAUGCUGUUGGUUUACCAAAAAUUGAGGAAGCCAGGAUUCUGAAUGCUUGGAAGCAAGGUAAAUUUUCUGGUCCAUCCCAAGGGAACACUUCUUAUGCCCCAAAUGCAGGUUCCAGCAGCAAUUAUCCCAGGCAAAAUAGCUCGUACAAUGCUUCUCUACUACUCAAGCCUGGGGAAAGAGGAGCAAGCAACAUGGAAGGACAGAAACGAAGCUCAAAAUUCAUGAGUACUACGGAGAUGGAUGAAAAGAGGGACAAGGGACUAUGCUACUGGUGUGAUGAAAGGUAUACUCCUGGCCAUCAGUGCAAAAGAAGGAAGUUAUACAGGAUUGACUAUGUGGAAGAGGCUCUGGACGAACAGGAACUAGAACUCCUUGAGGAUGAUGAGCAAGCGCUGUUAACUGAAGGUAAUUUAGCACAAAUCUCUACAAAUGCUAUGUGUAGCCUAAUGGUUCCCAACUACAGAACUAUGAGAAUACAUGCUUAGAUCAGCAAAAAGGCUUUCAUCAUUCUGAUAGACUGUGGGAGUUCUCACAAUUUUUUGCACCCCAAUAUGGUAAGGAAGUUUGGUUUGAGAACAGUGCAGGUUGCUCCUGUAAGGGUAGUAGUAGCUGACGGAAAUUCCCUCACUACAACUACCUUAUGUCCCGAGUUCCAAUGGAAAAUGCAAGGGCAAGAGUUUGAAGAAGAUGUAUUAGUCUUGCCUAUAGGUGGUUGUGAAGUAGUGUUGGGAAUGCAAUGGCUAUCAACUCUAGGGGAAGUCAAGUGGAAUUUUGCAGAAUUGAGAAUGGAGUUUUUGCAAAAGGGGAAGAAGAUGGUGCUGAGAGGGUCCAAGCAACAACCAGUUUAGGUGAUUUCAAAGAAGCAAAUGCAGAAACUCCUGACCAAACAUGAACAAAUUGAAUCUGCUCAAUUGUGUUUGGUAACUACUGAGGGUGAUCAUAGAGAUUUGACAACAGAUGAGGCCCCAAAGAUUGACAGCUUCUGUGCCACUAUGAACUCGGAUGAGCAGGUAAACACUUACCAACACCAACUAGAGUCACUUCUAUCAAAAUAUAGUGAGGUGUUCGAAGAACCUGUGGAGUUACCUCCUGUUAGGAUGCAUGGUCAUAGGAUUUAUCUUAAGGAGGGUACCCAGCCCAUUAAUGUUAGACCAUACAGAUAUCCUGCCUUCCAAAAGGGUGAAACUGAGAGACUAGUGACUGAAAUGUUGACUAAUGGCAUUAUUAGACCCAGUAAUAGUCCAUUUUCAUCUCCUGUGGUGUUGGUAAAAAAAAAGAUGGUACCUGGCGCAGGUGUGUAGAUUACAGGGAGCUUAACAAAGCCACGGUGAAGGAUAAAUUUCCUAUACCACUGGUUGAUGAGCUCUUUGAUGAACUCUUUGGAGCUAUCAUUUUUACCAAACUAGAUCUGAGGUCUGGAUAUCACCAGAUCAGGAUGUGUUUUGAUGAUAUUGCCAAAACUGCAUUUCGAACUCAUGAUGGGCACUAUGAGUUUAUGGUUAUGCCAUUUGGUCUAACCAACGCACCCUCAACAUCCCAGAGCUUAAUGAAUGACUUAUUCAGGCCCUUUUCAAGGAAAUUUUUACUGGUCUUCUUUGAUGAUAUCUUAAUAUACAGCAAAUCUGGGGAGGAGCAUCUACAACAUUUGACAAAAGUGCUUGAGAUAUUGCUCAAACACCAGCUCAAGGUGAAGAAGAGCAAGUGCUCUUUUGCUGUUAACUAGAUCAAAUAUUUGGGACAUGUCAUUUCGCCAGAAGGUGUUAAUGCAGAUCCUCAGAAAAUUGCAUGCAUACAACAGUGGCCUACACCUAUUACAAUUAAGGAGUUGAGGUUGAUAGGUUAUUAUCGUAGAUUUAUCAAAGGAUAUGGAUAGAUUGUGUGACCCUUGACUGAUCUUCUCAAAAAGAAUGCUUUUAUAUGGCAUGAUGGAGCAACUGCAGCAUUCGAUCAACUAAAAACGGCUAUGACAUCUCCUUCUGUAUUAACUUUGCCAGAUUAUUCUCAAGAGUUUGUGGUGGAAACUGAUGCUUCCAACUCAGGUAUUGGAGCUGUUUUGUUGCAGCGUGGGAAACCACUAGCUUUUUUCAGCAAGGCUUUAGCACCCAAGCAUCAAGGCUUGUCAGUUUAUGAGAAGCUAUUAUUAAUGCAGUUCAGAAGUGGAAACCGUGUCUAUUAGGGGGCCAUUUUGUCAUCAAAACUGACCACCAAAGCCUUAAAUAUUUGAUGGAUCAAAAAAUCUCAACACCAAGUCAACAGAAGUGGCUGUCAAAUUUAAUGGGAUAUGACUAUGAAGUUCAGUUCAAAAAAGGUACUGAAAACAUCACUGCUGAUGCUUUAUCCAGGCAACCUCAUAUGCCACUAGCAGAAAUCCAACAAUCAUUGCAGACAGAUCCUAAGAUGCAGGAAAUUAUCCAAUAGUUACUCUCAAAUGACAUCUUUAGAGUCAAGCACUAUAGUUGGGACAAUCAAAUGCUAAGAAGGAAAGGAAAAUUGGUGGUUGGAGCUGACAUUGUGCUCAAGAACAAAUUAAUCAAGUUUUGGCAUACUAGCUCUUUUAGAGGACAAUCUGGGGUUCAGGUGACUUAUCACAAACUAAAAUGGACCUUCUAUUGGAAACACAUGCGCGAGGAUGUUUACACUUUCGUUGCUGCUUGCGACGUUUGUCAACACAAGGCUAAUUUGGCAGCUUACCCGAGUCUGUUGCAGCCUCUGCCUAUACCUGAUAAAAUUUGGACAGAUGUCUCAAUGGAUUUCAUCAAAUGCCUCCCAAAAUCUCAAGGCAAACAAGUCAUCAUUGUGGUAGUAGAUCAGCUGAGUAAAUAUGCAGAUUUCUAUGCACUAUCUCAUCCCUAUUUAGCACUGGAGGUUGCUCAAUCUUUUAUGGAUCACAUCUUCAAAUUACAUGGUCUUCCUUAGACCAUUGUGAGUGACAGGGACUCCAUAUUCCUUAGCAAUUUCUGGAAGGAACUGUUCAAACUAUUAAAGAUCCAACUGCAGUUUUCUAGCUCCUAUCAUCCCCAAUCUGAUGGGCAAACAAAAAUUGUGAAAAGGUGUUUGGAAGGGUAUUUGUGUUGCAUGGCUAGUGAGCAGCCACGAUCAUGGUACUUCUGGCUACCCUUGGCAGAAUUUUGGUACAACACUAAUUUCCAUUCAACCACCAAGAUCACCCCAUUCCAGGUGGUCUACGGGCAGCCACCUCCCAUUCACAUCCCUUAUCUACAUGGUUCUACUGUAGUUGAGGUCAUAGAUAGAAGCUUGGCUGCCAGGGAAAAGGUACUCCAUCUCCUCAAGCAUAACCUUCGAAGGGCUCAACAUCGCAUGAAACAGAUAGCUGAUGCACAUAGAACUGAUAGAGAGUUUGCAAUUGGAGACUUGGUUUAUGUCAAGCUGCACCCUUAUAAACAACACUCCAUCAAAUCCUCUAGCUGUCAGAAACUAGAUCCAAGGUACUUUAGCCCUUUUCCGGUCAUCGAACGAAUAGGGAAGAUGGCCUACAAACUCCAACUUCCUGACCAUGCACGUAUCCACCCAACCUUUCAUGUCUCCUUGUUAAAAAAGAAGGUGGGAUCUCAUCUAGUCGCACCACAAUUACCAUCUGCCAUCACUGAUCAUGGCCAUUUAUUGCUCGAACCAGUAGCCAUUCUGGACAGGCGCAUUGCAACCGAGGAAAUCAAGCAGCAACUCACGUGUUGGUCCAAUGGAGUAACUCAUUUCCAGAGGAUGCAACGUAGGAAUUCUUGCAUGACUUAAAGCAGAAGUUCCCUACCUUUAGUACUUGAGGACAAGGACUUUCUCAGGAGGAGGCAUCUGUUACGCGCAUAAAUAUUUACCAUGGGCAUUUUAGUAUUUUCUUUUUGCGUUUGUUUCUUCUGUUCAGAUUGCAUGAACCCAAUUAACAGAAAUAGAAAGGCUAUGCAUGGAAAGUUCACGUACAGGUCACAUGCAUGGCAUCAGAAAUAGAAAGUCAGGAAAAGGCAUGGCAAUGGAAGUUAGUUAUAACUAACUCUCCUCCCACCGCCUCUCUACUAGUAUAAAAGAUCAGUAGAGCAAGGAGAAUAUCAUUGAAAAACUUUGUAACAAUUUCAUGUUCCCCAAAUCUUUUGUCUACAUCUGAUCAUCAAUAAUAUCCACUCCCUCAUCAUCAAGAGGUGUUCUCCAUUUCUUCAUCUCUUCUGGUAGGGAGCUUUUGGUGUCUUCCUACCUUUUGUAUCAGCAAGUGGACAGAAAACAAGAAACACCUACAAUAAAGGGGAAAAAAGCUAAAAUGGAACAAAAAAGUAAACCCGAUACUCCGGUAUUUGAUGCUGGAGAUGGAUAGUUUGCAUCCACCUGUUGAUUUUGCUGGAGAUGAAUAGGUUUACUUGGGGCUGAUACCGCUAAAAAUAUAAGGUUGGAAUUGAAGGAAGUUUGUGAUGGUUGAAGAUGAUACAAACAUUCAAUUGGAAAUUCCCUCCGAGAAAGAGAUGAAAUUGACGAAGAAUGAGGUGGAGAAGGAGUUUUGCGGGUUGGAUUUUUUGGAGAAGAUGGAAUCCGGCGUUCAUGAAGUAGUGGCAGCUCAGGAGUAGAACUGCAAUUGCAAACGAGCCGAGUCGAGUCGAGUUUUGGGCUAAUCAAAUCGAGCCUCAACUAAAUUUUAUCAAGUUCGAACUCGAGCUCGAGCUCGACGAGCUGGCAAUUUAAAGCUCAAGCUCGAGCUCGAAAGAAAUAAAAAAUAAUUAUUUUAUUUUUUAAAAAAUAAAUAAAAUAAUAUUUUUUUCUCAAUAAAUAAUAAAAUAAAGGAUAUAUAUGUAAUUUUACUAUUAAAAUAAGAAAAUAAAAAUAUAUAUACUUAAAAUAAAAAAAAAUAUAUACUUAAAAUAAAAAAAAUAAAAAAUAUUAUAUAUAUAUAUAUAUAUAUAUAUACUCGAACUCACGAGCCGGCUCGUGAGCUAACGAGGUUACUAUUUUGACCUCGAGUUUGAGAUUGAUUUCGACUCGAGCUCGAUAUUGAUCGAACUCGACUCGAGCUUGAUUCGAGCCACUCGCGAGCGGCUCAAUUCGUUUGCAACCUUACCCAGGAGGACGACGCCUGGAGGGAGGAGAAGGAGGAGAACCACCCAUGCUAAAGGAUUGGACGGCGCUCUUUGUCUGACGAGGACAACACGUGGCAGAUACGUAAUGUCCGGCUUAGUGACGUGUCAAUACAGUCAUUCAUACACGUAAGCAUAUUUAAUGACAUGGCAUCCAUGCCAUCAUCACAUGGUUUACCUGACUCACUAUACGUGGUCUGCAAUUUCCUUCACCUUCUUUAUAGUUAGGUCAUUGAAUUUGAAUUUUCUAAGUCUUAAAAAGUUAGGGUUCGGUUUUUAUUUCUGGCAAGGUUUUUUUGUAAUUAAUUUGUUAGUUCAAUUUAUAGAUUCACUCUUUAAUUCAUGUAGAACACAUAUUGCUUUUUUGGUUAGUGAUUUAAAAGUGGCCUUUUAAACUAUGUGUUUUCACACGAUUUUUUAAUUGCCUUUAACAAUUUAUUAAUUGUCUUCGACAAUGUAUUAAUUUUUUUUUUAAUUUUCUAGGUUUCUGGGAUUAGAAAAUUUUUAUGCAGUUUUCAAUGUUUUUCUUUUAGACUUUGGUAGAAAGCAAUACACAUCAGACUAUUUAGAUUUUUUUACGUUUUUGACUUAAGAGCAAAAUACAUCUGUUCGCCAAAUGAAAUUAUGUUUUCGUUUUGGUUUCUAUUAGUUGUGAAUAGGUUUAGAAGGUUGCUGCGUUACUAUGAGUUGAUUGAUUCUGAAUUCUAAAUCUUUUGUUAAUGCUUCAUUCAAAGUAAUGGAUUAGAAUGGUAUGUAACAUUCUUUUGUUAACAUUCCUAUAACCUAAUCUAUCCUAAUCUAGGAGGAGGGGAAGCCAUUGAAAGCAUAUAGUCUUGAAAGCAGUCACAUAUAGUGGCAAUUUGAUGGGAGGCAAGUGUUGGACCAUUAACUUCCUAACACCACCAGAACUUAAAUGCUUGACAGUAACCACCAGGCCAAAGGGCCAGUGGUGCGUGAUAAUGUUUAGUGGCAAGGUGAUAACUUGGGAUAUCAGUAGGUCCUAUAUAAGUAGGUCCUAUAUUUACCCUUAUAUAUAUAAUUAAAAAUAAAAAAGUUGGAAUGAUUAUUCUUCUUUUUUUUCACUUUAAGAGAUCCAAAAAUAUAAAAUAAAAGAGUUUUUUCAAAUUUCUUUUUUCACACUUAUUAAUACUAGGAAAAGAAAAAGAGAUAGGAAAGAAGGAGACAGAAAAUUAGGUUUUGCAAAGAAAAAAAUAAAAGAAAGUGUAACAUUAUCAUAUUAAUUUAAGAUUGUUAGGAUUAGGAUUGAAAUCUGGUGGUAAACAAUAAAGCAAAAUAAUAAAAGUAUUUAAUUCUUUCUUAUUUAUAUUUUUUAAAAAAGAAUUGAGUUCUCUCUCUCUCUCUCUCCCCUUCUCCCCCUUCUAAUCUUUCUAUUUUUUUUAAUAUUAAUAAGAUUGUCAAGAAAAAAGAGAUUAAUACUUUGAUUUUUUUUUCUUGAUAAUAAAGAGGAGAAGAGCCAUUCUAAAUUUUUUUAUUAUUUUUAUUAUAUAAAAAGGAGGGUAUUUUCUUCUAAAGUUCUUUAACUUGCUAAAUUGAUUUACUGGUGGGAUAAAUUGCCAAAAAAAUAACUCUAUAGGGUAAAUUAAUAAUGAGGCUAUAAUUUAUAGGGGUAAAAUGAUAAUAACUUUAAGGGCUGGACUUGUUUUUUUACUUUAAUUAAUAAAUUUCAUUAAAUUUGACUAUUAAUUUUGGAGGUAAAGUGACUAAAGAAUAACGUUAAGGGAGAAAUUGAUAGUGGCAUCGAAUGUUAAGGGAGUAAAGUGAUAAUAAUCCUUCAAGAUGAAACAUUAAACUAAAUUCAAUCACUAAAUUUUGUUUCUUUCUGUUGCUUAAAUUAUAAGUUUGUGCCAACAUUUAUCUAUACACGACUACGCCAUGAAACAAAAUGUUAGGAUUGGGCCGACAAGCAAUGGAUGCAGAAUAAUUGCAUCCAAAAGCUGUACAAAAGGGAGACUUUUAUAGUUCUAUGAGAUGUAAUCAGUUCACGCCACCUUGGGGAUGAUUUUUUUUGUUUUUUUUUGCCCUUCUUCCAAAAUUUUUUUUUUAAAGACCCUUCUUCCAAUUUUCAAGGUAGUGUUGGUUUUAUCCUUUAAAGAUGCAAACCUGUCCAAAUUAAAAUGCAACAACUUUUGACCACGCUGAGAAUAAGACAUGCAUUCUAAAGAGUGAGUUUCAAUUGUGCAUUAAUUGUCCAUUCAACUACUUACCGUAAAGGAUGGAUUUAAUUCAUUAACUAAGUUUGACGUUAUUUACGAUCUUGGUUAGAAUUUAAAAUUCCACAUCGACUUUAUUUUGUGCAAAAUUAAGACUUAAACUAGUAGGUAGUGAUAUAUAAGAGAUAGAAUUGGAAACAAUGUCGAAACUAAGAGAGACAAAGGGUGCGUUUGAUAAAACUGAAAUCUGAAAUUUGAAAUCUGAAUACAUUAAGUUGAAUAGUGCUAUGGUACUGAUGCUAUUGAGUGAUUAAAUAUAAAAUAAUAGCAGUUGACCAGAACAUCCGAUUUUCUUUCCUUUUGUGAUAGUUUACAACCAUUUGCGUCCUUUUUUUGUGAAUUAAAUAAUUCAUCCAAAGGUACAUGUAAAUUUUCCACCUAAAUCGGUAAGAUUGUCUUAUAAAAUGAUCAGUUUUAAGUGCUUAACAAAAUUUAAUUUUUUACUAUUGAAUUUUAAUGAAAUUUACUAUAUUUUUUGUCAAACUUACUCAAUUUAGCAAUAGGUAAGUUUUGAGGUAAAUUAGUAAGUUUGUCCAAUAAAGUAGCAAAAUUCAAAAGUUACCUUUUUAUUAGUAAAAUUUACUAUUUAUCUAACAAAACUUACUAUUAUUUAAACUUACUAGUCUACCUGUAUGUUAGUUUUUCAAGUAAAAUAAUAAGUUUGUGCAAUAAAAAAGUAAACUAAUAAAUUUGUGCAGAAACUUACUAUUACCUUUUUAUUAGCCAAAUUUACCAUUUAUCUGACAAAAACUUACUAUCGACCUCAUUAAACUUACUAAUCUAGCUGUAUAUAAGUUUUUCAACUAAAAUGGUAAAUUUGGACAAUAAAGUAGUAAGUUUUAGCCAUCCAUAUAAGUUAUCUUUUCAAUGCACAAACUUUUUGUUUAUCUUCCAAAACUUACUAUAAUUGAAAAGAAUUUACUAACCUAGCUUUAAGUAAGUUUCACAAAUAUAUUGGGAAGUUUUGGCAAUGAAGUAGUAUAUUUUAUAAAAACUACCUUUUAUCAAUAAGACUUACCAUUUGUCUUUCAAAACCUACUAUUAUUUUAAUUAAAUUUCCUAAACCAAAUUUGCAUAAGUUCUACGUAUAAACUAGUAAGUUUGUGCUAUUAAGUAGUAAAUUUGUCAAAACUAAUGCUUAACAAAUCAGUAUUCAAACUUACUAUUUUCAUAACAUAAUUUACCUUAUAAUCAAAUUACCUUACUACUUUCUCAUCUAAUUUUAUUGUUAUCAAGUAGAUCUUAGAUGGCCUGGGUCUCAUAUGAUUAAUUGAGAAUUAAAGAUGAGAACUGGGCCUUUUUGGACGGGUAAAAGAGUCAGGUCGUGGACUAAGAUUGAGAAUUACCUGGAGAAAACCUUGAUAGGUUUAUUAGGGGUUUUGCUCUAACUAGCCUGACAACAUAUAGCUGCUAAUUUGCUUUGAUCGUCCCUCCCUUUUCCUUUCGCCAGCUCUUGCACUAUCCUUCUAACUAACCAUUCCCUCUAAAUUCAAAAAGGGCGAAGCGGGCUGCUUAGCCAAUAUCCAAGUAAAUCAUGGCCUUGUUUGACAGGCAAGUUUUUUGUCAAGUUUAUUUGUUACAAGUUUUUUAAAAACUUUAGCUACAGUAAUCUCAAAAAAUUUCUCAAAGUUUUUAAAUUAUAAACUUCAAAAUAUUCAAAAAUUUACAAACUUUAAAAAUUUUUUAAAAAACUUCUCCAGAAAGUUACAGUAAAGUUUUAGACAAAUACCUAAAAAACUUACUUGCCAAACGGGUUUUAGGGUAAAUAUUUCUAUCUUAUUUCUGACAAUUCGUUGUUUUGAGUUUUCUUGGUUAUGUCCUGGGGCUCUUGCCAUCUCAUUUUGCAUCUCAUGUUUUGUCUUUAUCUAAGCCUGAGCCUUUAGCUAAGAGUUUUUAACGUUUUUCUAAUAUGGAAAUUUAAAAUUCACUCUUUGGGAUAAAAAUCUAGUCCUUUUCUUUUUCUUUUGCAACCUUUGAUUUGUUUUCUCUUGCAGCAAUUUCUUGGUUAUUGUGUCUUGAAUUUUUCUUAGAUAUGCCUAUCAAGGUUAAUUUUUGGUCUCUGUGUAUGCUUUUCAGUUGUAGUAAGUCCAAUUUUACUUGUCUAUUAAGUUGCAUUUGAUUUGGGAUUUUGGGUUGUGGAAGUUGUACACAUCUAAUUUUUUUGUAGAAGUUAGUCAAUCAAUGGUAUGCAAAUAGACAAAAACCAAUAGUGGUGUAGUAAAUUUGAUUGUUUAUUUAUUGCAUGAGGUUUUGAUAAUCUUUUACGUAUAUUAAGUUCAUAAAAUGAAGAAAAGAAUCCUUAAUUUAGGUUCUUGUAACAUGCCGUUUUACAUUGUUGACAUUUAGCAUGAUUUUCACUACUUAGAUGUGUCAAUUGUGCAUCGUGUAGUAAUAAAAGAAACCACGACUAUCUUUUUCAUUGAUGGCAUUCACAUUUAUCUCUGAUUAGAACACUUCCCAUGGAUAGAUGCAGUUGAGGCUGGAUUAAAAACUUAAAAUGACAAGUAUUCCUUGUUUUUGUUGCUGAAGUGAUGAAUGUAGGUUCUAGCAUCAUGCUGGACAACAAAAAGAGGACAAUUGAUGUAGAUGAUAGGCCUAUGAGGUCAUCUGAGAAAUCAUUGAUCUCUAAGUUGGUAUUAAUUGGAAAGCUACUGUUGAUCGGCUUGAAAACUUAUCCUUUGAGGACUAAGACUGUUAAGAUUUGAUUCCAUUGACGAUGCCACAAAACUUUACUCAAGUUAUAGUAAAAUGGUAAACUUCAGUACUAGAGACCGUGAUCAAUGGAAGGAUAAGCAUGGUAUAUUAGCGGUUCAAAGAAAAUUUUGCUAAGUCCAAUUAGAUGUUAAAGUGCUAGUAAUAGCGGUGAUAAUGAAUUGGCUCAAUAAGUAUUUAUAUUUGUUUGUAUGGUGGAUUAUUUGCAUGAAUUUAUCUUAUCAUUAAUGUUUUCGAAUUUAUGUACCAAACAUUUUGUGUGGUUCCUAGCUAGUCUCACACCUGAGAAAUACAGAUACAUAAUAAUGACAACCAAGUACUCUUGGUCGGCACAACAGCAGGUUUCUAUGGAUGGGUCUUGUAUUGAAAAGUGACCUCAAUUGAAAGAAUCGUCUACGUAUCCAUAACUGCUGCUGGCUAAUACUUCACACCAACAUACUCCAAUUUUAUACACAAGUGUGCAUAUGGAAAAUACACAAUAUUGAAGGUAAAUUCUAUAUUGUAUUCAACUAAUAAAAGACAGGUGUGGAAAGGUCAACAAUAAUGGCGAAGAAGCAAGCACGUUGCAAGUUCAUAUGUACGAAGGAUGAAGGUAAUAUUUCUAAAAAAGCAAGUGUUGACCUAUAACAGGCGCGGAUGGUUUGAAAAUGUUGAUGGGCCCAACGAUCGUGAGGCAGACUGUGGAAGGUGGAAAUGCAUUGGGGUGUGAGGGAAUUCACAUAAAUAUAAUGGGUCUAGAAAUAAAAUACCGAAGAUGAUAAGUAGCGUAAGCAGCACUAAACGGCCAUGGGGGGGCCAGCAAUAGAUGUGUGUUUGAAAACAAGUAGUGCGCUCGGAAGUGAAGAAAUGAUGUGUUAAAGAAGAAGGCAAAGCGAAAUACAAAGAAGAAGGCGGGGGUGGCGGCAGGCGUAAGUUCAGGCGCAGGUGGUGACGGUGGAUAUAGCUGAGCAAGGGCGUUCCGUUGUUGUGCUGACUGAAUGCAGUGAUGUAGUACAAAAGUAGAGAAAUCAAACGUAAGUUCUUUCGUCCAUAACUUUGAAAUAGUAAAAGGGAAGGGUUUAAUAAUAGGAGAUUGAUUAAAAUAAAGGGCAAAACACACAGCGUCUAGUAUGGUGAAGGUUAGAUUGUUGUAAGACCUUCUGUUGGAGCACAUAAACAUAGCAAUGAUAGAGAAAUAAAGAUUACAAAAUACUGCGACUAAGACCCAGCGGCUUUGAGCAAAGAGGAAAUGAUACAGGAAAAUCAUCCCUGUUAAUUUGUUCACCUAGCAUUGUGUGCAUAAGAUUACCACUGAACUGCUGGUCCACUAAUUUUUAUAAUUUUUUUAAAGGAAAAUUUUCAGAAAUGAUCAAACACGUGAAGAAGACAUUGUAACGGGACAAAAGACAGAGUGAUUUGGAUGGCUAUGUGGACUUGCUGCUUUACUUUCUAAAUUGGCUCCCUGACUAUAUUGCAACAGCUUUUGCGAAGACAAUUCAAAAAACUCACAGUAAAGGUUCAGCUUGGCGCUAUAAAUGAAUGUGCAUGGACGAUAGUAGCAUUUUGUCCUAAAGGUUGACAUAAUUGCUUCAGCCCCACUUCUAAUUAUAGACACAUAAAUCUUAGAGUAACCUUUUUUGUCUGCUUUUUCUCAAAGUUGUGAGCUACAGAAUCGUCUCUUAACUUCAAUGAUCAUACAUAUAUAUAUAUGUUUUUUUCAUAAAUAGUCAUGGGCUUAAUUUUGAUGUUACAAACGAAAGCAUAUGGAUAUGUUUAAAAAAAUGUUCAGCGACCAUGGUUAGAAAUAACAAUGAACCACACACGUCUUGUAAUUAUUUGGCAAGAUUGUUUUUUAAGCUUGUGACAUGGUGGAGGAAACACAGGAUGGAAGGCUGAGGAUGGAUGGUGGUGGCAAAAAAAGGUCAUUUGACCUUAACCUGGAACCUGAGUGUGAUAGAGAUUCAGACACCCAAAAAAGUGGUGGUUCAAGUGAAGGACAUCAAGAUGAUGAGAUGGAUGAAUUGGUGGGUGCAAUAGGCAUGGAUGAUGUAAUGAAAUUAACAUUUGACACGGAAGAAGAAGUUGGGAAAUUCCACAAUUUGUAUGCAAAACUAAACGGAUUUGGAUUUCGCAAAAGUAAUGGCAAAUAAGAUGCAGAUGGCAUUUCAAGGUUUCGAAAAUGGGUAUGUUGUUGUGAAGGAUACAGGGAUGAAAAGUGGUUAAAAUAUGAAGGCCAGAAAAAUGAAACAAAACCAAUCACAAGAACCGGGUGUGGGGCUUGCAUUCGCAUGAAAUGUGACAUAAAAUCGCUAAAGUAUGUGGUGACAUUGUUCAUUAUGGAGCAUAAUCAUAAGAACCGGGUGUAGGGCUUGUUUUCGCAUGAAAUAUGACAUAGAAUCGCUAAAGUGUGUAGUGACAUCGUUCAUUAUGGAGCACAAUCACCUGCUAGCAUCAGAAGCAAGUGUGCAACACAUUAGGUCACAUCGAAAAGUCAGUGAUGCAGAGUAUGCGCACGCCAAAAGUUUGAAGAUGGUUGGGGUUAGAAUCUGUCAGAUAAUGAAACAUUUUGUUAUCAAAGCCAGAGGGUAUAGUAACGUGGGAUUUUGCAUUAAGAAUCUGUAUAACCGAAUAGAUGAGGAACGUAGAAAAGAUAUUUUUAAUGGUGAUGCAAAAGGGACACUUGGGUUCUUGGCAGCGAAAAAGGAUGUUGAUGACGUGUUCUUUUAUAAAACACAAUCAUAAGAACCGGGUGUGGGGCUUGCUUUCGCGCUAAAUAUGACAUAGAAUUGCUAAAGUAUGUGGUAACAUCGUUCAUUAUGGAGCACAAUCACCCGUUGGCAUCAGAGGCAAGUGUGCAACACAUUGGGUCACAUCAAAAAGUCAGUGAUGCAGAGUAUGUGCAGGCCAAAAGUUUGAAGAUGAUUGGGGCUAGAAUCUGUCAGAUAAUAAACAUUUUGUUAUCAAAGUCGGAGGGUACAGUAACGUGGGAUUUUGCAUUAAGGAUCUGUAUAACCGAAUGGAUGAGGAACUUAGAAAAGAUAUUUUUAAGGGUAAAAUACAUAAAACCCCCUGUGGUUAAGGAAGUUGACACGAAACUUCCUUAUUGUUUAGAAACACUCACUUAACAUCCCUGUGCUUUGCACUUCUUAGGAUUUUACCUGCUAACCGGCUGGAAAGCUAGUGAGUGAUAUUGACGCGACCUAAUGGUCACUUUUGACUAGAAGACACUCGUUUUCAUUCCAAUUUUGCUCAAACCUCCUCUGCCUCUGUCUCCCUGCCAUCAGGAUGCUCUUCACCGCCACUAACGAUAAUAAGGUCGGGAUCAAGCACGGCGAUUCCAAUAUCGGGGGAUCUCUUUGGGAUGGGGCACUGUUCCUGGGUUCUACCAGCCCGCCCAUAGCGUCCGCCAAGUUCAGACCACCAUUAUGGUGGACUAGGUCAACUUGCUCCAGACCGAUGCUGCCUAUUUAUUGAGGGACGGCACCAUCAAUGAUCGGGUUGAGCUGCGGGUGGUAGGGGAUGUUGGAGCUAAGAUCCGGAUUCUUGGCUUUAAUCCACCUAGGGUCCCGUCUAGUAGAUUAAUUUAGGGUUAAAUACCAAAAACCCCCCUGUGGUUUGUCUAAUGUUCACUUUGCCUCCCUAUGAUUUGGAAACCUACAAUUUGACUCCUUGUCAUUUCAACUAAAGUAAAAGUCUAACGGAAAACAUUUAAACUAACGUCUGAAAGAAAAAUGUCAAAAUUGCCCCUCUAUAAGGGCUUUGGGUUAAGUACCAAAAACCUCCCUGUGGUUUGUCAAAUAUACACUUUACCUCCCUAUGAUUUGAAAACAUAUAAUUUAACUCCUUCUCGUUUCACCUAAAGUGAAAAUCUAACAGAAAUUCCGUUAAAUACACUUUAGUUGAAACGACAGGGAGUCAAAUUGUAGGUUUCCAAACCAUAGGGAGGUAAAGUGAACAUUAGGCAAACCACAGGGGGGUUUUUGGUAUUUAACCCAUUAAUUUAUUGGUAGUAAUUUCUACUUCCCAUUGUCACUGCGAACAGUACUCCACUACCAAAAUUUACCAUCCUACAAUUAAUUAUUGUAAUUGUUUUCGCAGCCCAUUAUCACUCGAAGCCCCCCACAACACACCAAAAAGAAAAAAAACCAGUGGUAUAGUUGUUUUAUGGAUUCUUUCUGUUAGACAAAUUGCCAAAUGCUCUUUCCAGUGGUUAGGAUUUUACCUUCUUCUUGGCUAUAGGUUUAGGAUUUCUCUCUCAAAACAUGAAGUACCGCUCAAGCCCGACCGAUCUUCACCAUAACUCACACCACUCUGCACAGAAACACCUUCUUCUUGGUUAUAGGUUUAGGGUUUCUCUCUUAUUUUCAGAAGUCUGCUCCAUAUUUACUAAUUGCAUCUGUAACUUUUCACAUAUUAUAUAUGAGGGUAUUUUGGUAUUUUAUAUUAUUACCAGCUUCCCAGCCAAUUAGCAGGUAAAAUCCUAAGAAGUCCAAAGCACAAGGAGGCUAAGUGGGUGUUUCUAAACAAUGAGGAAGUUUCGUGUCAAUUUCCUUAACCACAGGGGAGUUUUAUGUAUUUUACCUUAUUUUUAAUGGCGAUGCAAAAGGGACACUUGGGUUCUUGGCAGCGAAAAAGAAUGUUGAUGAUAUGUUCUUUUAUAAAUAUCAUGUAGAUAACGAAAGAAGAUUGGCAAGGUUGUUUUGGAUAGAUUCUAAAUCCUAGCUAGACUUCAGUACAUUUGGAGAUGUAUUGGUGUUUGAUACGAUAUACAAAACAAAUAAAUAUCGCAAGCCACCGGUUGUACUUGCAGGAGUAAACAACCAUUUGAAACAUACGAGGAUUGAAAGAGGAUUGAACAACUAUAAGAAAAUUGAACAAAAAUACGAGUAAACAACUAUUUUCGGAUAUUCACUGCUAUCAGAUAAGAGGAUUGAAACAUACGAAUGGGUCCUAAGUACAUUUAUAGAGGCUAUGGAUGGUAGAAAACCAGUAGCAGUGAUAACAUAUGGGGAUAGUACAAUGCGAAAAGCCAUAAAUAAUAUUCUCCCCGAUGCUUGUCAUAGGCUAUGUUCGUGGCACUUGCAUAGAAAUGCAUCGAGUAAUAUUCGGUAUGAAGAUUUCAAUGACAGGUUGUAUAACCUGAUGGCGAAAAAGUGUAGCAUACAGGAGUUUGAGGAUUGGUGGCUAGCUUAGUUAAUGAAUGUGGGGUGAGAGAGAAUGACUGGGUAAAAAAGUUGUACCACAGGAGAAGGUUAUGGGCAGAGGCCUAUUUACGCAGGUAGUUUUUUGCAGGAAUAAGAAGUACUCAAAGGUGUGAGAAAAUAAAUACUUUUUUGAACGAGUACUUGAACGAUAAAAUGCGACUAUAUGAAUUCGUUCGAAAUUUUGAUUUGGCAAUAGCAUGGUUUUGACAUACUAAGAGCAAAGCAGUUCACACAAGCGAAAACACAAAAUCAAUGUUAACCAAAAUUCUGCCCGAACUAGAAAACAGUGCAACAGAGGUGUUUACAAGGAAUGUGUUCUUCGUGGUGAGAAAGCAUUUGAACAAACAAGGGCGUCUAAUUUCUGAGGGUUGGAAUAAGAAGAGAGAGAGUCGCACAUAUUAUUACUCAAAAUAUUGUGGACAUAAAAUAAGUUGGAGGGUGGAUUAUCAUAGGUCACGGAGAAGCUAAUCUGCUCUUGCAUAAAAUUCAAGUCAAAGGGAAUUCCUUGUGCUCAUAUGUUUCGUGAUGGUGGUUGAAGGAAUGAACAUGAUCCCAGAAUCAUGUAUUUCAAAGUGGUGGACAAAGAGAGUGAGAAAUAAUAAUAGGAUGAUAGCAUUUGUUGUACCCGAACAGAUGACACAAAUGGCCAUAUAUGGCACUUUAAAGUCCAGUUAUAAUAGUAUGUGUUACUAUGCCUCCUACAUGGAUGAUGAGUUUAAUAAACUGCAGCAGAUGUUUGACAAGCAUUCAGUACAGCUGAAGGAGAAAUGCAUUGAUAGAGAAUAUGGGGGAGACAGAUUUGUAAUGGAUUCAAGAGUGAUGACCGAUAGAAGUAGAAGAACAUUCGAAGUGUUAGACCCGAAGGAAUCUCGGGCUAAAGGUGAUCACAAGCAAGCAGAAGCAAAGAAGAAAAGAAAGUGUGGACAUUGCAAGUACAAACCAAAAAGUACGUAGUUAUACAGUUGUUAUUAUUAAACAUGAACCGGACAUUGAAUGUAAUAAAGAAAAAGUAGGUAGUUUUUGACAUGUUAUUAUGUGCAUUAAAACAUAAACUUAAAUCCAAAGUCCAUACAAAGUAAACUAAGUUAAUGCCAAUGCAAGAAAGUUGAAGUGGUGUAAUGUUAGCGUUCUGAUAGCUUAGUUGAUGUGAUUACUUGCAGUCACAAAUGAUUUAACAUGUAAUGAAUUGGUUGAAGACUGCAGGUAGGCCAUAACCAAUGAACAUGCCUAUACAAUAAAAUUUGCCACAAUACAGCGGUGCAUCGUGAUUGGAUGAAAAAUUGUUUGGAUAAAUCAAUGAAAAUUCAUUUAAAAUUGGUAUGGGCGGGAGCGAGUCUGGCGAAUGGAGACUACAAGCAUUUGUGGCUGAUCAACGAUGCGGUAGCAGUGGAAAUGACACAGGUGACCAAUAAAAAAGUCCAGUUGAAAGAGAAAUGAUGAGCUGUGAUGCUGAGGUUUGAAAAAGUUGUUAAUUCGUCGUGAAUUAAAUGGUUCAUUGAUAUUGGUAUCACUGAUAACCUCUCCACCGUGUGUGCAGGAUGAACUUGAGAGGGGAAACGAAUUCGUCAAUACAAUUAGGGUACUUGACCAAAAUGGAACGGUCCAUGUUUAAAAACAGGGAUGCGGGUAUAGGGCGGUCGGCGUGAAAUUUAUACUGAUAUUUCAAUUGGUGUAUGCCUCGCCAAAAUGGAAGGUCAAUUCAUAAAAUAUCAGUUGUUCACACAAGAAUUUGGGCAUGAAUCUAUAUGGUACUUUUGUUACUUGUUUUUAUGGUUGAGUUCAACUCUGCUAUGAGUCAUGUUUAACUUGCAUGCUACUCGAAAUGCCAGUCUUUAAUGCAACGCUAAAUUUCUAGUUAGUGAUGGCUUAUUGCGGUGACUAUUGUUCUCUCUGUCUUUGCAGAAGGUUCAAAUCCAUUGCACUCCUGAAGUCACAAGGGUGUGCUAAUUGGUCAAAUUGCAAGUGCUGCUCUUUGGAAAAAGGUAAAUGGGUUAUAUGACUUCUGAAAUUAUUCGACACAUAGUUUUUCCUUGAAUUUUUUGAUCCUUGGCUCCAAAAAAGAAAGUUCACUAGUUGAAGCUUUGGUUUUGAGAUGAAGCGGAUGGACAUGCUGGAUAAUUAUUGGUUGGGAUAAGAGAGUAGGAUACUGUGUUCUCUGGCAUCCUGUGGCCCGAAUUUUAGAUAUAUGAAUUAUGACCCCAGCAUCGCAUGGCUUGCUGGACUAUUUGAUCCUAAUAUUUAGUCACCAUUAAGCUUUCAUAUUUUGCAAUGACUCGAGCAUUCAGCAGAAUCAAAUGCCCAUGCUGGCUAUAGCCAUCAAAUUCAAAAGUUCUUUUUCAAGUAUUUUCGACAAAAACAGAUGCUGUAUCAAUGAAACAGCAGUUAUGCAAUAGCAUUUGGACUAGAUUUAAUUCCAGUUAGGAAAAUUCUUAGUAUCAUUAAACCAUGCAGCGGACUUUUAUUCCAGUUUUCCACUUUUUUGUAGUAAGUUUUGCCUAAAAAUUUAUGAUAAAAAAUUUAUAAUAAUAAAUUAGUUUAAAUGUCAGGCCCCAUCAGAGGUACUCGACAAUAGGAGACGAUACGUGCAUAAAAAAUAGUUGACAAUUUGUUGUUUACAGUUACCAAAUUUGUUUCCAAAGCUUUUUACAAAUGAAAAUUAAAGAGUACGAAACAUUGCAUAUUUUGUGGCUCCAUAACAAGCUUAUAUAAUUAUUGCGUACACGCUGAGAUUUUAAUUUGCAUAGUACUGAAUUCGAUUUUACAUAUAAUUGAAUUAAUUUUAAAUAGGUAGUCCAAAUCAGAUAGCCACAAUUUUAUUGGCUUUAUUCAGUUACUCAUUUGAACUUAAUAACAUCGCAUACCCAUUUGGAAGUGCUGCAUGAACAGAGAACUUAGAAUGGAAGGUUAAUAAUGGUUCCAUUUGCUAAGAAAUUAUAAUUAUAUUAAAGGUAAAUUAUAUUACUAUUAUAAUUACAUUAAAGGUAAAUCUGCCAACCGAACACAUAAAUUAUGUAUAUUUGCAAUAUCUUAUAAAUAGGUUUAUGCAGGCAAAAUAUAGUCCAACUACACACAAAAGUUAAUUCAUUAUUACAUCAAAAUUAUCUCUAUUAUUUUACAAAUUCAACCCACAUACGUGCAUAAGGGAUAUUUAUCGAAUUAACAUUACAGUUAUAUUUAUAUACUCCCAUUUUUCGCUUCAUGCCCCCAUGUAAAGUAAUCUUUUUAAUGUUUAUUAUUUCCAUGGACUUAAAUUUGUAAUACAACCCUCUUUCUCUUUGAAGGUUUGUAUUACAAUAAAAAUGUUAGGGAAGGCUGUAUGAAAAUGUCAGAAACGUAUACGAGGUUUCUACAAUUAGUAUAAUUUGUUAAUUAGCCAAAAUUCUAGCAAAAGGCAAGCAAAUGCCCCUUAUUUUUCCAUUCUGAUGCAUGGAAAAAUAAGGGAGCAUUGUGCAAAUAAAUAAAAAAAAUUCACUUUAUAUAGUUCGUUGUGACAGCCAGGCUUAUCCCCGCCUUUGUAUGAGUUUGAUUACAAUGGACAUAACCUAUUCCCUCCGAACCCCAAAUUUUGAAUUAUAACAUUCAACCAAAACUUCUCAAACUCCUAGGCUCCGUCAUACAAAUACACAUUGAGUAUUAGAUUUUUUUUCGCCCUUCAAGCAUCGAACGCUAAGAUAUAUAGUUUAUUCUUCCACCUUCUAACAUGAAUUUUUAGCUAUAUGAAUUGAAAUUGUGCAAACAUAAUUUCAUUAUUUUUAUGUGUUAAAAAUUUAGAAAAAUAAAUUGAUGAGUAGUACAAAAGAUUAUUUUAUCCCCUCCUUUGUUUGAGUUCUGAUUACAAAAGACAAACUGUAUUCCCUCCAAACCCCAAAUUUUAUUUAAAGCAGUCCUCCCUUCACAGUUACUGAGCAUUGUGUCUGCUGUGUUUGAGACAAAUAAAGUGAGGCGGUGUAGCGGAGGAGAUUAAAAUUUUGAGAAUGGCUUCAUCCUCGUCUGCAGGCUCCGUCAAUAGUACGCUAUGGCUGACAUUAUUUUACCAUUGUGGUCGUAGCUGUGCAGUUCGUGUUGUUUGGAAUUCUGAAGCAAAUAGGGGCUGCCACUACUAUCGGUGCGUUAACGCCUAGGUAAGUGAAUCGCUAUAACUGUUGCGUAGAUAAAAUUUCGAUUUUUCAGAUACUUCUUGUCGCGCCCCAUUUUUGGAAAUAAAGAAAAAUAAAUUAAUAGUUUAAAAAGUGAAUUUUAAUUCAAUUUUCGAUUGAAAAAAUGAUUUUUGAUUUAAAAAGAAAAUGAAGAACAUGGGUCUAAAUGGGACUUCAAAAUGCGACGAUUUGACCCAAAAUAAUAGUUUAAAAAGGGUUUUUGAAUAAAAAAUCAGAGUCACCACUUGGUAUUGAGUUGAGAUGUACCAAGUCACCUAAAAAUGAAUUUUCAAAGAAAAAAUAGAAAAACCCUUUUUAAACGACCCCAAGUCUACGAAAAUCAGAGAAAAAGAUUUGGGAGUCACAUUUGAAGAAAGGGAAGGCAAGGAUAAGAAUCCAAGGCACCCUUUCAACCUAGCCAAGGCUAGUUGCGCGAUUUAGUCAAAAAUUUUCUUAUUUUAACCUAAAGAUUUAUCAUAUUUGGAUACACUAUAUGAAUACAAACCCUAGACCUAAGAGGGUAUCGGGGGGUCAAAAUAUCUCUACAAAACUUAAUAGGUGCAACGGUGGAAUUGGAGUUGGGGCCAUGGAAGGGAUGGUGCAGUCUCAUGGCCAGUCAAAUGGAUGACUUUGACUUGAUCCUUGGCAAGGACUUCAUGGUUGCGAACAGGAUCUAUCCAAUUCCCCACUUGGAUGGCGUCAUGGUGGACGAUGACGAAAACAAUCACAUUAAUUGUGACGCCUAAUAAAGACUCUUCGAAGAAGUCACGAAUAAUGCUAAAACAUAAAACUCUAAAAAAAGGGAAGGAAAAUAAUAAAAAUAAUCAUAAUUAUACAAAUAUACAUGUCCUAAAGGAAUGCAUCAUGUCGGGUACGGGGAACUAAUGUUCAUGGCUCAAUUUUCGCUUUAACAGAGGGAAUAUGAGCGUGUUAAGGUAGAAAGCCAAACUCGUCCAUAUACCAUACUCAAGGGGUGUUUCCCUAUCUAAUCAAGCAAAUGCACUACCCUAAUUCUAUUUCUUAAAUGAAAUGCAAGUCUAAUGUUAUGUUUUCUUACAAAGGGGUAAGGAAUAUACAUAAAAGGGAAAAUACGGAAUAGGGGAUAUAAAUAGAAGGGAAUUUGGGACAAAGGAUGUACAUAUAUAAGAAAGUGUCAUGCAACAUGGUAAAAACCCUAAAAGGUGAAAAACAUGCAUAAAAUGUAGUGAUUCACACAAACAUGAUCUAACGCGUAAACGGUCUCUAAAGGUCUAGCGUUGGACCAGCCCAUGUCUAUGAAUUCCUACUAGCAUUGGACUAGUGGAAAAUCGAGAAAAAGGUCUCAACUAGCGUUGGACUAGCAAGAAAUCGUAAAAAGGGACCACGACUAGCGUUGGACUAAUGUGGUGACGACAUGUAUUUAUUAUAGUCUAAUAAACCAGAUAAAGCAUAAUAAAGCAAAUAAACACAUAAAUCACAUAAAGCACAUAGGCAUGAUAUCUAGAUGCAAGACCCUAAGAAAGCGAGUAACACAUAACACACAAGCAUGCAAAACAUAUAAAGCAAAUAAAGCCCUAACUAUUACACUUGGAGUGGCCUACUACAAUCUAAAAGGGGAUAAAAUGAAGUAAAGCAAGCCUAACUAUUACAACUUGGCAUUUAAAUGCCUUCUAAAUGAUUAAAAUUAAACUAAGAUAAAAAAUUGGAAUAAAUAAAACAUAUAAAGAAAUGAAAUAAAACAUUCAAAAGGCAUGCAAUUAGACACAUAAAGUCACAUAAGUGCAUAUAGAGUCAAAUAAAGUCAAAAUAAGGGAUAGGGUGUACCUCCCUGGAGUUGGAGCCCUAAUGAAGUGAAAUUACUCAUUUACCCUCCAAAAUAAUAAAAGGGUCAAGACAUCAUUUUAAUGAACAAAUGAUCACAAAAAAUGGAAAUAAGUACAAAAUUGAAUCACUAAAAGCAUUUAAAUAAGCUAAACAACCCAUAUUUAACAAAUAAAGACCCAAUUGCUACGCUUAAGCCACAAAACGCCAAAAAUUCCACAUAAAAUCAAAUUAACACCAUAAAUCUAGAAAAAAAGUUACUAAACCUUCAAAUUCAUCCUAAAACUCAUGCAUAUUCUGUUCAAUAAUCGCAAUGAAGGCACAUAAAAGCGAGAAAAUAUUUUAAAGGACAAAAUUGAUGAACUUUUACGAUUUUAUGGGCCAUAGUGGCAUGAGGAGAAACAUGUGGGGUUGAUUUGCAAUUCUUGGAAACUCUUUUCAUGCAAAGCAUGCAAACACUAUGAUAUAUUUCUGCAACAAGAAAGUUGAAGCCUCUGAUGAGGGCUUUCUACAAUCCAAAACAACACAGCCACAACUUCAUGCACACAGAUUUCGACAAACAUCUCAAAUCUAAACCCAACGUCGAGUUCUUACUCUAGGGAACAAACUCCUAGCAGAAUCACUAAAAUGUCAACAAGACUCUCCCAUUUUAAUUGAAGACAACAGAUUUCGGGAAACAUAAGAAAGAAGCAACAACAAAUUUUGGGAAACACAAGAAAGAUGCAAUGCUGCAAGAAAAUUUCGGGAAACAAGACUCUCCCAGUUUUUGAACAACAAAUGCUUUCUGCAAUUCUUAUGCAGAAAUCUCACACGGAAAUUCAGACAAGACCAACUGACCUAUCAUCCAAAUAUUCCUUGACAACACUGAGCACUUCAAUUAACAAGUGAACUCAGGGUUAUUGCCUAGAAACACAAGCUUCAACAAAACAUACCUUGCGGCCAAACAAUGACAACCAAAUAGAAACUGAAGUAAAUAAAGUUUCAAAGCUGCAACUCUAAACCAACAAACCAGAAGUUCAUGCAAAGUAACAUAAAACUGGAUAGAUUUAACUUAAGUAUUUCCAUAAGAUGCAACAAAACAACACAACCAAGUGCCAUGAAUACUUGCCGAAAUCUUAAACCCUAGCCCUUAAAGACAUCAGACCCAAACCUGAAAAUGAAUACCAAAUGCAUGGUUAAUAUUCAGGUCCCUUCCAGUUUCAAAAUGCAUUCACAAGAAAGCAAUCUUCGUCACUGAUUUGUUUUUACAAUUUUUGCAGGUGAACUGAUAGCAUGCGAUAAUCUUAACCUGGAAAACAAUCCCAAAUAUUCAUCAAACUUCCUAAACCUAUCACCGAAUUCUGAUAUGGUAUGAAAUAGGUAAUGAGAUUAUGAAUUUGGUACCAACCGAUUUCGCAUUCAAAUUCGGUAAUUGAAAUAAGGUACCGCAUUACCGCAUUCGAAUACCAAAUUGGUAUAUAAAAUUAUAUAAUAUAUAGAUAAAUGUUAUUUAAUAUUAGUAUAUACUACUAAUAUAUUAUUAUAUUAUAUAGGUAAAUGCUAUUAAUAAUAAUCACUACAAAAAAAAAUAUUUUUAGUGACAACAAUCUUUGUCAAGAAAAGUUGCGUAUGUUGUCAGGAAAAGUUUUCGUGACGCUCAUGUCGUCAGAGAAAAUUGGUCACCUAUACGCCGUCGGCAAAAGGUUUUCCUGACAACUAGUGGAAUUCUCGUCAGGAAAAGUUCCAUUUUCUGUGACGUGUCAUCAAGAAAGGUAAUCGUGACGAUUCGGUUGUCAGGAAAAGUCCUCAUAUUCUUGACGAACCUUUGUCAGGAAAGACCCUGAACUUUGUCACUAAAUUUUCGAUUGUCAAGAAAAGUCAUGCAUUGAAACUUGCUGGACGUACUUUAAUGACAAUUCAAUGUCAUUUUUCCUGACGACAGCUGCAUCACUAUAAUAUAUUAGUUUCUAAUUUCACCAUGUAGCAUUUUUAAGCCUAGCAAUUUUAGUGACAACAAAGUAAUAAUAUCAUCUACUAAAACACUCCACCCAAUCAAAAUAUAAAAGUAUGCAAGCAAAAUAUCAACCAAAACUUUACAAAUUUCAUUAGUAGGCAACCAUAAUAUGUCAAACCACAAAAGUUAACCAUGUCAAACAUUGACAUAUCAUUACAUUCCAUGAUUUGAAACCAAUAUAAAUAUUGCUAUUUCUCCCUAGAUAACUGCUAUAUACCUAACAUGUGCUAAAAUCAAAAGAUGGACUUCAAUUCCAUGGUCAACAAAAUACUAGAGAUGGAUGAUAUCAAAAUAGAGGAAUUCUUCAGUAUGAGCUAAAAGCAGUCCAAAAGCCAAAAGCAGUCCAUAAUGUUGAGUUUAUCCCAAACUCAAAAGCCAAAAGCCAAAAGUAGUCCCAAACGUUCAUCCCAAACCUGUACAAUAAAACCAAGAAAAAUCUGAAAUCAGAGAAACAAUAGAAUGGCAUGGAAAAGAUGUAUUUUUGUUAUGAUGCAUGGAUGAUCACUACAAAUUGCUUAGGGACCACCUAAUCAUGAGGACAAGCAAUACAAGAAUAAUUACUAUGCUGAAGUAACCAAGUUGUUCCACAAUAGUAAGUAACUGCACAUAAAUGCAUUUGUUUCGAAUAAAGAUCUACAAACUCACCAUUACUAGGAAGAACCUCCACACUGCUUCUGUUUCCAAAUGAGGAAUUCUUGCAGCAUUUCUUGUAUCCCUUGCUGGCUUUGUACAAGAUUUUGGAUUUGGGUAUCUUGUGCUUGAAUUCGCUCCUCAUAGCAUUGAAUCUUCUCCUUGCACUGUUUUAGUUCUUCAAGUAGUGCUCUAUUAGCUGAAGAUUCGGGUUUGCGAGAAGAUUGGGGUGGUAUGACCCCCAUACCCAACCCUUUGGCACGACCAGCCCUCUUUCCUAGGACAUUUUCCAUAAUUUUAACUUCAUUGACAAUUUCUCCAUUCUCGAUGCAUUGCCUUCUCUCUUCUUUUAACUCAUCCUGUACAUAUUAGAUUCACAUAACUCAAAGAGUCAUUAAAUGUAUAAUAUAUAUGUAAAUGUCAUGUUACUAAUAAAAAACAAAGUUACUAGAAUCAGCCGACUAUAGUGAAAAUUACAUCGAGAGAUUUUGCAGUAUUAUUCACAAAUUGGCCAUCCUUUUUUAUGUGAGCAGCAGUCCAGGCAUCAAUUGCACUUGGUGGAACCUAUUUUAUAGCAUAAAAGAUCACGAGUUAGCUCUAGUUUUCUUCCUAGUAUAAAUAUAAGCCAAAAUGGAAAUAAAAAAUCAGUAAUAUACCAUCUCUUGUGCUCGAACAUGAUUUGAUUUUGAACCGCCAGUGUGCGGAUAGGGUAACAUGGCACGGUUCUUUGUAUUGGCUUCUGAUUUUUUCUAUUAAAUACCAAAAAGAUAGUUAGACAAAACAUAAAAGGCAACAAAAGAAUUAAGAUCAUGCAAGUAAACAAAACUAGAACCAAUCACCUUGAAUAUAGGAUCUUCGAACCAAUCACACGUACUUUUCCACUCAUCUUGCUCAAUCCAGUCAUAAGGACAUGAGGUAAGUGGAUCUUUUCCAGCUACCUUCAACAUCUUAUAAUCUAUGUGCAUAGUAUUCCUCCACUGCCUAUAGCUAUUCUGAAGCAUGUCAUCCACAUACAUUUCCACAUUAGGAUCAGUUUCCCAAUCUUUGAAGUCAAACCAUCCCUAUAAAUUACCAUUAAGAAAUAGAUCAUUUUUAGAAUUGGUCAAGUCAGCAAAAUAAAUAUUAACACACUAAAUGUCAUUAUAAAAGACAACGGUGUAAUCUGGUACCAUCAAGCCACCAUAUAGGUUCUGUUUUUUCUCAUUUGGUAUGUCAUCAUAUGUGCGUAUGUCCUUCAGUGAAGAGAGGUGCCUUACAACAUAACCUAUACCACUAGCAAGUUGAGCAGCAUACUUGAUUGGUUUGCAACAUCCUUCAGGAAAGACAAUUUCCAAUGGCUUGCCUCCCUAAUAUUAACAAAUGAAGCAUCAUUCAGGUAUACCCCAAUUGAAAUUCUAGGAAACUGAUUAUACAAAAAAAAUCUUGAAUAGACAGUAAUAUUAUAUAUGUACACAUCCAAUUACUGAAUGGCAUUUACAUUAGCUCGUAUCAUCUUCUCGAUAACUUUUCCCGUGGUUGGGCCCCGGCCUUUUUUUUGCUUUCUUUGUUCUGAGAACAAUUGUUAAACAUUGUAGUUGAUGCUUAUUAUGAAUUAUCACAAAUGCAUACAUUGAAUGGUAAUAAGUAAAUCAUUAUUUAGCAUUUUCACUUACCAUUCGCCAAUGCUUGAGUAGGAUUACUAUUAUUUGAAUUAAUCUGGAUAUCAUCACCUGUGGUAGCUGAUUGAUGCUCCAAAGUUGAGUUUGAAGUUGGUGGUUGUUCAGAGUGCAAGUUGGUAUUGGGUGGGCAGCUUCUCUUCAACCGUUUCCCGGAAGGUGCCAUCUGCAAUAACACAGUAUAUGAUAAAAAAGGAGUCAAAUUAGUAAAAUUUUGAUGUCAAAUUAUAAACAGAGAUCAAAAUUUAAGUUAUACCAAAAACUUAACAAAGAGUUAAAACCAUGAAAAACAUAUCAGAAGUAAAACCAAUUUGAUCAAUAUUGGGUAAAACCACAAAAAGUAACACUUUCUUCUACAAUGCCAAAAACCUUUUCACUUGACACUUCUAUGCUAUUUCUUAAGCACUAUCUAAAUCUAUAUCCAUGUCAAUGGUUUCAUCACUAUCAGAAGAUUCAAUAAGCAUGCCAUCUUCUUUAAAAACAUUGUCUUCUUCACCAUACUCUUCUUCACCAGUGAAAGUAUGCAAAGGAUUCUCCAGAACAACUUCAAUUUCAACACCUUGUCUGCUUAAGAGGCCUAGUUCAUCAUCUUCGACAAUAGGCAGAACAGUUCUUGUUUCAUUUUGCUGCAAUAAUUCAUCUAAAAAACUUGUAUCUGCAUUGAGCACAUCUCCAUCGUUCUCUUCCAAAUCUGGUAGGUUCCACAAAUGCCUAUGUUGAACACGUUGUACAAUUCGCCAAUGUCUCCCCAACUUUGUAUCACCAAUAUAGAAGACUUGCUGGACUUGAUUUGGUAAAACAAAUGGAUCAUUUUGAUACCAACGUGAUCUAAUAUCGAUGGUCACAAAGUGCCUAUCACUCUUUAUUGUGUUUGUGCUACCUGUGUUAUACCAUUCACAUUGAAGCAAGACUACCUUGUAUGCAUGAAAAAAGGUCAGCUCAACCACAGCCUUAACAAAGCCAUAAAAGUCAAUGUGUUUUCCUUUAUGGUCACCCUUAACAACUAAGCCACUAUUCUGUGUUGUACGGCAAUCAUCCCGAUCUCUUGUGUGGAAACGAACUUCAUUUACAAUGCAUCCUGAGUAAUGCUUUGUCAUGAAAGGUAUAGGACCAUUUGCUAAUGCCCACAGCUCUUCAGAAACAUCCAAUGAUUUAUCAAUGUGUAAUUGAUUUAUCUAUAAAAUAGAAAACGAGUCUCUAUUAGUCAGUUUUCAAUAACUAAUAAACUUAUUUUUAUAAUAUGUAUAACUUACAUGAUCUUUGAACCACUCUGUGAAUUGAUCUUCAUGUCUGCUAUCAACAUUUUCAGGAUGAAUCCUUUGCAGCAUCUCUUUAUGCUUACUGAAAUUCAGAUUGUAUUACCAAUAUAAAGUAAAAUAAACCACAAGAAGUAAUAUCGAAAAUAUAAAAUUGAAAUACAUAUUGCACUCACAUUCUGUACUCUUCUAUUUCAUCACAGUUAUUCAAUAUAAAUUUAUGAGCCACAUCUAGUUCAACUUGAGAUAAUUUAGUAGGAGGUGUAACAAGUCCAAAUGGGCGAACACUUAGUGAGAAAACCACCAGCUCCUCUGCCUUAUCCUGAUUAUAGUCAUAGUUGCGUCUCUUGCGGGUGAAUUUUGUUUCAAUGCCAUGGAGAUAUUUGGACAUGAAUGUUAGGCACUCAUUUGCAAUAUAUCCUUCUGCAAUCGAGCCUUCAGGACGAGCACGAUUACGGACAUACUUUUUAAGGGAUCCAAGAUACCUUUUCAAAAGCAUGAGUUAAUUUUCUAUCCAAAACAGAAUGUUAAGUAAAAUAACAAAAUUUGUAGUCAAACAAAUAAGGAAGAAGUACCUUUCAAAUGGAAACAUCCACCUAGGAUGUACUGGCCCACCAAGUUUUGCUUCCUUUGGCAAGUGAACAAUCAAAUGGAUCAUAAUGUCAAAGAAGGCAGGAGGAAAGAUUUUUUCCAACUUACAUAAUAUUAAUGGAGCAUUUUUCUCCAACCUUUCCAAGUCAUCCAUCUUAAGGGUUUUAGAACACAAAUCUCGAAAAAACUCACUUAACUCAAAAAUUGCCUCAUUGACUUCUUUGCACAAAUACCCACGAAUGCCGGCUGGAAUAAGUCGUUGCAAGAGGGCAUGGUAGUCAUGUGUUUUAAGUCCCAUCAGUUUACCAUCUUUAACACACUUGGAAAUGUUGGCAGCAUACCCAUCAGGAAACUUAAUUGAACUCAAAAAAUCACAAAAUCCUUUUCUCUCACUUGAAGACAUCACAUACAAGGCUGGAGGCUUUGUUUUCCUUGUACCAUCAUCAUGUAAGUGUAGUUCGUGCCUUAUUCCCAUGUCAAGUAGAUCAUCACGAGCUUUAUUAGUAUCUUUUGUCUUAUCAGGAAUGUUCAACAAUGUUGCUACUAAACUUUCACAUGUAUUUUUAAGGAUAUGCAUCACAUCCAGACAAUGUCUCAUGGAGAGUUUUUCCCAAUAUGGUAACUCAAAAAAUAUACUUUUUUUCCUCCAAUUACCCUGAAUUUUAUCAACUCCUUUUUUUCCGAGUAACUGGGUUCUUACCAAACUCACCAAAGACACCAGCCAAGGAAUUUAAAUGUCUUAAAACCUGUUCUCCAGAAAAUUCCUUUGGCCUGGAGCGUGUUUCAAUAGUUCCAUCAAAAUGAGCUUUUUGCUUUCGCCAACGGUGGUCAUGGUUCAAAAAGCGACGAUGUCCCAUGAAACAUAUUUUGCCUCUUAGUCUUUGUGAAGCAGUAUCAUCAAGACAACAUGGACAUGCUUUAUACCCACUGGUGCUCCAUCCAGACAAAUAGCCAUAUGCAGGGAAAUCUGAUAUAGUCCAUAAAAUUGCUGCACGCAUUUGAAAGUUUUGUCCACUAUAUGCAUCAUAAGUGCUGAUUCCAUGAAAUAAAUCUUUCAAAUCAUCUAUUGCUGGCCUUAAGAACACAUCUAACUCCUUUCCAGGGGCACGUGGACCAGGAAUAAGAAGUGAUAGUAUAAGAAAUUCCUUUCUCAUAAACUUAUAUGCAGGCAAAUUGUAAGGUACAAGAAUAACUGGCCACAUGCUAUAUGAGUUGCUCAUGUUACCAAAUGGAUUGAAUCCGUCCGUGGCCAAUCCAAGUCUUACAUUUCGAGAAUCUUUAGCAAAAUCAGGAUAUUGCUUAUCAAAAUCCUUCCAAGCAAUAGAAUCAGCCGGAUGUCUCAUGAUACCUUCCUCUUUAACCCGUUUCUCCUCAUGCCAUCUCAUGUCUUCAGCAGUUUUAGAAGACAUAAAAAGUCUUUGCAACCUAGCUUUUAAUGGAAAGUACCACAUCACCUUCUGUGGAACUUUUUUUUUCUUGCCAUUAUUGACUUUCCAUCGUGAUUCUUUACAAAUAGGACACUUGUCCAUCUUUUCAUUUUCUUUCCAAAACAAUGCACAAUCAAAUUUGCAAACAUCAAUUUUUUGAUACCCCAAACCAAUACCAGAUAGAAUUUUCAUGGCCCCAUAAAAACUAGAUGGAAGUAUUUCUCCUUCUGGUAACACAUCUUUUAAAAAUUCUAGCAUCAUGUCAAAUGCCUUGUUAGUCAUAUGGUUCAUCACUUUGAUAUGGAGAAAGGAAACAAUGAAACGCAGCAGGGAGUAUUUUUUGCAUCCCGGGUAAAGUUCUCUUUGUGCAUCAUUUAACAAUUUGUCAAAAUUUUUUGAAUCCCAUUCACUCGAUGUCCCUGAUUCAUGUGCAUUUCUCAUCUCAUCCAAUAAAUCAGGUAACUCAUCAGAUUCACCAUUUUCAUUCAUAUCAAAGUCAUUAUAUACUGUUUCAUUGAUGAAAUCUGUCUCACCUCCAACACCAUUCUCAUCAAGGUUAUUGUUCUUUCCACUUGACAUAUAAGAGUGUGCAGAAAAUGGUUCCCCAUGGAAGACCCAAUUUUUAUAAUACAUACAAAAGCCUUUUUCCGAUAAAUCUGAUUCAACUUGAGAAAUGCUUUUUCUCUUUGAAUUCCUACAUCUCCUACAGGGACAAAAUAAUUUUCCAUCCAAUCCCAUACCAUUGGUCUUAGCAAAUUCAAUAAAAUCCUUAAGACCAAACUUAUAAUGACUUGACAAAAUAUUUGGAUCAUUUAUCCAGCUCUUAUCCAUUUCCGAUACCUAGACUAAGAAAAGUCUUAACUUACUAAACUCAAGGCAUUGUUAAGAUGAAUAACUCAAAAAGGAGGAAAGACAAUUUCUAGCUAUAAAAAGAUAAAGGAGGCAAAAAGACAUAGAAUUAUUCACAAUUUACCUACUUUUUAUGGCUUAGUUAUGAAUUCCAAGCUACUUAGAUUAUUCACUGAUUACAUCAAAUGCAAUACUACUCAAUAAAACUGAAAACACAUUAGAUUAUUCACUGAUUACACCAAAUGGUAUACUACUCAAUAAAACUAAAAACACAUUCCUGAUUGUACUAUUCUCCUAUUGUCUAAUUGUAUAUGCUCUUGUAUAGUAUAUAGAAAACAUUAAACAUCAUAACCCAUAACUUGAUUUACGCAAAUAAGGAUGUAAACCAUAACAUAAUUUGCAAGAAACUAGCAGUCAUGAUAAACACUUUUCAUUCUUUAUGGUAAGCUACCAAAUAACCACAUACCUCAAAUUAUGCAAUCUUUUCUCUGGUUGUUCCUUAUCUUCUCUAUCAAGGUAGUGAGAAUGCAGGUCUGUUCUGCUGAAUAUGAAGAAAUACGAAAUUAGAUAUUUCUCUGCUGAGGUAGACUGAAAACUAUUUUAUUGUGAACAGGAUUGACUUUGGAUAAGGAUCCAUAUUAAAUCAUCAAGAUUUCUUCUGAAACUUAGAACAUUCAAAGAUCCAUUCCAACUAGCUAGCUAGGUUACUUGGGUUCAGUAAUUGAUGGCGGGCUAGUUUUUUUUGGAACAUGUCAAGUUAUGGAUUAGGAACUAUAGCAAGGAAGACAAACAGUAGUGGUUCAGCCACAUUCUAUCACUUUUUGUCCAAUAGGAGUAAUAAUCAAGUUGUCCAAUAGAUAAAGAAUUUACAAGUGCUGCACUUCUUUACGUUUCCCUUCUUUUUCCUGCCUACUAAUGCUAACUGAAAACUGGCAUAAAAAACCUAUGGUAUAAAACUUGCAAGGAUAUUAUAGUACUUUAGAAAACCAGAAAGAGCCAAUGAUUGUGAAACUGUUUUUUUUUUUGGAUGUUACUCCCUACAUUUCUUGCAUGGAUUUAGUUGGACAUGAUGGAUGUAUAGCCGUCCUCUUAACAAAAAGAACCAAAACCUCCCAUUCCAACCAAACCUCUAAAACCAGAUGGUCCAUUUUCACCAUAGACUCCAAAUACCCAAACCAAUAGAUAAAAGCCCCUAACAAUAUAGGCCAGUUGCUGAUGCAUUUUUCGUCUGGUACAAAUUUUUAAUGCUCCCCAUGACAUAAUAUCAAACUAGCCAACUUCACCAUAAAUAUUUAUCCUUGAGAUCAGCUCCAAAUUUAUAAGUAGGGGCCCUUAGCCAAAAAAUCUAAAAUACACUUGACUGUGUCGCAUUAUUGCGUGAAUUGCUCCCACGUCCUAUAUUAAAUUAGACCUGUGCCAAUCUGUCAAUGUGACUAUUCCCAUAUUAAAACCCAAACCUCCCAAAUUCUGCGAAUCUUGAACUAAAAACUGAAUUUCAAGUGUAUCUGUAUCAGAGAAAACAAUUUCACUUUUAAUCCAAGUUUCCCCUUUUAAUCCAAUCAGAUAAUGAUGAAUAGAAGGCACUGUAAAAAUCAAGCCAACGGCUGGAAAAUGCUCUUGAUAUGGGAACUUACAGUCAUAGUUAGCCCAUCCAAUCCUUUGGCCAGCCAAAUCAUAAACAACAAUCUUGUCUUUCAGAACAAGGUCUGCAUGAAAGGAAACAAAUAAUGAAGAAAAAUAGGAAACAAAUUCCAGUUUCAUUCAGACACUUUCAUGACAAAACAAGAGGACAAACCAGAAACACUGAACAGGUAUCUCUGCCAUCACAUUGAAGACUCAUACUAAAUCAUCAAUCAGAGAUGAAUCCUUAACAAGGUUUCAGACAUUGAAAAAUGAAAGAAAAUUGUAGUAGAUAAAAUUGUUGAAAGCCGGUUGCCCAUCACAUGUAUGACAAAAAACUGAAAGACAAAUAACAAGGAUAAAUCAGGAAAAAUGUUCGACACAAGACAAGCAUCUAGCACACCUAGAUGUGAACAUUGCACCGUAAGUUUGGAUCUACUCUGGAGUUAAUCCAACAAAUGGCCUGCAGUAUAAAGUUCAGCUAAUAAUAAUAUCAAGAACGAAGAUAACUGGUAAAAGAGACACAUUUCGAGGAAGAUUUUUGCCAAAAUUUUCUGAUUUUUUAAUGGGCGUUCAUCAUAUAAACCCAACACUUGUUAACAAUCACAGAAAUUCAGUGCUUUCUUAAGAACGAAAAUAUCCCUAUUCUUGGAUGACCAGCGGAAGAGAAAAACCCCAUAUGGAUAUUGGUCUCAAAUUCAACACGCUUAAAAGUAGAGAGUAUCUGGGAAUCGUUUGCCGACCUUUCCAUCGUUCCCACCCCCAACCUUAUAGAUUUGUGCAUCUGGGGUUGUAAAAAACCAUCAUUUUGCAAUUUACAAGUCAUAUCUGCCCAAUGGGAACUGAACCUGUCAAGGACUCACCUCCAAGAAUAGUCAAUCCUUGACCCUGAAUUUUCCGAAAGCUGAUGCACCAGACUGCUGCACCAUUCUGCCAAAAACGAGCUAGCAAAUCAAUUUUAUAUGUACAUGUGCAGAAUUCUCAACUCUUCACACGCAAGAACAAGUUUUCCAAGAACCGUUCCUUUGUGAACAUCAGGGAGAUGGGAGCCUAUCAAAUUUGCGCUAAAUUCCUCAUUCUCAACCAAAAUAAUGAAAAUAAUCAAAUUUGAAACUUUAAGGGGCCAAAUGAGGUUCUCCAAACAAUUUCUGAAAACUUAGAUCACAAAUGAGUCAAUUUUUAUGCAGAGAAAAUAUUUGACACCGAACUUGAACUGAUGAUCUGUAGGACCGUCAUUUCACAGUCAAUUAAGGACAAAAUUGAAGGGGGAUUCGGAGAAAGGGAGCUGAUUCAAGACAAAAUUGAAGGAUUAUUUGAUUUUUACAUCACCUUAGACCAUCGUGUUGUCUCUCUUGUUGAAAGAGAUGAAGCCAAGUUCAGAGGAGUUCGUUGUUGUUCUCUGUUGUUGGAGAUGAAGACAAGCUGAAGAUUUGGAGAAAGUGUACUUUGUUGUUGUUGUUCCAAAAGUAGAGAUUUGGGAAAAGUGCUUCUUGAAUUUCCCGGUGUCUAUGUCAUAAGGACAAGAUGUCCUUCUAAAUUCCUUUUCGGUCCAAGAGGGGAAAAAAAUUGGUGGGAAAGAAAUGGAGGGAGAAUGAAAACUUUUCCUGACGAAUUGAUGUGGGGAAAGUAACUUUAGACAAUGAAAUAAAUAGAAAAACACGUUUAAAGUAGCAGCACCUUUUGAUGGAUAUUUACUUGACGGGUUGUCAUAAAAAGCAUGGUUUUCCUAACGAAAAGGUUUCUUGUCAUGAAAAAUUUGUCACGAAAAAAAUAAUUUUUUGUAGUGAAUUAAUAUAUGGUAUUAUCAUUAUAUCAUGUACUUAUAAUAAUAAUAAUAUAUAAUAAUGUACAAUAUAUUAUUUUAGUAUUUGUUAAUUGUUAUAUGACUAUAAUAAUACAAAUAUAUAGUAAUACAUAACAAUAUAAGAUAUACCAAUUUGAGCAGAGGAGGAAUUCGUUAGACCCCAGAUUCGUUCAUCAGUUUCAAAGCUAAUGACUUUUCCAAACACAGCUUUAAUAUCAGAUGUUAUUCAUGGCAUUCUAAUCAAGUAGAGAACAAAAACAAGCCUGCCAAUCGAGCCACAGCUUCAGCAAACAAAGAAAAAAGGAAACUGAUAUGCCCGAGCUUCUGCAACAAGUCGAAAGAUUCAAUCUUGUUGCAGCAAAAUCUCAAUCUAAGGAUUCUAGCAGGCGACUUACUUAUUACCAUGGAUCUAGGAACAAGAACAAGAGGCCAUACUCACAAGAGAAACAUCACAUCAGCCAUCAAGAACACCGAACAAACUCAUGAUUCUCAUAGUCCCAUCAUUUAUUAAUGGAAACUAUCUAUAAGAAAAGGCGAAAAGAAAGGCUUAUAGUGCCGUUUCCGGUAAAGCUCUCGGCAACAAUGGUGGCAAUGAGUUCCUCUUCCGUGGUUGCCACCAGUUCCAACUCUCUUUUAGCUCUCAGCCUUUUCUUUAUUUAGUUUCCUCCUCCCUAUUUCCUUGCUUUGGUUCUUUUCUUCGCAGCUUCUCCUUCCCAGAUUUCCUGGUUCCCUCGGUCUCUCCUCCGUUACUCUCCAGUCUCUUUUCCCUCUGAUUCUCUCCUUUCUUUUGCUUCUGUGUUUAGCCGCCAACAGGUUCUUGGUCUCUCUAAAACCUCCCUUUUGCCGUCAUCAGAUCCUCCUAAAAUUUUCAGCCGUCACACCCUAUCUUCUUGUUGCCUUUUUCUCUACCCUAGCCGCCACAUCUCCUUCCCUUUUUGUUAUUUUCUUUUUAUCUUUUCUUUUCCUUCAAAUCUUAAGCCUCCAAGUGUCUCAACACCUCACUUUCUAGGUGUUGUGUUGUCAAAUACAUAAAGGGACACUUGUCUCUAUUGCAUGUCCCCCACUUGUCAUUUUUCAUUUUUCUUUUUCUGAACUUUAGUGUUAAAAAAAAUGCUUUUAAAAGAAAAGAAAAUGAUGAAUCUUAAUGUACCAAAAAUAAGAAUAAACGCCAGUCACUAUUUGCAAUAUUAAAUCAAUAAAAUAAUAAAUAUGAAACCAAAAUAAAUAAUAAUAAUAAUAAAAUAAAAUUGAAUUAAAUAAACAAAUAAAGUCAAAAUUGAAUGAAUAAAGCUAAGUAAAUAAAGUUUAAAUUUGAAUUAAUGAAAUUUUGGUGUCUACUCUUCUAUUGCAGAGGUCUUGUCGUACGUUCAUUGCCUGGUGUGAUGAGUUUGCACGAUCAAUGGGGUUUCAAGUUCUCGAUCUCAACCCCUCAAGUACGAACUCCGUCACCAAUACACCUGCACUAGAGGUGUCUAGCAUCAUAGCAGAACUGAAAAGCAUGCAAACCAAUGUGAUGAUCCUUAACAUUGUUGUGGUUGCUGUCGUGGCGGUACUCGUAGUUCUAGUUUUGAAAUUGUGAAGUGCUAUGUUCGUUCUGAUUCCAUUCCCCCCUCCUAUACAUUACUCAAAUAUGGUGUCCUCAUGCUGAAUGGGCAUUUAGCCUAAUUUAUAGCUUGUUGGCUUUUGUUUGCUAGUAUUCUGUCAUUGGCUUUUGUCCAUCCUUCGUCUGCCGGAUAGUGGCGCAUGUGUGUUUGCUCACCAACGAACGGAGUGUGUCUGUGUUAAUGGUGAUAUUGCUUGAAAUUACACAAGGGAAUGGGUUUUUAUCACCAGUUUACAUUGUGCAUUAUAUUUCCGAUCUAAAAUUCCUGUUGCCUUUUGCCCCUCAAUUGUGUGUGAUUAUCAGUUAAUUCGUAACGUUGAAGUUUGCUUUACUUCAUUUAAAUAAGUGUGAUUCAGCGCUGAAAUUCAUUAUUAAGGCUGUGGCAGUGCUAUUAAUUGUCAACUUCUACUUAGCCAUACAAGUAAACAGCGUCAUCUUGUAAAACCAGUUCUCAUAUACAACAACAUUAGUAGGCUUUCAACUUUGAAAUCUAAUGAGUUCAAUUACGAAGUAAGUGCUUACUUCUUAAUUUGUUCUCCCAGUUGAUCCCCUUACAAUAUUACCAAAUGGUGCACUUAUAAUUUUUCAGCAUUACAUAUUAUUAGCCCUUAACCCCUACCUUUUGUACUGUAACAAGCACAACCAAUGAUGGUUUGGCCAUUGACAUAAAGUGUCAGGAACAAAAAACAAUCCAUCAUCAAAAUAUUUCAUAAAAAAAUUAAAGCACACUGUUUUAGUUGUGAACGUUCACUCAGACCACUCCACAAUAAGACCAAACAGAGGGUUAAUGGCGGCAACCGUGAUAGCCACCCUAAGAAAGCUGCAGUAUUUUUUGCGCCUUACAGUCACCACGAGACUAUCAGUUACAUCUUUGUGUUCAAAGGUUGUCUCCACAACUGAUGGAUUCCAGCAAAUAGUGGCGGUAUGAACGCUGUCUGCAAUGGCUACGUUGCAGGUCAUAUUGGUGUGGUAUCCCUGUUCAGCCAUAAAGCGAGUUACUGACCAAUCUUCAAAGUUGGCUCCGAAGAGCAUCCACACGUUGGUAUGAAGCAGUGGUUUCAGACCCAGGUAACGUGCAACAAAUUCCUCCUUCCCUACAAAUCAGGCAUUGUAAGUCAUAAUAUAAAAUGCCUUAAGGUUGUGCAUAAUGGAGAGUGGACGACGGCGCCACUUCACUAGUGACUAGAACACUUUCUCGUUGGCAAUGGGGUUGCGAACGGGGAUGCAAGAGACCAACAUGGUUUGUGAAAACUCUUGUCCGGGAAACCUAUCCAACCGCACAAGUGCUUCGUUAACAACCCACUUCACUCCUAUGUGGUGAAGUGGUAAGUGCUCAUCUUGAAAGUAGCCUACCAUUCCGCCAUUGUUGAGGACAUGCAUUUUAGGAAUUCAUCCCAGUGCCAUGCCAGGGUCUGCUGGCUGAUUAAAAGUGCAAGACAAGGGUUUGCUUCACAGGUUACAAAAUACACAAGGAAAGGAAGUUGCGGUCAAGUUAGAGAUUUCAGGUGCUAAAGUUCAAUCCCCAAGCAUAUGGAAUUGAACGUGUGGUUCAACGGGCAUGCAAGAGAGAAGGUUCUUGUGUGAAAUUCUUAUAGAAGAGGCUACGGUGCAUGGACAUACAACAAAUGGAGGAGGUGACGGUGCAAGGAUUGAGAAAUUUGAGUCAGCUGCUGCUGGGUCAAAUCACUCAGGUUAACAAACUCAAUGAUUUAGUCCGUCUAACUUAGGUUAGUGGGAAAAUGGGUCACAGUUGGUUGGAAUAGUUUUUAAUAAAAAUAAACCCGUUUUCAAUAAAACACCAACUCUUUAUGACUUUCCUCCAUUAUAAGAACAAAAUACCUAUUUUUCCAUAAACAAUUUUUCUGAUCCGAUAAAAUAAAAAUAUUGCCGUUUUUCAAUAAACCACCAACUCUUUAUGGCUUUCCUCCAUAAAUUAUUCAAAAAAAAUUUAUGGUUCAACUAAUGCUUGCAAGAGUAUACCCAUUGUGCCUCCAUUAAAACACCAGCUGUUUAUGACUUUCCUCCAUUAUAAGGACCCAUUUUCUCAUAACCCAAUUGUUUUAUCGGAUAAAAUAAAAAUAAAUCCAUUUUCCAAUAAAACACCGGUUAUUUAUGACUUUCCUCUGUUUUAAGAAAAAAAACGGUUCAACUAAUGCUUGCAAGAGAGAAGGUUCUUGUGUGACGUUCUUAUAGGAGAGGCUACGGUGCAUGGACAUACAACAAAUGGAAAAAUUUUUGGUGCAAGGAUUGAGUGAUUUGAGUCAGCUGCUGUUGGGUUAAUUUUGACUAUGGUUAACAAACUCAAUGCUUUAGUCCGUCUAACUUAGGUUAGUGGGAAAAUGGGUCACAAUUGGAAGGUGUUCCGAUAAUGAUAAGUUUAGCGCCAGUGAUUCUUGUUGGAGAAGAUGCAUCACUUGUACCUGUCUGUUCAGUCGGACGGUACUUCCACAGGUUAUGAACAGUGUUGCUUGGCUGGUGGCCCACCUCUCAAUGUGAUUUCCAAUCGGAUAAGAUUUGCACGGUGCAUGCAGCAAAUUGUCAUGGCCCUUGCACCUUCACAUGUGUGUAGGGGCUGCAGCGCUGGAGGUUUUCAACGCUAGUCGAAAGGAGGCUUACGCCUGAAGAUAUAUCGAUCGAUGCCUCAACAUGCAUCCAAACUCCAGUUAAUGUCUCCAGUUAUCCAAAGAUGCCAGUUAAUGUCUUUAACUUGCAGUUAAUGUCUUUAAGCCGAAUGUAUUAAUUACUAUAUUAUCCAAAAUUUAAAAAAUAGUAAAAAUAUAUUAAAAUACCUACAUAAUUUCGCUAGUACCAAUUGAUUUCAUAAAUAAGACCUUGAAAUUAUGUUAUCUAACAUUGUUAAUGUAGCAUUAAUCAGUAGGUGUUGACUAAAAUUAGGUACAAUUAUAAGGCAUGGUUAUCUAACUAUUAUAAUGUAGCAUUAAUGACUAAAUAAUGCCACAAAUUAGGUAAAACCAAACGGCAUAUGGCUAUACAUGUAAUGUGUAGCCUUGGUUAUUAGUCAUGUUACUUCUCUAAGAUAAGCAAUUUGACAAUUUUCAUUUUUAUUGACAAUUUUAUUUGCUAGUACUUCACAUUUGACAGUUGAUAGAAGAAAGAAAGAAAGAAAGAAAGACAAUUAUAAAAUGGGUUCUUCAUUUUGUUUUGUUUGCAAGACUAGAAUGAGCUUUCAUUUCAUUUUAUUUUGUUAUGGUCCCAAACGAAGUGAUUGUGUAAUUUUUAAUUUACAAAUUGGGGCUCCUAAAUUAGCAAAAGCUUUCAUUAUGCUCGUUAAUGAUUUAAAAAUUAAUACUGAUUUUUUCCCAAAUUUAUUCAUAAUUUAACACAUUACAUAUGUUCUAAUCAUUUUGUGGUUUAAUUGGCAUUUAUUUAAUCAUUUAUACCUCGAAUCGAAUCCUUAGUCUAUGAUUUAAGGAACACAUAAACUUAUUAGUUAUGAAGUUAAAUUAGAACAAACCUUAGACUGUACAAUAAUUAGUGAUAAUUUAUGAACUUAUAUUUUACAAUGAUUAAUAAUAAGUAAUUUUAGUUACAAAUUACUUAUUAUUAGUGAUAAGUUAUAUUAGUUAUAAACUUAUAAUUCAUUUGAAAUCAAAAUAAAUCUUAUUUACUUACAUAUGUUAUUGUAAAAGUCAAUACACUAAUACAUUGCUUUCCAAUUCAUAUGCAUUCACUUACACUGCUAUCUUCUUGUCUUGUCUAUACUUAAAAUUUCAGGAUUAGUGAAAAAUGAGUGGGGCUCCUAAAUUACCAAAAGCUAAAUUGUAAUUACUAAUAAUGUAUAUUGUUUAAUAUUUGGUAUUAUACAUAUAUGUAUUAAUUAUUAUGUAAUUGUAGUCAUUUUACCCAUAUAUAACAUAUUAGAAUUAACCAAAUACUAAAAUCCUUUGUUGUACAUUAUUAUAUAAUAUUAUUAUUAUAAGUACAUGAUAAUACCAUAUACUAACUAUUAUUUACAACAAUAUAUUAGUAGUAUGUACUAACACUAAAUAGCAUUUAUCUAUAUAAUAUAUAAUUUUAUAAACUAAUUUCAAUUCGGAAUUGAAUUAGGCCUAAACCCGGAUUUCAAAUUACCAAAUUGAAUUUCAAUUCGGUUAUGAAUUAGGCCUAAACCUGAAUUUCAAAUUAUCAAAGUGACUUUCAAUCGGUUAUGAAGGGAGCAACAACGGUUUCUUUGGACUAGGGAUGUGCAUUCGGUGCAAAAUCGGUAAUUUGGUGCAAUGAAUUCGGUGAAUUCGGUUAUUCGACCUAUAGAUAUCUAAACCGUUUUCAAUUUCGAAUUGGCCAUAACCGAAUUCAUUCCGCAACCGAUUUCAAAUUCGAAAACGGUAACGAAUUCGGUCUAACCGAAUUCAUCUAUUAAAAAAAAGGUUUAAAAAUUAUGCUCCUAAAUUAUACUACAUUCAUUAUGCUCCUCAAUGAUUUAAAAAUUAUUACUGAUUUGAUCCCCAAAUUUAUUCAUAAUUUAACACAUUACUUAUGUUCUAAUCAUUUUGUGGUUUAAUUGGCAUUUAUUUGAUCACUUAUACCUAGAAUCCUUAGUCUAUGAUUUAAGGAACACAUAAAAAGUAAUUAAUUUAAACUAGCAUGAACCUUAGACUGUACAAUGAUUAGUGAUAAUUUAUGAAUUUAUAAUUUACAAUGAUUAAUAAUAAGUAGUAUUAGUUAGUAGUUACAAUGAAUUUAUAAUUUACAAUGAUUAAUAAUAAGUAAUAUUAGUUACAAACUUACAAAUUACAAUAAUUAGUGAUAAGUUAUAUUAGUUACAAACUUAUAAUUUAUUUCAAAUCAAAAUAAAACUUAUUUACUUACAUAUGUUAUUGUGCAAGUCAAUACACUAAUACAUUGAUUUGCAAUUCAUAUGCAUUCGCUUACACUGCUUAGUUGUCUUAUCUAUACUUAAAGCCUUAAGAUUAGUGAAUAGAUAAUAUGAAUUUUUAUGUUAAAUAUGUAAUGUAAAUUUAGAGCACACUAAUACUUGCAAGUUACAAAUUACGCAUUCAAAUAUUCAAUAAUUCAAACAUGAAUGAUAUAUCAAAUUAUCAAUAUCUAAAUUCUAAUUACUAAUUAUGUUUAUUGUUUAAUAUUUAGUAUUUUACAUAUAUGUAUUAAUUAUUAUCUAAUUCUAGUCAUGUUACUCAUGUAUAAAAUAAUAAAUAUUAUAGUUAUCUUAUAUUGUUAUGUAUUACUAUAUAUUUGUAUUAUUAUAGUCAUAUAACAAUUAACAAAUACUAAAAUAAUAUAUUGUACAUUAUUAUGUAUUAUUAUUAUUAUUAUAAGUACGUGAUAUAAUGAUAAUACCAUAUACUAAUUAUUAUUAAUAGCAUUUACCUAUAUAAUAUAAUAAUAUAUUAGUAGUAUAUACUAAUACUAAAUAGCAUUUAUCUAUAUAUUAUAUAAUUUUAUAUACCAAUUUGGUAUUCGAAUGCGGUAAUACGGCACCCUAUUUCAAUUACCGAAUUUGAAUGCGAAAUCGGUUGUUACCAAAUUCAUAAUCUCAUUACCUAUUUCAUACCAUAUUAGAAUUCGAUGAAUUCGGUAUGUACCGAAUUUGUACCAAAUUACCAAAUACCCGAUUUCAAAUUACCGAAUUGAAUUUGAAUUCGGUUAUGAAUUCGGUAUGUACCGAAUUUGCUCACCCCUACUUUGGACAACAUAUCAUCUAUUGAAAAUGAGCCUCAGACUCUCGAUAAUGAGCGACUUCAACUUGCAAGGGUAAAUAUACAUAUUUUCUUAUUUUUUUCUUUAUUCCCUUUUUUUGCCUGUCAAUUCUUUGUUUAUAUAUGCUUUCUUAUUUUUAUUUCUUUCUUCCCUUAAAUCAUGUGGAAAAAUAGGUGAGUUUCUCUGUUUAUUUUUUUUAAUAAAACUGGUUAUGAAAAUGAAGAGGUUGUUGGAAUCUUUAAAUGGCGAAUUCCAAAUCGACUUAUGUUUAAGGAUACGUUGAAAUAAAAUGCUAAGAAAUAAAGGGUGCAUACAUUUACAAAUGGAGUGACAAACUCAUGUUUAAAAUUUGAAAAUAAAUUUACUAACCAUUAAUUGUUUAUUUUUUUCCAUAGCCGCUCAUGAGAUCAGUGGCAACAUGACGGUUUUUUAAUUUUUUAUUAUUUUAUUUUUUUUGCAUCACCACUUUAUAUAUUUCAUUUGCCAAAGAGGCCAAACAAAAGAUUAUGGGCCUGUUUAGGAAUGGGACUUCCAAGGUGACAUCAAACACAUGCUGUCCCGCAUAAUGAUGUAAAAAAAAUAAAUGUUAUAUCUUGUUUUUCUAUUCGCUUAAACUAUAUAUCUGUUCACUUAAAUAUAUAAUACCUCGACAGAAAAUAAAAGGAAUUUGAAGCAAUCCAGAAUAACUGAAAAUUAAGAUUAUUUUUGCUGGAAGCCUUGCAUUGGGGUUGCGACAACCCCUAAUUAUGAACCUUCCAUCAAACAGCACCAAUUUUGUGACGAUUUUCAAUUUUAGCAAUAUUAUGAGAAAUUCCCCCAAUUUCAGGUUUGUCAAAGUACCCUUGAUAAAUCUUUUGUUUUCCAAUUUCCCCUUGAUAGAUUGGAAUCCUUUGUACAUACAUUAAAACUUGGAAUUGUUUAGGCUGAGCAGAUUGGCCAUAAUAUGGUCGCGCAAGACAUAAAAUACAAUGUGAGUUGGCUAUGUAUGUCAACGCUACUGCGAACACUGAUUUCACAUGCCUUAUUUCCCAAAUUGCAGCCCUAAUUCCAGGAAUUCAGCUACAACGAAAUUGCUCACCUCAACAGCCGACUGCCGUCCAAUUUCUUUCAUAUAAAAAUUCCCUUUCACUUCACUCCCUAGGAACUUACCUGGACUCAACACUUAACGGCAAAGCGGUUUAUAAUCGCGGAUGGGACCAAAGGGAUUUGCCGAAAGCACGCGUCGUAACAGUAAUAGUUCAACCUCCAAACCCCACAGUGUUGCGAUGGGAAGGCUCCAUCGCUACCGCCCACCAUGCAAUGAAGAACACUCGGAAGACCUGCUGUUGAUACGAACAACCAGAUAUCACACAUUGUCCUUGCAUAGGGGGUAAACAUUGCAAAAUAAAUCUCAUUAAUUAGUUUUGGUUACAAGCCCUAACCUCUCCACUGCUAUACAUGUAACAACAAAUGGCUGGAUUGGUUCUAAAUUACUGCACAGAAAGCUACUCAAUUUAUCCUAGAGGGUCUUCAGUAGAAAUUAUGGAGUGGUGGAAGAGGCUGCCUCCAAAAGUGGCUGCCAAAGUUGUUAGUGCUGGGUUUGGUGAUUUUCUAAGCCAAUCGCCGAUGGCUGAUAGAGAUAGGAAGUUGCUUGUCGCACUUGUGGAGCGAUGCUGGGAGGAGCGAUGCUGGGACUCCAUCAACUCCUUUCGUUUGCCAUUUGGAGAGAUGACACUAACACCGUUGGACUUCACCUGUAUAACCUAUGUUGCAGUGGGCAACUUGACGAUUCCGUGGGAUUAUAAUGUUAGGGAAAAUGUCAAUUACAUCGAGGAUCAGUUGGGUUGGGUCCCAGCUUUUGCUUCUGGGGGUGCGAUCAGAGUUACCGAUAUAUGGUAAUUUUACAAAGACAAGGCGAUUGACGACAAUGAAUACGUCCAGCUAUCACAGCUGACUAGAGCUUUGUUUCUCUACAUGCUUGGCCACACUUUACUUAGCAACAUGGGCGAUACAAUUCAUCUGUGAUGUCUGCCUGCGCUAGAGGACGUAGAUCGUAUAGGGAAAUAUAACUGGGGAGGGCCGGGGAUGUCAACCUUGUACAGAUUUAUGUCUGCCGUGUCCCGACGUCUGACGAAAAGCCUUGGUGGCUACAGUUUUGUAUGGGCGGUAAGUCAAAAAUUUACUACAUUCUUUGUUAUUUGGACAAUUUCAUGUUCCAUUAUAGCAGUGCUAUGGCAGUUACUUCUUCAUUUACACUACUGGACAUAAAUUGUAAUUCAACGUGUAAGUGUGGGCUUAUGAAAUUUUUCAGUUAAAUCCGUACAAACUAAAACAGGAAGAGAGAGACGUAUUGCCUAGAAUGUGGCGAUAGUGUCCCUCUAACAGAGGCAUCCAACAAUCACUGUCUACGGUUCAAUAUUUUCGCCGCGCUAUUGACACCGUCAACCUAUAAAAUGUUUGUAUCCGUACUCAGUUCCACAAUUUCUUUCAUUUUCAGCAUAUGAAAUAAAUUUCGGAAAAAUUACUACCGCAUAUAGAAUAAUACAAUGUUAAAUGGCUAGUUAAUUCUGUAUCAUAAGUCAAUUGGCUACCAUGGGCAGCAGUGCCGCUGCCGAAUUGGUAUCUCAAACCGAAGGACCUAACUGCAACGAGAUUGAUUUUGGAUGGGCCCAUGGAAAGAUUUUACUACCUUGGAGAGAGGGUUAUUAGGCAGGUUUAUGUAGGUGUAUCUACAAAGCAACCUUCUCAGCGGCCACCAGAUAUGUACAGCACUGAUACAAUUUUGAAAAAAAGGCUACAGGAUGUGCUUAAUGGAUUGCCCAUUGCAAGUCUAUACCCAGAAGCCCUGCCAUUUCCUACAUAUGAGGAUUUUGUGUGCAACAGGCUAAUGAAACCACUGACGUAGGUCUCCUGGUCCCCUAAUGCCAAAGACUGUGUGAUGCAUCUAUCUGACUACACUACAAGAAUUUUGGUCUUCAAUGACAACUACUUUUCGUCACAAAAAAGCAAAAAGUCGUCACUGAUGACUUUUAUUGACAACAUUUCGGUUGUCACAGAGUCGUCACUGAAUCUCCGUCGGUAAAAGUAUACAGUGACGACUUUAAAGUCGUCAGUGAAUAAAAACUUUUUUAUGACAAGAUAUGUUGUCAAUAAAAGCUACAAAUUUAGUGACGACAUGCUUUCUUGUCAAUGAUGCAUGAAGCAACAUAGUCAGUGUAUAUAUUAAUUAGUGACAACUUUGUUGUCAAUAAACCCCUUAUCAACUGUGACAACAACUUCUUAUCAAUGAAUAGUUUUGAUUCAGUGACAACAACAAUUGUCAAUAAAGACAGCCUGCUUGAGAAAUGCUACUCAUUUACAACACCUUGCAAUGUGUAGUUUGAUGAUUUUCCUACUACAAUAAUAUCUAAAAAAUGAAAACAUCAGCAAUGUUUAAUAAAUAACAAACGUAGACACCCGUUACAAUAGGAAAUGCCAUAAUAACAUAUUAAAUAUUCAAAUGUCAUAAAUAAGUGCAACAUCACACUACAAAUAGUUUGAUAAGUUUCAAUAGAGCAAAUUUUGCCAUAUAAGUCAAGGCUACACUAAAAAACAAUUCCAAGUCCCAAAACAUUUUCCGUGCUACCGAAACAUUUUCUAAACUUAAGAUAGCACUAUAACCAUAGUUUUUGAGUCGACACGUAAGCCGUACUGCUAAUCUUCCAAACCUCUAAAAUGAGCAAUAUAUCUGCAAUAAAAUAGUAAAGUUAUUAGUAGAUGAUAGAAAAAUUAAAACAAGGAAAAUUAGUUAAGGAGUCACCAAAAAAUAAAGUGUUGCACAAGUGGCAGGAGUUCAAGCGAUAAAUAAGAAGCAUGUUUUCAAAUAUGUGGAUUUAUCUAUCUGACAUUGGAUUCGAAAAUUUGUGCCUAACACAUGACGGUGAGCAUUGUUGGGUAUUCUUACUUCUAACAUAUCUGAAAAUUAUAAUAAUAUAUUUAGAGGGCCACCUCACUUGUCAAUUCAGAUUUGUGUUGAUAUGACAUUUCAUCAGACAGUUGAGUUAUUUAAAACAAGGAGGAAAGAUGCUAGACAUUAUUUUAAUCCUUUUUUUCUCAAUCAUAUGGUAGCGAUUUAACAAUUCUGAUCAGAAAGCGGGAUUCCACAGGAUUGUGGAAUUCGAUGGCUCAUCAAAGUUAUACAAGAUUGUCACAGACCGAUGCAUGGAUGACAAAGGGGGUAAUACACAAACGAUGACGUAUUUUGAUGGCAAGUGGCAGCAGUAUAGGCUUCCUUGUUUACAUGUCAUGACAGUGUGCAGGAAUAGAGCGAACAAUCCAGAAUUGCCUGUGGAUUCUUAGUUUAUAAAAAAGAGGUGGUUAGUAGAGUAUUUAGGAAGGUUUAAUCCUUUAUGCAUCCGGACACUUGGCUCUAUCCUGAUUGAGAGCUAUAAGUAGAUAGAAAUAAAUAUAUUGCAUGUCGGGUAGAACGGGUACAAGUUAGAAGUAUUCAAAACAAGAUGGAUGAGAAAAACCCAGAAGAACUAAGAAGAUGUACAAAUUGUCAUCACUUGGGUCACAACAGAAGAAACUAUCUGAAUUAUAGAUUUUGAUUGAAAUAAUUUAGAGAUAGGGAACCAUGUAAUCCUAACAGGAGCAUGCACCUAUCUCUGAAUAGGUUCGGCAUUAUAUUCGAUUGACAAUGUUUGAAGGGGUGUUUGAGAGUGAAUAUAUGAUGGUUGAUCAUAUUCUGAUCACCAGUUUGGUGGAGCAAUAAUGGCCCGAGACUCGUACCUUUCAUCUACCCGUUGGAGAGAAUACGAUGACUUUAUAAGAUGUAGAGAUCCAAUGUAGACUACAUAUUGAUGGUCCUCUAGUUACAGGGAUAUAUAUAUAUAUAUAUCUCGUAGUACCCAGUAGUGGGGACUCUUAUGUGAGGAACUUAUUCGUUUUUCUCCUAUGCUGUUAGAUUUUAAUGGACAAAGGUUAAAAUUGGGGUGUUUUUCUAGAGCAUUAGAUACAGAGCUACCCCUUGAUGCUUCGGAUGUCGAAUGUAGACAGCAAGCACGCAUCUACCUCCUCCUGAUAUUAUGUGACCACUUAUUAUCCAAUAAGUUAGAAAAUAAAGUCCCGCUAAUGUAUUUUCUCUUAUUAUGAGACUUGAAAACUAUUGGGCAAUACAGUUGAAAUAGUGCGCUUUUGGUGAUUCUCUAUCAAUCUUUGUGUACAAGCACAUCUCCCUCUAAAUCGGCUAUUGUAGAUCCAUUAUUUUUGCUCCAAGUACGUUACACUCAAUAAAAGUGAAAUAAUUUAACUAUUAUAUUAUUGCAAUUGUAUAAUAAUUGAAGGUUUUUUACAACUAUAGGUAUGGGAAUGUAUACCUAAUAUGCGCCCUGACCGUGUGCAGCAGUUGGAGCAAUAUCUUGGUCCAUAUGGAGGUCAAUGACCAUAUAUCUUUUAUGGUUAUGACUAUAAUUUGUAACUCAAAUAACAAUCAUUUGUUCUAAAAAAAGACCCCUCAUUUAUUUUAUGUAGGUGGAAUGUUGAGUUUGAUCUAUACAAAAUUGCACGGCAUGUCGUGCCCGUAUUUCGAGAUUAGCCGACAAGCCUACAUCCUCAAGAGGUAUUGUAAUUAUUCCAUAAUGUUGAACAUCUGACACUUUGUCUUUUUUACUGAGUAGAAUAAUAAAAUAUGCAAAUUUGCUCGAAUAGUCUGAUUGUAUUUGAUUCUUGUAAAAUUAAAUUUGUUAGCAGGGAAUUUUCCUCCAAUUAUAAGGGAGGUUCUACUGAAAUUUUCUACAAAAAUAUGCAAAAUAUUUGAAAUUUGCCAAGAUUUGUUAUCUUUUUUUCAUUUGAUAAAGUUGAAUGGUGCCAGAGGUAAUUUGUUUAUAGACACCAAUUUAAGUUAUGGGUCAGUACAUAUUCAUUUAUCUUUUUUUGCAGUUCAUAUGAUAUCCAUAUUUGGAGAACGUUCUCACUUCUUUGCUUACGUAUUAUACUGCAGAUCAUGAUAUUUGGAGGUCUGUCAUGUAGCUCAUAUGUUGGAAAGUUGUUGAGCCGCAUCUUCCUCAUCAAAUUAUGCGACUGUUUGGACAUCAUCUGCCCCUGCCUGAUUUUAGAUUGAUUGAAAAUCAGGUAGCCCUACAAUUUAUAGAUCAUCAUGGUAAGGAGAAUUAAGAUUAGAUAACCACGCAAAGAGUAUAUAUUGAUGUUUGGAUUGAUCGACAUGUGGAUGUAUAAGAUGGUACUGUAGUUGAAAUCCCUACAUAUCCAUUAGAUGAAUAUCAUUAGUGGUAUCAAGAGUAGACUGUACUUUAUAUUUCAAAUUCAAGUAUGCAUCCCACUUUCCCGAAGGGCUUUCAGGGUGAUAGCACUAGGGCACAAUAUCUUAUAAGUUCAAAUCUAACCACUGCUAUUGACAUACAUGUUUCUUGAAAUAAUUUUUUAAGGUUUGACGUUAUUAAUGUUUAUACCAAUAUUUACACUUUAGAUGGAUGAUAUGUUUUGCAUAUAUUACAUGGCACAAGACUCUCUGACACUUAGUGACGAAUAACACAAGAAUUAUUUUCAUGCAAUGAAGGACUUUGCAUCCACAGCAUUGCAUCAUGUAGGGGAGUCAUGAUGACUUGCAUUUCACCCUCUACAAAGUACCACAGGACAUUCCACAGCAUGCAGACCCAUGUCGUAUUUAGCAAGCUCCUAGGAAUGUUCACGAUGGUCAGUAUGACUGUGGAUGACGUCGUAGAGUCCGAUCACCAGAACUUGUGAGGACUCGCAAAUUUCUUAUAUUUUUCUCAAAAAUGCCCUUUUAUUUGGAAAUUAUUAUUUAUUAAAGCCCUACCACCCAAUCAUUCCACAAUAAGUGCAAAUAAACUUAGAAAAUAGGGUUUCACUUUUGGUUUCAAGAUUGGAGCAAAAUUAGGGUUUUCGCGAUUUUUCGCCGGAUGAAUUUUCGGUACGGAGCAAGGAUCAAAUUUGGUGAUUAAAAGUGACUUUUAAGUGAGAAAUAAUAUGUGAUUAGGGGCAAUGAGAUAAGGUUAGUGAAUAGGAAGAAAAAACCCUAGUACAUGUGUUUUAAAGAAAAACGGUGCGAACCGACGUGUACCGUGUACUACCGAUUUAACCACCACUUGAUCACCACUUUCUUACCAUACAAGCUCAUUACUAAUUGAACAAAAUAUCUUCCCCCUCAUGGCUAUCUCUUGGCCGAAAAUUGGGACAAAAAAAUGCAAGGAAAGAAAAAAAAAUUUUGUGGUUGAACUUGAGCCAAGUGUUGGCAAGCUUAUGGCCUAAAUUCAUCCUAAUCCUCUUGUCUUUUUAACACCAUAAGAGCAGCCUUUCUUCUUCAUUUUUUUCUGCUCUUGGCCGAGAAUAGAGAGAGAGAAAGGGAGAGCAAGAGUUGCACCAUUUUCUUCUUGAGUUACACCAACCAAGUGAAGAAUCAAAAUUCUAAACCGAUUAAAGUGUGGGUUGUGAGUUGGGAAGCUUGUGGAACAAAAAAUUUCUAAAGGAGGUGAAGUAUCACUCUUUCAAGCUUUGUUUUUGAGGUAUAAAGUCUGACUUAUGGCUUUGAUUCUUUUAUUUUGGUUUAAGAUGCUAUCUAGUUCAUGUUUUGGCUUGAUUACAAGAUAUGCAAGUUGUUGUGAUGAAUUUUGGAUGAUAUAAGCAAGUUAGGGUUUGAUUAAUUUCUGCCUACACUUGUGGUAUAAUUGCACAUGUUGAAUAUAAGAUUAUAUAAGGGGCUUUGGUAGUGAUUAGAACAAGGAAUUUAAGAAAGUUUCAUUGAAGACCAAAAAUUCCAGAUUUCUGGAAAUUUCCUAAUUCAGUUCUGCCUGGUUUUAGUACUCAUAGUUAGAGAUAGAUUCAAGCUUGGCCUAAAACAUGAAAGUUGUAGAGAAUGGUAUUUUAUAGGUACCUACAAAAUUUCAUCUCAAUCGGAGCAACGUAGCCUGUGAAAGGAUGAAAAUACCCUCACUGUUCUAGGUUACAUUCCAGAGUUCCGCGUAGACAGCUUAGUCUAUUUGGUUGUGUUUAUUCACUAUAAUCCGUUUGGAUUCAGCCUUUUUCCAAAACAUUAAAGUUUGUACUCUGUUGUAGCUUUUCACUGCCACCAAGAACGCCUUAAACGGACCUUCGUAGACUGAGAUAUGGCCAUUUGAAUGCAGUACAGUUGAUUAGCCGACUAGUUGGAUUUUGGUUCUGUAAAUUGGGAAUUUGACUAGGUUGCAUUGGAAACUGGACUAAGUGAUCUUCAUGAAAAUUGUAGCCCUAUGUCUUAGAUUCGAAACGGUAUAAGUUGUGCCUCAAUCUGAUAAGCGUAGCCUUGGAUGUGUUCUUUCCGCAACCACACGUCAAAUCUGUCUUUUGCUAGGUUACAUUUUCGCACUUGUUAUCACUUUGAUUUUUGUUCUUAUGUUGUUAUGAGCCUAUGGAACGGUUAUUUACUUGACUCUAUGAUAUGUAUGACUUUGGGAUUGGCUGAGGAAAAAUAAUGAAGCCAUAAAUGGCUGGAAAAUUAAGUAAACACAAAGGGCAUGCUGCCCAAAUUUACGCUCGAGGACUAGAAAACUAUACUUGCAACUUGAGUAAAGGUUAAAAGUGAUUUUUAUCACUUGAACUAUCGAGGACCUUUGCUACUUUGUUUAUCGAGGGUUAUACGUUAGGACGUGGCCGAACUUGUACCCUUAAGAAAACGAUAUGAAUCACUAUGAAACCGUUUUACUUGCACUUUUGACUCAAAAGUCAUCUCCAAGCAAACAUGAUAUCAAAUUUUUCAGUUUGAAAAGCGAGCAACUAUUUCACCACCAUUUCUCAAGUGAAUUUCAAUUUCUUGAUUCUUAUUGAACAAAACGCUUAAGUUUCGAACCUUAAUUGAUUUUCAAGUUCUCAAGUUAAGUUUUAUCGCAGAUUUGGACUCCAAACCCGGAGUACCACCCAGACACGAGCACUAGAGGCACUAUUUUGGUGAGUGCUUCCAAAUAUCUGAUUGAACUCGAUAUUUGCCAUUUAUCUUUGAUCGACGUGAAUACGUGAUAUAUAUGUGAUUUGAUAGAGUAAGGGUGUACUUUAUCGCACUUGCCCUAUCCAAAUUUGUUCUUGUUUAUCGACUUUACUUGACUUGCUCUACAUGCACAUGAAUUAUAUUAUGCCUGGAAUUCCAGAAACCCUAUGGCUAGUUAAUCGAGUCGAGCCGGCAAGGGACUGGUCGAUUAGAUAACAAACCUUGGGUCACUAGUAAGGUCGAGUGGAGUGUUAUCUCCUCAGCAAUUCGGUAUACUCGAGUAUUACCACCCGUGUUUCGUGUGGCGUGCGGGCCCGGAGAAGGGGGUUGAUUGGUGGACGGAGACGGGCGAGAAGUGGAGUUUUCUUUCUGGACUAGUUAUUAAUUGAAAGUUGACGGAGUGUCAACUACUAUUCGAUCGAGCUGGGAUGGAGGCGAGACAUGAGCAACUGUAUCCUUACUUGUGAACAUGAUCCACACAUUUCUUGACUACUUGAAGUAUUAUCUCUUUACUUGAACUUGUUUGCUCGAUAUUUCACUAUUACAUUGUUAUUAUCUUGUUUGCUGGACAAUUUGAUAUCUGGAAUAUCACUGAGCUUUGGCUCACCCUAUUAGUUUUGUUUUCCUUACAGGGGUAUGAUUGACGCGUGAGACGUGUAAAGAUUAGCGUAGUCUAGUUAUUUUGAUUUUUGACUUGUACACGCGCUAUUCCUCGAAUAAAACAUUUUGUUAUGGGAUUGUAUAUACUUUGAACCGUUUGGGUAUAUUGAGACUUUGUAUCUUGAUUUGGUAUCAAUAUAAAUUAUAAAUUUGAAUUGCGAUGUUAUUUAUGGUACAUGAAUGUAUGCAUGUGAUUCGGGUGAGUGAGUCCUGGCGAGAGUUGGGCAGGCGACCUGUCGAACCCUCUAGUACGCCUUAGGGGGAGGUGGGGUCGUCACAGAACUCACCAUCCAAACUGGAUUCGAUAAAGGGUCAAGGGUCAUAGGAUACUGAGUAUCGUAUCGGCGCAUCUGCUCUAAUCAUACCUCAAACCAAAGUUAUGCAACAGUACAGUACAUUCAUUGGGCAUUCUAGGUCAUCAGGGACUUUUUUAGAAUUUAUGACCGAUGGGACUUUCAUCAUGACACUUCUGAACAACUUGCAAGAAGUACAAAUGAAGGUCAGAGCACCGAAAAUCAGGAAGUUAUACUGGAGUCAUAGAUUACUCAAGUCAAUACAGUAAUGCUAGACCAGCCAUGUCGAACACAAAGAAUAUAUAAACUCAAACGAUGUGGCACUCAUGAAAAACUUGGAGAAUAUUGAUGACAUACUAGUUAUGUAGUAUGGUUACAUAAAUUAGCUAAAUUAGAAUGGUACAUUUUCGUGUCAUUUUUCAUUUAUAUUCUUCUUUAAUUCAACAAAUGCUAGCAGAAUAACUCAAUCACGCAUGUUUUAUUUCUUAUUUCAUAUGGGUACUCUUUCAUACAAAACCAAAAACUUUCACAAAAUUACAAAGAAAUGCUCGAUUCCCAUUAAAAAAACAAUAUAUAAAAAGGGAUAAAACACACUGACCUCUUUAGAUGUUCAUACAAAAACUUAGGUUCAUUUCCUCAUCAUUUCAAAAUAACAUAACCGUACUAUUUAUUUUAUCCUUUACAUUUGUUAUUCAAAAUUUUUGUAUUGAACAUAAGAUAACAAACUUUUAAUAAUCUCCUAGAAAAAAGUGAAAAAGGAUAAUUUUAUUCAUGACAAGUGAAUAACAUAUUAAUAAUUUCACUUUAAUCUUUUAUUUUGAUUGAUGAAAGUAAAGAAGUAUUUCUUUACAAAAAUGUAUUAAAAUAAAAUGAGAUCUUUCCAACCGUAUAAUUAUCAAAUCUUUUACCAUCUAAGUGGUGUACAUUGUAGUUAUUUUUAUGCCAAGGAUUCUUUUGAAUACAAAUUUUUUGGGAGCUCGUAUUUGCUAACUGUGAACUCAUGUGAGUUUUAAAAAUAAAAAAUAUUUAAUUUCUUUGCUAACAAAUAUUUUAAAAUAAUAUUUCUCUGGGAAUUCACCUUUUGUAAAUGUUAGUGCCAAAAUAAAAAGGAUUGCAAGCACCAAUUUUUAAAUAAAAUUCUCAUAGAGUUCGCAUUUAUGAGAUGCUUGCAUUUAGUAAAUGCGAGCUCCAGAAUAAAAAAAUAUUUUUAAAUAAAACUUUCUUAGAUCUCACAUUUACCGAAUGCAUGUUCAAAAAUUAAAAUGAUUUUUAAAUUAUUUUUUUGGUGGCUCUCAUUUUCUAAAUGCUAUCUCAGUAAUAAAAAGCAUUUUUGAAAAUAAAAUUUUACUAGAGCUUGCAUUUAUCAAAUGCGAGUUCUAUGGAAUAAUUAUUAUUAAAAUCUAAUUUCUUGGGAGCUCGCAUUUAGUAAAUGCUAGCUCUAAAAUAAAAAUUAUUUUUCUCAAUAAAUGUUUUUCGAAGCUCGCAUUAUUAAAAAAUAUUUUUAAUAAUCUAAUUUCCUAGUAAAUGUGAGCUAUGAAAUAAAAUUAUUUUCUCAAUAAAAUUUUUCUAGAGCUUGCAUUUAAUUUCUCAAUAAAUGUGAGCUCUACCAAAAAAAGUAAUUUUAAAAAUCCAAUUUCUUAAGAGCUCGCAUUUACUAAAUUCAAUCUCUGGAAUAAUUUUUUUUUUGUUUUCAAGCUCACAUAAUUUUUCUAAGUUUCCGAUCUCUGGAACGAAUGCGUGCUCCAAUACAAAAAAUAUGUUUUUAAGGCCAUUUCUAAAUGUGAACAUCAGUAGUCGGAAUUCCACUCCAAGAUUACCCCUUUUGCACAAUUUUUUUUAAAUUUAUCACAAAAAUGGAAAUUUCUACUAUUAACUAUAGGUAGGAGUAUUUUGGGUUUGGGGUGACCACCAGCAUAUGAGUUUCAUCUUGUGGCCCUUUGCAACUAAUGGUCAACAGUCAUACUUUACAAUCUACACUAUUACAUAAUUUUCAACAUCUAUUUGUGUUAAUUUUUUGCCAAAUAAUCUUCUGUUCAUCAAAUAUUCCCAAACUAAUACAAUUAAAAACUUUAUUCCCUUUCUAGUGUAUAUAUUGCAAUGUACACGUUCAGAAUGAGAAAAGUAAUCCAAAAUCUUUUAUUUUCCAUUUUUGAUGAGGAUCCCUCCCCAUUACAUUAAUCAUUCUACUUCUACUCUCAUUCUUUUAAUUUUUAAUGAAUGAAUAACAAAGACGAUUUAUUUUUUCUCAGAACCAAAUGGCUACUCUUUCAAAGAUCAAUAGUCGACAAGCCUUGCCUCUUAUAUUAUAUUGUCAAGAUGAAAUUCUUAUUCUAGUAAUUAUUGUUUGUGAAUGCAAGAGAUUUUUCUUCACUUCUUUUCAUUUUUGACAUGGAAUUUUUGUUAUGUCAAAUUCAACUUUGAUCACUUUUUUGUCCAGAAUUUAUGUGCACGUGUUCUAAUAUAAAAUAUUGCAAAAUACUGAAAUGAAUAAAAUCAGAACUUUAUCAUAAAUAUAAUUACAAAUAAAGAAAGAAAGGACUUGCAAUAUAAUAGUUAAGAAGAUUCUAAGAAACAAAAUGGUAGUCGAAAACAAUAGUACCAUUGUUGGUAUUUUGGAUAUUUCAAACAAAAUUUUUGCGCAUGGCCAUUUUCCUUUAGUUUCGAAAUCUACGUGGCAAUAAAUAGAUUAACACAAGAAUAGAAUUUGAAACAAUAUUAGUUUGGGAUUAUUUUUUGAGAAUAUUUACUACUAGAUUAAAGCUUUCCUUUCAUGUUAUUCUGUUUGACAAUCAGGAUAACUAGAUGACAAUAAUAAUAUUAUUAUGAGAAUAAAAUUUGAAAGUGAAUAACAUUGGGAAUAUUUUUAAGAAAUAGAGUUUUUUUGGUGGAAAAAUCCUAUUUCUACACCAUGUAACAAAAUCAGUGAUGGCUUUGGUCAAUAAACAGUAUCUGUCAACAUACAAUAUCAAAGAAACUUGUAGACAAAUCAAUUUAUAACCAAUCUGGCACUUUACAAUGAGAUACCGCAGUACUAAAGUUCACGCUCCUUAAUGUUAAAUUCAAGUUUGAACAAAUUCUAAUUUAAAUAGCGGUAUUAUGCUAUUGUAGACAUCACAUCCCUCCAUUCUAAAUUCAAAUCUUAUAUUAAAUUUAACAUUAGUAAUAUAAGUCAUCAAUACUAAUGAUACAAUCAUUAGUCUAGUACGGAUUUAGAAAGGAAAGGCGUGAAUUUAAUCUCUUCCUCAAUUAUAUUCAUUAUAAUUGAUUAAUAUUAAAGUGGUAUUCAAGGGGUUUAAUCUUGCAUAAAACAAUGAUACCCCUUUAAUACACGUAGACCACAUAAAUUUACCAUUUAAUUUUAAAAGUUUUCCUUUCUUUUCUUUAUUUUUCUUUUCUUGUUGACAAGUUUUCUUAAGGACUUGCAAAAUGUCAAGGUCCGUUAUUAGGAAAUUUAAGUUUUUUUUUUCAGAGACGAUAACUGUUGUAUAACCUAAUCUAUCCUAUACUAAGGGGUGGGGACGGACCUAAGGAGGUUCAGAGAUAACUCGAAGGGGACUGAACCACCACCGGACCACAUGGGUGCACUACACACGCCUGAAUUUUUUUAAGCAACGCCACUUAAAUGUGGCAAUCAGUGGGAGGCAAAUCCUUGCCUUCCAUCCCACCAAACUUUAAUACUUUGAUGGUAGCCACCAACCCAAAGACAGGUAGUUUUAUUAAAAAAUUUAAGCGAAAGCGACUAUUCGUAUUUAAAGAAUCACUUUCAUAAAAUAUUUUUUUUGGUGUCCUUGAGAUGCUAAUGAAUAGGGUUUCCUAGCAGUGUCUCUUCUCCAUUGUACAAUUAACUUUUUCUCUACUCAAUACUCUAACCACAAUUUCUCAUGCUUUUCUCCCGUUUUGUUUUCCCCCUCCCUUUAAAUCCUCAUAAUUUUGAAGUGUUUCCAUCAUUUUCGUAGUUUCACACCGCCAAAAUAGUUGUCUUUUAUAAGUGUUUCCAUCAUUUUCGUAGUUCAGAUCGUUAAAAUACUUUUGCCUUUAGAUGGUAUUUAAGUGCAAUUGUCAGAAGCAUUGAGGGAGGUAUCUGAAAUUAUCCCAAUGAUUAAAGACUGUCAUGCAGAGACAAAGUUGUGUCUUUGGGAAUCAGAAGAAAAUAUGAAAGCUUUAUAGUAAUGAUCACUAAUCAGAAGCUUUAGAUGUUGAUGAACCAAAGACACCAAUUUCAACUUCAGUUAUCUCAUCAGGCCUGAUAAUUCGACCCUUGAGGAAAUUGUAGUACCAGUCUGCAGAGAGCUUUCGGUAUCUUCCCAAUUGCUUGUCAUCCAAAUCCACGUAGUACAGGCCACUGUUGGCAAAGUGGCAAAUAACAACGUUAGCAAUUGUAAUUUAGAUUGCUUGAGUCGUGCUAAAUAGCACUGUCCUAAGAAACUAUUUCAGGGUUUUGAAAUGUCUCCUCAGGAUUAAACAAGCCUUCCUCUUGUCGUUUGGCAAGAAGGAUUAGAACCAGCAAAUCUUUUAAAACCAGCAGUAGACGAAGAAAAGAAAAAGAAUAAAGAGAUGAGAUGUGGUGGAGGAACAUUGGAAGUCUAGUGUUCCGUCUGUCACAAUGGCCUUGGUAGUGCUUGGUAUUUAUAGGCUUGAGAAGUGUACGUCAGAUGCAGGGAAACUUUAUCCAUUAAGUGGUUGGGAAAAUCUUGGGCUAACUGUUGAAGUCAACAACCAGCUAAGGAAACGUGCUUGGGUUUGGAGAUAAGAUAUGAUUUUUCACUAAUAAAGGAAUCUGCUGGAGUCUUGCAAAAAAUUAGGAAACGUGGAAAAAGUUGAUAGCUACAAAGAAGACUCUCAAUCAAGUCUUCUGACGUUGCUAACAGCUAAUAGGAUAUUUAUUGGCUUUAUCCCUUGAAGCUUGCAACGGAAACAAGAAAACUCAUGAAACCAAUCAGGAGAUAACUUUUGAAAGAGUCAAACUUCUAAUCAACCAAUAAUUCGUUUGAUGAAAAUCUGAUUCACUUUACUAUGCACAUAGAACAAAGAAAAACGUGGAAAAAAUCUUUUGAAAUAUUAUUUACAACAAUCUCCCACCUAUUUCAAAAGAUUUUUGGAUAAGAAAUAAGAAAAGAAUCUGCUGGAUUUGUCUUGGGUUUAAUGCAAUUAGUUUGGUGUCUUUUAGACUAUGAACCAAACUUAAAUUAAUAAGACAUGAUUUACAGAUUUGUUGGAGAAAUGUGAAUUUCUAUGAACCAACAAUUCUUGCUAUAUAACAGCGGUCUUAUCAAUCACAUUGUACCCCAUAAUUUGCUGUUCAUUGUGGUUUUGCGCCUUUAGGCCAUGCGCCUGCCUGGGUAUUCAUGAGAGUUCUAAAGAUUUGGCCAAAAAAUCUUAUAGGAGCGGCCCCACUCCACUCUCAUAUAGGUGAAUUUAUCAAGUGUAUACUGCUAUAGAUACACCUCCCUAAAGGGAUAUAAAUUCAUGAAGAGUUUUAAACUCAGCCUCACAACUACUAGCAGUCAAAGCACUUAUCUCAGUAGGGAAUAUAAUUUUUAGUGCUUCAUAGUCAAUAUUGAUUUGUUAUUACCCAUAUGAACCUACUUCAUGGGAUCACCAAUCACAUAGGUUGGAUUACCAUCUCUAUUGACAAUCGUUGGCUUAAGUCCCAUUUCUUUUGUAGUUUGAAGAAUCAAUUUUCUUCCUACAGGUUUAGUCAGAGGAUUGGCCAAAUUCAACUCUGACUUCACAAAAUCAAUGAAAAUAAUUCCAUCUUUAAGCAGCUGCUUUACGACAUCAUGUCUUAAUCUCAUGUGUUGACUUUUACAAUUAUAACAUUUAUUUUUUGCAAUAGCAAUAGCCGCUUGACAAUCACAGUGUAUAGACACGGGAGGCAACAUAUCCUUAAUUGGUGGAAUAUUGGUUAAGAAAUUUCUUAACCAAUCUGCCUCAGAACCAAUCAACUCCAGAGCUAUGAACUCCGAUUCCAUAGUUGACCGAGCAAUAAUUGUCUGUCUAGCUGACUUCCAUGCUACUGCACCACCACCAAGGGUGAACACAUAUCCACUAAUGGAUUUUGUAUCAUUUGAAUCAGAGAUCCAAUUAGCAUCACUGUAACCCUCUAAUACAGCGGGAAAUCCACUAUACAGGAUACCAAAAUUCAUGGUACCUCUCAAAUAUUUCAUUAGUCUGACUAAUGCAAACCAAUGCUCACGAUUGGGAUUGUGAGUAUAUCUACUCAGUCUACAUACAGUAUAAGCUAUAUCCGGUCUAGUGAAAUUUAUCAGACGCAUUAGACUCCCAAUUAUUUGAGCAUAUUUAGACUGAGGAAUUGGGUUACCAUUAUUUUUCUUUAAUUGAGUGUUAGCGUCAUAAAGAGUACUCACAGGUGUCACAUCAUAAUUUUCAAAAUUCCUAAGAAGUCUUUCUGUAUAAUGUUCUUGUGACAAUAUUAUACCAUCACAUUUCCUUAUGAUUUUAACACCCAAUAUCAUUUUGGUUUCACCCAAAUUUUUCAUAUCAAAAGUAGAAGACAAAAAAUAUUUAGUACUAUUUACAAUACUUAGACUGGUACCAAAUAUAAGCAUGUCAUCUACAUACAAACUGAUUAUCACAUAUUGAUCAUUUAUAACUUUGAUAUAUACACAUUUAUCCACUUCUACAGAUGAGAAUCCAUCUUUCAUCAAUAUUUGAUCAAAUUUCAUAUACCACUGUUUAGGAGCUUGUUUUAGGCCAUAAAGAGAUUUAAUUAGUUAACAAACUUUAUUUUCUUGUCCAGAUACAAUAUAUCCCUCAAGUUGAAACAUAUAAAUUUCUUCUUCUAAAUCACCAUUUAAAAAGGUUAUUUUGACAUCCAUUUGAUGAAUAAUAAGUUUAUGGAUAGAAGCUAAAGCAAAUAAAACUCGAAUAGACAUAAUUCUUGUUACUGGUGCAAAUGUGUCAAAAUAGUCAAUAUUUUGUUUUUGAGAAAAUUCUUUUGCUACUAAACGAGCUUUGUACUUUUCUAUAGAGCCAUCAAAGUUCUAUUUUCUUUUAAAAAUCCAUUUGCAACCAAUAGGUUUUGCACCAGGAGGUAAGUCCACCAAAAUUCAAGUUUUAUUUGACAAGAUAGAAUCAAUUUCAGAUUUAAUUGCUUCUUUCCAAAAUUUACAAUCAGGGGAAGAAAUAGCAUCGGAGUAUGUUAAAGGAUCAUUAUUAACAAGAAAAGUUUGAAAAUCAUUUCCAUAAGAAAAUUCUUUUCUUGGCCUUUUACUCCUUAAUUCCUCAUUUGAAAUUAUUUCUCUAUUUAUUUCAACAGGUGUAUGAGAAAUUUUACUAGACAAUGGAAAAAUAUGUUCAAAGAAUUCAACAUUCUUUGUCUUAAUAAUUAUAUUACAAUCAAGCACAUCACUUUUUAAAAUAAGAAAUCUAUAUGCAACACUAUGUUCAGCAUAUCCAAUAAACAUACAAUCAGAAGUUUUAGAACCUAAUUUUCUUUUCUUAGGUUCAGGCAACAAUACUUUAGUAAGACAUCCCCAUACUUUUAAAUAUUUCAAAUUUGGUUUAUAACUUUUCCAUAACUCAUAAGGAGUUUUGCCAGUUUUCUUAUGAGGUAUCCUUUUUUGUAAGUGACAUGCAGAUAAAAUAGCUUCUCCCCAUAAAUUAUCAGGAGCAUGAGAGCUAACUAACAUAGAAUUCAUCAUUUCUUUUAAUGUUCAAUUUUUCCUUUCAGCUACCCCAUUAGAUUCUGGUGAGUAAGGUGGUGUUAUUUCAUGUAUAAUGCCUUCACGUUCACAGAAAUUAUCUAAGGCUAAAUAUUCACCUCCUCUAUCCGAUCUAAUUCUUUUUAUUCUUUUAUUAAGUUGAUUUUCUACUUCAGUCUUGUAGGAUAAAAGAACAUUAUGAGUAUCAUCUUUAUUUCUAAGUAGAUAAAGCUUAGUGUAUCUGGAGUAAUCAUCCAUAAAAGUAACAUAAUAUUUUUUCCCACCUCUAGUCAUAAUUUGUUUUAAGUCACCUAAAUCUCUAUGAAUUAAACUUAACAGUUCAAUUUCUCUUUGGACAGAUACCCAACUUCUCUUUGUUAAUUUUGUUUCUGCACAUAUCUCACAUUUAUCCAUUUUAUCAUUAACACCGGAAAUCAGGCCACAAGAUUGCAUUUUCUUUAUAUAACUCAUAUUAACAUGUCCUAAUCUUCCAUGCCAUAAAGAAGUUGAAUCAAUAAUAUAAGCAGAAGAAGAAGCAUUCUCAUUGAUCACAUUGGAAAUGUUAAGUACAAAGAGUUCCUGAUUACAAUAGCUCUUACCCACAAAUACAUUAUUUUUUGUCAUUAUAAUCUUUCCAGAUUCAAAUGACAUUUUCACUCCAACUUUUCCUAGCAAUGCUACGGAAACCAGAUUUGCCCGAAUAUUGGGCACAUGCAGUACAUCAUUGAGAGCCAAAGUUUUUCCUGAAGUGAGUUUCAAGAAUACUUUGCCCUUACCCAGAACAUUAGCAGUUCGUGAGUAACCAAGGUAGACUACUUCCUCAUUAUCCCCUAUAGGAGUAUAGGAGGAAAAUGCUUCUCGAUUUGCACAUAUGUGCCGAGUAGCCCCAGAAUCUACCACCCACUCUUUAACAUUGGCUGCAAUGUUCACUUGAGAGAUGACAGCAGCAAUUAUAUCAUCUCCUUCGGUUAAGUGCACCUUAGGAGGAUUACCAUUUGCUUUGUCAUCUUUAUUAAGUCUACAUUGGACUGCAUAAUGUCCUGGUUUUUCACAAUAAAAGCAAUUGCCUUUCUUCUUCUUAAAGUUGGGAUUGUUAGGCUUGAAAUUAAAAUUUUUGGACUUGUAAUUCUGGGAUUUAUUGGCGUACCUUUUAUUAUUGCUUUGCACUAGAUUGGCUUUGUAAGCCAUCUCCUUUGCCUUGGUAGCUCUCGAUUCCUUUUUGUUUGAAUCCUCAAUGAGGAUGUGCUUCACGAGCUCAUCCAUGGUAUAAUUUUUCUCAUUGUAUUUUAAGUUGUUUUUAUAGUCGGCCCAUGACUCCGGUAGCUUUUCAAUCAGCAUGCCUGCAGUGAAUUUCUCAGGUAGAUUGAUGUCUUCAUUUUUCAAGUCCUCUAGCAGCAUUUGAUACUCGGUGAUUUGAAUUUUGAUCUCCUUGUCAUCAGUCAUUUGCCAUUGGGUGUAUUUUCCUUCGAUGAAUUUUUGCUUGAUUGCAUCUUCGGCAGUAAACUUUGUUACCAAGGCUUCCCAAAUUGCCUUGGCUUCUUUGCUGCUAUAGUAGACAUCAAAUAAUUCAUUAGAGAGUGUUUGAAGAAUAGUGUGUCGACAUACCUUAUUGGGAUAUUGCCAUGAUUCUUGAGUCUUGGCAUCCGUAGUUGCAGAAGGUUGAGAUUCAAUGAGCGCAUAAGCUACUCUAUGGAUGUCAAGUAGAGAGUGCACACGUUCUUGCCAUCUUUCAGAAUUUUCAUUGGCGAAAAUUUCGAUUUUAGAUAUAUCUAGAAAGGGCUUGGCAAAUGGUAGUGCCACUGCAACAAUUGCUGAUGAAGGCUGUGGGGCGCUAACAUUGUCAGAUGCCAUAGUUUCUUAGAUUGUUGGCAAAGUGGCAAAUAACAACGUUAGCAAUUGUAAUUUAGAUUGCUUGAGUCGUGCUAAAUAGCACUGUCCUAAGAAACUAUUUCAGGGUUUUGAAAUGUCUCCCCAGGAUUAAACAAGCCUUCCUCUUGUCGUCUGGCAAGAAGGAUUAGAACCAGCAAAUCUUUUAAAACCAGUAGUAGAAGAAGAAAAAAAAAGAAUAAAGAGAUGAGAUGGAGUGGAAGAAUAUUGGAAGUCUAGUGUUCCGUCUGUCACAAUGGCCUUGGUAGUGCUUGGUAUUUAUAGGCUUGAGAAGUGUACGUUAGAUGUAGGGAAACUUUUUCCAUUAAGUGGUUGGGAAAAUCUUGGGCUAACUGUUGAAGUCAACAACCAGUUAAGGAAACGUGCUUGGGUUUGGAGAUAAGAUAUGAUUUUCCACUAACAAAGGAAUCUGCUAGAGUCUUGCAAAAAAUUAGGAAACGUGGAAAAAGUUGAUAGCUACAGAGAAGACUCUCAAUCAAGUCUUCUGACGUUGCUAACAGCUAAUAGGAUAUUUAUUGGCUUUAUCCCUUGAAGCUUGCAACGGAAACAAGAAAACUUAUGAAACCAAUCAGGAGAUAACUUUUGAAAGAGUCAAACUUCUGAUCAACCAAUAAUUCGUUUGAUGAAAAUUUGAUUCAUUUUACUAUGCACAUAGAACAAAGAAAAACGUGGAAAAAAUCUUUUGAAAUAUUAUUUACAACAGCCACUGCCUGUCUCAUAGCCACUGAAUACUCUAGACCAUCUAAGAAAGACCACUGGAAGUACCAUUUUGUGUUUGACCCAUUUCUUCAUCAAUUAUUUCAAGAUGAAAGACCAGAACAAGUCAGAAAGGUUGACAUCCAAGAGUCAUUUCAGAAAUACUUGUAAUGUGAUACUAUAAACUUAUGUGGUAGAGUCUAAAACAUUAGAUUAAAUAGAACAUGCCUUGCUGCAUAGCUUUAAUGACCAUUUUUUGCUGAAUAAGUUUCAAAUUGUUGUUGAAGAACAUAAAAGGUUAAACCAAGGGGAGAUAUGUGAAAAUUCACUCAUGAUAAUAGCAGUAAUAGAUAGUGACAUGCUUACUUUAUAGCCUCAAGCAAGGUCCCGAUAUAUGAAUGCAGAUAUUUCACCCUUGAUAUGUCGUAUAGUGUUCCAUUACGCUCAGUUGUUUGACCUGUAAAAAACAGUCAUGCAAUGAGAUUCUAAAACUUUGUGCGAUUGUAUUGAACAAGAAAACAGAAAAAAGAGACAUGAUCUAGAUAUAGGUGCAAACAUUUUCCGAUGAUAACUAGUCCAGAUGAAAAAUACAAUGGUAGCAGAGUACAAACAGCCAAAAAAUUUGCAUUAGUACAAAAAGCAUCCCUACUAAUUCAGCUCAAAUGGUUACACUUUCAUUUUUGGUGCCUGAAUCUUCCUUAUAAAGGUACAAUCAUGCCUAUAUAUUCCAUGAAAAGGAACAAAUCCCAGAGUAAACGAUACUUCUCUAGCAAUAUAUUCUUAAUGGUGGUUUCAUUAGGUUGGCAGAUUGUGGUCAAAAUGAUUUGUCUUGAUUUAUCUUUCUUGGUAAAAUAAUACAUGUAGUACCAAUUAUGUCUAUGAGUUGAACAUUUUGCAGAAUCAGUCGUUAGUACUGAAACAUUUAAUACAAAAUGAUUAUAAAAGGUACAGGUUGACACAUCCAAGCCAAGGCAGAGAGAAAGAGAGAGUGAAAGAACCAUUUUCAUGGAUAUAAGUAGGUGGAUUGCCAUAAGCUGUCUUGAGAUAUUCCAAAAUUCCAGAUAGACUGGAUGAUGGAUCAUCUUGCUAUGCCAGCAGGAUGGUUAUCAACCACAUGAACACAAAAUCAUGAAAUUAAAUUCUUAACACCGACCUGAUUUUGGGGUGCAUCUUCUGGCUCAACUAAAGAAGCAGAAAACAGAUUCACCAAUUAGUAUAAUUCAAUCACAAAAUCUACGGGGAAACAAAAGCCAUCAUAGAGACACAGACUAUUGAACAGGAAGAAGCACAAAGAAAACUGAAAUUAAACCAAGCUUGUGCACAAGUUCUCAGAGAUCUGACAAAUAGAGCUUUACAAAAGGAUGUGAGUAGUUGAUUCAGUCAGCAAGAAAUGAGUACAGUCGAAACUCAGAAUAGAUGGGGACACGUACGGAAGAAGCUUGCUGCCAUAUCAGCAGUUAUGUCCCUAACAUUCAUCUCAAAGUUGCUAGGAUUGUCCUUGACAUAGACUAUGUUAUAAUGGUUUAGCCCUAUAAAGUCAAAAGAGCCCUUAAUUAGCUUAGACUCACGUGGAGUAAGAACUGGUAUCUUUGAACCAGCAUUCUUCUUUAUGAUGUCUGGAUGGUCUCCAAACACCAUUGGAUGCAUAAACCUGCAGUCAAAAUGUGGACAAAUGAUAAAAGCAAGCUUAUCUUUUGCUUCAAGCUCCAAAGGGAAGAAAUCAUCUUGCUACUUGCUAGAGAUGAUGAAAUGCAUAAUGAAGGCAUUUAUCCACCUAAGGGUCAUAACUUACCAACCAAUAUUGACAGGUUAUCGAUACCUGUGCAAUAAUAAAAAUAAACCUAAUUGUCAAUUAAAAUAAUUAAAACCCGCUUCUAAGUACUGGAGUAGGGACUCUAGGUGUGCAAUGCAUUACUUGAUUCACCCUAUUCCCAAAGAGUUUGCUUAAUCCAAUAUACCAAAAUGGGAUUACUUAUUCACAAGGAAUUAUUGAUUUGUAUAAAGGACAACUAAGGUCGUUUCCUCAGGGACUGGGGAUAUUUGUCUCUUUUAAAAUCCAAUUAACAUGGGAGGUGAUUUUGUAGAAAAGAUGACAAGUAGAACAGUUCAAAUAAAAGCAAAUAACCAACUAAAAAUUAAAUGACGAUUUACUAAAAUCAGAUUAAUAGUAACCAAAGAUCUAGCCAAGAAAUAACUUCAACAAUGGUUCACCUAAUUAAUCAUCAAUGCAAAGGUAAUUCUAAUUAUUUACUAAUAAAUAGGUUAUAACUGCCAAACAAGUGAUGACAGUCAACCCCUCCUUACUGUGUUGGUGAUUAAGGUAUGCCCGUUAAUCACUGCUCUAAUUGAGAAAUAAUUCUAAGUACGCCCGUAAGAUUUAAUUUCCUCAAUUGCCUUAUGUAUUAGAGGAGCUCUAUUCUAAUCAAAUAACGCACUACCAGGGUUAUUUUAGAUUAGCCUGCGUAUUCCCUGACACAAAGCCAAUCAUACCAGUUGUCACUAUUGCAGGACAAUUAACCAUUAUGGAUUUAAUGUCCCAAUUGAUAAUAGAUUACUAAAUCAAUUAAUUAUCCGGAUCUAGGAUAAUCAAUUAAUUGAACAACCAUAAGCACUGUAAUCAGAGAAUAUGCAAAUACCAGCAAAUAAGAGAAAUAAGUAAAAUUGAUUCGGUCUCACAAUUUUUAGAUAAACCACAGCCUUCAUUGUUUCUUGACUAGAAAAAGGGAUUUAGUUCAUUCCUGAUGAGAAAAAUCCAUACAAAGUUGUAUAAACAGUUGCGGCCAUUGCCUCCAAUUGAGAAUGAAUCAAUUCAUUGGAAUCAGGAAGAAAAGCAAGCUACAGAGAGUGAUUGCUUGUUUUCACUUUAUCUUGACAUACGAAGGGAGAAAAGCCACUAAAGGACGAAAAGAAAAGUCAAAAAGUAGUAACUACAGUCUUCCCAAUUUUCUGCUAUCUAAUUCCUAUCCAAUUCUUGCUAUGCGGCCAGCCCUACUCCCAAAAGUCUAAAGUCCUAAUCAAAUUUUGACUCCCACUUAUUAGUAAGUUUCCUUUCUUUGCUGAAACUACUCAAAUAACUAACUAACGGAAUAAUUGCAGCUCCCAUGUUGCAUUUCCAAGCACACGUAGGUGUCGCACGUUUUUCCCGAACCUUUUGGAUAUGUGAAGACCUGAGUUGACGUGGCCACGCCAAGCAGUAUUUGUAGUACGAAAUUUGCGCCUAUUUAUGAUAUUUUGCUCCAGCUCCCUGCAAUAAACACAAAUGCCACAAAUGAGUAGAAUCUGACAAUUAAUUCACAUUUGGUAAUGUAAUAGGGAAAAUUAAUUAUAAAAUAAAUAGCAAAAUGGCGACCUAUCAGUUCCCCCCGCACCUAAAUCAUGAUUGUUUUCAUGCAUGAGAACAACGAACAAACACCAAUAUCCGACAAUGGCUAUUACUCCAUCUACCUUAUUGCCAAGACACCAUGAAAAUACAUAUCAAGCCUCAAUGGUCAAGAUUCAAGAAACAUCACCCCGAUUAGCUUCUAAAUCGUAGACUCCCUUAAUUUAAGGCAAACUAAUCUAAAAAAGGAAUGGUCGAUCGACAUUUUUCAGCAAAUAGUCCAACUAUUAACUAAAAUCUCAAUAUUAAAUUCACAAAUAGGCAAAUUGACUUUAAUCACAUAUUGACACAACCUUCACCUUUUUAUCACGCUUUUCUAUUUUUCUCUUUUUUUGUUCAAUAGUAAUAAUAGAAUUAGUCUCUAGCCAUUAGAGUCUUUUGACGCGAACUUCAAUAUUUGUCAGAUGAAGAAGCUCAGUUACUCAACUCCUAUCGCUAUAUGACUACGUACUCAUAGAAAUUACUACUUUUUGAUGCAAGAAUCGACACUUUGGGUGAAGAUCCCUGAUUACUCAGUUAUAACAACUAGCAGAGUACAGUCAAUUUUUAUUCACAGCGAGGCAACACAAUAACUCAAAAUAACACAAAAAAAGUAGCAGCUAGCCUCAUUUCAUCAAACAUGGAGAACUAAAGUUAAUAAUUGGACCAACUCAAAUCAAAAUGCCAACAAUUAUUCCCUAUACCUAGAAAAGUUAACCAAAAAUUACAAGAGUCAUACAAUCAUCGAUAUUCACCAAAGAGAUGUUUUUGGGUUCAAUCAAAUUAACUUGAUAUACUUUUAUUAAUAAAACUUGGCAAUAGCAGAAUUAGAGUCAACAAUCUAACAUCAAAUCUUGGUAGUCAUAGAAGAGUGGAACACUAAAAAAAAGAAAAAUAAAAAAAAAUAGACAAAUAACAAACUAAAAAUAAAGGAAAAACAACUAACAGCUAAAAACUAGAAAUACUAGUACCACAGCUGUCCCCCUCGCACCUAAAUCCUACAUUGUUCUCAAUGGAGGAAAUAAAGCAAAUAAAGUAUAGAGGACAACGAAACUUCCCUCACGGGCAGCUACGGGAUAGGUGGGAACGGUGGAGUGAACCCGAUGUGGUGGAAGUAUGCAGCUAGGUUCUGAGACAUUUGAGCUACAUGAGUCGUGAUGUUCGUCACUUUGUCAUCCAUGUGGUGAACUUGAGCUCGUAAGUGGGGCCAUUCAGCAUCAGAGGCCAUCGGCAGGGGAGGCGCAGAGGAAGAAGGGCCAGCAGUGUCAUUUGCCGAUCCAGGAGCUGAAGAAGACCCAACUCGGGUAGAAGGGCGUCAACCAGGAGCCCGAAUGGGUCCCAGGAGGGUAAAUUGGUAGAAACUAUAGACGUAUUCGAGAACUCCCAUCCUCUCUAAACAUUCCGCAUUCAAAUAUUCCAUUUCCAAUACCUAAUGGAGGUCGUGGUCUUGAAGAUUAAGAACCCCCAACUGUAUUGUUAGGUGUGUGAUGUAGGACUCGAGGAUCAAGGAUUUGUUCUUUUUUGUUAAAAUGAUCUUAAACUGUGCUGCCAACCAACACCUCAAGUUGGCUUUGAUAUUAUUCUUCAUACACUAGAUGAAGAAGAACUCGGGUCGAGAGAGUAUACCGAAGCUAUCCUUGCGACCCAAGUAACUGUAGGCCAAGAGUCGCUGAACAUACCGGGCACUAGGGUCCUUCAGAUAAAAGCUCCUAGAUCUAGACGGGUCAUAGUGGUCCUCGUCGAGUGACAUAUCCUUCCAAAUAUCGGGGUAGUAAAAGAAAAAGGACUCAACAAAGUCAUAAGCACUCUCAGCGUACUCCCUAGUUUCAGCAUAAUCCCGAGUAAUAAAUUCGAAUGCCAAAUUAAACUGAGUAAUGGAGAAAUGAAACUCUUGACCCAUUAACCAAAAGUGAAUGACAUUUGGGGUAUCUACAGUAUACCCCGUGGGCAACUCAAAUUCAAAAGUGGAGUAAAACUCCCUAGUCAACUCGACAAAGGUGGGAUGGAAGAUAUUGAGGUAAAGGCACCAUCCAAUGGAGUUAAACAUGCAUUCAACCUCCUCCUAGAUACCCAAAGCACCCAUAGUUAUUUCGUUAGAACAUUUACACGAGAUGAUACGCUGCUCACAAACCUUAGUGUAUCUCUGCUGAUCGACAAGUUUUUGAAGUUUAAACACCCCCUAAAGUGAGCAAGGGCAUCCACAUGAGCACCCCUACCCCUACCUAGACGGGUUCGGACACCAGAAGAGGAAAGCUGGUUGUUAGGUUCAUUCAUCGAAAUGGUGGUUGGGGUGGGGGCUAAGGUUGAGAGGCUCUAGACCUAGAAGAGGGUUUUGGUCUCACCAUAGUUGCGAGCAGUCAACUCAAUCAACAAAAAAUAGAAGUACCAACAAAUAUAGAAACCCGCACUCCAGAUGAGGUAACAGUGGUCAAAGCAACAGGCACUCAAACAGCAUAGAGUAUUGUUCAAUUUGUCUAAGUAAUGGCUCAAUGAAUAUCCCAAACAAAUCAACAUGCAGUUGAUACGCAGAUGACCCCAACAAAGCAAUUAAGUUCAACCAAUGUCAACAAGCAAAUCAACUGUCAGAGAUGUCUCCCAUCAAUUCAAUUAAAUUCCACCAACUUCAACAAGUAAAUCAAGCGUCAUAGGACUCCCAAUGUAGUAGUCAAAUGCAGAAGCUAUGUGACCCAAAAUGUCAACAAAUGCUGCAAUGAAAUUUAGCAAUUAAAAGCAACAGACAUAGUACUCCCCACACUUAACUUGAAUGCAAUCAACAACUAAGGCAGCAAAACAACCCCCAAAGCAGUGCAAAUAGCAAUCCUGGCAAUUCAAUACAAAGAGUCGGCAAAAGAAUCUCAAUGCGGCUUGCGACAGGUGGCGUGCACAGAGGGUGGCGGACAGCAGGGGGCGAUGCUCGUUUGGUGCAGCGACGGCUGUGCGAUCGCGGAGAGGGAGAAAGGGGUAGCGGGGUGGCGUCCGUGCGGCCCGGUAACGGCAAAAUCGAUGGCGGCGACGGCGUCGUUCGUCAAUUACAAAGAGGGGCGGCGCACUGAUGGGUUUCGGUUGAAAGAGAGGAAGAGACAGGGGAGAAAAAAGAAAGAAAAAAGAAAGAAGGGAAGAAAGAAAGAAAAGAAAGAAGAAGGGAAGAAAAGAAAGAAGAAAAAGAAAAAUAAAAUAGUUUGUGGUUUUGCUUUUUUUUUGUUCUUUUCUUUCAAAUUUAAAUUUUAAAUUUUGAACUUGGAAAAUCAAAAGUUACGGCUAAAUGGAAAAUUUUUCUUUUAAUUUUUAAUUUUUUAAUUUUAUUAUUAUUUUUUGUUAUAUUAUUAACAAAAUUUAUUUUCGAAAUUCAAAAUUUGAGAUUAAAAGGAAAUCAAAAUAUUUUUUUUUUGCGGUUCGAAUAUAUACCCUUUCCACAAACAUGAUGCGGACACAUCAACAAGGUAAAAACCUUUUUGACGAAGGAGUUAAGAUUUGAAAGUUGUCACGUGCCUUGUUGACGUGGGCACAUCAUGAGGGUGAGAACCCUUCUGAUGACAACGUGGAGAAUUAUGCAUUACCACACGCCUAGUUGACGCGGGUGCGCCAUGACGGCCAGAAUCCUUCUGGAAUCGAAGGAAAAGCUAUCCAAGUGAUUCGACGCGGACACGUCAUGAGGGUGAGAACCCUUCUGACCAAGCACCAGGAAGUUGCACCUUACCAUGCUCCCAGUUAACGCGGGCACGUCAGGUUAAAGAGAUACCUACUAAAUAUCAAAAGGAAAAUUUAAACCAGAAAUCUGUCAAACUCUAUGAAAACAUAUUUAAACUAUCACACAAAACUGAAUAAACAACUAAAUGACAUUGGAUUGCCUCCCAACAAGCGUCUAUCUUUAAUAUCUUUGGAUAGACAUAGUUAGGUGUCAUUAAUUGGGACAAAUCGGUGCAUCUAAUCGUAUCAUCUCCACAUUUUCACUUGGAAAGCCCUCGUAAUAAUGUUUGAGAUGGUGUUCAUUCACCACAUACUUAUUGUCCGUCUUAGUACUCUAGAUUUUAACUACACCAUAGGAAAAGAUGUGAAUAACUAUAAAAGGGCCAAUCCAACGAGAACGCAGCUGAGAACAGUUUAAGCCUGGAUUGAUAUAGGAGAACCUUCUGACCAAUUACAAAGGUCUUCCUAGAGAUUUGUUGGUCAUGAAACGCCUUACUUCUCUCAUUGUAAAUUAGUGCAUUCUCAUAUGUUUCAUUCCGGAUCUCUUCCAAUUCUUGCAAGUCCAACUUUUGAUGGCCACCGGCCUCCUCUAGAUUCAUGUUACACUAUUUUAUCGCCCAAAAGGUCUUGUGCUUGAAUUUCACUGGAAGGUGACAUGACUUUUCGAAUACCAAUCCGUAGGGUGACAUGCCGAUAAGGGUCUUAUAUGCAGUCCGAUAGACCCAAAGUGUAUUUUUCAACCUUUGACUCCAGUUCUUCCUAUCGGGACGAACCAUUUUCUCCAAGAUGGACUUGAUUUCUCGAUUCGAUACCUCCGCUUGAACAUUGGUCUAAGGGUAAUACGACGUUGAGAUCUUGUGGAGUACACCAUACCUUCAAAACAGCGCAGCUAUGGUUUUAUUGCAGAAGUGCGACUUCCUGUCACUAACAAUGCACUUGGCAUCCCAAAAUACACAAAAAUAUUAGACUUGAUAAAAUCUGCAACCAUUUUCGAAUCAUUAGUCCUGGUGGCUUUAGCUUCCACCCAAUUAAAAAUAUAAUCGACUGCCAACAGUAUAUAUAUAAAGCCAAACAAUGUAGGAAAAGGUCCCAUAAAAUUUAUACCCCAAAUAUCAAAAAUUUCUACAAAAAUCAACGGGACUUGAGGCAUAUGAUCUCUACGAGCUAUAUUACCUAUCCUUUGACAUCGAUCAUAGGAUUUACAAAAUACAUAUGCAUUUUUAAAUAAUGAAAACUAAUAAAACCCACUCUCUAAUACCUUAUGCGCAAAUUGCUUUAGUCCAAAAUGACCUGCACAGGCAAAAGUAUGACAGAAAGUUAAAAUUGACUGAGAUUCAGUUUCACUUACGUAUCUUCUCAUUACUUGGUCAGCGCAUCUCUUUCAUAAGGGUCAUCUCAUAUGGAGUAUUUGGCAUCGCUCUUCAACUUGUCUCUCUUCACUUUAGGCUAACCUACAGGGAAAUUACCAGUUACUAGGUAAUUAACUAAAUCAGCAUACCAAAGUAAUUGAGACUUUAAAGAAAAUAAUUGCUCAUCCGGGAAUGUGUCCCUCAAUGGUACGUUCUCCUCUCGAACUGGUAUACGACUUAAAUGGUCGGCUACCAAAUUUUCCGAACUUCUUUUAUCCUUUAUCUCCAGGUCGAAUUUUUGCAGGAGCAAUAUUCAUCUUAUGAGUCUCGAUUUUGCAUCUUUUUUGGUUAUUAGGUACCUCAACCCUACAUGAUCAGAAAAUAUAAUUACUUUAGCACCUAACAGAUAUGAUCUAAACUUUUCUAAAGCAAAAAUAACCGUAAAAAGCUCCUUCUCAGUAGUGGAGUAAUUCAGUUGAGCUCUAUUCAAGACUUGGGAUGCAUAGUAGAUAACGUGAGCUGCCUUUCCCACUCGUUGCCCCAACACAGCCCCCACUGCAUGAUCACUGGCGUCGUACAUGAUCUCAAAGAGUAGGCUCUAGUCAAAGGGUUGGAUGAUCAGUGGCGAGGUAAAUAGCUCCUUUAAAGUAUCGAAGGCUCUCUCACACUUGUCAUCGAAUUCGAAGACCACAUCUUUUUAUAAGAAUUGGAACAAAGGGACUCCAAUUUUUGAGAAGUUCUUGAUGAACUUUUGAUAAAAUCUGCAUGUCCAAGAAAAGAGCGCACUUCCCGCACACUUGCAGGGUAAAGUAAAAUAGAUAUAAUGUCUGUUUUAGCUCGAUCAAUGUUAAUACCCUUAGAAGAUAUUACAUGACCUAGAACUAUCCCAUGUUCAAUCAUAAAAUGACAUUUUUCCUAGUUAAGCACAAGGUUGGUCUCCAUACAUCUCAACAAGAUCAAUUUCAAGUUAUCUAAACAAGCAUCGAAACUAUCAUCAUAUACACUGAAAUCGUCCAUGAAAAUCUCAAUAAUUUUCUCAACAUAUUCUGAAAAAAUACUUACCAUACAUCUUUGGAAUGUUGCAGGUGUAUUGCUCAACCCGAAUGGCAUGCGUCUGUAUGCAAAGGUUCUGAACGGACACUUGAAAGUCGUCUUCUCUUGGUCCUCUGGUGCGAUUGAGAUCUGAAAAUAUCCUAAAAAUUCAUCAAAAAAAUAAUAAUAAACUCGACAAGCUAAUCGUUCAACCAUUUGGUCAAUAAAAGGAAAGGGGAAGUGAUCCUUUUUUGUGACAGCGUUUAAUCUGCAUAGUCUAUAUACUGUUUCCAUCCAGUGGGUUUGUGUAAUGGUACGAGUUCACCCGUUUGGUUGCCCUCUACUGUCACUCCUACUUUUUUUGAAAUGACCUGCACCGGGCUCAUUCCGGAGCUAUCUAAUAUUGUAAAUAUGAUCCCCACAUCGAGCAACUUCAAUAUCUCUUUCUUCAUUACUUCUUUCAUGAGGGGAUUGAGCCUUCUUUGAGCUUACCGUACAGGUUUGGCAUCUUCUUCGAGUCCUAUUCAGUGCAUACAGAUAGAGUACUGAUUCUCUUAAUGUCGGCGAUGGUCCAUCAUAUCGCUUGUUUGUUUUCUCUUAGAACUCGAGUUAACUUCUCCUCUUGGGUUUCUGAUAGUUCUACUGAGAUAAUCACCGGAAGUGUUUCCUUCUCACCCAAAUAUGCGUAUUUCAAGUGUUUGGACAGAGACUUCAAUUCUAACACAGGCGCCUAUACCACAGAUGGUAAUACCCUUUGGUGAGAUUCGAGAAUGAAAAUAGGUAAGACUUCAUACCUCUUCAUUGUGGUUGGCAACGAGUGUAACACCCCUAUUGUGCAUUUCAAAUAUUCACUCCAUUCUACUUCAGGAGUUGUCUUCAACUCGAGCUGCUUGGUUAAAACAAUUUCUAACUCAUCUCUGCCAACAGUUUCAAACACUUCCUGCACCGCAUGAUCAAUAGCACUCACAGAAAAGACAGAGCUAAAAUUAGAGUUUGAGAGGUAUUUCAUAGUAUCAAAAAUAUUGAAAUGAACAAUUUUUUCAUCAAAUUUCAUGGACAAGGUACCCUUAUUAACAUCAAUUUUAGUCUGUAUUGUAUUUAAAAAGGGUUUACCUAAUAGCAACGGCGAGGGGUCAGGAGAGUGAUCAUCAUUCAUAUCGAAUACAUAAAUGUUAGAUGGGAAUACCAAUUCAUUAACUUUAACCAACAUAUCCUCAAUCAACCUAUCAGGGUAUGCAUUUGUUCAGUCAGCCAAUUGGAUUAUUAUCCCAAUUUCUUUUAAUGGAUCUAGGUUCAGAGAAACAUAGAUAGAUUUAGGCAUUACAUUGUUUGAUGCUCCUAAGUCCAGUAUGGCAUUUGUAAUCAAAGUAUUACCUAUCCUAGAGGGAGAUAGUAAACAUACUUGGAUCCCCGCACUUUGUUGGGAGUUUCCUUUGUAGAAGUGUUGACACGUUCUCUCCUACAAUAACUCUUUCAUCUCCCCUCAACCUUCUUCAGUUGAUGCACAAAUUUCUCAAAAAUUUUAUGUACUUCGGCACUUGUUUGAUUGCAUCUAACAGGAGAAUAUUGAUCUCCACUUUGCCAAAUUCCUCCAAGAUCUUUUUCUCCUUGUCCCGCUUCUUCGAUUUCUCCGACCUGCUAAGAAAUGGAGGCGGGUUAGUCUUAACUUCAAUGAUCGGGUCAGGGGGUACUACUAGAUCUUUGCUGCUUAUGUUUUCUGCUUCAAACUCUUUCUCUAUUCAUUUCCCGUUCUUGUCCUUAGGAAUUAUGAGUCCGGGUCCUUGGAUUUUCUUCCCGUUCUUUAGAGUCAUUGCACUUACAUUCUUCAGGUUCUGUUCAGGUUGAGACGAUAAUUUUUUGUGAACUUGGAAUUUAAGGCGGUUGAUUACUACUACCAUCUGACUCAUCUGACUUUGCAUUACUUGUAUCUGAUCCAUUUGACUUUGCAAGCUAGAUUCUGUGUUUUGUUGAAAUUGCACUUGACUAGCAAUUAACUGCUUCAUCAUUUCUUCCAAAAACGGGCUUGAACUUGGAGGUGGCGGUAGUGCUGGCCGAGGUUGGUAUCACUGAUGAUACUCUUGCUGUCUGUUCGGUGUAAAAUUUUAUUUUCUAUUCCCUCCAUAACUGAGGUUAGGGUGAUCUCUCCAACUCAGAUUGUACGUGUUUGGGUACGGGUCAUAUGGCUUUCUUGACGCCGGCGCGUGACCAACCAUGUUUACUUGCUCCGCAUUUGCUCUUUGAAUCAUCGAGCACAUUUCUGUUGAAUGACCCAUGACAGUAUAAAUUUCACACACCUUGGCCUACGGCGCAUUUUCUACAGCCAAUUUCCUAACAAAAGAUGUUAACUCUGUCAAUUGCUAUUGAAUAGAGGAUGUUUCCACUUCAUUCACUCUGCAUGUCAGGACAUCUUUCCUCGUACCAAACUGCUGCGAAUUCUCGAUCAUUCCUUCAAUCAACUCUCAUGCUUCUUGAGGAGUCUUAUCCACCAACGCCCCCUACUUGCAGCGUCAAUUACACUCCUGUCUCUGAAUAGUAGCCCAUCAUAAAAAUAUUGGAUGAGCAAUUGCUCACUUAUUUGGUGUUGAUAGUACUUGAUGUAUAACUUCUUGAAUUGCUCUCAGUAAUCAAAGAGCAACUCUCCUGAAUGCUGUUUGAUACCGCAUAUCUCCUUCCUUAGACUCGCAGCUCGAGACGCAGGAAAAUAUUUGUUUAAGAAUUUUUUCUUUAGUUGGUCUCACGUAGUGAUGCUACUUGGUGGUAAGUAGUACAAUCAGUCUUUUACGGAGUCCUUCAAAGAGAAGGGAAAUGCCUCAAUUUUAUCUGUUCUUCGAUAAUUUUCGGGGGCUUCAUACUGUUACAAAUGACAUCGAACUCUUGCAAGUGCUUGUAAGGCUCCUUACCUAUUAAACUAUGGAAAGAUGGCAAGAAAUGAAUUAGACCCGAUUUUAACUCAAAUGAAGUGUUAUUAUUCAAACUUCGAAAAGUAAUGCAUAACGGCUACUGAUUUAAAUCAGCUGCAGUCAACUCCUUUAGUAUUCAUGCAUUAGCCAUAGUAACUUCUUCUCGAUCCGAGUCACUCGAAGUACCACCAUGUGAAAGUGUCGCUUCAACUUAAGGAUCAAAUCUCUGAUAUGUAGCACUAGAUUGCUCAUCUUUGAGCUGUCUGAUCUCUUUCCGUGUUCUACGCGCAGUCUUUUCUAUUUCGGGGUAAAAAAGCAAUUCACCAGUACUAGAAGAACGAGACAUACACUAGAGAAGUACCAAAAAAUGAGAACAAAAAUAAACUUAAAAAAGAUAAAUUAACUGACGCCAGUUCCCGGCAUCGGUGCCAAAAAUUGAGACGUUGUCGAUGUUUGUGCAAUAAUAAAAAUAAACUUAAUUACUAAUUAAAAUAAUCAAAAUUCGAUUCUAAGUACUGGAGCAGGGACUCUAGGUGUGCAAUGUGUUACUUGAUUCACCCUGUUCUUGAAGAGUUUGCUUAAUUCGAUAUAUCAGAAUGUGACUGCUUAUUCACAAGAAAUUAUUGAUUUGUAUAAAGGGCAAGUAAGGUCAUCUCCUCAGGAAUUGGGGAUAUUUGUCUCUUUUGAAAUCCAAAGUAACACGAGUUGUGAUUUUGUAGAAAAGAUGACAAGUAGAACAGUUCAAAUAAAAAGCAAAUAACCAACUAAAAAUUAAAUGACGAUUUACUAAAAUUAGAUUAAUAGUAACUAAAGAUCUAGUCAAAAAAUAACUUCGACAAUGGUUUACCUAAUUGAUCAUCGAUGCAAAGAUAAUUCCAAUUAUUUACUAAUAAAUGGGUUAUAACUGUCAAAUAAGUGAUGACAGUCAACCCCUCCUUACUGUGUCAUUGAUUAAGAUACGUCUGUUAAUCACUACUCUAAUUGAGAAAUAAUCUUAGAUAUGCUUGUAAGAUUUAAUUUCCCCAAUUGCCUUACGUAUUAGAGGAAUUCUAUUCUAACCAAAUAACGCACUACCAAGAUUAUUUUAUAUUAGCUUGCGUAUUCCUCGGACACAAACUCAAUCAUGCCAGUUAUCACUAUUUCAGGCAAUUAAAUAAUUACGAAUUUAAUGUCCCAAUUAACAAUAGGUUACUAAAUCAAUUAAUUAUCCGGAUCCAAGACAAUCAAUUAAUUGAAUAACCAUAAGCACUGUAAUCAGAGAAUACGCAAAUACCAGCAAAUAAAAGGAAUAGGUAAAAUUGAUUCGAUCUCAUAAUUUUUAGACGAACCACAGCCUUCAUUGUUGCUUGAUUAAAAAAAGAGAUUUAGUUCAUCCCUGAUAAGAAAAACCCAUACAAAGUUAUAUAAAUAGUUGCGGCCAUUGCCUCCAAUUGAGAAUGAAUCAAUUCGUUAGAAUCAGGAAAAAAGCAAGCUACAGAGAGUGAUUGCUUGUUUUCACUUCGUCGUGACAUACGAAGGGAGAAAAGCCACUAAAGGAUGAAAAAGAAAAAUCAAAAAGUACUAACUAUUGUCUUCCCAAUUGUCUGCUAUCUAAUUCCUAUCUAAUUCUUGCCAUGCAGCCGGCCCUACUCCCAAAAGCCUAAAGUCCUAAUCAAACUUUGACUGCCAUUUAUUGGUAAGUUUUCUUUCUUUGCUGAAACUACUCAAAUAACCAACUAACGGAAGAAUUGCAACUCCCGUGUUGUACUUCCAUGCACGCGUAGGUGUCGCACAUCUUUUCCGAACCUUCUGGACAUGUUAAGACCUGAGUUGACUUGGCCACGCCAAACAGUAUUUGUAGUACGAAAUAUGCGCCUAUUUACCAUAUUUUGCUCCAACUCCCUGCAACAAGUACAAAUGCCACAAAAGAGUAGAAUCUAACAAUUAAUCCACAUUUGGUAAUAUAAUAGGGAAAAUUAAUUAUAAAAUAAAUAGCAAAAUGGUGACCUAUCAAAUAUAAAAAUCAAUGACUCUUUGAGUUGCAGUUACGUCUUCUGUAGCAUUAGAAUAUGGAGAAAACCAAGAAGAAUAGAUGUUUAGUCCCACAAAACCAUGUUGAACAGCCUGCACAGAGCAUAUUAUUUCAGUUAUUUGAUGCAUUCGACAUUAUGCUUCCGAGAUAGGAACAUUAAAAAGAAUCCACUAAUAAAAAGCUUAAAGAGAAAGAUCAUGUGCACAGAACAUAAGUUUCUUGAGUACUGCUAAAGUUCAAUAUCAUUCUAAUUCCACGUUCAUAGUACUAAAUACUUAACUUAUAUUACCUCCCCUUCAUAUUGCAACAUUUACAACAACUGCAACAUAUUACUUAUAAAAAAUUACCAUCUUCAUCACCCUUGUUAUUUAUAUGGAAGCACGGUUGACAGAAAACACAAAUUGUAAAUUUGCAGCAUACUUCUAAACCAAAAAUAAUUGCUUCCGGAAUAGUCCUUCCCAUGCCCCCUUCCCCGCGGGAAUGAUCAUACCGCCAAUUUAAUCAAACUUAUAAUUACAAUGUAGAUACCAAAAUUUUAAUUCUAUUUUAUUUAAUUUUAAUUUUAAUUUUAUUUUAUUGUCAUUAGUCAAAAGUCGCAAAAUGAUAGUUAUAUUUUUUUAUUGAAUUAGGGUUUAUUUUCUUUUAAAUAAUUUUUGAAAAAAGAAAAGUCUCACAAAAAUUUAUUUUUAAGCUUUUCAAAUUCAAUUUCUUCCAAAUAAAAUGAAAAUUUACAAGGCAAUUUCAAUUAGGAGUUUAACAUUUUAUUUACCCUAAAUUCAUUUUAUAAAAAACAAAAAUAGGUGGAAUGCAUGCAAGAUGGUUAGGUGGAGUGCAUGCAAAUGAUCCACGUGAUUUUGGCAUUUUGCACACUACAACAUUCAAAUGAUAGGUGGCACGACACGUGGAAGAUGGAGAAAGAUCUAGCAACAAAAGGGAAAAAUCAGGAAAACAAGGCAAAAGGGAGUGAGCAAGAGAACGCAAAGGGAAGAAAAAAGAAGGAGAAAGGAAAAAAAGAAGAAGAGGGUUUCAGCUGAGAAAGAAAGAAAAAGGAGAAAGAAAGAAAAACUGAGGAGGGAAACAAGGGAACCUGGGGAAAAUCUGGGAGAGAGCUUCAGGCCAAACAAGAGAGAAUAGGAAGAAAGGAAAAAAGAAGAAAAAAGAGAGAAAGGAAGAGAAGGCUUCGGGCGAGGGGAGUUUCGGGAAGAAAGGGCGGAGGAGGAGAAUCUGCUGGAGCAAGAAAGAAAGAGAGAAACUGGGAGGAAACGAAGAAAAAGGAUUUCGGGAAAAGAGAGGAAAAAGAGAAGAAAGGAAAUAAAAAAGAGAAAACCAAAGAAAGAGAGGAAAAGGGGGAAGUCUGGGGAGGAUUAGGGAGAAAAACAGAAAGGCAAACGAAAGGAAAAGAAAGACAAACAGAGAGAAAAGCGGGAUGAGAGAAUUUCUACAAAAUUUUUUUUAGAAUCAGGCCGGAUUUUCGUCACCUUGAGAUGCAAUUUUCACAAUCAAGUUUGACUGAUGCAUCUACAAAUCUGCGAAAAUUUUUCAAAAAGUGUCUCUGUUCGUUCCUUUGGCUCUCAUCUCAUCUAAGAUUCAUCUUUAAGUAACUCUUAUGUGUUUUCCUCAUUCAUUCUGGUUCACAUGCAAAGAUUAAACUCAUCAAAAAGGAAUUUUUCUUUAGAUUAUUGCCUCGCAAGUCCAUAUUGUUGGUUGUAUGAUUUGGUUGGGUUUGAUGCAUCUUGUUUGACUAACGAAUGAUGAGGUUUAGAAGCUAAUGAGAAACUUAUCUAUCUUGAAUGUGUGUCCUUAUUGCUUUGCAAGUCUUGUGGCUCAUAAUCAAAGCUGUGUUUUGAGAAUUUUUGUUGGAAACUUAUGAAUCAAAAAGCCAUCAGCUUUCUUGCUUUCUUUCCUCCGUGAAACUGAAUGGAUGUGAUCCAUGGGUUGUGGGUUCUUUUCCUAGUAGCUUGUUUGUUUUUGAUGAUUUGGGUUUUAGGCUGUUUUCUUGAAGAGUUGGGUUUGAAGUUUUAGCCAAUGUUCAUGUCACUUUGCUGCAUUUUUAUCUCCAGUUACCAAGUUAUAUUUUCUGGGGAUAGAUAAUUGUGUUUAGGUGAUGUUAAUAACGAUAGGGUGGAAGUUCUUGCAUUUGGUUUUGGUUGUCGAAUUAAUAGACUUUGCUUGAGUUACUUCGCACAAACAUAUCUAGGCGAAUAAGGAAAGAUUGUUGAAGUCUCAAAGCAAUGAAAGUUGCAAAAAACUUUAGUUGCAAAAAGUUUGUUUGCAAGAUUGCAUGAAAAUUUUAAAAAAAAUUGCAUUUUAGACCUUCAAUUCUUAAGUAAUGCUGCUAUGGCCCAAGAAUAAGGAAAACUCAAUCAAUUUUACCCUUUUUGAAAUUCAAUCAAUCCUUUUAUGUUUUAACCAUGUUUUAGACAAAGUUAUAUUCUAGUUUUGGAAAUAAUUAAAACUUAAUUGGUCUUGAGGGCUUUAUUUUUGCUUUGAUUUCACCCCCUAAUACCUGUAAUAAUAAUUUGACUCCCGAAAUUUUCUCAAUGUUUGCAAAUCUUCAUGAGCUAACUCGAGUUUUGUCAAUAGAAUUUCAAGUGAGCUUGUUGAGUUUAGAUUUUGAAUGCUCCAUAAUUUAGUGAAUUAAGGUGAUGACGUUUGAAUCAUUAAUUUGUAUUUUGUUUGAUAAAGUUGAAUUAACUAUUUGGUUUGAAUUAACUAUUAAUUUGCAUUUUGUUUGAAUUAACUAUUUGUUUAGUUUAAAUGGCAUUUAAUUUGUAAAUUUUAGGAACCUUGAGUUGACUUUAAAUGAUUUGUUUUGUGUUUAUCAAAUAAAUUGGUGUCUUGACAAUUUCCUUUGUUUUGGAGGGUAAAUAAGAGAAUUUUCAUUUUAUUAGGUCACUAAUUCAAGGAAGGUAUACUCUACUCCUUCAUUUUAUUGUGAAUUUAUGUGUGUAAUUGCAUUUUUUUGUUAUGUUUUUCCCUUUUAUUUUGUUUUGUUUAUUUAUUCACUUUAUUUGUUUCUUUUAAUUUCGGAUAUUCAUUUUAAUUUAAUUUUCGAUUAUUUAAGAGGUUGUUAAAAGUCAAAUUGUAAUAGUUAGGUUAUUAUUUUAUUUCAUCUCGUUCUUUCCCCCUUAGAUUGUAGUUAGGGUCCCCAAAUGUAAUAGUUAAGCCUCUAUUUGCUCUUAUUUACUUUGUAUGUGCUUGCAUGUUUACGUGUUUACUCGCUUUCUUAGGGCCUUUGCACCUAGAUAUUAUGCUUACGUGCUAUGUGAUCUAUGUGUUUACUUGCUUUUAUUAUAUUUUAUUUCAUUUAUUAAUUAUAAUAAAUGCAUGACGUCACGUCCAACGCUAGUUGUGGCCUUUUGUUCUGAUUUCUUACUAGUCUAGCGUUAGUGAGAGCUUAUAGACAUUGGCUAGUCCAACGCUAAAUUUUAGGAACCAUUCACGCAUUAGAUCAUGUUUAUGUAACAAAAUCACUACAUAUCAUGCAUAUUUUCUACUUUUAAGAUCCUUACUAUUUUGCAUGAUAUUUCCCUUAUAUAUAUAUAUAUAUAUCUUAUCACUAUGUGUGAAACAUGACAUUUAAACGUGUAUUUCAUUUAAGAAAAUUAGAAUUAGGUUAGAUCAUUUGCUUGAUUAGAUAGGAAAUAUCCUAUAGCACGCUCGUAUUCCAUCUAUAAAAGGGAAAAUUUAGUUACGAAUCUUAACCUCCAUAUCUGUUAUGUUGCAUCCCUCUCUUUUAGGUCACGUAUACUUGUAUAUUAUAAUUUUUUCUAUUUUUCAAGUCUCAUUAUUGCAUAUUCAUGACCUCUUCAAAAAAUUUCCUUUGGGUAUCGCAAUUAAUACGAUUUGCACCAACUAAAAUUCGAAGAGACAUAUUAACCCUUCGAUAGCCAUUAGGUUUAGGUUUGCAUUCAUAUAGUAGCAUCCAAAUGUAAUAAGUUUUUAUGUUAAAUUACAAAAAUUUUUGACUAAAUCAUGCAACCAAUCUUGGUUAGGUUGAAAAGGUACCUUGGAUUUUAUCCUUACCUUCCCUUUUUUCAACCGUGACUCCCGAACUUUUCUCGCUGAUUUUUGAAGACUUGGAGUCGUUUUAAAAAGGGAUUUUUCUCUACUUUUAUUUAAAAUUCACUUUAGGUAACUUGGUACACCUUAACUCAAUAGUCACACGUUAAGUCCCAUUUUUAGGCCCUUUUUCUUUAUUUGUUCUCUAUAAAGUAAAAACUCAUUUUUACUCAAAAUUAAUCAAAAUUUUAUUUUUAUAAACCCGUAUUUUAUUUUUUUUCAAAAAUGGGGUGCGACAGCUUGGUGACUCCACCAGGGUACUCCCUAAGAGGGUCCGAGCACUUGAUUUAGUUGAUCUUUUUCUUUUCUUAACCUUUUUAUAUAUCACAUUUGAAUGUUUUAAGAUGUAUUUUCUCCUUUUAGGAUUUUUUUGUAUCUACCACACACGUAAUCAGUCCUCGCACACUGCGUAUGUGAUGAAUGAUUUGUUUAUUUAUUUUCUUUUACUUGUAUUGCGCUUUGCAUUUGAGUAGGGAAAUAUCACCUUUAGAGCCUUCGUGUGCUUAAAUUUUAAUCCCUCCUCUCAAAAGAGCACUUCAUAUGUGCAUACACUUUUAUAACCCUCAUUUCUUUUUCUUUUAGUGAUUGUCACACCAUCCUUCUCUAUUAGGACUAGGAUUGAUCCACUUGGGCAUGUGGCCGUGGCACGAGAUGCGCGUAGCAAUGUCCAAGAGAUCACUCGAACAAUCGACUUUGGGCCUCGGGAUUAAUGACCCUCUGCCUUUGGUCUGAAGGUUUAGGGACCUGAAGCCAUAUUGAGUCUAGCUGUAUUAGUAAACCUAACCUCAUGCAUUCAUGUUAGAUUACCUAGGUUAGAGUCUAUCUCACCCAACUCGGUAUACAAGUCACGAGGGGAGGGAUUCCACCCCUCUUUCUUUCCUUUGUUUCAUAUGAUUGUACUGUUUUAUUGUUCCAACGUGUUAUAUGCUCUUAUUUGGUUGAACUGACCUUUUUUGGGUCUCUUAAUCUCUUGCAUUCAUAAGCCUUAGAAAUAAGAGUUCGGGAAUGGUACUCCUUAGGAGUCUACUCCCAUUAGAUAGGUUAUUGCACGUUUAAAUUACGAUUCAUUGCAUUCGUAAUCUAAUAGUUGCAUAUCAUUCUAAGGCUUACCCCAGCAUAUAAAGGUGGUCCCUUUAGAUCAUGUUUCACUUUAAAUGAUGCAUAUUUAACCGCUUUGAUAAACGGGUAUCAUGCAUUAACCCUAGAAAGAAUGCCGCAUAGGGAAUCCUACAUUAGGAAUAAGCCACCCUUUUAUAUCGGAUACUUAAUCCAACGAGACUUGCACGUUUACAUUUUUAUAAUACCCGGAGGGGUACUGCACAAGGUAAGGUAGGAUUCGAUAAUUUUUUUUUCAUAAAAGUGAUCUUUUGUAUAUUAGCCCCUAAUACUCCUUCUUUGUCCAUUUUUGCCCAAAAUUGGUAUAAUCCCUUGUAUAAAGGACCUUAAAUUGAAGAGAUUCCCGAUGACUCCUCACUGUUGAGGCGAUAAAUGAAUCAAAGCCAAAAUCUUGAUUGUAGAAGGUUCAUAGACUAAUGUAUUUGCAACAAAAGUGUCAAGUUAGGGUUUUUAUUGAGUAGGUAAGCCAGUCUAUUUCCAGCAAGCCAUCAGUUCCAUCAAUCCAUUUGACAACUUAGGAUUUCGAUGUCAAAUUUGGAACUGGGAAGGCUAGUUAUUUUUGAGAAAAUCACCUAUUGCAUUCAUUCCAUUUGGAUAGAUUAGGGUUUCGAUCCAUGUUUCGCUGAGAAAAUUGGUUGAGAAAUUGCAAUCUCUCCAAUAGCAAGUUCGUCAAAGUUAAAUUGAUUUGUACGAAUUCCUGUGCCAACUAAAACCAUUCAUUCAUUCGGAUUUGUUCUCAUUCUGUUAGAGGUCUCCCGUUGUUCAAUUGGCCCAAAAUUUUCAAAUUGCCAAUCAAAUGUCAAUAAGUUGAUCGGAACCAUCAGGUAUUAUAUGGUGCCUACUCUGAAGGAUUGCAUUUUCAUGCUAGACCAACCUUUGGCAUAAAGGGUCCUCCAAUAGGACAUGCAUCCGAAAUAUCUCAAUAUAUACUAGCUCGUGUCUUUUUCUUUUUAUUUCUUUUCUUGCUUUGUCAACAGCUGUCAAAGAGAGGGAUUUUAAAAGGGGUUUUUUCUAAAAUGUUAGGUAUUUUUUUUAACAUAGCUACAAGAAAAAGCUCCAACGUCACACAAUUUCGCAGCCGAGUUUUGAGAAACCGUGCACAUUCGGAAUCAUCUGACAGGUCCAUCACGACACCUCUAGCAGACACUGCAAAUUUGGGAGUUCAAUUGAGCGAGAUGUUAAACAAAUUAAAUGAAUUGAGCGUGAAAAUGACAAUCCAAAGGUGCAUGAUUGACUAAUUGGUUGCUAGCAAUGGCGGUAUCCAACACAUGAUCCCAUGCCUAUCAGCCAGCUUGAAAUAGAACACCAACCACCUCCUCUAUCCCAUAUCCAAGUUACAUUUGCACCGUCCUUUGCAAACAUACUCGAAGAGACUUUCACCUACCCCACUUCCAGUUUUCUAUAUACUUACCCCCAUAACAUCUAAGUCAACUGGACCAGUAUUCAAAUGCCUCAUAAUUACCUAGACUCUCAAGUACUUCAUCACACCACCACUGAGCCAUUCAUGCUGGAUGCUGCUAUGUAAGGGAAGGUGGAAAUGGGUGAAUUCUUCGUCCCAAUAGACAAAAAUCUGUUAAAAAGAUUGGAUAAAUUUGAUGAAUUCAUGAGAAAAAGUCAAGAAUUAAGCAAGCCUGGAAGCUUGGAUUAUGAUGAGUUGUGUCUUUUCCCUGACAUACAAUUGCCUUUAGAUUUUAAAACACCCAAAUUUAAUAAGUAUGAUGGAACCUGUAACCUCAAGACGCAUCUGAAACUAUUUGCAACUAAGUUGGUAAAGCUAGUAAAUGAUGAAAAUUUGUCAAUACAUUUAUUCCUGGAGAGCUUGGAAGGCAGUGCCCUAGAUUGAUAUUCCAAUUUAAAGCCUGAAAAAAUGAGAACAUGGUUAGAUUUAUAAACUGCCUUCGUGAGACAAUACGAGUACAAUUGUGAAUUUGCUCCAACAAAUAUCACGCUUGAAAGCACUAAAAGAAAAUCAUGUAAAGAUCAUAAGACAUAUACCAAGCAAUGGCGAAGAUUGGUAGCCAAGGUGAAACCUCUUAUGACAGAAGAGGAAAUUGUCCGUACAUUUAUUAAGGUACAUGAUCCACCAUAUUUUGAGGAGAUUUUUCGCACGAUCAGAUGUUCAUUUGCAGCAAUUGUCAAUAAGUUGGAGGAAUAUGAUGAAUAUGUCAGGACAGGAAAAAUUGCCAAUAUAUCGGCCUUAAAAUCACAAUUGGAUGCCUUGCAAGGUCAUAAUAAAAUGGAAAAGAACCUUAAUUCAAGAAGAAUGAAAGAGAAAAUGCUUUUGAGUGGGACCAAGACCUGUCUUCUAUACCCAGAUUUCAGCGGUACCCUAUAUAUUCAUCACCCUACCCAUAUUACUCAAACCCACACCCUGUUUAUGUAAGGAUCGAAGAUAACCUAAGAGCGGGUGAAUUAGGUUGAUUAAAAAUCUAAUUAAGUUAUGGGCACUUUUCGCUCAAUAUAAAAUUUAUUCUCUUUUCUAAGUGAUCACAUAAUGAAUCAAUUAAUGAAUAAAUAAAAUCACUUGAGAGAAGUAGAAGAGAUAAACAAUGUAAACAUCACAAACGUAACAAUAAAUAAAUAAAAAGGAAAGAAUUACAAACCAAUUAACCAACCAACUCCUCUUGAACUUGUAGAUUAAUUCAAACAAGUUUCUUCAAAUUGAUGAAUUACAAUCACUCUUGUGUACAAAGGAAGGUUCACCUCCUUCUUGCCCCGAACUCCACUCGGUCAAACUAGAAAGUUUUACUAUCUCUCAAGACAACCCUCACAAAGCUACACUCAUGAAAUAUUCACUUACAAAUGAAAAGCUUACAAUGAACCUCACACCAAUAAGACUACAAAUCUUUCUUGGAGAGUGUUUUUUCACUAAAACUAUUCUAGAUCUUUUGUAUCUUUAGUGUGUAAAAGUUAUUUGGAGUUUCUGACCAUGCUCUAUUUAUAGGAAACCAAGAAAGUGCUUCAUUAAUGCUUCCAACGGAUAGAAAGUAGUUGAAGGGUUAACUAGCCAUUGGGAGUGUCGGACGUUCGGUACUCCUGUUUUUUGCGUCCGACAGCAGGCAGUGAGUUUAAGAAAUUUUCUUCAAUUCUAUUGGACGUUCGGUAUUGUCCUUGUGAGCGUCCGACAACUUUCGUCAAAUUUGAAGGAUCCUAUCGGAAGUUCGGUACUUCCGUCCGAUAGCAGAUAAAGAGUUUGAAAGAUUCUAUCGGACGCCUGAUUCUUGUGUCCGAUCGAAGUCAGUGAGUUAGGGGGAAUGUCUUAUUUCCUUUGGACAUUCGGUAAUGGAGUUCUUCAUGCGUCCGAAGUUGCGCAAUGAUUAUCGGACAUCCGAUCCAAGCGUCCGACAGCUUUUAGCAACCUUUGUCUUGUUUCAAUUGCACUUGUUCUUAGAAUCAAAUUGCUGCAUAACUGAAAGUAUUUCUUGAAGAAAUAUUAAUAUUAUCCAUUUGUUUUGUAAACAUCAAAAGUUAGGGACUAAGAUUAACAGUUUACCAUACUACUAUCAAUCACUUUCGACAUCGGUCAAACUGUGCAAACCCACCUAUACUAGUCGUCUCAAUUUUUCAACCCAAUCUUGAAAUUCGACCCCGCCCUCCUUAUAAUCCAAGACCUGUUCAACCAAAUAGCCAAACUUAUCCUCUAAAUAGUGAAAUCUGAAAUCCAACCCCAUAUCGAACCUUCACCAACCUGAGUCGACCCAUCGAUCAAUUGUAUGAACAAAUCAAAGCUGUAGAAAAAAUUGGUGUUAUGCCUCCCAAGAUCUAUCCUAGGGGUGCUCCCUCUGGCUAUGACCCUCAAGCCAUCUGCGCUUAUCAUUCUGGAGCUCCUGAACAUCCUACUAAUAAUUGUUGGGUAUUGAAACAUAAAAUUCAGAAUAUAAUCGAAAUAGAAGAUAUAGUGCUAAAAAAAAGGGGAGAACAAGGACAGAACAUAAUUAUGAAUUCCUUUCCCGAACACAAGGGCAUCUAUGAGGCAUUUACCCCUAUUAAGAAAUUUGAAAAUCCCGAACUAGUGGGAUUCCUCCCUUUUGAAGGGAGUUUUGAUAAAUUUGGUGAGUUGUCUUUGGUAAAAAUUCAUGAAAAUCAUUCAUAUGUAUGUCUUUUGUUUAACUAUGUUUUUGUAAAUAGUUUUGAAUCAAGUGAUUUUUGAAGACAUGUCUUGUUUAACAAGUAACAUGCUAUUAAAAUUGAUCUUUAUCUUGAAAUUCAAUAAAAUGUACAAUUUUAUAUAUACUGUGUUACUUGCACAUUCUUUUCAGAUGGCCAAGAAUAGAAUCCUCUGAUCCUUUAGAUAUAUCUCGAUAUCUCACGAAUGUGAAUUUGGAUUUUAAAAUGAGAGGAGUAGCGAAAUGACAUCCGAAAAUAUUUCAAAGAGACCCGAAUGGUAUAAAGAGAAACUCAAACUGAAUUGGGAUUAAGAUUAAGGAAAUAAAAAUCAAUGGUCACUUGAUAAAAAACAGUUAAAUGCAAUCUGUCAUGGUCAAUAUUAUUAAAAGGAUUAGCUCGUGCUUACCAUAAAAUAGUCAAAUCAUGACUAUUCAGACUAGGAGACAAAGCGUUGAGAGAGAUUUUGUCAGUGGAAGAUGAGGCCAAAUGAAGAGUUUGCCCCAAAUUGACAAUAUUCUUUUAUUGUCAAAAAGGUAUUGCAUGGUGGAGCACUUAUUUUCACUGAUAUGGAUUAACAAGAGUUUCCCUUAAUUGAUUAAUUUAGAUAUAGGUAAAAUUUUACAUUAAUGAAAGUUUCCUUUCAGAAUUAAUGCAGGGAACAGAAUUAAAGUCCGGCCCUCUUUCUUUCCCAUUGAGACAUUUUAUCCCUAGUGGUCUCUUUUGAACUUGUAGAAUGAAUGAUUUCGCUUGUCAACCUGAUGAGCAACUCUAGGAGAAGACCCUCCUAGACCCUCCCAACCUUGUAAUUAUCAGAGUUGGACCUUUUCUCCCAAUGAAAAUUGAACUCAAAUUGUUCUCAUGGACUCAAGACCUCUGACACACAAAGGCAAUCAGCAACCUUAAGCAAAUAAUGCUGGAUGAAGAGACACCACGAUUAGAGAACAAGCUAAUCGAUAAAGUCAGAUUUGAAUCCUAAGCAAUGAACUCAAGAAUUCAAGAGUAAGUUCAAUUAAGAACUUGAAGGAAAAAAUCCUCACGAUUUCUGGUUGUAAUAUUCCGUCUUUUCAUUCAUACAAUAGGUGCCUUUUAUAGGCUAAAACUAGGGCAAAUCCGGCCCACAUAAACCUGGAAUAGGAAUUCGGUCCGCAUAAAGAGCUAACUCUUUAAGACUUCUCGAUAAGGCCCAAUAAGUAAUAAAAUACUCAACGACUAACAACUACUAAACUAGACAGUCUUAAAAUAACUACCAACUAAGUUAACAAGUAUGAGAUCAUUCUUUCACAAACAUACAAGUGAACAAGGUAACUUCAUGGUCCAUCAAAUCUUCAAACUUAACUUGCUCCUUGCUUGUAUGGUGAAUGAUCAAGGCUCAUAAAGCUUCCCUCACCUUCUUAGUUCUUGAUCUUGUCAUCGGACCACCAAUGUUGAUCAAAGGGUCCUUGACCCAAGGUUGAAGGUGUUGCACACCCGUAUCCACAUCAUUCCCUCCCUCCUCGAAAGGAUUCGUUUUCGAAUCGUCAAAGUCUGUAUCAAAGGCAAAAGGGGAUAGGUCAGACACAUUAAAAGAUACGCUUAUGCCAUACUCAUUUGGAAGUUCCAAUUUGUAGGCAUUGUCGUUUAUCCUCUCUAGGACACGAAAAGGUCCAUCUUCUCUUGGAUGUAACUUGGUCCGUCGAGAUGCUGGAAACUUUUCCUUCCUCAUGUGCACCCAAGCCCAAUCACCAGGUUCGAAUACAACAUGUUUUCUACCCUUAUUCGCAUGUUGUGCAUAUUGCGUAUUUUUCUUCUCAAUUUGAGCUCGAACUCUCUCAUGUAAGGUCUGAACAGCCUCUGCCUUUUUGAUACCAUGUGCGCUUAAACACUCAUCAACAGGAAUAGGUGAUAAAUCUAGAGGGGUUAGCGGCUGAAACCCAUAAACAAUUUCAAAAGGAGAAUGAUUAGUAGAAGAAUGAGUGGUUCGGUUAUAUGCAAAUUCGGCAAUAGGUAAACAUUCUUCCCACUUUUUCAAAUUCUUUUGAACAAUAGCUCGAACUAAAGCACCAAGGGUUCGAUUGGUUACCUCAGUCUAACCAUCCAUUUGAGGACGACUAGAAGUAGAAAACAACAACUUAGUUCCCAACUUUCCCCAAAGUGAUUUCCAGAAAUAGCUUAAGAAUUUCACAUUCCUAUCACUUACAAUAGUACGCGGUACCCCAUGCAAUCUAACCACGUCCUUGAAGAAUAAAUCAGCAACAUGGCGCGCAUCAUUGGUUUUCCUACAAGGGAUAAAAUGAGCGAUUUUAGAAAAUCUGUCCACUACAACAAAGAUACUAUCCAUACCUCUAGAAGAUCUUGAUAAACCAAACACAAAAUCCAUGGAUAAGUCUGUCCAAGGAGCAUGAGGUACGGGUAGAGGAGUGUACAAUCCAUGAGGAUUACCCCUUACCUUUGCCUGCUUACACUUUAAACACUUAUCACAAAUGUUAGCAACGUCAUGCCUCAUUUUAGGCCAAUAGAAGUGUUCAUGCAAAAUGUCAAGAGUUUUAUCAAUGCCAAAAUAUCCCAUCAACCCUCCGCCAUGGGCUUCUCUAACAAGUAAUUCCCUAAGUGAACAGUUGGGAAUACAUAGGCGAUUCUCUUUGAACAAGAAGCCUUCAUGCCUAUAGAACUUUUGAAAUGCAACAUGUUCACAAGCUUGAAAUAUAUUAGAAAAAUCGUCAUCAUGUGCAUACAAGUCUUUAAUGUGCUCAAAACCAAGCAACUUAGUGCUCAUGUUAGUGAUCAAGAUAUAUCUCCUAAACAAUGCAUCCGCAACGACAUUAUCUUUCCCUUUCUUAUACUUAAUGAUAUAUGGAAAGGAAUCAAUAAAUGCAAUCAAUUUCGCAUGUCUUUUAUGCAACUUACACUGACCCUUAAGGAAUUUAAUUGAUUCAUGAUCAGUAUGUAUCACAAAUUCCUUAGGCAUAAGAUAAUGCUGCCACACUUCAAGAGCAUGCAUAACAGCGUACAAUUCUUUAUCAUAAGUAGGGUAAUUAAGAGCUCCCCCACUCCACUUCUCACUGAAAUAUGCCAAGAGUCUACUAUUUUGAUGUAAGAUAGCCCCUAUGCCGAUUCCACUAACAUCACAUUCAACUUCAAACAUCAAAUCAAAAUUAGGCAAGGCAAGAAUAGGUGCUGAAGUCAACAAAUUCUUAAACUUAUGAAAUGACUCUUCUUGCUCCUUUCCCCAUUGAAAUCCCACAUUCUUUUUAAUUAUCUCAUUCAAAGGUGCUGCAAUAGUACUAAAGUUUUUAACAAAUCUCCUAUAGAAACUUGCAAGACCAUGAAAAGACCUUACCUGAGACACAUUGGUUGGAGUCGGCCACUCCAAGAUGGCAUUUACCUUGGCGGGAUCAACACUUAUGCCAUUUGCACCAACAAUAUACCCAAGAAAGUUAAUUUCAGGAGUGCAAAAGACACAUUUUUUUAUGUUAACAAAUAGCCUAUUUUCACGCAAGACACUUAAAACAAGUCGCAAAUGUUCAACAUGCUCAUCUAAAAACUUGCUAAAGAUCAAUAUAUCAUCGAAAUAAACGACAACAAACUUCCCAAGAAAAUGCCUUAAAACAUGGUUCAUUAAUCUCAUGAAAGUACUUGGAGCGUUUGUUAAACCAAAAGGCAUUACAAGCCACUCAUAAAGACCAUACUUUGUUUCAAAAAUAGUUUUUCAUUCGUCUCCUUCCUUUAUCAUUAUUUGAUGAUAACCAGAUCUUAAAUCAAUUUUAGUGAAAAUGAUUGCUCCAUGCAAUUCUUCUAACAUAUCAUCUAACCUAGGAUUAAGAUGACGAUACUUAACAGUAAUUUUAUUAAUUACACGACAAUCUGUGUACAUUCUCCAAGUCCCUUCUUUUUUAGGCACUAGAAUAACUGGAAUUGCACAAGGAGUAAGAGAUUCAUGAAAACCUGUUCUUUUUCAAGGAGGGAAUCGACUUGCCUUUGAAUUUCCUUUGUUUCCUCCGGAUUUGCUCUAUAGGUUGGUUGAUUUGGUAGAAUUGCUCCAGGAACAAAGUCGAUUUGGUGUUCAAUGCCUCGAAUUGGAGGUAAUCCUUUCGGUAGUUCCUCUGGAAACACAUCCUUGAAUUCCUGCAAAAGAGAGUAAAUUGCACUAGGAAGAGAAUCGGUUAGGUCUAGUGUGUAAAAAGAAAAAUAAUCAGCUUCCCUGUACAGAAGUACUAUGAGAAGACUUUGUGCAUUCAAAACCCUAUCUACCUCACGUACACUUGCAUAGAAGCUCUUUUUUAUUUUCACUUUCAAGCUCUCAGUCUCACUGAGUUUUUUUCCACUGGAAUUUUCUUUUUCACUCAACUCGGCCUCUACUUUCUUUUUCCCCUCAUUCUCUCUCACAUUCGGCAGUUCCUUUGCCUCUCUCGGUUGCCUUUUCUCUCUCUCUUUUCUAAAAUGUAAUUGUUUUUCAUACACUUGUGUAGGUGUCAAGGGUGAAAGAGUGAUUUUGAGGUUGUCCAUAAUGAACUUAUACUUAUUGGUGAGUCUAAUAUGAUCAGCCUGUCUAUCAUACUCUCAAGGACGCCCCAACAAGAUAUGACUAGCAUGCAUAGGAAUUACAUCACAUAAAACUUGGUUCUUGUAUCGACCAAUAGAAAAAGUAAUUAAAGUCUGUUUGGUCACCUUGACUUCCCCCCCAUCAUUUAACCAAGGCAAUCUAUAUGGUUUAGGGUGGUAAGUCCAGGGAAUGUGUUUUUGCUCAACAAAAUCAGCGGCUACACAAUUAGUACAAGAGUCACUAUCAAUGAUCAUAAGACAUACCUCAUCUCCAAUUUUGUAUCUCGUAUGAAAGAUAUUGGUUCGUUGGAGAUCAUUUUCUUGAGUUUGUGCAUUGAGCACUCUCAUGGUCACCAUAGUUCGAGUUACGGGGUCCUUUUCUAUUUCAACCAUGUCAUCAUCCUUCCCUUCUUCUUCCAGCGGUAACAUGUCCGCAUAUUCCUCCUCUCCUUCGCUUUGCCACACUUUCUCUUCAUUCAUGUACAUGAUGCUUCGGUUAGGGCAUUGAACCAUGAGGUGGCCAAUUUCCUUGCAUUUGAAGCAUGCCUUUGGCUGGUUGGUAGAUGUAUUUGCUCCUGGAAGAGUCGGCUGCGGGGUUGGUUUAGAAGAAGUUGCACUCGGAGGGAACGGUUGUUCUAUCCGCUUGUUUUCCCUCUCUCGAUUACCUUGCCUUGGCCAAACAUUAGAUGUUGGUAAUUGGUUCCUUCUCCAAGGAGUGAAAGAGGAUGUAGUGGUUCAGCCACUAGGUGUCUUUAGAGGUAAGGCUUGCUUUUCCACUUUCUCUGCAUAAGACACCAUUUGUUGAUGCUCAAAAUGGUCUUGAAACUCAACCUUUUUCCUAAUUUCAGGAUUUAAUCCAUUAAGGAAUCUCGCCAUGGUUGCUUCCGGAUCCUCUUGUACAUUGGCCCUUAUCAUCGCUACUUUCAUUUGUUUGUGGUACUCAUCAAUCGAGUUAGAACCUUGAGUGAGUCGUUGGAGCCGAUUGUACAAGUCCGUGGUAUAAUGGAAGGGUACAAAUUGUUUCCUCAUCACUUGCUUCAUUUCAGUCCAAGUGUCAAUCGGUUAUUCCCUAUUUCUCCUCCUCGUGGCACCUACUUGCUCCCACCAAAUAGAUGCAUAAUCUUGAAAUUCAAUAGUUGCAAGUUUCAUCUUUUUCUCUUCAGAGUAAUUGUGGACUUAAAACACUUGCUCAACUCACCUAACCCAAUCCAAGUAAGUUUCAGGAUCAUUUUUCCCAUGAAAGGUAGGCAUCUUGAUCUUGAUGGAACCAAGAUUGUCAUCGGUUCUCCUAGAUCGGUCUCAACCUUCCCUCGCUCCUCUUUGGAUUUUCCUUGAUCGAAAGGAGGUGUUAGAAUGAUAUCCCUUAUCAUCCGUAUCAUGAUCAACACUCUGAACACUCGAAACCCUAUUAUGUGUAUCUCCGGUACCUCACAUCUCAAUGGCAGCCAAUCGGUCGAAUAAUUGUGUCAUCACCAAUUCAUGUCUCUCCGUUUGUUUUCAAAGAGUUUGGAGCACCAGUUUGAGUGACACGUCGGUCUCAGACGGCUCGGGCAUGUUCCCCUCUUGAGACAUAUUGUCCAACCUGCAAAACAAGUGUAUCCCAGUCUACCUUGCAAGCACUCGUGUAUCACUCAAGGAAACACACUCACUCUCAAUUUUCCUUCUCGAAGUUCUUAAAGCAACUCAAACUCUCAAAAAUUUCAGAAUUAAUUACCUUGUAAACAAGUAACAAGACACAAAGCAGAAUUUUGCAAAUCUUAGAAAAAAACUCUCUACCCGAAGCUAGAAUUCUUUUUGAGCUGCUAUUUUUGCUGAGUUUCUGGUCAGUGUUUUGGAGGUAAGUGGUGCGUUUGGGGUGCUCAAAUAAUGUAUGAACCAGUUCUCAAAUUUCAGUUAAAUCGGCUCCAAAGACAAAACAGAAUUGAAAACCAAUCAAGAUUUAGAGACUCAAGUUUUGGGAAACCAAUCAAGAUUUGGAAACUAAUCAAGAAUUGGAAACCAAGCAAGAAUUGAAAACUCAAGAUUUGGAAAACUUGAUUUCCUUUGUGUGAGAGCCGAUUCCUUCUCUUCUUCCUUUAUUUUCGUUCUCUCUCUUUUUUUUUUUUUUUUUUUUGCUUCGGCUCUUCAAGGAAUACAAAUUCAGGUCACACCAAUAAGUUCAAGAAAAUGGAUGAAAAGUUAUGCAAAUUUCAAGAAGAUCUUAGUUCUUGAUUUAUUGUUCAAAAACUUUCAAAACAAGACUUGGUGGUCCAAGAACUUCAAAAAUUUGUUCAAGAAGUUCAAGAACUUUCCCAAAUUACGUUGUGGUAUUUAGGGUUUGCAAGAACAAUAACCAAUACUCAAGAAAUAGGCAAAACAAAAUUUCAACAAUACUCAAAAGAAAAUUCCAGCAAUACUCUAGUAAGUUGGACACUAAAACAACAUAAGGUAUAUGACUCUUUUUUUUUUUUUUGUCUUUAAACCCUAACAACCCAAACACAAGAUUAAUAGACCCAAGAACUUGGACAGAAAACACAAAAAAAGACAACACCCAUACAGAUUUUUUUUUCUCGGACGAACAGUAACGUGAACAGUACGCUACAGUACGAUAAACAGUAUUCGGUACAGUAACGAUGAACAGUAAUCGCUAUAGUAACGAUGAAUAGUAAUCGCUACAGUAUUUUUUUUUUGACAAAAGACACAAAUUAACAAAAUAUGAACAACUUCAAUUAAAAGAGAAUUAACCUGAUGCUCUGAUUACCAACUGAUGAGCAACCCUAGGGGAAGACCCUCCUAGACCCUCCCAACCUUGUAAUUAUCAGAGUUGGACCUUUUCUCCUAAUGGAAAUUGAACUCGAAUUGUUCUCAUGAACUCAAGACCUCUGACACACAAAGGCAAUCAGCAAGCUUAAGCAAAUAAUGAUGGAUGAAGAGACACCACGAUUAGGGAACAAACUAAUCGAUAAAGUCAGAUUUGAAUUCUAAGCAAUGAACUCAAGAAUUCAAGAGUAAGUUCGAUUAAGAACUUGAAGGAAAAAAUCCUCACGAUUUCUGGUUGUAAUAUUUCGUCUUUUCACUCAUACAAUAGGUGCCUUUUAUAGGCUAAAACUAGGGCAAAUCCGACCCACAUAAACCUGGAAUAGGAAUUCGGUCCGCAUAAAGAGCUAGCUCUUUAAGACUUCUCGAUAAGGCCCAAUAAGUAAUAAAAUACUCAACGACUAACAACUACUAAACUAGGCAGUCUUAAAAUAACUACCAACUAAGUUAACAAGUAUGAGAUCAUUCUUUCACUUCAAACAUACAAGUGAACAAGGUAACUUCAUGGUCCAUCAAAUCUUCAAACUUAGCUUGCUCCUUGCUUGUAUGGUAAAUGAUCAAGACUUGUAAAACUUCCCUCACCUUCUUGGUUCUUGAUCUUGUCAUCGGACCACCAAUGUUGAUCAAAGGGUCCUUGACCUAAGGUUGAAGGUGUUGUACACCCGUAUCCACAUCACAACCCCUGAAAAUCGCAAACCCUACAUUGGGGCAAAUUUAGUUUUGAAAAAAAAAGAAAAAAAAUCCCACACUGGAACAAAUUUAAUUUUUAACGGAAGGCCGAAAGAAAAGAAAAUAAACAAAAGAAAACCUCAAUUAAAAAUAAAUUUGGGCAAAUUUUGAAAAAUUUCAAAAGAUGAAUAGAAUGACAGAAGACAAAAAAAAGAAAAAAUGAAAGAAAAGAGAACUUUAGUUGAGAAUAAACUAGUGUAAGUUUUGAUUUAACCUUAAAAUAAGGUUGGCACAAUAAUGCGAUUUUAGAUCAUUUAAACUAUUUUUGAAAUCCGCCUUCAAACCUUAACUUUUUUAAGCACCCCACCGACCCCAUUACAAAAGUCGAAAGUUCUGACUUCUGUUUUUUGCCAUAUCUUUGUCAAGAAAUUUUCUAAUUAACUGGUACAUGAUGUUCAUAUACUGAUGCGAGAAAAAUUUUUAGAUAUGUUUCUGAAUUGAUUAGGUUUGAGAUUGACACUGCUCAUCAGGUGAAAAUUCACAAGGACACCUUCAAAAAGGAAAAGAGAUCAUUAUAAAAAAAUAACAAAAAAGGGAAAAAGAAGAAGAAAGAAAAGAAAAGUCAAGAAAAAAAAAAGAGAAGAGAGAAAGAAGAAGGAAAGAAAAUAAAAAUAUGGGGGUAAUCUUAGUGCAGACCCGAAAGGGCACUAAGAUAUGGUUUCCCAAGGAAAGCAAAGAAGGUAAUAACUGGCAAUUCAGUUCAUUUGGAUUCCUAUUCACAUUGAAAUUUUUUUGCCAGCAUUGAAUUCCCGACGGACAAUAUCUAAAAUGUCAAACAGGACAAUUUGUUUGAGGUCAAAGUAUUUUGGUUAUCAAAUAUAGAUUGUUGAGUUUAUGAUUCAUCACUCUAAGAUUAUUUUUCCUUCAAUACAAGUUGAUGGUUAUUUUUGGCACUACAUUGACUUUUAUUAUUUUGUAUAAAAGAAAAUUUUUAGAUGUUGUAUGGUUUCAUUUGUCUCAUUGGAUUUUAUCAAAUAACAAUCUCCACGGUUUAUCGAAAGUGCAUAUGUAUAAAUUUUCAUAUUGAAUUAGCAUUGGAAGCUAAGACAGCCUGGAUAUGAUUUGCAGCACAAGGCUAGAUUUUGCAGCAUCGAGGACAAAACAUUAAAAUAUUCAUGUUUACACGUUUCUUAAAAGCUAGACAGGUCGAAUUGUGGUGACAUUAUUUGUUCUUUCUUUUGCAGGUCCUUACGUGUUUUAAAUAACAAAAUUUGGGCAAAUUUUUUAUAUCCUCGUGGAAUGUCGUUCAAGAAUUGAAUAUUUAUGGUUCAGAUCGAGGAAGAGGUGUGAAUGAAAUUCUUAAGGAGGAACAAAAAUGCCAUAAUGCAAAGUGCAUGAUCGGUUGCACAACAAUUGGUUGAAACUGGGGCAAAUUUUUCAAAAUAUUCUCCAAGUGAGUAUUCAAAAACUUUUUCAUGCACUAACGCUUCUUUCUUGGCAAUUUAAUUUCCUGUUGGUGAGUCUCAGCGUCUUCCACGCACCCUUCUACCCUCUCUCUUAGCAAUUUAAUUUCCUGUUAGUGAGUCUCAACUUCCGCCGCGCACCCUUUUACCCCCUUCUUGGCAAUGUAAUUACCUGUUGGUGAGUCUCAGCGUCCACCGUGCACCUUUCUACCCCCUUCUUAGUAAUGUAAUUUCCUGUUUGUGAGUCUCAGCGUCCGCCACGUGCCCUUCUACCUCCCUUCUAUCCCAUUUCUUGGAGCGUAACCGCGUCUCUCCGCACAUCUUUUUCUAAUUAUGUCAAUUUAAUUUGCUUGACCGUUUUGACUAAAAAUUGUGCUUUCUCAUGAUUAGAAGUUCUGAGAGUUCAGACUCCUUCGAUUCUGCAAAGAUCAUAAGUGGUCAAUGCACUUGUUUCAUUAUAGUUCACUGGUAUUUGAACUAUAUUUGACCUGAUUCCCAUAACGGGAUACGUAGGUAACUUUACACGAGUUCGGUCAUGUCUCUUGUAAUAUUAUUGCAUUAUUCUCGCCCAAUAAUUUUAGCUAAGUGUUGGUUUGUUAUUUUAGCUUAGGUGCAGUUAGAAGAGACAAAUAAGUAUUUUGACGUCUACGUUUUUGUCUCUAAUUUCUUUGAAACUCAGACAAAGAGGGGCAAGUGUAGAUAGAUACCAAAAUUUCAAUUCUAUUUAAUUUUAAUUUAAUUUAAUUUUAUUUUAUUUUCAUUAAGCUAUUUUUAUUGAAUUAGGGUUCAUUUUCUAUUAAAUAAUUUCCGAAAAAAGAAAAGUCUCACAAAAAUUUGUUUUUAAGUUUUUCAAAUUCAAUUUCUUCCAAAUAAAGUGGAAAUUUACAAAGAAAUUUCAAUUAGUAGUCUAACAUUUUAUUUACCCUAAAUUUAUUUAAAAAAAAAUAAAAAGAAAAACAAAAAUAGGUGGAAUGCAUGUAAUAUGGUUAGGUGGAGUGCAUGUAAAUGAUCCAUGUGAUUUUGACAUUUUGCACAUCACAACAUUCAAAGGAUAGGUGGCAAGACAGGUGGAAGAUGGAGAAAGAUCUGGAAACAAAAGGAAAAAAUCAGGAAAACAAGGCAAAAGGGAGCGAGCAAGAGAAAGCAAAGGGAAGAAAAAAGAAGGAGAAAGGAAAAAAAAAGAAGAGGGUUUUGGCUGAGAAAGAAAGAAAAGGGAGAAAGAAAGAAAAACUGAGGAGGAAAACAAGGGAACCUGGGAAAAAUCUGGGAGAGAGGUUCAGGCCAAACAAGAGAGAAUAGGAAGAAAGGAAAAAAGAAGAAAAAGAGAAGAAGGAAGAGAAGGCUUUGAGCGAGGGGAGUUUUGGGAAGAAGGGUGGAGGAGGGGAAUCUGCUGGAGCAAGAAAGGAAGAGAGAAACUGGGAGGAAAAGAAGAAAAAGGGUUUCGGGAAAAGAGAGGAAAAAGAGAAGAAAGGAAAUAAAAAGGAGAAAACCAGAAAAAGAGAGGAAAAAGGGAGGAAGUUUGGGGAGGAUUAGGGAGAAAAACAGAAAGGCAAACGAAAGGAAAAGAAAGACAAACAAAGAGAAAAGAGGGAAGAGAGAAUUUCUGCAAAAUUUUUUUCAGAAUCAGGUUGGAUUUUCAUCACCUUGAGAUGCAAUUUUCACAAUCGAAUUGAUCUCUUCUUGGAUGUUUUAAGCAAUCUAGGAUAUUGAUGAAAUGAGGGGAGCAAUUUUUAUUUAGACAUUGUGGAGAAAAAGCGUCAGGAAAGCCUCCAAAUUUGCCUUCCAAAGUCGUGGAUCGGUUUGACUGAUGCAUCUACAAAUCUGUAAAAAUUCUUCAAAAAGUGUCUCUGUUCGUUCCUUUGGCUCUCAUCUCAUCUAGGAUUCGUCUUUAGGUAAAUCUUACGCGUUUUCCUCAUUCAUUCCAGUUCACAUGCAAAGAUUAAACUCAUCAAAAAGGAAUUUUUCUUUAGAUUAUUGCCUCGCAAGUCCAUAGUGUUGGUUGUAUGAUUUGGUUAGGUUUGAUGCAUCUUAUUUGACUAACAAAUAAUGAGGUUUAGAAGUUGAUGAGAAACUUAUCUAUCUUGAAUGUGUGUCCUUGUUGCUUUUGCACGUCUUGUGGCUCAUAAUCAAAGGUUUGUUUUGAGAAUUUUUGUUGGAAACUUAUGAAUCAAAAAGCCAUCAGCUUUCUUGCUUUCUUUCCUCCGUGAAACUGAAUGGAUGUGAUCCAUGGGUUGUGGGUUCUUUUCCUAGUAUCUUGUUUGUUUUUCAUGAUUUGGGUUUUAGGCUGUUUUCUUGAAGGGUUGGGUUUGAAGUUUUAGCCAAUGUUCAUCUCACUUUGCUGCAUUUUUAUGUCCAGUUACCUUGUUAGAUUUUCUGGGGAUAGAUAAUUGUGUUUAGGUGAUGUUAAUAACGAUGGGGUAGAAGUUCUUGCAUUUGGUUUUAGUUGUCGAAUUAGUAGACGUUGCUUGAGUUAUUUCGCACAAACAUAUCUAGGCGAAUGAGGAAAGAUUGCUGAAGUCUCAAAGCAACGAAAGUUGCAGAAAGCUUCUUCGUAAGAUUGCAUGAAAAUUUCAGAAAAAAUUGCAUUUUAGACCUUCAAGUCUUAAGUAAUGCUAUGGGCUAAGAAUAUGGAAAACUCAAUCAAUUUUACCCUUUUUGAAAUUCAAUCAAUCCUUUUAUAUUUUAACCAUGUUUUAGACCUAUUGCUGCUGUGGCCCAAGAAUAUGGAAAACUCAAUCAUUAAUUUGCAUUUUGUUUGAUAAAGUUGAAUCAACUACUUGGUUUGAAUUAACUAUUAAUUUGCAUUUUGUUUGAAUUAACUAUUUGUUUAGUUUAAAUGGCAUUUAAUUUUAAAAUUUUAGGAACCUUGAGUUGACUUCAAAUGAUUUGUUUUGUGUUUAUCAAAGAAAUUGGUGCCUUGACCAUUUCCUUUGUUUUGAGGAUAAAAAAGAGAUUUUUCAUUUUAUUAGAUCACCAAUUCAAGGGAGGUACACUCUACUGCUUAUUUUUUAUUUUAAUUGAUCCUAUGAGAAUUUAUGUGUGUAAUUGCAUGUUUUUAUGUUUUUUAUUAUUUAUUUUGUUUUGUUUAUUUAUUCACUUUAUUUGUUUCUUUUAAUUUCAUAUAUUCAUUUUAAUUUAAUUUUUGAUUAUUUAAGAGUCAAUUAAAUGUUAAAUUGUAAUAGUUAGAUUAUUAUUUUAUUUUGUUUCGUUCUUUCCCUCUUAGAUUGUAGUUAGGGUCCCCAAAUGUAAUAGUUAGGCCUUUAUUUGCUCUUAUUUGCUUUGUAUGUGCUUGCAUGUUUAUGUGUUUACUCACUUUCUUAGGGUUUUUGCAUCUAUGUAUCAUGCUCAUGUGCUAUGUGCUCUAUGUGAUCUAUGUGUUUACUUGCUUUUAUCAUGUUUUAUAUGAUUUAUUAAUUGUAAUAAAUGCAUGACGUCACCACACUAGUCCAAUGCUAGUUGUGGGUCUUUAUUCCAAUUUCUCACUAGUCUACUGCUAGUUAGAGCUUAUAGACAUGUGUUAGUCUAACACUAGAUCCUUAGGAACCGUUCACGCAUUAGAUCAUGUUUGUGCGGUAAAAUCACUACAUUUCAUGCAUAUUUUCUACUUUUAGGAUCCUUACCAUUUUGUAUGAUAUUUUCCUUAUAUAUAUCCUUUAUCCUUAUAUGUAAAAUAUGACAUUUAGACGUGCAUUUCAUUUAAGAAAAUUAGAACUAGAUUAUUUUUUUUUGGCUAACUUCGUCCACGAGGGGGGGAUGCCACCCCCGCUUUUAUUCAUAAAUCACAAAAUACAAUGUUUCUUGCAUUAAGGGGUUCGCACCCUCCUAACAGAAGGAGCUCCCAUGCUAUCUAGGCUAAUUCCUCCACGAGCCAGCCUCAGCCAUUCAUUCCAAUGCUCAUAGAGCUUAACAACAUGGUGGGGGUGUGCUACCUCAACAUUAGCCAGAAUAUCUGUCACAUUAUUUGCCUUUCUGAAACAAUGGACAAGUCUCGACGGAUCUCCUGCCAGCUUCCAUAUUUGCUGGACCUCCCAGCGGAUGUGCCAAUGACAGUGAAGCUGGCGUUGAAGAAUCCCCACCAAAACUAGAAAAUCCAGUUGAAUGCUAACAUUCAUGAACCCCUUUUGAGCACAUAUCUGAAGCCCCGUUAGAAGUGCCAGCGUUUCUACCUGGAGGCUAGAUGUCACUCCAAAAAAAGCCGAGAACCCCACCAUGGGGUGUCCCGAUGGAUCCCGUAGCACUCCUCCGCCACCACAUGGCCCAGGAUUACCCUUGGAGUAGCCAUCCGUGUUCAGGGUAAGUGCUCCCAUUGUAGCUAGCUCCCAACAAACAAGUUUGAGCUCGAAACGCCGCUCCGACUGAGACGACCAAUCACACAACUGCAAGAAUGAUCGAGCCCCAACAUGCUGCUUGAACUGCCCUUCAAGAAGUAAUUUGGUCUCCAAAAAAAUAUCUUGGCAAAUAGAAGGAGGAUGCAGUUGAAUGCCCUCAAAAACUGCUCUAUUCCUAGCCUUCCAAAUGUGCCAACAAAGUAUGCUCGGGAGAGUAUGAUAAAGAGCUCGCUGCCUUUCCGAUCGUGGCCACGCCAACCACCAAGAAGCCAGACGGCCCCAAACAGACGUGACUAUGCUAGAGAUGCCACACAACCCCCCCCCAAAGAAUGCCCAUAUUGCUAUAGCAACCUCACCCGUGGCAAACACAUGCUCAAUGGACUCAGCCGCCAGGGAAGGGCAACACACACAUUUUGAUGGGACAUGAACCCCAAACGUGCAGAGCAUGUCAUCUAAGGGCAUCCGGCCCAUUAACAGCCGAACCAUAAAAAAUGAUACCUUGACGGGGGUUAGACGCUGCCAAGCCCUAGAGAGCAUGAUUGAAGCAUUAUCGACAUGCUGUCCCUUCUGAUAGGUUGAACCUAAUGAAAAUUUCCCAGACAUCUCCGGUAUCCAUACCACCUCAUCCGCAGAAUGUUCAGUCGGGACCGAUUUUCUCAACACAAAAGACAUCAUAUCCCGUGGUAGACACUGAGCUAGGAGCUGAGCAUCCCAGUGACCCUGAGCAAUAAAGUCUCGGAAGAAUAGAUGUGAGGCCACUGGAGUUUUGAGGAACAACGCUCCACUACCCAACCAAUUAUCAUACCAAAAAAUGACAUGACCCGUCUUGUACUAACCACAACAUGGAUAGCUCAACCUGGCAACUGACAUCCAGCAUCCAUCUCCAUGUCGCUGAGGCAAACACCUUACACUCUGCCUGGCAAGGAUAAAUGCCUCGACAAUACUUCGCCUGCAUGAAGGAAGCCCACAGGGACGUCCCAGUCCGGAACUGCCACCAGAGCUUGUAAGAGAAAGCCCUAUAUACAUCACUAAGCCAGCGAAACCCCACCCUCCCUCCUCAAGCGGGAGACAAAGCUUAGCCCAGCGAAUCCAAUGAUACCUUGAUCCUUCCUCCGAAGAUCCCCACAGAAAGUUGCACAAGCUCGCUCGAUAACCCGGAACACAGCCUUGGGAAUUACUGCCGCAGACAGCAAGUGAAUCGGAAUAGCGGAUAGAACAUGCUUUAUCAAAGUGAUCCUUCCCCCCGACGGUAAAAGCUUAGUUUUCUAGGACAGUAUUUUCCCAAGGAUCUUCUGACACACCUCCGUAAAGUAGGCCAUCUUACACCUGCUGACAUAUAGGGGAAAACCUAAAUAGCGGGUAGGAAACGCCUAUCGCGAAAACCCUGUAAUAUGCUCGAUUGUCCUACCUCUUGCACUGGAUAGUGACGAGUGGAUCAAAUAGCCAUUUUUCUGAGCAUUGAGCAAUUGGCCUGAGGAACGUUGAUACAUAUCGAGCACCCGCACAACCUGGCACAAAGAUGCGUCAUCUGCAAAAGCCAAAUGGGUUACUGCAGGGCAAUCCUGGGGUACCUUAAACCCGUGGUAGGACAGCCAGGUUACAAGAUCGUUCAGUCCCCGUGAUAGAACCUCCAUGGCUAGGAUGAACAAGGUAGGGGAGAGCGGGUCCCCUUGACGAAGACUCCUGCUCGACCUAAAAUAGCUGUAAGAUGCCCCAUUAAUCACAACCGAAAACCAGACAUUAGACACCAACCGCCAGACCAUAUCAAUAAAGCGUUCUCCAAACCCAAACUUCCGCAAUACUCUAAUCAGAUAAAGCCAGGACAUCCGGUCAUAAGCCUUGGCCAUGUCAAGUUUGAGCACUACGUUCCCCCCUCUCGCUUUCUUUCCUAUGCCUGCAACAAUUUCCUGAGCCAAUAAAUAGUUCUCCGUAAUAUUCCUGCCUCUAACAAACCCUGACUGCUGGGGAAAGACUAGCUUUGGCAACAAGACAGCCAGUCUAUCAGACAAAAUGCGCGACAAAACUUUAUUUAUGAAAUUGCAGAGGCUUAUAGGCCGAAAGUUAGAGAAGUCUUGAGGGUUUGAGACCUUUGGGAUAAGGGCAAUAGAAGUCGAAGUAAUGAAACGCGGAAGAUCAGCCCACAAAAGAAGCUUACCACAGCAUUAUACACAUCCUGGGCGAUAACAUCCCAUACAAAGGUAAAGAACUUGCCCGUAACCCAUCCGGUCCCGCCACACUGUCCCCAUCCAUGGCAUGCACCACAUUUUUCUCUUCUUCCAUUGAAGGAAUGUCCUCUAGAGUCAGGUUCUCUUCCCUCGUGAGGAUAUGAGAGAUGAGCAGAAGCAACUCAGUGCUAGGCACCACAGACUCAGAGUACAGUCUCGAGAAGAAACGAAUGGCCUCAAUGGCAAUUUUCCCAUCGCCCUCCACCCAAGUCCCCACUUGCAUUUUGAUUCGGUGGAUCGUAUUCUGGACUUUACGUUGCUUAACCACCGUAUGGAAGAACUUAGAAUUCCAGUCCCCACUUGAGAGCCACCUAACACGUGCCUUUUGGCUCCAAAACUGCUCCUCGAUUGCCAAUGCAUUCCGAAACUCCGCUUGCGCCUCCUGUAGCAAAUGUGAGCAUCCUCCGAGUCCUCGCUUUCCGCCCCUGUCUCUACCAGAACCAUUUUCACCUCUGCCACCUUGACAACCUCAAAAACAUUUUCAAAGAAGCAUUUAUUCCAUUGUUGAAUGGCUCUCCUCACAGUCAAUAGCUUAGUACACUACACACGCCAGGGAGACCCAUCCACUGAGAGAGCCCAAGCAUUGCGGAUCACCUCCAACAGGGAGGACAGUGAUAUCCAAACGUUGAGAAAACGGAAUGGCCGCGGCUUAUCAUCCUAAUGGGUGGCAAACGUGAUCUUUAAAGGGUGCCUAGUCAGAUGAACCAUUGAAAUAGAGGCGGACAGGUCCGCACAUUCGACUUUAACAAGGAGCCGAUCCGACGCCUUCCACACCCGAGUUCAACCUCACCUAUUAUUACAUCAAGUGAAACUGGGUCCAGAGAACCCGGCAUCAAAAACUUCAGCCUCCUCCAUAAAUGACAUGAACUCCAACCUCUCCGCGGACACAAAGGAGCGGCCCCCUCGCUUCUCAGUCGGAGCCAAGAUCACGUUGAAAUCCCCCCCUAUGCACCAGGGAUGCGACUGUGGCUUGUCAAGUAAGAGAUCUCUCCACAAGUGCUUGCGACCCUUCACGGAACAUCUCGCAUGGACCCAGGACAGCAUUAAGGAGCCAGGCAAUAGUGGAUGAUGAGCAUCUAACGUGAUAUAUUGGUUAGAAGACCCAACCCGCGAGCAAACAAAUAGUGACUUAUAGAAUACCCAGAGAUCAGCCGAUGUAUUAACCAUGACAUAAUCAAACGAAAGCUACAAUCGUAUAGACUCAAUCUUAGGUUCACAGAUGCAAAGAAAUUGAACAUCAUGCAUGCGAAUUAACCUGAUCAAUCUCCUAAGAUUGGGAGCUUUCGACACCCCCCGAAUAUUCCAAAAUAGAGCAUUAACCAUGGGAUGAGGCAUUGAAAGAAUUUUGAGACGAUGUUGAAGAACAAAGCUGCCUGUCUGAGGGAAACUUAGCACACAUACCUUUCACCUUCACCUGCGUAAAUCCCUGCUCCAACUCCGUGGCCUGAUCAAUGUUAAGCUCCAACAGUGAUAGGUCCAUCGCAGGCCCAUGCGACCUGCUCAAUCUUGGCGACAAAUUCCUUGUCGCCCACGGCAACUCCUUCUCAUGCGAAGCUGCUGGCGAACCAAGCUCAACCGAAACAAGCUCCUUGAACCCACUUUGCAUGCAUGUGUCCGCCCUUCCAGUAGCCUCUUCCUCGGUCACCCUUCCCUCAACCGCACUAAGCUCCUUGAACCCACAUUGCAUGUCUACGUCUUCCCCUCCAGCAGCCAUUUCCUCGGUCACUACCCUCUCCAACCCAGCUCCUCCCUCAGCCGCUACUUAGGCCACCAUCCCAUUGGCCGUGGCCGCACACUCUACUUCCCCUCCCGUAACCAUCAUGCAUGCGGGUUCUUUUGCCUUGGACGCUACCCCCUCCAACCCAGCCCUCUCCUCUGCCACCCCUACGUCCCCUAUCAAACUAGGCGCACACAUCCCCUCCCCACCAACAACCAAACCUACCACGUCGCUGCCCACUGCCUCCUUCGCUACACCCACACCCAGCCCCUCUGUUUCCUUGUUAUUCACCGCCACCCCCUCCUCCGCAGGUAAAGUAGCGCAUUCACAGUUAGCCAUACCAUCAGGACUCCGCACAGCCUGCACCCUAAUCCCUUUGCUGCUCUCCUUGUUAGCAGGAAAGCGACCAGGCCGUAGCGGGUUUUAUUGCACUCAGCGUUCGAAUGGCCAAGCCGCCAGCAUGAAGAGCAGUAAGAGGGCAGAUGCUCCACCACAAUCUCUUGCUAGAAACCCCCUCUCCCUCGACAGCCAUCCACACUCGAGAGCAGGUUGGUUUCAACAGAUCAACUUCAACACAGGCUCUGGCAACGCCGGGCCUUGUACCAGAUGCAGUUGCUUAGUCCAAGAACAACGGUGUACCCACAAGAGACAGAAUAGAGAAUAGCGAAUGUUUAUUGAAAAAAUGAAUUGGGAGUGCCGGCAAUGCAACCCCGGUACAAGCGAGGAUUCCCUAUGGACAUGGAAUUCCCUAGUCCAAUGAAACACCCUCAUAGGGUACUUCCCUAUGUUCCACAGCCCUCUCGUCCAGAUACGAUUGAAGUCCGUCUCUGCCGAACAUCUCAGCAGCACAUGUCUAUAAUCCAGCAAGCCGAUUGAGAUGUCGUCCUUCAGAUUGAGCAUCGCAAAAAAUUUCCGCACUACCUCCAGUGAUGGCCGGCCAUGGGAGUAUUUGCCCACUAGAGACCAAUGAAAAGAAGCAGCCAGCUUGUUGGCCUCCUCCUUGGAGAAGACUACUGCUGCCCCCUCCUUGUACAAAGUGGCUGGUCGCAGAUGGACAGGAGAAGGAGCCGGUUCCGAGAAGAGUUGUGAAGAAGAUUUCUUGGCCGUUGGAGAGGCCAUCUGACCCUCCACGGCCUGCCUGAGGGCGGCCAUGGGCUGCCGCCAACCCUAGCAACGUUCCGACUUUCUUGGAGCAAAGGGUUUCGGAGGUUGUUUUCUAUAUGUUGGCUUUUUAAAUUAUUCAUUCAACUAGAUUAGAUCAUUUGCUUGAUUAGAUAGGAAAUACCCCUCGAAUAUGGGAUAUGGACAAGUAUGGCUUUCUAACCUUAGGACGCUCGUAUUCCCUCUAUAAAAGAGAAAAUCUAAUUACGAAUCUUAGCCUCCAUACUCGUUAUGUUCCAUCCUUCUCUUUUAGGUCACGUAUAUUUGUAUAUUACAAUUUUUUUCUAUUUUUUCAAGUCUCAUUGUUGCAUAUUGUGACCUCUUCAAAGAAUCCCAUAUGGGCAUCACAAUUAAUGCGAUUUGCACCAACUAAAAUUCGAAGAGAUAUAUUGACCCUUCUGAUAGCCAUUAGGUCUAGGUUUGCAUUUAUAUAAUAAUAUCCAAAUAUGAUAAGUUUUUAGGUUAAAUUAAGAAAAUUUUUGACUAAAUCACGUAACUAGUCUUGGUUAGGUUGAAAGGGUGUCUUGGAUUUUAUCUUUGCCUUCCCUUUCUUCAACCUUUGACUCCCGAACUUUUCUCUCUGAUUUUCAAAGUCUUGGAAUCGUUUUAAAAAGGGGAUUUUCUCUACUUUUAUUUAAAAUUUAUUUUAGGUGACUUGAUACAUGUUAAUUCAAUACCAAGUGGCAACUCCUAUUAUUCAUUAAAAACUCUUUUUAAACUAUUAUUUUGGGCCAAAAUCGUCGCACUUUAAGUCCCAUUUUUAGACCAUUUUUCUUUAUUUAUUAUCUAUAAAUCAAAAACUCAUUUUUACUCAAAAUUAAUCAAAAAUUUAUUUUUAUAAACCCGUAAUUUUAUUUUUUCAAAAAUGGGGGCGACAUGCAACUAAUUUUGCAUGCCUUUUGUUAUUGCAUUUUCAAAUAAAGGAUGGAAUAAAAUACAAUUGACACUUCACCAAAUCCAUGAUCCAUGAUAUACCCUUGCGAGAGCUGGUUGUCAAACAAGAAUUUCAGUAUUUUUACCCGUCCUUCACUCAAUUUUCUCCGAUAUAUGCCAGCCUAGUCUCCUGCUACCAUGAAAAUAUGUCAGCUUUCCUAGUCUAGAGUUCUUUUCUUUUGUAAUUAUGGAAUGCUGGAAUACUCACCCUUGCAAAUAAAAAACCAUCUUCCUUUGACACUCAUUUAUCCCACUACUACCCAUCUGUACACAAAAGUUAUAUUUACACUUUAUUUUUGUAAUACUACUAAAUACUUUUGCAAUUAUUUCUCAUAUAUAUUUAUUCUUUUAUCUUGCCUUCUAUUUUGUUUGCCUUCCUAGGGAGGCUUCUCCGUAUUGUCCAUCUUUAGUCUCUUUCUGCAUCUCUAAUUCGUAAUUUUGGAUGCAGUCUUUUCACCGAUUAUUGCAGUAUUCGUAGUUACUCUGGCAUUUUCAAUCCUAUUUCUAGACCUAAUAUCUAGCUUUUUAGGACUAAAUUUAUUUACUUCAUAGCCUCUUCUAACACUGCCAGACCAAUCAUCCUUCUGCCCGCCUUCCACACCAGAUGGCCAGUGUUUUUGCAUGGGCUCCUGCUUUCAUACAUUCUCCUCAGUGUUUCAAACUGAGAUUCAAUCAUUGCUUCUAUUCUACCAAUAUUGUCUUUCACAUCGUUAUUACCACACUCAAUUUCAACUAGCCUUUUUAUCAAUGUCUUCGCUACAGCCUACACUAUUGUAAAACUGCACAUUGCCCUGUCAAUACAACCCUUCAGUUUUCUAACACUAGUAACAUUACAAAAUGCAAUUGCAAAUUCAACAACAGUUCACACAAGUGCAUUUUACAUUACUUUUUCCUCCUCAAAUAUGCGAUUCCUCCUCAUUAUUGUCACACUUUCAUUAGUCUCAUACCUUCUCCAAAAUCUUAUCCUCGGCCCUCUUGGAAGGAACUUGCGAAACUCAUCCUCACCUUCGAUAUAGAAUCGUUCCAGAUAAUAAAUCCACAUGGAUAAAAUAUCCAUUAAUCAUUUAUAGUUCCUUUAUAUCAAAGGUAAUUGUUAUAGCAAUUUCUAGCGCUAUUUUAAAAGGUGUGUCUUCAUAUACCAUCAAGAAAAGUGCACAUCCCGCUAUUCUGUUGCCAUCUUCUUCACAGAUGCUCUUCACCAAGUUGUCUAGUAUGAAUUUUGACCAGUUCAGAUUUUCCAUAUUCUUUUCUUUGCCGACUACAGCCAUAGGCUCCCUGCUCACUGUGUCAUCCAAAGUUGGCGCUAACGCCUUACCAACAACAAACAGUACGAACUUCACUUUGAAUUCUAAGCCUUCAUUAUGCAAACUAUAUAGGUUGUCCCUCAAUUUCUCCGCUAUAAUUUUUCCUUAGCCGUGACGUGUAAACAUUAGCCAUGAACAUUCAAUGUCCUCCCAUCUAUAUCAAAGUUAUCCACUAGCCAGUUGAACAUCUCUUCGUCAACCUCAACUUCCUUCACAUUCAAAAUUGACCCAAACCCAAACUCUCCAAUAACCUGCCACUGCUCAUCCAAAACGUAGUCCAUCAUAUUCUUCAUUGGAUGAGUCGAGUUCUUUAAUAUUCUUUCCGUCGUUAGCCAGAACUGCUUCCUUUCACUACUACAACUAAAGUAAUUCAUUGCUAUUGCACUUUUAUGCAUUAGUGAGGGCCGAAUUUCGCUUUCUCCUUCACUAUCCCACUGCAUAUCUGAAACAUCUAUUUCGUCCACCAACUCCAUUAGGGAUACCAUUUUGCAUUCUUUGUGGGAAUUCCUGUUUGGUUUCGCGAACCUUCAUUUUAUAUGCGUAUAGUGUUCAUGUGACAACCCCACCACCCCCAGGGCGUACCCAAAGGUUUGGCGGACCGCUUGCCUAACUCUUGCUAGGACUUACUCACUCACUCAAUCAACUCUCAAGAUUAAUCAUUCAAGCCUCCAAAAUAACAUUUAAGUUCUACAAUUCAACCAAAAUAAAAACUUAUUUAUAAGCUAAAAGUCAAAUAUAUGAUACAACAUCAAAUGUCAAAAUACAUCCUAUCAACCAAGAGUACAAGUACAAGAGGGUUAUACACUCUAGGUCACACUUAAUUGCUCCAGACUUCUAUUCCUGUAAGGAAAACAAAAACUAAAGGAAUGAGUUAAAAAUCUAGUGAGGUUCCUAAACAAGCAAUCAGGUAGGGAAACCAAGGAAACAUUAUAUUUAACAAUUUGCAUACUUUGCACAGUAAUAUCCAAACAUUCAAGAAAUAAACACUCAAUCAUUAGAAGGAUACGUACUCACUUGGAGUCAUUCAUUCAAGUCAUUCAUUCAUUCAUUCGCCAACCAUUUUCCUUAUCCCUCCGACAUUAGAAAACAUUUGCAAGUGAAAACUUCUUCAGUGAAUUUGUCAUUCAUUCAUUGAUAUCAUUGCAUUGAAUUCACUGGCCAGUUCUCCACCAGAUUUCAUGGUAAUAUUCGAGUAUACCAAACAUUGUCCUAGAGUCACCAGUCACCCGUCACCCGACCGAGUCCGCUUCUGGCUCGAGUCCACUGGCAAUGAAGGGCAAGGGCCCAGUUCAGCCAAAAGGCUUACAUUCAUACACAAGUAACAUUCAAUCAUUUAAUCAUUGAAAAUUUCACGUUCACUUAGAUCAAGUGAUAAAGUACACACUCGCCUAUCGAAAAUCUAUUUAACAAUCAUUUAAAAGCAUUUAACAUUCAAACAAUAACUCAUAGAUUUUCACUUAGUCAUUUAUUGCACAAACAUCAAAAGUAUACACUCACCAGUUUAAGCAAAAUAACAUCAAAAGUUUCCUUCUGAAUUAUGCCCUUGAUCACCGACAAACCCUAAGAAUAACCAAGAGAAAAUAUUAUGGUUCAAUCAUCCAAAGUUUAGGUGAACUAAAGAAAAUCAGAGUAACUACUAGUACAAAGGUGCAAAUAUGAUUUUGGAGUGAAAAGAGAAAAUUUAGACCCAAGGGACAUGAGUAACCAAGAAUUUCCUCAUUCUAAUUAUAAACUGAGCUCAAAAUGGUUUAACAACUCCAACUUAAAGUUGGAAAUGAAAGUAAGGACAGUUUUAGAAAAAUAGAAUUUUUCCAGUUUUGUGCUAUUCUAUUUGAAAAAUCAUAUCUCAAGCUUCUUAAAUCCAAAAUUUAUAAACUUUAUACUAUUGAAAAAUAGAUUCAAAGGAUAAUUUCUCAGAAGACACCUUUGCAAGAUUCUAUCCACAAGUCAGUCAAAAUCCAAUCUCAAGUGGCUACUUUAUCUAGUAGAAAGACAGAACAGGAAUGAAAAUUCAGUAAAAUUUGAAAAAUCACAGAUAUUCAUAGGAAUUGAGAAAAAUUCUGAAAUUUACAUGGUCAAAAGUACUCUGAAUCUAGUUUCAAAUGCCAUAAGCAGAACUUAAGUUAGAUUCUUCUACACCAAGAUAUGACAGAUUUCCCAAGACUGCUCAGAGUCUCCUGCGGGAAAAAUUUUAGCAGCACUUCUUUUGUAUUUACCAAUUUUUCCAGCCAUUUCAAGGCUACAUUUUCACCAGGAGACAGCUCCAAUCAAGUCCACAAGAUAUAGGAUACAUAGAGUACUUAUUUUAACCACAAAUAUAGCUAUAACCAACAUAUACCUAAGCUGGAAAUUAACCAAACCCUAGCAACAACUUCACCAAACCCUAGCAAAACCAUGAAAUUACCAUAAACGUACUUCCUCCAACUUCAAUCAUAACAUAUCUUGCAUAAAUCUCAACAAACAGGUAAAAAGAGAUGUUUUCUAGAAAUUUUACCUCAAAACCCCAAGAUAAUAAGCAACUCAAGAGCUUUCUUCUCCAAGUAACUCUACCAAAAGCUUCCCUCCAAUCGUAACUCAAGACUAAUCGAUAUGGAUUAGGGUUAGUGAUUGGAUUUUUCACAAAUCAAGCAAGGAAAUCAAGAUGGAAUUUGGAAGUUUUUUCUCUCUUCUUUCCUCUCUCAAUUUCGUCCAUGAGGAAGGAGAAAUGAAGGAAAAUUGUGGCUAGAGGAAAGAUAAGAAGAAAGAAAAUGUCUUGAUCAACAUUUGGUUUAAUGGUUGACAAGUGUCACCCAACUAUUUUGUCUUUCUUUUCCUUUUCCUUAGUCAAUAAUGGUGGCUGAUUUAAGGGUUAAUUUAGGAAAAAUUAAAUGAAAUAAAAACAAGGAUGUUAGGGUAAGAAAGUAUUGGUCAAGCAGUGUACUCAACCGGUAACAAACGGCACACAUUGGUUCAAGCCUAUUUCCCUUAACUCUCUUGUACUUUUGUUUUAACUUAUGAUUACUAACUUAUUGUUAUCAUUUCUAGUCACACACUUCCUCUUACCUAAGACUCACUCUUAUUCACCAAAUUUAGUGUACACAUGUCACCAAUCGAUCACACUACCAAAAUGUACCAAAACCCUAAUUUACUCUAACUUUAAAAGUAAAAGUAAAACGCUUUACUUAACUAAUGAAAUCACCAUGAAAUUUAGGGCUAGUAAAUAGUUAAAUAGUCAAAGUAAAGAAAUAUAGAGGGAAAUAUAAAUUAAUUUUUCAAAAAUGGGAGGAAAUUCUGAAGGAAUUUUUGGGUCCUCACAGAUCAACUUCUCUGACAAGCUUCGUGCCUUUUCAAUGACUUUAAUUUCACUCAUGACCCUCUGACUUUGGCAAUUGAUUAUUUUAGGCACUCCACCUUUUCCAUUUACACUUUUGAAUCCCUCAAGUUUUCCCGUGGCCCUUACAGUCAACUUCAACACCCAACGGCUCUUCAAGUUGCGAGUCACAAAACACUUUUACACAUGGCCGUCCAAAACAUAUUCCCUAUGAUGUGUGGCUUCAAUCACUCAAUCCUUUUCCCCCACCUUUCGCCACCUCUUCUUUGACCAAUAAUCAUACCUCAGCAACUUCCUUAGAUUUACUUGUUAGAAAGAGAUGAUACAAAAUGCUAACUCUAUAAAAAUGAUUAUUUCAUCGUGAAAGAAAUAUUUGCAUUCAAAUAAAUGAGAAUUUUUAUUUUAAUCGAUUCAGUAUUUUCACAAAAUCACUGACUUGAGGGAGAAAAUAAGCUAAAUCAAAGACUUCGAGGAGAAUAAUAGCUUUGAAGAAGUAGUGUUAAAAUGACAAAAGCACAAAUCCACUUAAACGUGACAAGAAUUUUUUCUAAUAGUUGUUAUUUUAUGUUGCUCAACUUAUAAAUCUUUCAGUAUACAAGUAAAUUAGGUUUGGCCAUAAAAAGCCACACAUGACAAACUCAAAAUCUGCUAAAGGCGACAAAGAACUUUUCUCAACUUUAUUUCACACUAGGAAUGUAUGUAGAAAGGAUUCAUAUGUUACAAUUAAGAUGUAGGCAUAAAAAGUCAUCGCAGACUUAGAUUGAAAUUAAAUUUAAUGAACUUUUUUCUAAGAGAAGCAAAGUUAUUAUUUUAAGUGAAGGACAAAAAAAUUUAAAAUGUUGUGAGUGGAUUUAAAAUUAAUGUUAAUACUUUAUACAAGAUCGACUUUUUCUGUAGGUGUUCCUUAAUUUAUAUAUCCAGUAUAUUUAUAUAGUGUUCUUAGUUCAAAUGAAAUCAUAAUAUCUCAAGUGUUUAAGCUAUAAAGUAUAAACGUAAAGCACAGACGAAACAUUUAUUUCUUUGACUGUGUUUGAGCUCUAGACUGAUUUAUCUUAAUUAAAAUUGGCAGUUUCAUUAAUCAAAUUUAUGUCUUUCAGAAAAUAGUAUCUCAGGGAUUUGACACUUUAUAUAUUAUUGUUUAAAUAAAUAUAUACACUGAUAAUUUAUACACUAUCAUCAUUAGCUUCAUAAUAAUAAGCAAAAUUUGAACUUUAAAUUUAAAUUCAAAUUAGUUAUCAUGCAUUCAGUGGUGUGAUGAUGUUGUAUACACUAGUAGAGUAUAAAAGAUUAAUUCAUUUUUUUCCCAAAAUAUUGACUUAUAGCGUGCAAAUGUUGAGCAUAAAUACACAGCUGCGCAUGGUUAUACAAUAUUCUAGGCCUAAAAGUACGCAAUUGCAAAGAAUUUCUUAGUCAAAUUAAACUCACUACUACUUACGUUCCAAUCAAAAUGUCAAUACUUUUUAUUUUGAAAAGUCGUAAAUUUUUUAUCCUCUCCUUUCACUAUAAUCCCCUUUAAUCAUAUAUAUGUUAUCAUUUAAUUUUAAACUUACUGGAGCAAGAUAAAAAAAAUACAAAUAUUACAAUCAAACUGCUUCUUAAAAAAUUAGACUUCCUUUGAUCGUAUGAGACGGAUGAAGUAUUAUAUUCCAAUUCCCGAGGCCUUUAUCCUCUCUUCCUCCUGGAUUUGUACAACCAAGGAGCUGAUAGACUAAUUUAGCUUUUUUUUUUUUUUUGGGAUAAGAAUAGACUAAUUUAACUAAAUCCAAACAAUAAAGCACCAUUUGUACAUAUUUUAUUCACUAAUGGCACAACUUUACAUAAUAAUCACGGAUUCCCAUCAAUUUUAAACAAAACCCUGUUGCAUUCACUAUACCUUAUACACUUUCACCGGUGGGAUUCCAUACACUGAAGACCCAAAGCACACUGGUUAUUGCACAACCCCACAAACCACCAAGAAAUGGCCGCCCAAACUCACCUGUUUCAUCCACUCCACUCCUUAUCUCUGCCACUGAAAACCCGAUCUAAAUCACCUGAAUUUAAACCCAAGCUGAAACCCUCCACAUUCAUCAUCUCCAGCAAGCUCCGGGCAGCGGUGGUAGGAGGAGGUCCAGCUGGAUCCUCUGCAGCUGAAGCACUUGCUGCUGGUGGCAUAGAGACCUUCCUCUUCGAACGCAGCCCCUCUACUGCCAAACCCUGUGGUGGAGCAAUCCCACUUUGUAUGUUAGAUGAGUUCUCCAUCCCUCCUCACCUCAUUGACCGCAAAGUCACCCGCAUGAAGAUAAUAUCUCCGUCGAAUCUGGCUGUUGAUUUUGGUAAAACUCUGAAGCCCCAUGAGUUCAUCUCCAUGCUCCGCCGAGAAGUGCUUGAUGACUUUCUACGCCGCCGUGCUGAGUCUUGUGGCGCCACACUUUUCCAAGGACUUGUCACAAAUGUGGUGGUUCCCCUAACAAACAGCUCUUCAUAUGUUAUUCAAUAUAAUAAGAAUAAUUCACAGAAAUCUCUUGCUGUUGAUGUUGUUAUUGGCGCUGAAGGAGCCAGCAGUAAGGUGGCUAAGGCCAUAAAAGCAGGAGAUUACACUUGUGCUAUUGUUUUUCAAGAAAGGAUUAAGUUGCCUGAGGAGAAAAUGGAAUAUUAUGAAAAUUUGGCUGAAAUGUAUGUUGGAAAUGAUGUCUCACCUGAUUUUUAUGCGUGGGUUUUCCCCAAGUGCGAUCAUGUGGCAGUGGGAACGGGGCCACUAUGCUCAAAAAAGGAUAUCAAGAUGCUUCAACAUGGCAUAAGAGCAAAAGUUACGCCAAAAACUCAUGGCGGUCAAGUAACUAAAGUUGAGGCUCAUCCAAUCCCUAGGCAUCCACGUCCAGUUAGAGUCAGGGGAAGAGUGACUCUGGUGGGGGAUGCAGCAGGAUAUGUGACGAAAUGUUCUGGUGAGGGAAUUUACUUUGCUGCCAAGAGUGGAAGGAUGUGCGGGGAAGCAAUUGUUACAGCAUCAGAGGGAGGUGAAAGAAUGGUUAGUGAAGAUGAUUUAAAGAGGGAGUAUUUGAAGAAGUGGGAUGAGAAGUAUUUAACUACAUUCAGGUUUUUGGAUUUGUUGUAAGGGGUGUUUUAUGGUACCAAUGCUGCUAGGGAGGCAUUAGUGGAGUUGAGUGGGGAUGAAUACGUACAGAGGAUGACAUUUGAGAGCUAUCUGUAUAAGAAGUUGGCCCAGGGAAAUAGAUGGGAUGACAUUAAGAUGGUCAUGAAUACAAUUGGGAGUCUAAUUAGGUGUGAUAUUGUAGGCAGAGGGAUUGAAAUGUUUGACAAACGAGUUCUUGCACGGUUGUAGUGUAUCAGGGAACUAGUUAAAAUGAAAGGGAAUGAAAUGAAACUUCAUCAGUACUUCCCAGAGAAGUACAGAUCCAGGAAGUUUUAGCUUUAAAUCACCUAAAAACCUUUUGGUAUGAACAAAUGGUUGUGCUAUUACUCUAUUUCAGUUCUUCGUUAAGCAGCUUCAAAUUGUUGUUUCCAAGAAAAUCUUAGCUGCUGUGGUAAAUUUAGCCUUUCAUCAUUGCCUUAAGUAUCAUCCUGUGAAGUAAUGAAUAAUUAAGAACUUGAUUGUAUUAUUAUAACUUCUGGGUGAAUAAAUACAGCUUUACAGAGGUGAAACCUUUAAGCAAGCUAUACCUUUUCAGCAAAGCUUCAAAUUUGAAUUAACAGUUUCCUACCAUACACACUAUUUACCUUG
rnacentral:lncRNA from 1 species